rnacentral:lncRNA from 1 species
CGACAAAAUCGAUCUGUGCCCUUGAAGUUAGCCGUGAAGCAGGCCUUGGAUGUGGCAAGGGGUAUGGAAUAUGUGCAUGGCCUGAAUCUGAUACAUCGUGACCUGAAAUCUGACAAUUUAUUAAUUUCUGCUGAUAAAUCAAUCAAGAUUGCGGACUUUGGGGUUGCUCGUAUUGAGGUGCAGACAGAAGGAAUGACACCAGAGACUGGAACAUACCGCUGGAUGGCCCCGUAAGCCUCUAACCCUUUAGCAACUUUAUUAGAUAUGAUUUUCUUAUUUACUGUUACCUUUCUCAAAAAAAAUAAGAAGUGAUUUUCUUAGUCUAGCCUGUUCUUUUGGCAAAACCAUAAUACAAAGCUUUUGCUUUUAUUUUUCUUUUCAAAAUAAUAAAUAUCAGCCAUAACACAGAGCUGCUUCGGCUGUUCCAUAGAUUCUUUCAUGGUUUCAGUUCAUUCUUUUUGUAAAACAUUCAAAUGUUUUGUAUACAGUACGCUUCUUAUCAUUCGUUCUGCUGAGGGUCUAUUAGAAACCACCUAUCUACCUUCUCAAGGUAGGGGUAAGGUCCACAUACACUCAACCCUCUUAGACCCCCCCCCCCCCCCCCCCCACAAAAAAAAAAAAAAACAAAAAAAAACACACCUGUGAGAUCACACUGGGUUCAUUGUUGUUUUACAUACUUGUGGUUGCAAUGCAAUUGCCUUCAAAUUAUCAAAGAAAAUAGAGAAAUGGCAGCAAUAAGAUAUGUUUAUUUUCCAACAUGAUAUUUGGCUGAACAUUUCUUUGCACUAUAUCUUCUGUUUAAUGAUAUAAAUAUACUACCACUGCAUUGCCUAAAGAUAGAUUUACAGUGAAAAAGUGAUGGGUUUAAUUGUUUUCUUGAUGAUCGAGAAACCUGUCGGGAACCAACUGAAGCUCUUGAAACUUGGGGAUCGUGGACUCGCCCCGCCUCGCGCCUCUUCCCUCAAACCUUUGGACCGAUGGAGCUUGCGAAACUUGGGAAUGAUGGGCCCAUCCUCCACCCUCCUCUUAAAAUUUUCCAGGAGCCAACCGGAGCUUUUGAAACUUAGGGAUGAUGGACUCAUGGACCCAUCCUUUUACCAGUUUACCUUCCUCCACCUUGUAUCGGCCUUAAUUCACUUAGCGAAGUGUUCAUAUUGUGACCUAAGAUGCAAAUUCCUCACCCUUUGCCAAUUGAGCUAACCCCUCGGGCAAAAUAUGAUGGGUUUAAGUACUCUAUAACCUUUUGAAAACCCAGAUUGAUUGUGUCUAAUAUUCCUUUUGUAUGCCUGUUAUUGCUAAGAGAGAGAGAGAGAAGUUGUUUCUUCUGGUCAAUCCUUAAACUUAGUUAUUUGUGCCUCUUGCUAGAAGUAUCAAAAAACUCCUCCUUUGUGGGUUUUAGUGUGCUUAAUUCAGUCUAACUCAUGAAAUUUGUUUUCAGGAUGUGUAGGAUGAACCGUAGUUCACUCUCAUGUGCUUUUAAGGAAUGUUCUAGUUAGAUCAGUAUACAGAAACUCAUCAUCUGUCACCUUGGUUUUAAACUUUUUAAGGGUUAAAGUUAAUUAAAUAUUUUUUGGCUUCAUCAUAUAUUUGUCUCUCAUCUUCUAUUCCCUUGUCUGCCAUUCUAGGAUCUCACUGGUAAUAAAUUGUUCAUGACGCUCGUUCCAAGUAACAGUAAUCAUACUGAGAAGUGUUAACUAUUUCUGUUUGAUAGUUGUAGGCACUUCAGAUUAAGUGGUUCAACUUAUUUUUUGGGAGUGUCAUCUCUUAUUCUUAACUUAAAUUCAACAGAAUUAGCUCCUAGAUUAGUCUUUCUUCUUAUAAUGUUGUUUCCAGGCCAACUAGUGCGCACCUCGGGUAUUCACGAGGCACUUGCUACUACCGCCAACAUGGGUACCAGAUAACUUGGUCUACCAAGGCUUGGACAGAUAUGAUUUUGUCUAAACCAUGGUCGCGCCUCUUCAUUGACCACUAGGCCACACCUUGUGCUCCAAUAUUAGUCUUUUCUCCUUGCCUUAUUUCAAAGGAUAAAAGUAAGAAGAGUUGUUAUUCUAAUAGAAAUCAUUUUUUAAAUCCUUUGAAAUGAAGAUUGGUGUAAGUUAUAGAGCAUUGGGUAGUAAUAUAGCUUUGGAUUGCAUAGUUGUUAUCCUAAUUGAAAUCAUUUUUUAUAAAUCCUUUGAAAUGAAAGUAAAGGCACCCUUCUCCUAGUAGAAGGGUUGUUAUCUUGCCCUUUUAUCCCCAGAACUCAGGAAUACCUUUUUCUAUGCCCCUCUCACAUUUAUCAGAAAAUUCUUUUUUUUUUGUGCAGUUCAGUUAAGGUAACCCACCUUGACAAACAUUGUAAUUGCACCACAUGAGUGUUAUUUAUUUUUUUUUGGAGGGAGGGGGGAAUGAGUUUUAUUUGAAUAUAAAAGAAUGUGUUUGAAACUUCCUGACUUAAAGGAGACAUCUGCAGACUGCACUACAAGGUCUUCCUCCUCUUGCUUUGGUGCCCUGCUACUUUUUGAACAGUUCCUGAAGUGUUGCCUCUUGGCUCUUAGUAAUGGGCUCAAAUCUUAUUGUUGGAUAAGUAUCCUGCUCUUUGUGAGGUCCCUUGGUUAAGUUUCUUAGGUUUGGUACGUUUUUGUGAUCUCAUUAUAGUAGUACAUUUAAUGAGGAGAAUAAUGAAAGAUCUUUUCUUCAAAGAAGUGUCAGGUUUUUAGAUCUCUCUUGGAGAAGUAUGAAAGAAAAGUGCAUGCGUUAAAUUUUCUAAAGGAUUUAGAUAGGCUGAUAUAGCAUGUGUACAGUCACAUGAAAAACAAACAAGAAUAUUGAAGGUACAAAUUCACAUAUGUAAGAAUAUCAUAACUUUGUCUACUAAGAAGUUAUACUUCUGUAUGUAUGGGUAAACUGUAGGUCAUUGUGCCAAUCAUUGCAUUUGCAUACUUGAUAGCUUAAGCAGUUGUCAGAUAAACUUUAUAAUCAUGUGAUUAAAACAGAAAGAACAAGCAAAAUUACCAAUGCCCCAUUGAUAAUUACAGCAAUAGUUCUAAUGACAAAAACAAAAUGUUCAUUUCAAUUUAGGCCUGAAUAGAGCAUGGUGGUUGCAAAUCCAUAUAGCCGGACCCAACUUUUGGUUGUGGUCAAGCUAGUUGUUUGAUUGAUUAUUUAUUGCAUCACUACUACUUGGGUGCCUUUUCAAUCGGAAACUUGAUCAACAUGUUGCUACAUUUUAACAAACCAGAAGAUAUCUGAACUUAUCAAUGGUUUAGAGCCCUUAGCAAUUAUUCAUGUUAGCCUUUACAAAAGUUCUUUUAAAAAGGUGUUCCUUAUUAUUAUUUUCUUUCUUGGGCUUGAUAUGGCAGUUAGGAUGUGUACCUUGAGUUAGAUGAGCAAUCCAGGAUGAAAAGAAAUUGAAAGAUAGAGUUAUAUCCAUUUCCAUCGGCUGGAGAUCCAUUACAUAAUUAAGCUUCAAGAAGAGUAUCGGUGGAUAUAUCUCUAGGAUACAAUUGUUUUAGUUAGUUUCCACGGUCUAGCUUUCAACACAAUAUUAGAGAUGAAACUUGUCUUGGGAGAUGAAAUUACAUUUUUUUUAAACGAUAAGGGGAUUGGAGAUUAAUUGUGCAGUUGUUAGAGAAGUAUGAGAAAUGAAGCUUUUUAUUUCCAAUUGGACAACCUUUUUCUGACAUUUAGUCGAAGAAGAUUGUGUUUAUCGGUGCCUAUAAGACACUGUCCAAAUGCCUGUAUUGUGUUUGCAUUUGUCAAAGAAAUAUGACAGAUGAAAUUUUUCAUUUUCAAUUGGACAAUCUUUUCCAACAUUUAGUUGAAGAAGAUAGUAUUUGUGGGUGAAUAUAAGACACUGUCAGAAUGCUUGUAAUAGGUAUGGACGUAUCUAGUGGCUCUGGUGAUUUUUAAGUGUGCUGUUACAGUUGAGAUGGACCACUUUGCUGUGAUGGCACAAGAUUUUUGAAUGCAAUUCAUCCCAGUGCGAGGAAUGAGUAGUGUGUUGAUGAGUAGCAUGAAUGACUUGAGGAAAAUAGAUGGGAACUUGCCUAGUACCAAAGUUGAUGCAAUAGAAGUUGUCCCAGUUGCAAUCUUCAUGUCAAACAAGGCUUGUAGCUUGGCAUGUGCAGCAACUCUUAGAAAUCAUAUCCAAUUAUAAUAUAUUCACAAAUUGAUUUUAGUUAGGUUAUUUAGAAAGGGAAACAACCUGUCACAUUUCCCCGGAAAAUCUAUCUAUUCACAUUUUAGCAAAAAAAAAUUGGCUGUAUUGAUAUCUUAGCAAUACUUUCUGAAUGGCAUGUGUGUUGCUUCUUCUUGCAAUAUGUAUUUAUUAUUCCCGUUGCAAAAGAGCAAUACACUGCUCCUCGUGGUUUUGCAUGUGUGGGGUGUUGUGGGCUACUUGAGAGCAUUUUUACUGUGUUUUGCAGGGAGAUGAUCCAGCACCGACCCUACACACAGAAAGUUGAUGUUUAUAGUUUUGGCAUUGUUCUGUGGGAGCUUCUAACGGGGAUGCUUCCCUUCCAGAACAUGACUGCUGUGCAGGCAGCUUUUGCAGUCGUCAACAAAGGUGUCCGUCCAACCAUCCCCAAUGAUUGUUUACCUGUACUAGGUGAAAUCAUGACUCGCUGCUGGGAUGGGAACCCUGACAAUAGACCACCCUUCUCCCAGGUGGUCAGAAUGCUCGAGGCUGCAGAAAUAGAAAUCCUGACAACAGUCAGAAAGGCCCGCUUCAGGUGCUGCAUCAGUCAACCCAUGACUACAGAUUGAUAUGGAAACAGAAACUGUAGGCAGUAAAGGAUUUGGGAACGAGUGAUUCCAAAGUCUGGCAUGUGUAUGUAUCUAUGAGGCAUAAUUUCUUUAUUCAGAUAGAAAAAAGGGGAGAAAGUUGUGACAAGGAACUGUUUGAUUUUGUGUUGUAUCUUCUUUUGUUUUCCUUUUCUUCUUGAAUUUAAGAUUCUGAUUAGUGAUAAUAGAAUAGUAAGUGUAUUUAUACAUAUCUCUGUAUUUUAUUGUACUUUAUCAGGUGCAUGCAGAUCCACCUUUUGUAUCUCUGAUGCUUUAUUUUAUUAUUAUGCAGAUUGCAGAAAAUGUGGUGGGGUAGGUUUCUUCUAAACCUAAUAAUAUAUAGAAAUGAGAUAAAUUGACCUUCAGGAAGACGUGUGUGUGGGGUAUACUAUUACCAAACAUCAUGCUUUCAACUGUUUUUGGUUGAAUCUUAAAUGAUUUAGCUGCAUAUGAGAGGAUGUUUCAUAAAAUCCAAUCUUACACAGGUAACUGAAAGUGAUACAAACAUAUUUAUCAUUUCCAAUGUGGAGAGAAAACUUCUAUACAAGUAGAAUGAAAGAAGUCCAAACUUUAGACAUCCUGAGUAUCAAUUAGUUCCCUACCCUUUGUCUCUACUGAUAAGAGCAUAACACUGACUGCUGAUAAAGCUAGAACUGCUUCGAAACAUGCGAUUGCAGCCGUCUGAUGACACCCUCUUAGCAGAUGCACCACAACUAUAGGAGAAAUCAUAGGCCCUAUUCUUCCCACAGAAUUUGCAACUCCAAUACCAGUUGACCUUACAGACGUUGGGUAUAUCUGCAUACAAGACAUCAAAAUGAGAUAGUUGUUUGCUAACAUUUCCACUCUUAUUUCAAAUUCAAUACAUGCAUCUAGCUUGAGAAUCAGGUGGUUCCACUCUACCUGUUGAACGCCUAAGAAAGACUGGAAAGCUUUAAACUUCUUCAAAGAAAUGGAACAUAAUAUUCAAGUCUAACUUUCUUAUCUAUGCAUCAAGUUUGACUGGAUGGAAACAGGAAUGAGUAUUCACGAUAGUUACCUCUCGACAAUAGACACCCACAAUGACGAAGCUUCCAGAAAUGAAAGUACGAGCACCAAAUAAUAAGCCAGUAGUCAAAGCAGGGAGUUGAGGUGCAAGAAGCGGUAAAAGGAACAGGAAGCUUAAACCGCACAUAAGUGCCACACUGAAUUUUCGACCAAUUGUAUCCACCAUUAUAGCUGCUAAAAUAGUUCCAGGGAUCUCUGAGAGACCAAAAUAGAACGACUUUUAGAUUUUAGAACAUGUAACCUGUUGACUAGAAGUAAAGAGAAAAUUGUUUUACCGGCAAGACUGUUUAUGAGCACAUUAGUGUAAAGGCUCUGAUCAUCAUUCAGGUUCAAAGCAAUUGACGAAUGUUGACAUUGUCCACUGCUAAACAGUGAGGUCAGCAAUAUAAUGCCAUAGUAUGAGAAGGCAUUUCCAAUAUAAACCACCCAUAUGAGGAGGGUAUUUCUAAGUAACGCGGGGGACAAAAGCAUUAGUAGUGAUGAGAAGCCUGAUUUAAGAAUCGAGAUUCUGCUUUUCCCAGGAGAAAGCAAUUCCUCAUGCUCCUCAGUCACUUGAGAAGAUACGAGCUUUCCAGGGGGAAGUUGUGUCUUAUUGACAACAGCUAUUUUCUUCAGAAUAUCAUAGGCGUCUCUCGUCCUACCUAUGGCACAUAGAUAUCUAGGAGAUUCUACUGUAAAUACAAAUAACAGAAGUCCUGCAAAUGAUGGUAUGGACGAUAAAGCCAGUAACCAUCUCCAACCCAAUCUUGGCAUAAUCAUCUGCAACAUAAACAAAGAGAAUGUCAUAUGUUUUCGAUGUUCCUGAUCCACCUACCUUAGUGAAAUUCUUAAUUUAAUCAUAUGAACAUGUAUAACUUAGCAGCAACUUACAAAGUAGUUAUACAAUUUCAAAAAAGAAGAGUAUCCAGAUAUUAUGCUGAGUCACUUUCUUCCACAAACACAUUGGGCUCAAUAUUUCUUAGUUAUAACUGCAUUUUUUUGUUAACAUAAAUUUCAAGAUCUUGAACAUGAGAAUCCUACAUUACAUUGUCAUUAGAAGCAUACCUGAUACAGAAAACAUUCUUGCAGUAGAAAUGAAAAAGGAUUACUUUCAACAAAUUAAUUCCUUUUGCAUUGGGGCAGCAGGGAUGAAGUGGAGACUUACCUCUAGAGUCUUGUGUGAUAAGAAGGUACCAUCUAAACUUAAAGGUUAAGUUCUAUAGAGUGGGGUGGAGUGCUGACAAUUCAAGAACUCAUAAUCUUUGAAAAAUGCAUGUUGUGGAGAUGCGGAUAUUGAGAUGGAUGUGUGGGCAUAUUAGGCUUGUUAGUAACUGUCGUAGUAUCAGUAGUUCUGGCCAUAUGUUGUUUAUUGUGUUCCAAUUAUCACACUACUUUCCUUAUUAACUACUAUGCUCUCUUCAUUCUUUCGGAAACAGCACGGAAUUUCAGUGGGUAUGUUGUUAUUAUUUCCCUUUCUCACAUCUGAUAAAACAUCAUAUUGAAGAACAUUCAUAUUAGUAAAGCAAAAGAAAAGGAUAUACCAGUGCUAAUAGAGCCUCAAGUAUUGUUCCCAUUGUCCAAAAACCUGCAUACAUCAUCAUCCACAUUCCCCUAUAUUCUGAAGGAACAAAUUCAAGAAACCAAGAUCCAUACACAAGUCCACCCCCAGCUCCAAAUCCAACCAUCAUACGCACAGCAAGCAACCAAUCAUAAUUCGGAGAAAAGAUACUCAGUAUUGCACAUACAGCCGUCACUAACGCUAUACUCAAAAGCCCCUUUCUGUUCAUUAACAAACAAACAACACAUAAAUCAAAACCAAAUUCUUCCCAAACAUCGAAACACCAUAAAAUUAUACAUUACUUGCCUUCUUCCAUAAGAAUCAGUGAUAAACCCCCAAAAUAAAGCUCCGAUUAACAUGCCAACGAAAACGACAGUACUCAUAAGACUUUCUUGAGUAGGAGAAAGAGCCCAUUGGGACCUUAAAGCAGGUCCAAUAAAAGAGAGAAUCAUAGUCUCUACUGCUUCUGAAACAGAACCAAGACCUGCAUAACACAAUACCAUAUACUGAAAUUUACCAAUUCCAACUGAUGUCAGAGCUUCUUCCAUUGUGUACACAGAAUCAUCUUCAACUUGCUUUGUUGCCAUUUUCAAGUGAAGUCAAAUUGGCCAAAGUGAGAGGAAAAUGUUAAUCAUCAACACUUCCCUUUUUUAUAUAAAAAUAUAGAUAUAGACAAGUGGAGUACCUAACAUGGCUUACAAAAUUAUUAAUUUUUUUGUUUGUUUGAUAAUAAUUAAAAGAAAUUCUAUCAUAAUUAUCACAUUUUCUAUUUAAUUAGCAUGUCUCAUUUAACUCAUUUCUACCUAAUUUUUAUAAUUUACGAAGCUGUUGGAUGCUCAUUUUCUUUUUAUAAAUUGUGUUUAAUCAUUAAAGAGAGGAUAUAGAAAAGGUUAUAGUGAUAAUUGAUAAUAUUAGUACUAUUAAACAAUUAAGGGUAAAAGGAUAAAUAUAUCCUCAACUAUCGUAAAUGAUAUGUGUAUAUUCUCCAUCAUAUUUUAGAGGGAUAUUGGUGCCUCUAUCGUCCAAAAAUUAUACACUUUAUACUAACGAACUUAUACGUGUCAUAAUUUUAUCCGCUGAUCCGACAUCGGAUCGAUAAAUAAGAUUAUGUCACAUGCCCUAUUUAGUCUUCUGUUAGACUGAAGGGCAUAUAUGUUCUAGUUUUUGGACGGCAUGGUCACAAUGUUCCUAAAGUAUGACAAGGUGUAUAUGCAUACCAUUUACGUUAUCUUUUUUCUUAACAAUUAAUUAUGAAAUUGUCAAGUAUCUCGAGUUUUAAUAUGUAAUUUUGUUUUAAAUAUAUAAUAAUUUUUAAAUUUUCGCCAUUUUCACACAAGUUAGUAACAGCGGACGAUAUCAUAAAACUUUUGAUGAUAUUCAUCAUUAAGAAAUAGAUACGCAAAUAAUAAUAAAUAUUUAUUGUUUGCCUGGCCAAUCACGUUUCAUUUUCUUUUUUUUGGAUCUACUCGAAUAGACUUUCUAAGAAAAGCUUCGUGUUUUUUUUUAUAAUGAUUAUAUUAUGAUAUAUGGUAUAUAUUUGGAAACUCAUUAUUAUUCUUUGUACUACAAAAACACUAUAGAAUACUUUGGACACAUUAUUAUAGAACCUGGAUUAAUGAGUAGGUAUUUUUGGACGUGAAUGCGAAUUAGACCUUGGAAUAAUAUUAGGUUAGCCUCUGUUUCAAAAAGUAAUUUAUUUUUCAUAUCAUUAUUAUUCGCUUCCUUUCAUUUUAUAUGAGUUAAUUUGAUUAGAACAAUAAGUUAAAGAAAAAAACAAAUAAUUUUAAAACUUGUAAUCUAAAAUAAACUAACACAUAUGUGUAUAAUUAUAAAUCAUUUCAUUAAAUAUAAAAUUUGACAUUUUAAAAUUAAUUUAAAAAUAUGUCAUUCUUUUUUCAAUAAGCUAAAAAGAAAAAAUAAACCAAUGGUCUUUAUGAUUCAUAAUUUGAACAAAGACGUGUUUAGGGGUGUACAUGCUUUGUCUUGUUGGUUUUUAUCUAAAUUAAUCUACACCAAAUUAAAUUAAUUGAUUUAUUUUGACAUGAUAUUAAUUUUUUAGAAAAUAAAAAAUACUUUUGAAUUAUGUGGUUUUAAAAUAAAAAUAUAUCAAAAUGUUCUAUAAUAUUGUAAUUUUAAAUAUGUCAAGUCAAACGUUAAAAUUAAAUAGUUGCUGAAAGGAAAUUAGUCAUUCUUUAAAAUGGAACAAAAAAAGAAAAUAGUCAAACAAUUUGAAAUAAAGAGAGUAUAUUGAUUUGAUCCUUUGAUUUUUUGGGUUCUUUUAAUCACGUGAAUACUAUUUAGAGUUAUGUAUAAAGUUUUAAGAGAUAACUAUCAAUAAUAUACCUAAAGUUAUCAUUUUUUUGAGUUUCAUACUUCAAUUAUUGAGACUGAGAGGUUCACACCUAAAUAAUCACUUAUUGGUUUGAGAAACAUAUUUCUCUCUUUUGUCUCACCGUGGUAUGUGUAAUACACUCUUUCUUUUAUUUUAAAAAAUUGUCACAUCACACUCCACAUAGACAUCCACUUUGACAAAAAACUAAAUGAAUUAUUAAAUAUUAGUUAAAAUUAAAGAUUGAAAAUUAUUAUCCCAAUUUAAUUUAUUUAUUUUUAUUUAAAACUAGAAAAUUAACUACAAUAUUAAAAAGUAUUACAAUAUAAUUUUUUAAACUCUAUAUUAAUCAAAAUCAGAUAAAUAAUAUAAAACUCAAUUACUUGUUUUCAUUUUGUAUUAUUAUUAUUAUUAUUAUUAUCAUUAUUGUUAUUAUUAUUAUUAUUAUUUUGGAAUUGGUAACUUCAGGUGGAUUCAAUAGUAUUUUCAAGGUGAAUUAUAUAUAAAAUAUCUUUUAUUACCAAAAAAAUAAAAUAAAAUAAUAAUAAUAAUAAUAAUACUAUAUAAUAUUUUUUAUUUUUAACCCACUCCGUUCCGUAAAAACCCGCCCCUUCCUCCUAUGCUUAAAUAGUACAUUAAUAUAACGUUAAACCAAAUAACACAAAUAUAACAGCUAAUCCAAUCAAUAAUUUAUAUUUUGAUUAAUGAUUACACGGAAAAAGUGAAAGAAAUCUGAGCUUGUUUGAAAACCUUUGAAAGAAGUGAAAAGAUGAUAAAAAUUAAGAGUUUCAUCUCUUAACGGAUUUGAGAUUACAUUGGAAAGUGUUCGCUUCGCUUAAUUUAAUUAUUUCAACUUGUCCUGUCCCGCAAUGCCCUGUAUAUAAUUAUACCUGUCUCGCACCGCGGUCGACCUGCCUCAUUGCCGUCCCUAAUGCCAAGACAAUUGAGGAUCCAAGAUAAGCUAACUUUUCAUGUAAUAUAUUUAAUAUUACAAAAUCAAAAACUAAUUUAGCAUAUUUUUUAUAUCAAAUCAUAAAAUUCAGAAAAAUUCUUUUUAGGGUCUGUUUGGAAAGUCAUUCGGUAAUUGAAAUUGGUGUAAUUACUACGAUAAUAAUUAUCAGCCUAAUAAUUACACAAUUUAGUAAUUACACUAACAUGUUUGAUUAUCACAGUGUAAUUCCCUUUGUCAUGUUUGAUUAGAUUAAUGUAAUUACACAACUAAAUUUUAAAAUAAAUCAAAUUUUAAAUAAAUAAUAUUACAGCUUCAUUAAUUAAUGUAUACAAAGUUUUCUUCUGGCCACAAUGACAAACAAUCAAACUCAUCAUGCCAAAAUAUUAUUGAACUUAUCAUGCCAACUUUGUAACUUCAAAUCUUAUGUGCGUCAUUUUCCAUAUAGCUGCGAGCGAUGUUCUUAGAGAAUAAGAUGAAUGAGCCACUAAAUUUUAAAGAAAGCACGUGAGAUAUCCAAACAAAUCAGUUUUUUUGACAUAAAUCUCAAGGUACCUCAAGUGAGUUAGAGAUUGUAUCGCACUAAGCCAAGAAUUUGAGAGGUUUGCAUCUAGAAAAUGUAACAAGUAACUCCUGAACAAGCUAAGUCUUAGUUUUACAAGUAAAUGUAAAACAUUUGAUUUGUUUCAUAUGUUGAAUUUUGGAUAAGCAGCGAAUACCAAAGACGACAGAGGACAUUCACCAAAACACUUUCUUCUUUAAAUAGAAUACUUGUUAGGUAAAACUAGAAGAUAUGUUUGAUAAACUCUGUGUAAUCUAAUUUUCUUUCUUUCUUUUUUUCCUAACUAAAACAUUAUUUGUUUCUUAGGGCAUCUCCAACCCAAACAUCAAAUUUUACAUUAAAUUUGAUGUCAAUACUAUUUUAGUAUAAAUCAACUUCAAUCCACUACACCAACUUUUACAUCCAAAAGUCUCUCUCCAUUAUUAUUUCUUAUUUCAUAAAGCAUUCACCAUAGAUAAUUCAUAGUAUUUUCUUUUAUAGUUGUUUAAUCUAAAAAUUAUUUUAUUACCAUAAUUUUUUACAAUAAUAUAAUUUGCUAGAAAGUAUUAUCUAUUAUAUAUAAUAAUGGAUAAUACAAAUAUAAGUAUUUUCAUUAAUGAACUACAAUUAAAUAAACAUUACAUAAUUAAAAAUUAUUUUAAAUUCUACAUAAAUAUUCAACUUUCAAGAUCAUUACGGCGCUCUCAUAAAUGCUCUAUUAAUGCAUUACGUAGUUCAAAAUGAGUUUUUUUUGUCCUUUAUUUUUUUUAUGUCGAGCUAGGAAUUGUCGAAAUCGAUUAUUUUUGUGAAAGUUAAUUGUAGUUAUAACCAAUUUUAAUUUAUAGUAGAAUUAACAUAAUUUUUUUUUAAAAAAAAGUCAUAUAGAAAAAUUAAUUUAUAAAAUAAACUAACUUUUAUAUCUAAAAUUAAUAAUAUAAAAGUAUUAAAUAAAAAAUAAUUUAAUAUAUAAGAUAUUUAAUUAAAACGUAUAAUAUAUAUAAUGUUUAAUUAAAAGUUUUGCAUAAUCAAAUAACAUUAAAAUAUUCAAUAAAGUGAAAUGAUGUGAUGAAUAUUGGUGUGAUUCACGCAUCAAAAUGAUGCAAAAUUUGUAUUGGGUUGAAGCCUCAAAACACCAAUUUUACACCGAAUAAAGAUUUGGUGUAAAAUUUGGUGUUGGGUUGGAGAUGGCUAUAUUACAUAUUUCGAGCUUGUUUGGUAUUACUCUUAAAAAUUGUUACAAUUUUUUUAUGAAAAUACUUUUGAAAAAAAUAAUUCGUAUUUGGUUAAUUCUUUUGAAAAGUGUUUUGGAUAAACUAUUUGUGUAUGUCAAUUCUCUUUUUUUAAAAAGGUACUUUUGAGUUUUGAGAAUCAAAUUAAGAAAAAACUGUUUUUGCUUCUAUUUAAGAGCAGUUUUGAUGAUUAGCCAAACAUCUGUAUUUUCAAAAUAGUGAUUUUUAUUCAAAAUAAAUAUUUUUAACCUCUUAAUAGGAAUGCAAAAGCUCUUAAUCAAUUAACGCAUCUUUGACGCCGAGAACACAAAAAGAUUGUCUCGUAAGAACCACUUCAUCCAAAAAAUUGUAUUGGCAAAAUUCCAAAAUUCUUGAGAAAUUAUAAUAAUAAAACCUAAUAAUUGUGAUUUAGAACGUUUACAGUCCAUUCUGUGAUAAUAAAAAUUUGAUAAUUAUCGUUAGGAAUCAUACAUUUAACACCAACAAAUAAUAGAGUAAUCGGCUUUGUCAUCAGAAGAAUCCACCAUGAUCAAGUGGAUAACAAAACUUACACUUCUAUAUAAAGUUGAAGCGGUAAACACAUGAUCCUACAUUACAUAAUAUGCAUCCUACCAUGGAUAGUACAAAUCAAUUAGAGUAUAUUACACACGAUUUAUCAUGUUGAAUACAUGCAUCUACUUGUUUAAUUUAAUACAAGUUAAGCUUAAUUGUAUACAUCCAAAGUUGGAGAACGUAGAUGUAAAAUGAACUAAAAUAUAAUGACACGUUCAUGUAUGUUAAGAAAAGUAAAGAUAAGAAACGACAAAAUUGAGGGGAAAAUGCAUUUGUUUUGGUUGCGUGGGCAGUUAAGGUUGUGCUUAACAAUACCAAUUUUCUGGUAUUCAAAUUCAAAGCAUAUUCAGAUACAUGAAGCUAUUCUGAAGUAUCCACUACUUCUUCUCAUUAGUCUUCUUCUUGAAUGACCCACUUAGUGCUGCUUUUGUUUUCGUCCACUCCUUCAUUGAAGCAGCACUCUUCAUGAAAGAACAAGUUUCGCUGUAGUUAGUAUCUCCUACAAGUGCUUGUUUUGAUGCAGAUACAUGUUCCUUUUCGGGGGUUGGAGCACUGGCUUCAUUCUUCUUUGUUUCUUUCUGCUGAUAGUUGUCCAACACUGGAAGCUCUUUACUGAAAUGAACAUUAUUCUGCUCCUCAACAGAAACAUCUUGCGAAUCACUUUUAUCCAUGCUGUUAGAUUUUUGUGCUUUUACGGUCUCUCCUAUCACUGGCAACUCUGGUUUUGGAAGACUUAGACCAGGCAAAAUUUGUGAAAUGCUAAAAGAACUUCUAGUGGCAUCACGAACCAAUUCUGUCCAUGAAGAUUUUUGUCGCCAUGCAGCACCUCUGACAUAAAUAUCUACAGGGCUAUUGUCAGUGGCAAUUUUAUCCAGCUCCUCGUGCUGAUCUGAUACUUUCUCUUCAUAUUCAACUUUAUCCAGCUCUUCAUGCUGGUCUGAUGCUUUCUCGUCAUUUGAUAAUUCAUCUUCAGAUUCAGCUUUAUCUAGCUCUUCAUGCUGAUCAAAUACCUUCUCAUCGUUUGAUACUUCAUCUUCAGAUUCAACUUUAUCCAGCUCUUCAUGCUGAUCUAAUACUUCCUCGUCGUUUGAUACUUCAUCUUCAGAUUCAACUUUAUCCAGCUCUUCAUGCUGAUCUGAUACUUCAUCUUCAGAUUCAACUUUAUCCGGCUCUUCAAGGUGAUCGGAUACUUUCUCAUGGUUUGCUACUUCAUCUUUUUCGUCGGAGGAGAACUCACUAACACCAUUAGAGCCAGACUGCAUCUCUGUACCAGGAAUAGCACUCGGCAAAAUAUCCAAUACACUGAAUGAAGCACCACUACUAGCACUAACAAGAUCUUUCCAUGGAGACUUCUUUGGCAAUUUGGCACUUCUAUUUAAUAGUUGGCUAUCUCGUGUGACUUCCAAACUCUGCUUUGCUUCAGCUUUAGACAACAACGUAUGUGCCUCACCAUCUUUUACCUCUGAAGGUGCUUUACGCUUUCUGUUUGAGGGCAUCGUCUUUCCUUGCUUUUGUUUAUCCGUAGCAAGUCGUGAUUCCUUGGAUAGCGAAUUCUGUUCGCACGACACCCAUAAAAAGGAAAAAGUAAACUAAGAUGCUUAUACCAUGAGCAGGGAAAAUGAAAAAUAGAACAUAACAGAAUAUGAACCUGAAUAGCUACAAUUGCUUCCAGGGUUGGAUCUUUGAACAUAGUGUUUCUAUCCUUUGCACCGGCCACUACAUUGAUAAUAAGGUUGUCAUCAUCGUCAUCCAUUUCUUGGUCAACAAAAUCUUCAUUAGCCUGAAUAGCUGUCAUUGCUUCCUGGAUUGGAUCUUUUACCAUAAUCAUUCUAUCGUUUGCACCAGCCACCACAUUGAGAAUGAGGUUAUCAUCAUUUACCAUUUCUUGGUUGACUAAAUUCUUGUCAUUCUGCAAAUGAUCAACUGUACCAUUUGAGCUUUGAACUUUCUUAGAUAAUUUAAAAUCCCUAGGGGUUUCCUCAGAAUAGUUCUCCCUCUCAAAAAUUCUGUUCAACACUGAAUUCAUAAUGUUCAGCUCUUUCUCAUCCAUUCCACCAUCCUUUGAGUCAUAAUUACAAAGUGAUUUUUGCUUGUCCAUAUGAGUAGUACCAGAGUGCUCUUCACAAUCACAAAAAUGGAUAGGUAAGGAAGGAACUUCCACUCGCUGAAAACUGUAUUUAUGCUUGCCAGUUCCUCUAAGAGACACUGGUUUAAUCUGCACAAAGAGAUUCCAGAAGCAUGAUUCUUGACGUAAUAAAAAACAUAGGUCUUACUAAAAGAGAUUGCAUUCAAAUGUAAACCAUGCAGUCACCUUUCCCGCCAUAAGUCAUCUAAGAAUAAUUGUAUCAAGAGAAGGACGUCAUAACCAAGCACAGGGAAAAAUGCUUUACCUUUCCUAAUUUUGGGAAGUAAAUCCGAAUUUGCGCUUCAUCCAAUUUGGAAUCUUUCUUCUGACUUUUCAGGGAGUCCAUCCUUUCAGCUUCACUAACAGGAAGAUGGGUCGAAGUAGUGGCAAGUGUAGCAUCUUCUUCCCACUCACGUUUCAUAUGAAGAAAAAAGUGUUCCUUUGCCUUCUCUAUUCUAAGCCUCCCACCUUUCCACAUGCAUCCAUUAUACUGCAGAUCAAAAUUGGAUUAGCACCACUAAGCAUCAAGGUGAUACCUUAGGAGUAGAUUUUAAAAGGAAAGACUCCAUUCACUUGCUGCAAAUUGAUUAAGUUAUCCUAAUAACCAGUGUUUUGGACGGCAAAAGGUGACAAGGGUCUGCCUCGUCAUAAGGCGAGGCGAGGUGCUCGCCUCACGGCCUCACCGCUCUCCUUUUGAAAGUGCGGCAUCAAUUAAUACCAAAAGUUAAAAUAUGUAAUUGCAUAUGUAAAUAAUCAAAAUCUCAAAAGCAAUAAAACAUUACCAAAUAUUUCAAUUCAAAAAAUGAAAAUAGAUAGUACUUACUAAAAGUCUAUAACUUGAAUGAGGAAAAAAAAACAUAACAAAAUCAAAACAAAGGUAGAAGUGAUUUUAAAGUCUGAAGAAGGAAAAAGAAAAAGAGGAAGAAGAAAUAUAUAUUGGUUAGACUUUGGAGUCGCCGGAAAAGCCUGGCUAGUUGCCAGAGGAGUCUAGUCGAAAAUCCUAAAAUUACCUGUUAACUUUUAAAAUCCUAAAUUGGUCGCUUCUUUUUUUAAGAAAAUACAAAAGGUGAUGCCUUUCUUGCCUCUUGCCUCUCGCCUUUUGUUAUCAUGGCGUCGCCUUUUGAAGAUCACCACAAAGCUAAAUGGUGAUGAAGGGUCAUCUCGCCUCUCGCCAUUGACGACAAGGUGAUCGCCUUACACAACACUGCUAAUAACGAAGAGACACUUUGAUAUUAUGUGAUACUAAUGGUUACAAGGCCGAACGAUGGCCACCACAGAUAAACAACAUACAGUAAUGUCUUGCAGCACCCAAGGGAAGGGUGCAAAUGUAAUGAACACCUAAUGAGAUACUGCACUCACUGACAAGAGUUGGGCUGUUUGCUUCACAAAAACUCUAAAAUACACUAGCAUUCCUACACUCCAAACCUCUCUAAUAUGCUUAAGGUAUUCUUUCACCUCAACUUCCAUACAUGACUAAAUAAAUUAGGAGCCUUUAUCCAGGUUCUUAACCUCCUUCUCCAACUAAGGUGCCGGCUACCAUUCUUUAUGUUAUUCAUCUUUUAUCCUAGACUAGAAAUGCUACGCUAUUUGCACCAAUUCUUAUAUCUAUGCAAUGAAAACAGACAAUUUAGCAUAGUACGCACGCAUAAUUAAAGUGAGAUACGGAAAGCUUUAUAGUUUAUACCGUGCUGAAAAGUUUGGGUAGGGAUUUGUCGGAAGAAGGAAGUAAAUCCAAGUAAGCAAAGCUGCGGCCUUUGGUUCGAACGAUGUCCAUAGAUUCCACUUUUCCGAGUUGUGGUGUUGAGAAUGUCUUCUUCAAAUCCUCAGCCGUCACACUUUCGCCUAAACCACCAACAUAUAUCCUUACACUUUUCUUCGUUGCUUCAUUGCCUCCUUCGCCCGUUACCAUCUCUGCCGGUGCCGCCAUAUCCAACGCAAUCAAGCUCCUUGGUCUGAAACCUAAUGCGCUUUGUUGAGGAAAACGAAGGUGUAAAUUACACUUCUGACACUACUAGAGUAUAUUAAAGAAUGAAACUUUUUUUUUUUUAACAAUAGAGCUGUAUUUUGUUUUACUCUAGGGUUAGGGGCAUUUUAGGGUUUUCAUUUAUUUUUAGUAUUAUUAUUCUUUUACAAUAAUGAUUUAUCAGGCUGUACUUUUUUUAAAAGUAAAAAAAAACUUGAGCUAAAUCUGAAUAUUUUUGGCAUUUACAUAUUUUUAUCUGUUGUUGCCUUUUGUAAUUUGUGAAUAAAAAGUUGAACUAUCUCUUUAAUGCCCUCACGUCUUCAAGAAGAGUCUUUUCUCCAUAAACUAUACUGCUCUUUCUUGCCCAGUUUACAGGUAAGUUUCCCCUCUGCUUUUUCCGUUUUUUUUUUUAAUUAGUUGGUUUUUUCCCUUAUGGAUUUGAAUAUGGCCAAAAGAGAAGUAAUGAUGAUGGUGACUUUUAAUUAGUUGGUUUUUUUUUUCAUUUGUUUGAUUUUACGAGAUGUACAACUUUAAUGUUGUGCUGACCUUUUUCUGCUUGAUUUUUCUUUGCAGUUGUAAUUGCUACUAUUAAGUUUUUCUUUUUGUUUUGGUGAGAUGGAUUAUUGUAUUUCUUGAAAGUUAAAACACCUGAGACUAAAGCAUUAUCUUUUGGCUUUUACCUAGAAAGAAGACAGGAUCUUCUUGAUUGUGAAGAUAUGAGUUCGUUAUGCUACCCUGUUGUAUUACUACCCAAUUAAUUAUUUCCAUUUCUUUGUGUAGAUGUGGAUAAAUCAUACACUGUUGUAUUACUACCCAAUAGUUAGUGAAUUUACCAUUUCAUGUCUUUUACUAUAGUAUGUGGAUCAUGUCAGUAAAGAUUCUCAAGCAAACCACUGCCAAGUUCAUAUAAAUAGUCAAGACAUGCAUAGGUAUCAAGGUUUUGGUUAAUAGUUAUGGUUCUGCAAAGUUGCAGAUGCAAAAUAACCAUUGAAGGAAGGGAUUUGGUGUCUUAAACUUCUAUCAUGAGCAGUAGAGCAAAUAUAUUUUUUUCAGUGCCAUAAUCUCUCUCCAAUUUCUGCAGGAGCAUGAAUGUGUUAUAAUUUUUUUUUAGUUUUGUUUUGGUGGAGGGAGAACGGAGCUCGUGGGGGAGUGAAUUAACUAGAGAAGUAGCAAAUAUAGUAUUUGACAUUUUUCUUGGGUAUAAGAUAGUUGCUGUUCGUUGUGCUUUCCGGUUGGCUUGUUGAGCAUGUAGAGAAAAUUGGGACACCAUAUAGCUAUGACCUGCUUCUACCAGGGAAACUCUCAAGGCAUGGAGUUGCAAGGUGGAAAAAGCGUAUUAGUUCCCACGGUAGUGUUCUGAGAUUUAUGGCAUAGUUGUAUAAUUAUUUCUAAAUACUUCCUCCUCUCUGUAAUGAAAAAUGUGAACUGGAGGACUUGGAUUCCGGGUUACAACCUCUUUUAAGUGUGUAGUAUACAUUAUCGGUUGUUUCAUAAGCUUUGUAUCUCGCUAUUUUUUAUACACUUCUCUUGCAAUAGUUCUGCUUUAAAAAUAUUUCUUUUGACCUGAAGGUCUAUCGAAGAAACAACCUUUCUACUCCACAAAGGUACAAAGAUAGAGGUAAAGUAAUCCCAUGAUUAGAAAAAUUUGGAGUUGUUUUUGUGCCCAAGUUCAGUGAAUUUCUUUUCUGUGGUGGUUUACCUCGUCUUUAUCUACUCUGGGAUGGAAUAUUUGUUUUGGGUUGUGUUCCAAAUACUAGAAUUAGACGUAUCUUAGAAAGAUAUUUUUGUCAAAUUGAACAUGUGAGAUGAGCCUAACAUUUGUAAAAAGACAGUGGUCAAAGAAAGUUUGAGUAUAUGUGUAAUAAUGUUGCAGAUUUGCAUUAGCAUUUUUGUAAAUUUGAUCCAAAUUCAGGUUUACUUGGCAGUAUUCUUUGGGUUUUACAACUUUGUUAUACUGAUCUUGCGCUAUUGCUGAUUUUAAAACUUCUGGUAGUUUUUUUCUUCUUCUUUUGCUGGCUGCACCAAUUGCGCCUUACUAUGUUCUCUUUAUUUGGUGUCCUUGUGUAGUGCAAUAAAGAGAUUCUUGGUGAGGAUUAGUUUGAAUUUUUCCCCUGUAAUUGUUCUUCUCUCUGUAAAGGAAGGUGCAUGAAGUUUUAUCUUAUUGUUAAAGAAUGAUGGGUUGGCGGUGCCUAAAUGUAGGCAAUUCAUAUCUUUGUUUAUCUUCUUUUAUAGUAAGUGUAAGUCUACAGGUCCUCCGUCCAUGUCUAUUCUAAUGUAUUUAUCUGUUUUAGCCUACGAAAAACUUCUUUUGAUUCACAAUGAUCUUUUAGCCUUCUACAGUAUUUCACUUGCUUACUGGAAUCCUGACAUUUCCUAAUAUUUCUGAUUUCCCUUCAGAAAACAGUGAUAGUGCUGAUGAUAACAUUCAGCUCUCACGUUAUUGAAAAACGACUACUCAUCCCUCUCCUUUCAGUCAAGUGAGCUGAUUUUUUUUAAACUUAACAUUCCAAAAACUUUCAGAAAAAGAAACUCACGUCAACAUGAUUAAAAUCGUGAUCAUGAUUGUAUGUUGUCCCUAUGAAGUUUAUGAAUGUAAUUAUGGUAUGUUAAGUAGACUGGUUCCAUCCAGCUGAAAGCAAUCAUCAGUGUAGAAUUGACAAAAUAUUAUAUAAUGUCUCACUUGGAACAAAUGAUUCAUAACAUGCACAAAGAGUUGGAUUGUUCGAGUGAUUUUUCAUUUUGCCGCUUUUGAUGAUACAAAAUUCUUGUUACAGAAGAUAUACUCAACUACGACUCCCACCACAUACAUCAAUCAGCAAACAACAGAAUCCUUUGAUCUCCUACACACACUAUAUGGUAAGUUAUUCUAAUACAGAACCUCUAAGCUAUUUGAAAAUCAAGCUCGCGUGACUGCUGAAAAGACUGAACAAUUAAAGACAAAAGAAGCUAUCUCAGAAGUGAACAUUAUUAAUCUGCUAUCUUUGUGUUAUGGUUGUUAAAAAAAAGGGUGUUCUUUAUAGUGUUGCUUUUAAUUAUCUAAACACUGUCUACCUUGUUUUAUUUUUUUUUAUGGCAAGGGAAACCCGUAGCCUCUACUCUUUGGGUGCGCACAGGGUAAAAAUCCCGCUCCUAUGCAAUAGCUCACAAACCCUGUCUACCUUGUACUGAUCAAUACUUUUUAUGCACAAGAUUGUUGCUGCCAAUAUAUAUACCAUGUAUAAUAAAAUAAUGGCAAAGAAGGCUAAGUUAAAGAACACAUUUAUAUAUUAUGCUUAAAAUAGAUUUUUCACAUUGGCCCGGGCAAUGCCCGCCUACCUCCACUAGUAGAGAAUAUAAUUUUUUUUCAGAUACUAAGGAAAAUCUAUUUAAUUACCGCUGUACUGUUUCGGCAAUUGAAAACCCUAAAACCCUCAUUUCAUAUUUUCCAAAUUCUCUCUUCUACUCAAUUGUUAGAUGCACUAUCUACGUUACCCACUUGAUAAUUGAUUCAAUUUUCUCAGUAAAUCAUGCUGGGUAUUCACAAAUUCUAUAGACAAGUUCACACAUUGUCUCGUGAAUAUGGCCCUAGCGAGACGUUGAAGAGAAAGGUUGCUGAAUUGAAGGUAAAGAGGAAACGAAAAGAUCCUCGAAAGAAUCAGUUAUUUGUUCAGGUUCCUGAUUCAAGAUCGUUCCUUGAUACUGCUACUAUGCCCAUGAUACUCACUGUUGUUGGGACUGCACUUUUCGCAAAGCUCCUCAUGAUGGUAUGAUGCUCCAUUGCAGUUUAUGUAAAGUCCUAUUUAAUAGUUGGAUGAAAUUUGAAUGAUUUUAAAAUUGGACAAACCCCUAAUAAAUAUAUUCAUUUGUUGGUUGUGAUUUUGGUGGAUUGUUAUGGUAAAUAGAAGAGAAGCUUGGGAAAUUGAUACUUGAGAAGGUUUAAAUGAUGCUUCUUAGGUGUAGUGACAUGAUGGUUCAUUAAUAUUCAUAAUCUUAAUAGGAGAACAACUUUAGUGUUGUAAUGUACCAAAGAAAUGGUAUCUCGAUAUAGAACUGCUUAUAGACUGUAGAAUAUCGUCGUUUUUCUUGGUUUGAAUUAAUGACACUUAUUUCAAUUUACAUUCAAUAAUGUUAAAGGAACUAAAGUUGAAUCUUGUUGAUAUUCAUUGAGGAGGUUGAUGGAAUUUAGCUGACUUAAUAUACAAACCCCAAAGUCUCCAUCAUAGGUACUUCUUAAAUUUUUUUUUUGGUAAUUAGGAUUUUUUUUUUCACCAAAGUAGGUACUCACAAAGCUAAACAAGUUCUACUCGACUGGUUAUCACAAAAUCUGCAGUCUGCUUACAAACUUAGAGAAUUAAAACCUGGCUCAGGCAGUAGCUCUAAAACAACAAAAACAAGCAAUUCUACAAGCAAUAUCCUCCAUUGUAGUCUCUGUCUUCUCAAAAACUCUAUUUUUCCUCUCCUUCCAAAUGGCAUGAAUAAUAUCUGUGUAUACUAGUUGUAGUAGCUGGGCCUGGUGGCUUUUUCCCUUAGUCUUCUGGAUGAUUCACUGUUGCAUUGCAUUCCAAGAAUUGCUUGGAGGAUGUCUGAUAGUAGUCCAUUGAAGUAAUCUUCUCCAUAAGGAGUUGGCAAAUGCACACUCAAAAAAUAAGUGGUCUCUUGCUCCAUCUUCCUGCUUACACAUAACACAUUUAGGAUCUACUUGCAUUCUCCAUUUCAGCAACCUAUCUGUUGUAAGAAGUCUGUUCUGGAUUUGCAGCCAUAAGAUAAAAAUGGCUUUAGGUCUUGCGAAGUUGCGGCAUAUGAGACCUCUCCAAUCAACCUUUUGGGUAAUCACCUAGCAUUUGAUUUUAGGCUUGCCUUAUCUUGCAAUCAAUACCAUGAUGCAAUACAUGUAGGUGAUACUUUGCUCCAAGAACUUUUCUAACUAUUCAACAAGCUUGAGCGGGAACCCUGAGAGCUUCCAUAUUUUGGCCUUCGAUGUAAUAACUGUGUAUGCAUUUGAUCCAAAGUCUAUCCUGCUUCUUCUCUAUAUCCCAACACAUCUUUAGAACUGCUGCUUUGUUCCAUACCUUUAGAUUCACCAAGUUUAAUCCUCCCGCCACCUUUGGUGUACACAUCUUCUCCUCAGAGACUAGGGCCUUCUUAGUUAUGCUGUUGACUCCAGACCAUUUAAAACUCCUACAGUAGGAUUGGAUUGCUUUCAUCACCUUAGUUGGUAUCAUAAAAUGUUGUGUCCAGUAUGCUUGAAUACCAAAAAAUCAAUGUCUUAACAAGCUGAACUCUCCCUGCAUAGGAUACUUUUUUAGCUGUCCAGAAAGAUAUUUUUGCUACUAUUUGAUCAAUCAAUGGCUGCCACUGAAUAAGAUUGAGUUUCUUAGUGGACAAAGGUAUACCAAGGUAUCGAAAAGGUAAGGCCCCAUGACUGUAUCCCAGAGUUUGUUGGAUGUGACACAUUACAGUACCAAAUACUCCUCCAAAAUAUAUAGCACUUUUAGACAAGUUAGCUUCCAAUACGGAAGCUACUGUGAACACAGUGAACUUGACGUGGAGUAGUUGAACUGAUAUUUGGUCACCUCUUUUAAACAUGAGGAGGUCAUCUGCAAAGCUUAAAGGUGUAUUCUUAAGCCUACUGCACAUAGGGUGGUAUUUGAAUAUCUUGUGAUUGGAUUAGUCAUUCAAGUUCCUACUUAGAUAUUCCAUGAACAUAGCAAACAAAAAGGGGGACAUUGGAUCCCUUGUCGUAGUCCUCGAGCUGCCUCAAAAGGUUUUGUUAGUUCCCAAUUGAUCAAGAAAGAGUAGGAGACAGUAGUUACACAUUGCAUCACCCCGCCUAUGAACUUGAGAGGAAACCCCAAUGUUGACAUCAUUUGUUCUAAAUAUUUCCAAUCAAUAAUAUCAUAUGCUUUUUGGAUAUCCACCUUCAUCAUACAUCUGGGUGAGAUAUUCUUCCUGUUAUAGGCCUUGACUAGUUCAUGUGCAAGAAUAAUGUUAUUUGCCACUUUUCUCCUGGGUACAAAUCCAGGUUGUGUUUCUGAGAUCACAGUUUCUAUCACCUGGUGGAUUCUAUUUGCCAACAAUUUUUCUAUGAGUUUGUAUAGGAUUGUACAACAUGCUAUGGGCUUAUACUCCUUCAUAUUGGAGGGAUUGGGAACUUUGGGUAACAGUGUAACUGCAGUACUAGUCACUGCUUUGUGUAACUUUCCAGUAGAAAGAACUCCUUAACUGCUCCCCUGUUUAAUCACAGGCAAGGUUUUUUGAAGAACAUAGCAUUGUAGCCAUCAACUCCUGGAGCCUUAUCAUCACCAAUAGAACAUAGUCCAUCAUAAGCUUCCAUCUCAGUAACCUCUACACACAAGGCCAUUUGUUGAGAUUGAUUCAGUGUUGGCCCCUGCUUCAAAAUACUCUCACUGACUGCAGUUGCUUACUUGAGCAGUUACCAUUAAAGACUUGUAAAAUGUUAUAAUCUCAUUUUGAAUUUCAUCCGGAUCCACAAAUCUUUUCUCCAUUUGCUGAAGUAAGUUUGAUAAUCUGUUUCUUGUGGUGUCUUUCUUUCAUUAUUGCUGCAAAAUACUUAGUAUUUGAGUCCCCCAAUUUAAUCCACAUAGAUCUGGAUUUUUUUUUGGAAGCUCUCCUUUAUAUUGCUCCAUUUCUCUAGUUGGAUCAAAAGAUCCUUUUCUUCCAGUGCUAUAGCAUCGGUAUACUGUGAAGAGAGUUUCAGCUGCGUAGAGUUGUAAUGUAUUCCUGAGGUGAUGGAUCUUCUUUGUAAUUUGUAUUGUUCAACUGGGUAAGAUGAGGUUUCAACUCCUUCAACUUUUGCCAAACACAUUUAAAUUUUCUAUCUUGGAACCUACCAGUCCAACUUCUUUACACAAUAAAGAACCUGAAUGGAGCUUUAAUGCUGAGUGUAGUCAUUUUCAUCUCCAGGACCAUAGGUGUGUGAUCUGGAAUGUUUGGCAAUUUGUAGUCCAGCACCAAUUGGCCAUACUAUAGCAUCCAUUCAUCAUUCCCCAUUGUCCUGUCCAGUACUAAAUAUUCUAGCUGAUCCAAGUUGUUUGUUUGACCAUGAACAAAAUUCUCCUUUCCACAUCACCUCAUUUAAUAAUAGGUCUUGCACACAUUCAUCUCUUGUUACACUGGGGCACCAUACAAUCUAUCUUGACUUUGUAGAAGAGCGUUGAAGUCUCCCCAUACAAGCCUAGGUUUAUUUUAUUGAGUCGCUACUUUUAAAGUUUAUUCGACAGGUAUGGAUGUGUUGGACUUGAGGUGAACACUAAGAUAUUUUCAAUUCUUUGGUGUAGUAAACUUGCUUGUAUGUUUUACAAUCUAUAAAUCAGCUGAGUAGCUUAUAAGUUACAGUUGUGUUUGCAUGCAGUAUGAUGACUCAAAGUCGCAAGAUAUGAUUGAGCGAAAAAUAAAGAAUGCGCCUGCUGGUCAAGGAACAGUUAGGAUGCUUACCCGCGAGGAAUGGGAAUCAGUUCAGGAAGUGCGACCAAGAACUCCGUUUGAAUCUAAACUAGCUCGUCCAAAUGCAAAGCUUAGGACAGGGGAGCCUUUGAAGAUGGUAAAUGCAUACUUCUUUAACCUUUCAUUUAUCUGGUGAUAGGUAUUUUUCCUGCUAACAUUCUAGAGAACAAACAAAGUGGGUUAGAAAGCUUCCUAUAGUUGUAAGACAUUCAGGCUACUAGUGGGAAUGCUUUUUAGCAGAAUAUCAAUAAUGACAAAUGAUGUUGUAGGGUCUAGAGGUUUAUUGGUAUGCUCACAUUGUUUGCCUUUUGGCCUAGAACUAGGCAUGCCAACCUUAGUGCAAAAUUAAGGUGGUGUUAGAUAGCUAGUCAAGUUUCUAUACUAGUGAUAUUCUACUUUUCGAAUGGGUUAGAUGCAAGAUCUUUUGUUUUUCACCUAAAGUAAAAGUGUGUAUUGUAUUAAUUAUCGAAAAGUAGUUAAUACAUAUUUUCUCUCCUCUUAGUUCCUCACAUGCUAUCAGAAUCUUGUAUGAUCUUAGUAGAAUCUAAAACCCUCAUUCCGAUGGGCAUUACUCUUAUUUACCGUGCCCGUUUCGUAAUAUCAUGGCUAAUGUCAGUGAUUGUUGUGAUGGCAUCGGGACUAAUCUUGGUGAUCGUUAUGUAGCAUCGAGCGUGUUUCUGGAUACCUUUUCAGUGACACCUCACAUUUUUUCCGUGGCUUUUUUGGUGGAGCUGCACAUCUUUCCAGCAACACCACACGCCUUUUUGGUGACCAUUCCUGCAGUUACCUGCUUUUUUUUCUUCAGGAGUUAUUCUGGCAGCACGAGUGUUUGUCCACUAUUCCUGCAACUACAAUGACGAUCUCCUGGCAGUCAAAACUAAUCUUUUCCCAUGACUUUUUGGGCGAUGUAAAACAAAUUUAAUCCAUUUCUCUUCUUUCCAUUAGCUGCAAACCUAUCAUCUAAGUUAUUAUUUCAAGAAAAUGAAAUCUUAUGAGAUCUAGCACUUUUUGGUAUAAGCUGGUCCAUGCCCCUUUAAUAUCAGAGAUGCCUACACUAGUUGGAGCUCUAUGGAAGUUAGAAAAUCUAUCAGGAAAAUCUGGAUCAUGAUUCAUGACCUAGCUUAUAUUUUUUGGGUUAUUUGGAAUGAAAGAAACAGGAGAUAUUUGGUGGAGUUUUAAUUCCAAUUUGUAAACUUAAGGCUAGUCCUUUGGUUAGCUUUUUUAGUUGGGCCAAUAUUUCCCCUGUAAAUAACUUAGAUUAUUACCUGGAUUUUGUCAGCUCCUUAGCCUCUGUAAGGGGUCGUUUGGUGGGAAGGAUAAUAUCAAAUAGUCCUGGGAUUAAGUUAUAGUAUCACUUAAUUUGUUGUUUGGUUGACAAGUCCGAAAUAACUUAUUCCGGGAUUAAAAUUAGUACCCGGAUAAGUUAUCCCUCCCUUUGGGUGGUAUAGUAAUCUCGGGAUAAAAUAAGUAAAUGACAAAAAUGUCUCUUUCAACCCUUUUGUUACAUCAUUUUUUACAUUUAUGAAGGAUAUUUUUGUAAACAAAUAAAUUAUUCUUAAAAUUUAUUUAUUUUGAAUGCAAUAAACCAACACUCAAUAAAAAAUAAUCCCAUCAUAACUUGAAUUCAAACAAAACGACCCUUAAGUUCUUUGUCUUACUGAGCUGACAGAUCCCCCACUUUUUGUAUCCUUACUUCUACUAGAUGCCUUAAUGAAAUCUCACUUCAUAAAAAAUAAAAAAAUAAAAUGAAAUCUUGUGAUUCAUUGGAGUGUAAUCCACUCAUUGGAGUCAAGAGAAGGUAGAGUUUGCGCAGACCUUACCCCUACCUAAGAGGUAGUGUGGUUGCUUCCAAUAGACCCUUGGCUCAAGGAACAAUCGUCCAAAGCAGUCCAAAAAAAGUAAUGGAAGUACAAAUAGUAACAGAAUCAAAGGACAAGAAACUAUAGGAGCAAUACUAUGACUACUAACUAGUAUGGACGGAUAUUUAGACGACACACUCUAUUAUAAGAUUCUUGUUUCACUUUAUGUUUUAAUCCCAUAGUCGCCCCUAUAUUCCUGUUAGUUGUAUACCUUCCAUUUAUCAUUUGCACUACCUUUCAGGAUCCUAUCAGUACUUCUCCUCCAUCUCCUUCUGCAAACAGCUUACUCUUGACUAGUCAUAGUCGUUACCGACGCAACAUUUUCAAUGGUUCAUGCCUGCACCAAAUCCUUCUUUUAUCGUGGUAUCUGCUCCCUCCCGAUAUUUCCUAGUGGCUUCUCAAUUUUACUCCAACCCAUCUAGACCUUAUCCGUGUUUGUCGUAACCCCAUUAUUCCUCUGUUGCCCUAUUAUCUCCUUCUACCAGUGAAUUUAGAGGUGAAGCCCUUUGUCACUGUUAUUGUGAAUAUGGACUUACACUGAUAUUUAUGACAAGGUCAAAAUCUGAAACCACGUUAGUGCUUUUGUAAGGUCUCUUGCUAAUUGUAAUAGAGCUAUCAUAAGGUCUUUGCAUAGAUAAAUCCAAGGGACCCAGAUAAAAUUUUAACUAAAUCCUCAAGUCCUCGUGUAGUUUAUAGUUGGUAAGAGGAGAGGUAGAGUUAGGCCGAAGAUGUAUUGGGUACAAGUGAUUAGACAGAACAUGACACGACUUCAGGUUACCAAAGACAUGACCUUAGAUAGGAGGGUGUAGAGGCAGUGGUGUACAGAAGAAUUUUUCUAAGUGUCACCAUUUAAUGGACAAGAAUGGCUCAAGAGGGAAAUCAAUGAAGCUUUUGCUUUAGACCUCCAAAAAUUUAAGGCCCCAUAAAUAUUGAACUUUAUGAAAUAACAUUUUAGUGAAAAUUAGUGAUAAUUGAAAUUAACGGAAACGAUAAUUGAUAAAAAUUAUCAUAUUUCCAUAAAGAAGGAUUGAUUAUCAACAAAUUUGUGUCAAAAAUGGUUAAACAUGUGUAAAAAAUGUACUUUGUGCUAUUCAACGAAUAAGAAGCCUAAAAAUAAUUACUUUGACAAAUAUUAUUUCAAAAUUGCGUAAUUUUCAACAAUCAUCCACACUUAGUAUCAUGCAUUUAACAUGAAAUCGAGCACAGUCAAGUUUGAACUUAUUCAAAAUUGAACUUCUUGGUAUUUGACAUCCCAUUUCCUUUGAAAGAGGAAAAAACAAAAAUUGAACUUCUUGGUAUUUGACAUCCCAUUUCCUUUGAAAGAGGAAAAAACAAAAAUUGUAGUUCUUGGUAUUUGCAUCCCAUUAUUUGGGUGCCAAGGGCAUGUCAUAGUGUCAACGAAGUGGUUGAGAACCAUGAGGUCUCAAGUUUAAAAUCCUAGUAGAGGCAAAAAUAACACUAGGUGGUUUCUUCACAUUUGUCCAACCCUUGGUGGAUAGAGUUACCUGUUACUUGUGUUGGUGGGAGGAAGUAAGUACCUCGUGCAAUUAUUGAGGUGUGACCAAAUUGAUCCGGACACUACGGUUAUCAAAAAAAGAAAUUGCCUUUUUUGUGGAUUUUGUGUUCUUGUUCUCAUGGACUGACAUGAGGAAACUUUGUCCUGAGUUUUCUUUCUAAAUUGAACUUGCCUCAUUCGAUGCCCUAAAGUUUCUUCCUUUUCCUUCUUUCCAGUUAAGAACGUCAAUAUUAUGAAAUACUAAAUAUUGCAAGAAUAGGUACCUUGUAAUAUGGGAAAGAUUUGGAGUCCCUGUAAUUGUGUAAUUAGGAACAAGAAAUAGUUUCUUUCCUUUUUCUGUAUUACUUGUAAAUGCUUAUUUAAAUCUCAACAUGCUUGAGAAAUCAAGAAAUUCAUUCUUCUUUCUUUUAAUGAUGUCGGAGCCGAGGGUUUGGGUCCCCGGACUGUUAAACAGUUAUUCCCUAUUUUAAUCCCAAAAAGAAUGUGAGGAAGAAAGGAAGUUGCAAAUCUGGUUCACUGACAGUAGUGUACUGACAAGUUUCAAGUCUCACGUCCCUCUUAGAAAGGCUUCCCAGUCUCCAGCAACCCCAACCCCAAAACCCUGGCACCGGAAGCCAUGAUUUGUGUCUUACGUGGCAUCCAUCAUCUUCGGCAGAGUUUCAUCACAGGCUCAUGGGUCUUUUUCCCACAACAUUCCUACCGCGAUCUCUCUAUCAAGGUCAAUCAAGUCCCCUGCUUCAUCUUCUAUUUCACUUCCUAUCGGGUUCGAUUUUCUUUCCGGAACCAGUUUGUUGUUGUUGACCUGACCUUGAGUGUUUUCUCCCAUAUGAUGAAUUGCUUCUUUCCUUUCUACUUUUUAUCCUCGAUGUUUAGAUCUUCCUUUUAGUUUUUCAUAUUCACAAUUUCCUAAUAUUGACACGUUUAAUGUCUCCAACCCUCGCAUAAUAUGUGAUUGGAAUGGUUCAAGAUCAGCUCUUCUCAAAUUUAGGCCAAAAGCGUAAAAAUGAUGAAUAUCUAUGUUGGAAGUAGUCGAUCGUCUAAAGGCAACCAGCUAUAUGACGGCCAAUGGGGAACUGUUAGCUAAUAUUUUUAACGGGAAAGUUCCAAUGCCUGGUGAAAUAUUACAAAUUAGUUUGAAAGAAAUUGUCUAUCCAAAUAACGGAAGAAGCCUGUAGAAAAUGGGACUAUGGGAGUACGACGUAGUCUUCGAACUUUCUCUACUUGAGUUUUGGUUUCAGGAUUCUGUUGGGUUAGGAGCAGUGCAAUUCUUUUCGUAUGUUUUAUUUGGAAAGUUGUUCCUGAGAUCAUGCAAGAUCAUCGUGUCUUAAACGUCUUAGUUAUCUUAUAAAGUGGUACCAUUUAUGCUUUCUUGUUCUGAUACCUUAACUAUUUCCCUCAAUAAUCUUCCUGGUUCAGCUGCAUGACAACAAUGGAAUGACUAUGUUGUUUCAUUUGAUUGCUUAUAUGCAGGAAGAUGUCAAGGAUUGGACAAUAGAUGUUAUAACUGACGCACUAACACGAGCUGAAGAAUGUGCUAAACGAGGAUCGAACUAAGCUUUUAAGUCGAUAAUAGUGGUAACCUAGUUUAACAAUUGCUUCUUAUGUGUACCAGAAAGGCUCUUCAACCUCAGCUGCAAAUUACAACAUACCAUCUUCUACUAUCAAAAGUGGAGAAAUGCUGUUUUUCUCACUAUCCAGCAAUGUCAAAAUUUAUGCUUAGCAGUAUUUACUGUGAAUUAAAGUGUGUAUAUAUACUUUAAUUCACAAAGAUAAUAUUUUCAUUGAAAUUAGAGGCUGUAUGGACUGAAUUUUUCAAUAAAAGAAGAGAAUUUUUAUGGUAAACUUUCUUCUUGUUUAAUCGAUAUCUCGAUUUGUGCUUCAGCACGUGAGUCUUUAAUUUGUACGCAUUUUAGACUUCUAAAUUAAUAAGUAGUAACAAAGAAUAGGUAAUUAAAGAUUACUAUGUCACAAGCAAAGUAUAUGGAUUUAAUUUUUCUUUUGUUAGUUUGGAUUUGCAUGUUUGUGUUGAUGUUCAAUGAGAUCUCAUUUGUGACUGUAAAGUGAUUCGUUUAACUCAAAUCCUUCUAAUAGAGUGUAAAGGGUGUAUUGCUUUCUUGAUUUUGCUUCUGAUGGGGAUGUAGGGUACUGUUACUGGUUAAUUAGCAAUCUGUGUCUGUCUUACAGUGAGUCUUCAGUUUACAAAUGGAGUAAUGUUUACCAGAUGUAGAAAUUGAGGCUUCUGUGGCUUUGUCUGCAAGAGUUAGAUUUUUUGAUUCAGUACUCUUCAAUCAGUAGGACUGACUUGCUCUCUCUCCAGAUCUUUGCAGGAUGAUAAAGAACUCAUUUUUGAAUUGUUUUUAUAUCUUUUUGUGGUUAGGAAUGGGGAUUUGAUCAUCUCGUGUUCGUGGUUGUAUGAACAAGAUUGAUGUUAAAGGUUGCGCUUUUGGGUUUUGAAUUGGGUUCUAUUGUAUUUGACUAUGUUAUUUUACAGUCUUACAUAUGCAGAUUCCAGUAAAAUAUCGAAAAUCAACACAUGUGAGUGUUUCCAUUUGGGACUUCCUUUUGGACAUGAAAUUGUACCUCUUCUCCCCAAUCAACCUGUCUGUUAGCGGUUUUGGCUUGUUACUACAAAAAUGCUUGAAAGAGAAGUUGCUGCAACCGUGCCAGCAAAUUCAUGCAUUAAUGUUAACAUCACACACUGACAUGAAUGCUUUGUCAUUGAAUUCAAAGCUCAUCGGUGCCUAUGCAAGUUGCGGGGAUCUAAGUUCUGCUGAGCUUGUGUUCCAAAGAACAACAAACCUGAAUAUUUUUGCAUUUAAUUGGAUGAUUUCAGCUGAGAAAUCCAUUGGGUACUUCUCUCUUCUUCAUCAAUCAAGAACUAUUCCGAACACGUACACAUUUGCUGUAGUGUUAAAAGUAUGUGUUGGUCUAAUGGAUCUGAACAAAGGAAAGGAAGUGGAGAGUAUGAUAUAUAGAAUGGGAUUUGAGUCAGAGCUAUCGGUUGCCAAUGUCUUGAUUAAUAUGUAUGGCAAAUGUGGCAGUACGGAAUAUGCUCGUUUAGUUUUUAAUCUAAUGGUCGAGAGAGAUAUUGUAUCCUGGACAUCAAUGAUAUAUUCAUAUGCUAACGUAGGGAAAAUUGAAGAAUCCUUUAUUUUGUUUGAAAAAAAUGAGGUUAGAAGGCCUAAAGCCUAAUGAUUUUACAUGGAAUGUAAUGAUCGCUGGAUAUGCUAGGAGAGGAGACUGUGACACAGCUUUUAUGUUACUCUCAAAAAUGAGUGAAGAGGGGUUGACUCCAGAUUUGGUUACCUGGAAUGCAAUGGUCUCAGGGUAUGUUCAGAGCCGCAGAUCAACUGAAGCUGUAGCAUUAUUGCAGGAAAUGUUGGAUGCUGGAGUGAAGCCUAAUGAAAUCACGCUCACUGGGCUUCUGCCAGUCUGUGGGUUGAUUGACUCUGCAUAUACAGGGAAAGAAAUCCAUGGCUUAGCAUAUAGAUUAGAGCUUUUUGCUAACGUCUUUGUUGCUAGUGCUCUCAUUGACAUGUACAGUCGAUGUGUGAGUGUAGAAGAUGCUUGGAAUGUUUUCAGUUCUAUUCCUUUCAAGAAUGUUGCAUCAUGAAAUGCUAUGAUAAGUUGUUAUGGGAAGCAUGGCAGAAUAGAACAUGCAAUCAAACUUUUUGAGAAGAUGCAGUAUGAAGGAGUGCUGCCAAAUGAAGUAACCUUAACUUGUCUUCUUUCUGCAUGUAGUCAUGGUGGUUUAGUUGAGAAGGGUUUGAAGAUCUUUUGGUCCAUGGAGGAGUCUUAUGGCAUUAGAGCAAGGAAAGAGCAUUAUGCUUGUGUUAUUGAUCUUUUGUGUCGUGUCGGGAGGCUUACAAUAUAGUCAAAGAUAUGGCAAUAGAAGUUACAGAUUCAAUUGUUGGUGCUUUCUUCAGUGGCUGUAAGGUCUAUGCAAGGAGAGAUCUUGCUGAAAAGAUGGCUAAGGAUAUAUUACAGAUGGACCUGAAGAAGCCUGAAGGUCUUGUAGCCCUUUCAAACAUUUAUGCUGCUGAGGGAGAGUGGGAUAAUGUUGAGAAUGUGAGGAACAUGAUGAAGGACAAGGGAUUCAAUAAGAUGCCUGGUUCCAGUUGGUUGUAGAGGAGCAUGAUACACAGAAAUAGAUCUAGGAAUGUGACGCAACAUUUGCUUUUAAACUAUUAGAUAAUGGUAAGAACGUAUAAGAUAUACUUGCGUUGCUUUUUGCAAUAGUGUUGAAAAAUGAUUCAUCAAGGUUUCACUUCCUUUUCAAAAGAACCUAUGUUUCAGGAAUGAGGAAACAUGAUAUAAAUAUACUUCCGCCCUUAACCAUAUGAUCUGAGUUCAAUGCUUUGUGCCUUUACACUUCAUAAGUUGGAAAUGUUGUUCAUCUUGAUGGCAGCUUCAGCUACAUUAAGUGCAAAUCUGUGAAUUCUUCAUCCAUGCCCCUUUGUUUUUAAAAAACAAGUAGAUUCUUACUUGAAUUUCUUCCUUAUUUUGUGCUCCUUGGCUCAAAAAAGAAGUAUACUGUCACUUUGAAGUGGCCUUUUAGUUUGGUCACUUUUAAGUUAUGAUAUUACGCUAUGAAGUCCAAUUUUGGGGAUUGAGGUUUAGUUUGAUCGAUUGACUCUGUUGUCCAUAACUCAAUUAGUAUUUUACUGGUUGUUAGGUUUGGUUGUAUUCUUUGUUCAAUUUUUUCUCUCUCUUUCUUUUCUUGGAUGCAAUCUUGUCCCCGGAACUAGCUGUACAUUGUAUUGUAGAAGUAGCUUAUACUGUUGAAGUGUGAUCAUCUCAUCUAUAAGCUAAAAGUUACGUGGUUAGAGAAGGCAUACUUUUAAUUAUUUAAUUAUAUCAUAUCUCAAUACGCCCCCUUACAUGUGAUUCUUUUUAUUGGGCUAAAUACCUGAAAAUUCCUUACACUGUGCGACUAUCUCACUGUUAGACUGAGCACAUUUUUAAUUAUUUGAUCGUAUUAUAUCUCAAUAAAUUCACUGAGCAGUUGAUUUCAGUUUGCGUUACUAGUUUCCUUUUUUUGGAUCUACUCGAAUAGACUUUCUAAGAAAAGCUUCGUUUUUUUUUAAAAAUAAUGUCAAGACAAUUGAGGAUCCAAAAUAAGCUAACUUUUCAGGUAAUAUAUUUAAUAUUACAAAAUCAAAAACUAAUUUAGCAUAUUUUUUAUUUAAAAUCAUAAAAUUCAAGAAAAAACAAUUUUAGAGUCUGUUUGGAAAGUCAUCCGAUAAUUGAAAUUGAUGUAAUUAUUAUGAUAGUAAUUACCAAUCUAGUAAUUACACUAACCUGUUUGAUUGCCACAGUAUAAUUACCUUUGUCAUGUUUGAUUGGAUUAAUGUAAUUACACAACUAAGUUUUAAAAGAGUUUAACUACUAUCCACCGACGGUGGACAAAAAAUUACACGGGCAUAUUAUUUUUGGAAAUAUUUAAUUUUUUUAAUUAAUAUAUUUUAAUAUUAUUAAUAUUAAAAUAAAAAUAAUAACAGAGUGUUAUAUGGUAACUUGAAUUAUAAAUUAAUUGUACAAAUUUAAUUAGGAUUCUUAUUUGUCUUACCAAAAAUAAAAAAUACAUAAUUUCUUGUGUUUUCUUAUUGGAAAGCACUUCAAUCCUUCAAAGAAAAUCAUUGCCAACAUAUUAUUUUUUUUAUAAGAACCGGUACUUGUUGCCAUUGAAGCAAUGCUAGCAAAAUAUUAAUAUGAAACUAUUCCAGAAACAUAAAGUGCAACAAAAUCAACAUACAAACUUAUAAGAGUAAGCAAACAAAAUCAAACACUAUUAAAUACGGCCCAUGAUUUAAUCACAAUUGCAUGCUUGGUUACAAAUUUUAUUCUUUCGGUGAAAAUUUUUUGUUGCUAUACGUUGUUAUUGCUGCUGCUAUGUAUCAGAGAGUGGAGUAUCCUUGCUAACAUAUAUGAAGGCAUAAAAGAGUAACUAAUUCACUAUGAAUAAAAACACAAUCAACAAAAAAAACUAAAGCUAAAACUCUGAGUUAUUGUAUGUAAACUUAAAAGAAAAAAAAGUCUUGAACAAAAAAUAUCCCUAGAUUUAUAUUCUGCCAAAGAAAGAAAACAGAACAAAAUGAAUUUUGAAUAAUUGUCUCUCUAGACAUCCUUUAUAGUUUUAAAUUCCACAAACUCCAAGUCACCUUGUAGAUUAGAAACCUCUUUGAUAUGGAUACGAAGUUGCUCUCAUCAAAUCCUGAAACAGUAAUUGUUUACAAAUGCAUAUAUGCUAUAAAUAAAAUACAUACAAGCGCAGUAAAAUAAACCCACCAUAAAUGAGGUUGGAUAUGAAUCAGCACGACUACUUUGCCCUUCAAAAGGUUCUGAAUAUGCUGAGAAUUCCUUUAAAAAUGAUUAAAUAAAAGAAAAAUUUGUUAGCUAAAAAGAGAAUGAUACAUAAGAAUAAGUCUUAGUCAAAAUUCACAUAAUUUAUCAAAAUAAAACCUUACCAUUGUAGGAUCUGCAUUAAUGAUUGUUUCCCUGCUAUUGAAUUCCUUUUCAACAUUAAUGUGCGAACUGAAAAUUAAGCAAAUAAUUGAAAUAUGUGAUUUAUUCAAUGAAUUCACAUUAAAUUAAAGAUCAAACUAUAAAAUUACCUUACUCCUUUGCCUUUUUUUCUGAUUUUGGUUUCUCUUUUUGAUUUCAGCGAAGAGCUUCUUUUAACCUUCUGAGAACUUUCUAAACCACUUUUCAUUCUCAAAGAACGAGGACGUCCUUUAGUAGCCACGCAUGGAGGGUCAAGCAAACUAAAUUUUUCUCUUUGUUCACUUGAGUUCAAAUCAUUAUUUGACUCGUUAACUUGAUCAUCACAAACAUUAUCAUUAUCCUCAUAUGGAAGUUCAUCAAGUUCUUUACUUAGUUGCAACAAUUUCUGAUAUGUAAAUUUAUAAUGCUUUUCUGAACGAGUAGCUCGUUCAGAGAGCCCAAGAGAAUGUGUCAUAAUGUUAUUAAACCAUAUAGUAGAAGACUUCAAAUUAUACGCAAGUGAUCCUGCACUUGAAAUGUCAUUAGCUUUUUCUGUAGUUGCAUACCUUGUCCAUCGAUCCAAUAAAUAACAUGGUGGAAGCGAGUGAAUCUGUUUCUUUAUAAAUAUCAUAAGCACAUGUCUACACAAAAUUCCCAUGAACUCAAACUUAUGACAAGAACAAGUAGCAUUCUUUAAUUCAAGAUUCAACCUAACAAUAUAUGUCGGUGUUUCUCUCUGAAACAAAUGCACUUUAUAAAUAUGUAUCCCAUCCUGAACCUCAAUUUUUUCUGAAAUAAAUUUUUGAGAUUGAAUUAACUCUUCUUGAAAUUUUUGAAAUAUUUUUCUGGUAUAUAUUUUGGCUGCUUCAUCCUCCGUUGGAUAUAAUGUUUUCAAGAUAGCCUUUGAAUGCUUUGUCUUAUAAUCCUUCUCCCUUACUUUGUCAUACCUAGCGUCAACAACUUUAUCAUAUUGCGUCACAAAUACACUCAUUGGCGUACUAGAGUUAAGAUAAUCUUUAAAGUAUUUAUUCAUACUUUCACUUCUUUGAGUUGUUGACAUUCCAGCACAAAAAGUAGUUCGCACAUAUGCUGGAAUCCAUUUCUCGCGAAUGGUGUAUAUCUUACGCAACCAAAUAUGCUCUUCUAAAUUGUACAUUUUCAUUAUAUCGAUCCAAGCAAUUUCAAAUUCCUCAGGAGUUGUUGUACAAUGUAAACACUUACUAAACUUAUUUUUAAAAUCAUCAAAUGCAUGAAAAACAUGACUUAGAUAUUCAGGAAUCUUCUUCUCAAUGUGCCACAUACAAAAAUGGUGUGCACUAUUCGGGAACACCUUUGCAACUGCAUUUGUUAUUGCAGCAUCUUGAUCUGUGAUUAUUGUACGAGGGGAAAUACCAAACAUUGCCUCUUGCCAAGUAUGAAGUAACCACUGAAAAGUUUCUUCCGUUUCAUCCCAAAGAAGAGAACAUCCAAAUAAAAUGGAUUGGUGAUGGUUAUUAACUCCGGUAAAUGGAACAAAAGACAUCUUAUAUUUAUUUGUCAAGUAUGUAGGAUCAAAUAGGACAACAUCUCCAAAAUUCUUGUAAGCUAUCCUAGACCUAGCAUCUACCCAAAAACAAUUAGCUAAAUGACCCUCCACAUCCAUUUGUAUUGCAUAAAAGAAUCCUGGGCUAUCAGAUUGUCGCUUUUGAAAGUAUUUCAACAUCAAUUGUGCAUCUCCUUUCUCAAGACAAUUUUGCCUUUUAGUGCUCAAAUAAUUCUGAAUAUCUCGUCCAGUUAUAUUGAGAUUCUCUAUGCCUCCCGCCUGAGUAGUUAAUACUGAUGCGAUUUUACUUGGACGAAUACCAGAAUUAUUUAAGAGAUCAAUAAGAUUUUUUUGAGCCUCUGAUUUUUUUCUUUUUGAUCGCAAGAAUUUCUGACUAUUAGGAGAAGCAAGUUCAUGAUUAUGAUUCAAGACAAGCCUAGCUAUAACCCACUUUUCUUCUUCUUUCUUUGACAUAUAUAUCAUCACUUUGCACCCCUCUCUAGUCUCAUCUCGUUGCUUAUUACUCUCAAGACAUUUUUUUGAACGAAAUCCUUCUUUUGAACAAACAAACUCUUGACCAAUAAUGGAUUUAUCUUUUCUUGAUCUACUAAUUCGAUUUUUUGCCCACACUAAAACCAUUACGAUGAGCAUAAUCAAGAUAAAAUUUAAAUCCAGUAUCAAGUGAUUGAAAUUCCAUACCGAUGUAAGGCUCUCUUAAUUCUUGCUCACCUAGUUGAGGAACAAAAGAUACAACUGCAUUCAUGUUGCUUUCUAUAUCCUCCAAGGAAUCUUCAAUUCCUUCUGCAUUUUGCUCUUCUAAAUUAGAGAUUUCAAAAGUUUCCUGCAAUACACAAUUAUUAGAUAUUAGACUGAUAGGGUAAGUUAGCUUUAAAAUUUUAAAUAUUUUUCAUGGCUAAUGUAUUGAACUUCUUCAAUUUGCUAAAAAGUUCUUAAACGUAUUCUUUAAAUAUCUUCAUCACUACAAAACAUAAAUUUCCUCAUACAUUAAAACAAGAAUAUUUCUUUGAAACGUUUAUUCAUGUUGCGAAAAAGACUUAAUAAGUUAUGUAAAAAAAGAUAUACGAGGAAAACGCUACCAUGAUAAUUGUUUCAAAUUGCUUCAAUGGUGGAUAGUUGGUUGCUUCAAUGGUUUAUGUAGAAAAAGAAGAACGUUAAUACAACUAAGAAAACACAAGAAAUUAUGUAUUUUUUAUUUUUGGUAAGACAAAUAAGAAUCCUAAUUAAAUUUGUACAAUUAAUUUAUAAUUCAAGUUACCAUAUAACACUAUGUUAUUAUUUUUAUUUUAAUAUUAAUAAUAUUAAAAUAUAUUAAUUAAAAAAAUUAAAUAUUUCCAAAAAUAAAAUGUCCGUGUAAUUUUUUUGUCCACCAUCGGUGGAUAGCAGUUAAACUCGUUUUAAAAUAAAUCAGAUUUUGAAUAAAUAAUAUUACAGCUUCAUUAAUUAAUGUAUACAAAGUUUUCUUCUAGCCACAAUGACAAACAAAAUAAUGAAACUCAUCAUGCCAAAAUAUUAUUGAACUUAUCAUGCCAGCUUUGUAACUUCAUAUUUUAUGUGCAUCAUUUUCCAUAUAUAGCUGCAAGCGAUGUUUUUAGAGAAUAAGAUAAAUGAGCCACAAAAGUUUAAAGAAAGCACGUGAGAUAUCCAUAAAAAUCAAUUUUUUUUACAUAAAUCUCAAGGUACCUCAAGUGAGUUAGAAAUUGUAUCGCACUACGCCAAGAAUUUGAGGUUUGCAUCUAGAAAAUGUAACAAGUAACUUCUGAACAAGCUAAGUCUUAGUUUUACAAGUAAAUGUAAAACAUUUGUUACAACUUUGCAAGUAAGCCUGCCACCUUACAACACAGGGCUAAAAACAGAAGGAUGUCCAUGUAUAAUCUUCAAAUGAAGAAAUACAGAUUCAAGAAUGGCACAACUGAUUACGAAAUGAGAAUUAUGCACCUAAAUGAAAAGGGAAUUGGAUCGUCUAUGUAACUUGAAGCCGUCAUAUCUUACAUGAAGCUAUUCUGAAGUAUCCACUACUUCUUCUCAUUAGUCUUCUUCUUGAAUGACCCACUUCGUGCUGCUUUUGUUUUCGUCCACUCCUUCAUUAAAGCAGCACUCUUCAUGAAAGAACAAGUUUCGUUGUAGUUAGUAUCUCCUACAAGUGCUUGUUUUGAUGCAGAUACAUGUUCCUUUUCGGGGGUUGGAGCACUGGCUUCAUUCUUCUUUGUUUCUUUCUGCUGAUAGUUGUUCAACACUGGAAGCUCUUUACUGAAAUGAACAUUAUUCUGCUUCUCAACAGAAACAUCUUGCGAAACACUUUUAUCCAUGCUGUAGAUUUUUGUGCUUUUCCGGUCUCUCCUAUCACUGGCAACUCUGGUUUUGGAAGACAUAGACCAGGCAAAAUUUGCGAAAUGCUGAAAGAACUUCUGGUGGCAUCACGAACCAAUUCUGUCCAUGAAGAUUUUUGUCGCCAUGCAGCACCUCUGACAUAAAUAUCUACAGGGCUAUUGUCAGUGGCAAUUUUAUCCAGCUCCUCGUGCUGAUCUGAUACUUUCUCUUCAUAUUCAACUUUAUCCAGCUCUUCGUGCUGAUCUGAUGCUUUCUCGUCAUUUGAUAAUUCAUCUUCAGAUUCAACUUUAUCCAGCUCUUCAUGCUGAUCAAAUACUUUCUCAUCGUUUGAUACUUCAUCUUCAGAUUCAACUUUAUCCAGCUCUUCAUGCUGAUCUGAUACUUCCUCAUCGUUUGAUACUUCAUCUUCAGAUUCAACUUUAUCCAGCUCUUCAUGCUGAUCUGAUACUUCCUCAUCGUUUGAUACUUCAUCUUCAGAUUCAACUUUAUCCGGCUCUUCAAGGUGAUCUGAUACUUUCUCAUCGUUUGUUACUUCAUGUUUUUCGUCGGAGGAGAACUCACUAACACCAUCAGAACCAGACUGCAUCUCUUUAACGGGAAUAGCACUCGGCAAAAUAUCCAAUACACUGAAUGAAGCACCACUAUUAGCACUAACAAGAUCUUUCCAUGGAGACUUCUUUGGCAAUUUGGCACUUCUAUUUAAUAGUUGGCUAUCUCGUGUGACUUCCAAACUCUGCUUUGCUUCAGCUUUAGACAACAACGUAUGUGCCUCACCAUCUUUAACCUCUGAAGGUGCUUUACGCUUUCUGUUUGAGGGCAUCGUCUUUCCUUGCUUUUGUUUAUCCGUAGCAAGUCGUGAUUCCUUGGAUAGCAAAUUCUGUUCACACGACACCCAUAAAAAGGAAAAAGUAAACUAAGAUGCUUAUACCAUGAGCAGGGAAAAUAAAAAAUAGAACAUAACAGAAUAUGAACCUGAAUAGCUGCAACUGCUUCCAGGGUUGGAUCUUUGAACAUAGUGUUUCUAUCCUGCCACUACAUUGAUAAUAAGGUUGUCAUCAUCGUUAUCCAUUUCUUGGUCAACAAAAUCUUCAUUAGCCUGAAUAGCUGUCAUUGCUUCCUGGAUUGGAUCUUUUACCAUAAUCAUUCUAUCGUUUGCACCAGCCACCAUAUUGAGAAUGAGGUUAUCAUCAUCUACCAUUUCUUGGUUGACUAGAUUCUUGUCAUUCUGCAAAUGAUCAACUGUACCAUUUGAGCUUUGAACUUUCUUAGAUAAUUUAAAAUCCCUAGGGGUUUCCUCAGAAUAGUUCUCCCUCUCAAAAAUUCUGUUCAACACUGAAUUCAUAAUGUUCAGCUCUUUCUCAUCCAUUCCACCAUCCUUUGAGUCAUAAUUACAAAGUGAUUUUUGCUUGUCCGUAUGAGUAGUAUCAGAGUGCUCUUCACAAUCACAAAAAUGGAUAGAUAAGGAAGGAACUUCCACUCGCUGAAAACUGCAUUUAUGCUUGCCAGUUCCUCUAAGAGACACUGGUUUAAUCUGCACAAAGAGAUUCCAGAAGCAUGAUUCUUGACGUAAUAAAAAACAUAGGCCUUACUAAAAGAGAUUGAAUUCAAAUGUAAACCAUGCAGUCACCUUUCCCGCCAUACGUCAUCUAAGAAUAAUUGUAUCAAGAGAAGCACGUCAUAACCAAGCACACGGAAAAAAUGCUUUACCUUUCCUAAUUUUGGGAAGUAAAUCCGAAUUUGCGCUUCAUCCAAUUUGGAGCCUUUCUUCUGACUUUUCAGGGAGUCCGUCCUUUCAGCUUCAGUAACAGGAAGAUGGGUCGAAGUAGUGGCAAGUGUAGCAUCUUCUUCCCACUCACGUUUCAUACGAAGAAAAAAGUGUUCCUUUGCCUUCUCUAUUCUAAGCCUCCCACCUUUCCACAUGCAUCAAUUAUACUGCAGAUCAAAAUUGGAUUAGCACCACUAAGCAUCAAGGUGAUACCUUAGGAGUAGAUUUUAAAAGGAAAGACUCCAUUCACUUGCUGCAAAUUGAUUAAGUUAUCCUAAUAACAAAUGUUUUGGACGGCAAAAGGUGACAAGGGUCUGCCUCGUCAUAAGGCGAGGCGAGGUGCUCGCCUCGCCGCUCUCCUUUUGAAAGUGCGGCAUCAAUUAAUACCAAAAGUUAAAAUAUGUAAUUGCAUAUGUAAAUAAUCAAAAUCUCAAAAGCAAUAACAUAUUAGCAAAUAUUUCAAUUCAAAAACUGAAAAUAGAUAGUACUUACUAAAAGUCUAUAACUUGAAUGAGAGAAAAAAAACAUAACAAAAGUCAAAACAAAGGUAGAAGUGAUUUUAAAGUCUGAAGAAGGAAAAAGAAAAAGAGGAAGAAGAAAUAUAUAUUGGUUAGACUUUGGAGUCGCCGGAAAAGCCUGGCUAAUUGCCAGAGGAGUCUAGUCGAAAAUCCCACAAUUACCUUUUAACUUUUAAAAUCCUAAAUUGAUCGCUUCUUUUUUUAAGAAAAUACAAAAGGUGACGCCUUUCUUGCCUCUUGCCUCUCGCCUUUUGUCAUCAUGGCAUCGCCUUUUGAAGAUCGCCACAAAGCUAAAAGGUGAUGAAGGGUCGUCUUGCCUCUCGCCAUUGACAACAAGGUGAUCGCCUUACACAACACUGCUAAUAACGAAGAGACACUUUGAUAUUAUGUGAUACUAAUGGUUACAAGGCCGAACGAUCCACCACAGAUAAACAACAUACAGUAAUGUCUUGCAGCACCCAAGGGAAGGGUGCAAAUGUAAUGAACACCUAAUGAGAUACUGCACUCACUGACAAGAGUUGGGCUGUUUGCUUCACAAAAACUCUAAAAUACACUAGCAUUCCUACACUCCAAACCUCUCUAAUAUGCUUAAGGAAUUCUGUCACCUCAACUUCCAUACAUGACUAAAUAAGUUAGGAGUCUUUAUCCAGGUUCUUAACCUCCUUCUCCAACUAAGGUGCCGGCUACCAUUCUUUAUGUUAUUCAUCUUUUAUCCUAGACUAGAAAUGCUACGCUAUUUGCACCAAUUCUUAUAUCUAUGCAAUGAAAACAGACAAUUUAGCAUAGUACGCACGCACAACUAAAGUGAGAUACGGAAAGCUUUAAGUUUAUACCGUGCUGGAAAGUUUGGGUAGGGAUUUGUCGGAAGAAGGAAGUAAAUCCAAGUAAGCAAAGCUGCGGCCUUUGGUUCGAACGAUGUCCAUAGAUUCCACUUUUCCGAGUUGUGGUGUUGAGAAUGUCUUCUUCAAAUCCUCAGCCGUCACACUUUCGCCUAAACCACCAACAUAAAUCUUACACUUUUCUUCGUUAAUUCAUUGCCUCCUUCGCCCGUCACCAUCUCUGCCUGUGCCGCCAUGUGCAACGCAAUCAAGCUCCUUGGUCUGAAACCUAAUGCGCUUUGUUGAGGAAAACGAAGGUGUAAAUUACACUUCUGACACUACUACAGUAUAUUAAAGAAUGAACCUUUUUUUUUUAACAAUGGAGCUGUAUUUUGUUUACUCUAGGGUUAGGGGCAUUUUAGGGUUUUCAAUUAUUUUUAGUAUUAUUAUUCUUUUACAAUAAUGAUUUAUCAGGCUGUACUUUUUUUAAAAGUCAAAAAAAACUUGAGCUAAAUCUGAAUAUUUUUGGCAUUUACAUAUUUUUAUCUGUUGUUGCCUUUUGUAAUUUGUGAAUAAAAAGUUGAACGAUCUCUUUAAUGCCCUCACGUCUUCAAGAAGAGUCUUUUCUCCAUAAACUAUACUGCUCUUUCUUGCCCAGUUUACAGGUAAGUUCCCCCUCUGUUUUUUCCGUUUUUUUUUAAUUAGUUGGUUUUUUCCCUUAUGGAUUUGAAUAUGGCCAAAAGAGAAGUAAUGAUGAUGGUGAUAGGCUGCUUGUAAGCAUUUCAUUUGUUUGAUUUUACGAGAUGUACAACUUUAAUGUUGUGCUGACCUUUUUCUGCUUGAUUUUUGUUUGCAGUUGUAAUUGCUACUAUUAAGUUUUUCUUUUUGUUUUGGUGAGAUGGAUUAUUGUAUUUCUUGAAAGUUAAACACUUGAGAUUAAACCAUUAUCUUUUGGCUUUUCUUGAUUGUGAAGAUAUGAGUUCCUUAUGCUAAGCAAACCUUUUGAAUUACAAUUUCAGGUAACCACUUUUAACCAAAGACCUUGUACACAUUCUCGAGGGCAGUAUUCAUGUCAAAGAAUUCUUGGUAUAAUAUAGAUACAAAAUAGUUCUACAAUGUUGAAUUGAUACUCAAUAAAGUUAGAGUGUUUUUUAUUAUUUACUAUGCUGGCAGGAGUUAAUAAUACUUGAUGAAAUAGUCGAGGGGUGUGCAAGUUGGUCCAAACAGCACCAUCAAUACCUCAUAUAAAAAGAAGUUACAUUUAUAGAAGCACAACCCAGAAGGUGAACUUCUCAUAUUUUCAUGUAGGACAAAUCUCAAUUGAUUAUUUCCAUUUCUUUGUGUAGAUGUGGAUAAAUCAUACACUGUUGUAUUACUACCCAAUAGUUAGUGAAUUUACCAUUUCAUGUAUUUUAGUAUAGUAUGUGGAUCAUGUCAGUAAAGAUUCUCAAGCAAUCCACUGCCAAGUUCAUAUAAAUAGUCAAGACAUGCAUAGGUAUCAAUGUUUUGGUUAAUAGUUAUGGUUCUGCACAGUUGCAGAUGCAAAAUAAACAUUGAAGGAAGGGAUUUAGUGUCUUAAACUUCUAUCAUGAGUAGUUGAGCAAAUAUAUUUUUUCAGUGCCAUAAUCUCUCUCCAAUUUCUGCAGGAGCAUGAAUGUGUUAUAAAUUUUUUUUAGUUUUGUUUUGGUGGAGGGGGAACGGAGCUCGUGGGGGAGUGAAUUAACUAGAGAAGUAGCAAAUAUAGUAUUUGACAUUUUUCUUGGGUAUAAGAUAGUUGCUGUUCGUUGAGCUGUCUGGUUGGCUUGUUGAGCAUGUAGAGAAAAUUGGGACCCCAUAUAGCUAUUACCUGCUUCUACCAGGAAAACUCUCCAAGGCAUGGAGUUGCAAGGUGGAAAAAGCGUAUUAGUUCCCACGGAAGUGUUCUGAGAUUUAUGGCAUAGUUGUAUAAUUGUUUCUAAAUACUUGGUGCCACCCCCAGCUUUACUAUGCUUUGAAUUGGGUGUCCCGCUCAGUAUUUUAACCAUGAUAACUGUGUGUCUUGUUUCUGUUUGUCCACAUCCCUUUGGUUUUCAUGUAGUUGUUCUACUUCUUCUUGUCUGGAUUAACUCAAUGUUCUUAUAAUCCAGAUGCUAAGGUCUAGGAUGUGAUGAGGUGGAACAAAGAUGAAAGUCGUUGCUUACUAUUUCUGGUCAGGCGCUUUUCUAGAUCUGUGGGCCAUUCUGCACAAGCAUAUCGUUGUGAACCUGUGAUUCGAGUGUCAAACAAUAUUACACAUUUAGGCCGUCAAAAGGAUGGUGUAAAACCUAGCCAGCUAUUGUCUUUACCUCCAUUUCCUGGCUGUCCUUUGCCAGGAAAGAAAGUGGCCACCGGUCCUGACCAACCAUCUUGUCAUGUUACUGCCAUUAGCUGGAUCAAAUACUACUUUGAUGAGAUACCAGGCUCGGUCAUCCAAUCCCAUUUUAAUAAGGGCCUCGUAAGUAUUCUUAUAUGUAUUCCUUCCCCUAUAUGAGUUAUUGUGAUGUUUCUUCAAUUAAAUCUCCACCUAGUCAAUGCAUGGUAGUUCCGUUUUCUGUGUUUAUUAAAUUACAUUCCUCUCCUAGGGAUUCCUGCAACAACUAGUAAGGGUUCAAAUCCCAACAGAGAUAAACUACUAAGUGAUUUAAUCACUAGAUGGAAAGAAAUCACCUAGAAAUCACAGGUCUUGUUGGGACAGAGUUACCGGUACUUGUGCUGGUGGGAGGUAGCAGCCUAGCAGGUAUCUUAUAAAAUAGUCGAGGUGCAUGCAAACUGGCCUGGACACCACUGUUAUUACUGUUACCAAAAAAUGUUGCUACGUGUUUAAUGUUAGCAUAGUGCUUGUGACGAAGUGUUAUGUAGAGAGACUUAAACAACAUGCAAGUCACAAGGGUCAGUUUUUGGAUAACUAAUGACAAUUUCAUUUGAACACUGAUCAAUGACAUAUUAUUCAUCAUCCUAUAGUAUGUCAACUUGCAAUUUUCUUGUUCUUAGUCUUUAUAUGUGCUGAUGGCUAGUUCGGAAAUAGUAUCUAACUUAAUCUGGUCUGAUUUUACUAUAUCGUUUUAUCACCACAACAUCAAGAAGAGAUAUAUUAUUUCAUAAGGUAGAGUAAAUCUGUUACAUGUGCAUCUGUUUGGUCCUCUUCUCCUACGGCUAAAAUAUGAUCUUUAUCUUACCCUUUUGAAGGGUCUAAUGGCUAUACUGUCUUGAGUUUGCUGUAAUGAAUAUGAAUAUAGCAGCAGUAAUCUUAUUUCUCUUUAUUUACAGGUGCAGUUAGAGUUAAAUGAGUUAUUUACAAGCAAGGAAGGACAAACUAGAUUGUUGAGGAAGGUAUUGAUACUUGUAUGAGUCUAGCAGUAUAAACUUCAUUUUGAUGUUAAAAGUAUACAAACAUCAAGAGACAAGGGGCUUUUUCAAUUUGUUUUUGGACCCUGUGCUACAAGCCUCCAACUCCCAAUGGAUUCCCCUAUCUUAUAAUUUCAGAAUGAAUUUACAGAUUAAGCAUUCCGAGGUCAUGGAAGUUGGUGCAAGAAUUCAUGUGCCCAUAUCUGUUGCUGAAACAAGAAUAUCAAAACGAUAUGAUGUUAUACCUAGUGGCACUUUGUAUCCUAAUGCUGAUGAAAUAGCAUACUUGCAAAGGCUUGUAUUUUACAAGGUAUAUGUUCAUUUAUUUGAUUCUUCUCUGUAAAUUUUACAUUUGAUUUCUACUAUUUCUGGUGAUAAAAGAUUACACAGCUACUGUGGUUGCUUUUUCUGCUUCUUAAGUUCAUUUGGUGGAGCUAUGCACCAAAGGUUAUUCGUGUUUCCUGUAGUUUAUUGAUUGUUCAAAUUGUAGGAUCCCGCCAUACUUGUUCUAAACAAGCCCCCUAAGCUGCCUGUAAAGGUUUGUUUCUAGGUGUUCUUUAUUGCAUGAUCUUGACUAGCACAUUCUUCAGCCCUUUUUUCAUUUCUGAUUAUUAGACUGAUUACAGGGAAACCUUCACGUGCAUAAUAGCAUGGAUGCCUUGGCAGCCGCAGCAUUGUCUUAUGAAUAUGAUGAGGGUCCUAGGCUGGUAAGUAAGCAUAGCGAAUAUGCUAUUAAAUAAACGUUGAAGAUCUCUUCUAAUUUUUCUGAAGAUAUCCUGGUGCAUUUAGUCAAAAAUAGGAGUUAUAUUUGCUGGUGAAGAAGCAAUUGUGGUGGUUGGACAUUUAAGCUGUUGACGUUAAUUUGGAAUUAUGUUCAGCUUUGGUGAUUACUGCAUAUAUUGUCAAGGUACAUCGUCUUGAUAGAGAGAGCAGUGGCCUUCAUUUAAUGGGAAGAACGGAAGAAAGUAUCUCCCAUCUUCAUUUAUUGUUCAGCAACACAAAAAGGUCCAAGUCCCUAUCUAAGGUACUUAAUCUACAACCUAUGCACCAUCUUCAUUUUUCGUUUGGCUUUUCUUUCAUUCCCUCUUCAAGGGAGAGAGGGUUGGUAUGUUGUUGUGGGUGAGAAUACCUGUUUUGACUUCACUAGUUAAGUUUUUUUUGAUGCAUAAAGCUCUGACUGUCAUCAGGCAUGGAAUGAUGCAUGUGGGUCAACAUAUCAGAGGUAUUGGGCAUUGGUAAUAGGUUCCCCCAAGGUGAAGGAAGGCGUGAUCUCUGCACCACUUACAAAGGUUUUCCACUUCUGUUUCUUACAUUUGCAGGCUUUGGUCAAGUAGAAUGACUGUUCAUUGUGCUUGUUCGUUGAUUUCAGGUGCUUCUUGAUGAUGGUAGAACUGAGAGAGUCAUGUUGGCUCAACAGUCGGGAUUAGAAGCUUCUGAUGAGGCUGUUACCGAAUAUCGACUGCUUGGUCCAAUGAUCAAUGGAUGCUCAUGGAUUGAGUUGCGCCCUCAUACAAGUAGAAAACAUCAGGUUCCUUGGACCUUUUCCUUUUAUGAUCCCUGUAAAAAAACAGUUGAGCUUUUAAAUUGUGGAGAGAUGCAUAUCGGCAUUUAAGUUGCGAUCCCUAUGAAACCAGUGGUUCUUCUAAGUUGUGGUUAUGUAAGUUGUGGAAAGAUGCAUAAAGUUUUUUUCUGAAUGUAGUCCCUAAGUUAGGACCAUUAGUAGGUCCAAGUAGAAAAACUUGUUUGAUGAAACCCAAAAUGAGAGCAAGAGGAACUGAUGAAGAUGCUUCCAUAAAUCAGUAUUAAUGAAUUAUGAUGAGUAUAUGUCUAGCAUGUUGUUUUUUCCACUAUUAUAAGCAUCUCAACUAGUGAGGAUAGCCAAUACAAACGACAGCAUUAAGUGUGAGGAAGAUGCUGCUUUACUACUGGAGAUUUCGUGUGCGCCUAUCCAGUGUUGGAUGCCCAACUCAACUGUAACUGAGAAGACCAUAUUUUUCUUUCUGCUUGUUAAAAGUUGGCAAGGGAAGAGAAUAGGGAAAAAUUAUACUGUUUUCUGUUACUUUGCAGCUUCGAGUUCAUUGUGCUGAAGCCCUUGGAACUCCAAUUGUGGGCGACUACAAGUAUGGUUGGUUUGUCCAUCGCAAAUGGAAGCAGAUGCCGAGAGUAGAUGUUGAGCCGAUAACAGGUAAACCCUACAGAUUAAAGAGGCCGGAAGGUUUGGAUGUUCAGAAAGGAAGUGUCUUGUCUAAGGUCCCUUUGUUACAUCUGCAUUGUAGGGAGCUUGUGCUCCCAAAUAUUGCCAAAUUUAUUGAGCUUCACAGUCGAAAAACAAGAAAAAACACAGAUUAUAGCUCAAAACCAGAUCUCCUCCGGUUUGUAGCACCGAUGCCAUCUCCCAUGAAAAUUAGUUGGAAGCUUAUGUCCUCUUGCUUGAUAUGAACAUAACAAGUAAUAGCAAUAAAAAGCUACUACUUGUUAUGUUGUUGUUCUACUUGAUUAUUUCCUCAAGCUAAUAUUGGAGGUUUAAUGUGUACAUAUUCUAUAUUUUUUGGAAGAAGCUAUUUCAUAUAUAUUUCUAGUGAUGGAUCUAUCUUAUGAUACAAUUCAAUUCAUCUUCUUAGAUAUUUUGAUUAAAAUUAUAUUCAAACAAAAGAAUAUCACUUUAUAGAUUGAAUUAAAUUAAUAUAUUGUAUACAUCUGGAAAUCUCAAAUAGGAAAGAUAAAUGAAUAAAGAAUAGAAAAGACAUAAAAGCACCAUUGAAGUUAUUUCGAAUUUUUAAAAAGACUCCUUAACUUUGCGGACAUCCUAUUACCCCUUAAACAAUUUCAAAGUAUUGUAAAUAUCUCAUUUUGUGUAAUACAUUCUCUCUUUUGUUAGUUGUAGAAAGUUAUUGCUUUAAAAUAGAAAAAUAUAUGAAUGACCCGAUAUCAAAAAAAUAAAUGAAAUCUCACACACUUUUUGUUGAUAGGACAUUUAUCAUAAUAAAAAAAAAAAUUCUUACGAAUAAAGCGAGAAUUCAAAGUCAACCAACUAAACUAAUUAAAUUCUCCCGUUAAGAUUUAUUCAUUUCAAUAUUUGAAAUGUUUAUAAUAAAUACUUUUGAUUCAAAUUAGUUCAAGUAAGCCUUAAAACUUCAUUCAUGUAACAACUGAGAUGAUGUAUAUAAUUAAAAGUGAUGUACAUUUCAACUGAUUAAUUUAUCCACUCCAUACAUUUUAGAAUUUUAGAUUAUGCCCAAACUGUUCUUUUACAAAAUUUAGCUCAAAAGUUAUCAUGGCAUUUUAGACUAAGGUCUAAGGUGAACUGAAAAUGGCCAAAUCAUAAAAUGGGAAAAAGAAUCAAAAGGUUCAUAUCAACUUUAUCAUCACCAUUUUCAGAAGUUCACAACACAAUCAAACAGUUGGUUGUGAAGGGAAAAUAUGAUCAAGCCCUUGAGCUCUACACUGCAAAAGUUCACUGCUCUCAUACAAGUAGCACCUUCCUUCUUCCUUCAAUCAUCAAAGCUUGUGUUCAUGAUCAAUUAUUUGGUUUUCAGCUUCAUAGCUAUGUCCUCAAAAAUGGGUAUUCAUCAGAAUCUGCAAUAUCUAAUUCUCUUAUAUCAAUGUAUGCGAAAUUCUUCGAAACAAAAACUGCGUACCAACUGUUUGAUACAAUGCCGGAUAGAGAUAUCAUCUCCUGGAAUUCAAUGAUAAAUUGCUAUUAUAUGAAUGGAUAUUUGUUAGAAUCAUUGGAGUUGUUUAAGGAGAUGUAUAAUGUACAUGGUUUUGUGCCAAAACCUGAGUUAAUUGCUAGUGUUGUACCUGCUUGUGUUCAGACCAAGAAUUUUAAACUAGGAAGAGCUAUCCAUGCUCUUACAAUAGUUGAUGAAAGAAUGGAAACUUCGAUUCUCUUGACAACUGCUUUGGUAGAUUUUUAUUGGAAAUGCUGUGAGCCAGAUUUGGCUUUUCUUGUUUUUCAGAGAAUGGAAGUGAAAAAUGAAGUCUCCUGGACUGCCAUGAUAUCUGGAUGUGUAGCUGAAAAGUUGCAUAUAGAAGCGGUUGAAUUAUUUCGUUCAAUGCAGUUUGAAAAUGUUAAACCAAAUAGAGUUACAUUGACUAGUCUAUUACCAGCUUGUGCUGAGUUGAAGUAUGGAAAAGAGAUUCAUGGAUAUGCAUUUCGUCAUGGGUUUGACUCGGAUGCUAAAUUUUCAUCUGCUGUUGUACACAUGUAUUCUGGAUGUGGGGGAGCACUGCAGACUAUAAAGAAUGUAUUCGAUCGGUCAACUAAAAAAGAUGUGGUAAUGUGGACUGCUCUCAUAACGAGCUAUACUCGAAAUAAAUCUAGUUGUCGAGAAGCUAUAAAGCUUUUCAAUGAGAUGUUGCUGAGUGGAAUUCAACCAAAUGAUGUUACUUUAUUAGCACUAAUUUGUGCUUGUACUAAUCUACUAUCGGUAUGCCAUGGGCGAGGAAUGCAUGGAUAUGCUUUUACAAGUGGUCUUAGUUCACAUUUGUUCAUUGGUAACUCCCUCAUAAACAUGUAUUCAAAAUGUGGUUUUUUGAAGGACUCCGCUCAAGCUUUCCAGGAGAUGUCUAUAAGAGAUUCUGCGUCAUGGAGUGCCUUAAUCAAUGCUUAUGGGACUCAUGGUUUUGGAGAUAAAGCGUUGGAACUUUUUAAUGAAAUGAAAGAGAGUGGGAUAAAGACUGAUUCAAUUGCAUUACUUGCUAUUCUAUCAGCAUGUAAUCACUGCGGUCUUUUUGAGGAAGGAAAGGAGAUCUUUGAUGAAGCAUCAAAGGAUAGAAGUUGCUCAAUUACUGUGGAGCUCUAUGCUUGCUACAUUGAUCUCCUGGGAAGGGCAGGUAAGCUAGAAGAUGCCAGUGAGGUCAUUAGCAGAAUGCCUAUUAAACCUACCAACAGAAUUUGGAGCUCCCUGAUUUCUUCUUGUAAAUUACAUGGAAGACUUGAAGUUGCAGAGCGUUUGGCUCAUAAACUCGCCAAAUCUGAACCUGAAAAUGCUGCUAAUUAUGCUUUGUUAAGCUUGGUAUAUGCUGAAUCUGGAAACUGGCCUGGGGUGGAAGAUGUAAGGCGAGACAUGAAAGAAAGAAAACUGAGGAAAAGCUACGGGUUCAGCAGAAUCGAGCUAGAUGACAAAAUUUUGUAAUCCUUCUGUGCAGAUAACUCUAAGAAAGACAAUUAUUCUUCCUUUGUGCCAUGGCAUUCAGUGGAAGGGAAGAAUAUUGAGAAAUGGCUAAAACUAGUGAUAGGUAAAUAGAACUAGAUGCUCCUUCAUAAGCAGGUUGAAGCUUAUAAUCUAUGAGUUUAAUUUUCAUCGCGGAGCAUGUUUAUUUAAAAUGAUAAUAUAAACUUAUGAUUAUGUACUUUAAUAGUUUAUAGAACUUAUGAGUAUAAUUUAAGAUUUAGUUGGAAUAUCAGGCUACACGCAUUAUGUCAUCUGUAGUUCUUUUUUCUUCUUGGCUUCAAACAACAAUCUUGCUUUGUAGUUUAAUGCCCUUAAGUCCAGCUAGUAGAAAGAAAGGAAGAAGAGAACUUUCUUUAGUUCUUUAAUCUGUUAUAUCUAUCAGGGCAACUGGGAACAUGGGAUUUUUUCCUUUUUCCAAGUCAUUUGGAGCACUCAUGUCAUGUCUUGUAAAAAUCCUUUACAACAUUAGUGUAUUUUAAGAGGUAAUAGCAAGUUAAUUAUUUUUACAAAUGUACUGGGAUUGUUGUGCUACAACUCAAACUUAAAUCAAGUCAUUUCUCUCUAAAAGAUGUGUUCUUGUAUAUUAUCCUAUCCUUUUAUGGAUAUGGACCAACUGCAAAUCAAGAAACGUUACUACUAGGGUGUCAAAACUGAGUCCAACUAUAGGUAACCCGUUCAUAAUUUUAAAGAUUUUGGCUCAUAAUUUGAAGUUGAUUGAAUCUCAACUCUUUCAAACUUUAACCCAUUUUAAGAGAAUUUUCAAUUGAAUUCAAUUUAACCUUCAACCCAUUUUAAGACUCUUUGUAUGCAUUGAUGUAAUGUAUAUUGCUAUAUUGAAGAUAUACGUUACUAUCUCUUUAUAUUUUUUAGGAUUUAUCUAUCCAUAUGUAACUUCUGUUUAAAAAAUUUCUUAAAGUUUGAACUUCAAAAUGUGGUUAUAGAACUUAAAUAACGAUAUAAUGAUUGAGAUUAAGCGAGUGAUCCAAUCCCGUUUUUAAGCUCAUUUGAGCUCAAAUCUAUUUUUUUGAGUCCAAAAUAAACUUGAGUAGGUCAAGAUUCAACCCAAUUUCUAUUUCAACACAAUUGACUCAUUUGACACCUCUAGUUACUUUUUUCGAAAUGCACAAUCAUUUUUUCGAAAUGCACAAUCAUCAAGGUUUCACGUGUAUAAAGAUUUACAAAUUUUCAAAAUAUCCUUUCGGUCUCAAUUUACAUGAUUGAUAUUUUGAGAUUCAAAUUAUAAUUUGUUCUUUUCGUUUGUAAUAGAAGAUUAUAUGAGAUAUAAAAGACAAUGACAUAUUUUGAGGUACACUAUUCAUUUAAAAUUAAUUAAAAGUUAUAACAUUUAUUUUGAUGCCAGUUACUACUUUAAUAUUAUUGUUCUUGGGUAUGUGAUUUUAUGAAUUCGACUCCUCUCCAUUUUUUCAAGUUUCUAAUUGGAUUUGUAGCACAUCACGUAAGUUAAACUAAAUGGCUAAAAUUUAAUUGUCCAAAGUAAAUUUCUAAUCAUAAUUUAGUUAAUAAAUAUAUUAUAUAUUUAAUUUCAGAUAUUAUUAUAAUUCUACUAUCUUAACAACAUAUUAUAUUAAAAGUAUUCUUUCAAAAAAAAAUUUAAUGCAUGAUCUUUCUUUUAUUUCCCUUUUAAAUUAGGUGAAAUAAAAUAGGAAAAUAUGUGCUAUUUUUUUGCUCACUAGUUAAUUUAGUCUUUUAAAAUACUGAAACUUUUGUAUAAUUUAUAUCAAAGUGAUAUUGUAGUUACAAUAUUCUUUUUCUUUCUUUAUGUUAAAGAAUGAUAAAAGUCCCACAUCGGUGAUUAAUGAGAUGGGUGGACUCCUUAUAAGGCUUGGGCAAUCCUCCUCCCUUUGAGGUAGCUUUCUUCUUUUGCACUCCAUUCUCACCUUCCUUUGUGUGUAUCAACUGUCAUAGCUUUUUUCCACUUCCAACAAUGGCAUCAGCCAUGGUUCUCGAUCCAAAACCCUCACCGAAGCUACCGGCAACUCGACCUGACUUAUCGUCACACGACGUUCCUUUCGAAAAUGGCGAAUAUGAUCUCUACGCUCGCCUGAAAUCUCUACAGCGACAGCUAGAGUUCAUCGAGAUCCAAGAGGAAUACGUGAAAGACGAACUGAAGAACCUUCGCCGUGAACAUUACGGGCACAGGAUGAGGUAAAACGGAUCCAAUCGGUGCCGUUAGUAAUUGGCCAUUCAUGGAGAUGAUUGACCAGAAUAACGCCAUAGUUGGUUCAACUACGGGAUCUAAUUACUACGCCAGGGUACUCAGCACGAUUAAUCGGGAGCUACUUAAGCCUUCGGCUUCUGUGGCUUUGCAUCUUCACUCGAAUGAGCUAGCUUUUGAGGUGUGAGUUAGGCCAAGACCUAAUUUCUACAUGGUACAAGAGCAGGGCCCGUCUCACCCAAUGUUGGGACCCCCAAAAUUAAAAUUGUCCACGCACCAGAUGCUAAGCACUGGGCGUAAGGUGGGGUGUUAAAGAAUGACAAAAAUCUCACAUCGGUGAUUAAUGAGAUGGGUGGACUCCUUAGAAGACUUGGACAAUCCUCCCUUUGAGCUAGCUUUUGGGGUGUGAGUUAGGUCUAAAACCUAAUUUCACACUUAAGAAACAUCAAUUUCAAUAAAGAUUUAUCACAAAAAAUUAUUUACUUGCUGUUUAAAAAAAAGAUAAAGUUCGCUCGUUAUUUUAAAUAGUUUUGAUAUUUUUCAUAAUUUAUAGAUAAUAUGUAUAUGUUACAUAAUUAUGUAUAUAAUUAGUAUAUUUUAUGAUUAUUCAAAAAUCAUCUCAAAAAGAAUUUAGUUUUAGUAAAGUAUUUAGACAAUUAGUGUGGUUUAAAUAAUAAUUUAUAUUUUUAGGUUAAUUAGUUUAUAAUUGAUAUAAUUAUUUUAUUUCAUCAGAAUUAUGAAACUCAUUAAUUAAUUAUAUCUUUAUUCAUCCUAUAUUUACUAAUUAAGCUCAAUUUGGCUAUAAUUGUAAUCAAAUGGGACAAUAUCUCAAUCUCAAUUCAAUCAUUUUCUUCAAUUCCUCUAAAGGCUAAUUUUAAGCCUUUUACAACUUUUUCCAGUAGCCUAUUUUCCAAUUUUCAAUUCAAUUUUGGGUAACUUUCACAUAUUGUAGACAUAAAAUUCAUAUUUGUAUGUUAUAGCAAAGUUUGCAUAAUUGUACUCCAUGGCAAACGUAUAUAUGUAUAAUUUGCUAUAUAUAUACAAUUGAAGCGAAUUGUAUAAAACGAAGUGUAUAAAAUGAGAAAGAGAAGGAUAUUUGAGCAGAAAAUUGUAUAAACGAAGUGUAUAAAAUGAAUUGUAUAAUAAUAAAUGUAUAGAACAAUUAUAUACAAUAUGAAUUUGUAUAAAAUGAGAAAGUGAGAAAGACAAAAGAGACUUGGGAAAGGAAUAUACAAUUGAAUCGAAUUGUAUAAAACGCAAAAAAAAGAGAAAUUAUAUACAAUUUGUAUAAAAUGAGAAAGUGAGAAAGGCAAAAGAGACUUGGAAAAGGAAUAUACAAUUGAAACGAAUUGUAUAAAACGAGAAAGAGUUAUAUACAAUUUGUAUAAAAUGAGAAAGUGAGAAAGGCAAAAGAGACUUGGGAAAGGAAUAUACAAUUGAAUCGAAUUGUAUAAAACGAGAAAGAGAGAAAUUAUAUACAAUUUGAUUUUGUAUAAAACGAGAAAGAGAGAAAGGCAAAAGAGACUUGGGAAAGGAAUAUACAAUUGAAUCGAAUUGUAUAAAACGAGAAAGAGAGAAAUUAUAUACAAUUUGAAUUUGUAUAAAACGAGAAAGAGAGAAAGGCAAAAAAAACUGGGCACGGAAGUAUUUUUAUUGUAUAAUUAUAAAGUGUAUAGGAUGAAAAUAUAUGUAUUAGCAUGUGUAUAUAUAAUUUUCUCUCGCUUUAUACAAAUCGAAACACAAUUUAUACAUUUCGUUUAUGUUUGUAUAAGCGAAAGAGGCGAGGGUGGCGAGCGAGAUCUGGGAGAGGGGAGAGAGGGGAACAAAAAUAUAUGUAUUUAUACAAUUUCCUCUCGCUUUAUACAAAUAGAAACAGAUUUAAUACACUUGUUUUUGUAUAAAAGUGAGAGAAAGCGAGCGAGAGAUGGAGCGAGAAAGGAGAGUGGCGAACUAGAGUUUGAGGGAGAGAGGUGACUGACAAACAAUUUGCACAAUUAAAUUAAAGGGUGGUUAUAGCAAUUAAUUUGAUUUAUUAGUUUACCAUUAUAUACAAUUUUUCCUUCAAUUUUCCAGCAGCCUAACCCAAGUCCAUCUCCACAAAAACCAUCCCACUAAAUGUAAUACAACAUUCAGAAACAAUUUGACGUAAAUUGAUUUUCAACAUCUCUUUAUGCAGCCCCUACUGUUCUAGCACGGUGCUUUUGGCCAUGGCAGACUGGGUUUUUUCUGUUACAGCUGCUUCUCAUCCUUGCUCGCCUUGAGAUCGAGACACUUUUAGUAGCAAGGACGUUGGGAUUGAUCCUAGCCAUCCAUUCCCCUUUCCCUUUCCGGAAUAGGGUUAAGGCUUCAGAAAAAGAGGUUCCUUCAAAAAUGGAAUUUUUCAGAGUUUUGAAUUUCGAAUUGGGCUUGGUCUCAUUCGAAUUUUGAUGGUUUUCUUGUUAAAUUUGACAAGAUUCAAAAAUGGAUUAAUGAGAAGAUAUGGUAGUUAGGAGGAUAAUUCUUCAUUGGUAGAAAAGUCAAGAUAGCAACUUUUGUAGGUGAAAUUUAGGUGAACCAUAAAUUGAUUUCACAAGGUAAAUGUUGACAUUUUGACAUAUUGUGAUGUCAUGGAUGACAUCAAUAGGAAGAAUUCACUACUAUAAAUAGGUAGCUCCUAAUUCAUUUGUAACAUACCUCUCACUUGUCUUAUCAUCUCCUAAGGCAUUUGUUCUUCCUUCUCUCUUGUAGUAUUUCACUUGUACUCUUUUGGAGUGAAAUAAAUAUUGGUUGUUUGUGUCUGAGGAGUAGGCAAAAGAAAACAAAAGUUUGCCGAACCUCGUUAAUUCCUGGUGUUCUUUUUUUUGUUGUCUCAUUUACUAUUUAUUAUCUACCUUUAGAUAUAGUAGUUGUGAUUCCAUCACUCUCUAUAUAUUUAGCUUUCGCAACAAUUGGUAUCAGAGCCAAGGUAUUAUCUAAGUAUGCUCUGUGGUUGCAGCAUAGUCUGAACUUCCACAUCAGAAAAAGAUUUACUUUGGUCUUUGCAUUGUUAGCUAGUAAAUAGUAUUUGUAGUAAAAUGGGAGACAAGAAAAAUGAUGAGUCCACAUCAAGUGUCAAUAAUACGUCAUCAUUAGCAUCUUCGCUUAUGACAAGAAUUGUGUCAAAUGCGAAAUUUGCAGUUGAAAUUUUUGACGGGUUAGGACAUUUCGGAAUGUGGCAAGGCGAAGUCCUUGAUGUUCUUUUUCAACAAGGGCUAGAUAUUGCCAUUGAAGAAAAGAAACCAGACGGUGUAGGAGAAGAAGAUUGAAAGAUUAUCAACCGUGUUGCUUGCGGUACCAUUCGAUCUUACCUUGCAAGAGAACAAAAGUAUCCAUACACGAAAGAAACAUCUGUAAAUAAAUUAUGAAAUUCAUUGGAGGAGAAAUUCUUGAUGAAAAACAGUCAAAAUAAACUUUACAUGAAAAGAAGACUGUUACGCUUCACUUAUGUUCUCAGUAGCACAAUGAAUGAUCAUAUCACCAGCUUUAAUAAGUUGGCGACAGAUUUGCGAAAUAUGGACGUGACUUUUACGGAUGGAGAUAUGGCCUUAAUGUUGUUAAGUUCACUUCCCGAUGAGUUUGAGCAUCUUGAAAUGACUCUACUGCAUGGGAAUGAUGAAGUAUCUCUCGAAGAAGUUUGUUCUGUCUUAUACAGUUAUGAACAAAGGAAGAGAGAAAAACAAAAAGGCGGAGAAGCAGAAGCACUAGUUCCGAGAGGUCGUUCUCAAAAUCAUAUGAGAACGAAGAAAGGGAGAUCCAAGUCAAGGUCGAGACUCAGCAAAGAUGAAUGUGCCUUUUGCCGAGAAAAAGUUCAUUGGAAGAAUGACUGUCUAAAGUUGAAUAGCAAAGCCAAAUCAAAUAAUGGGAAGGCUGUCAUGGAUUCAAAUGUGGUUGAUUGUGAUGAUUCCGAUUACUCACUAGUUACAACAGAUCCAUCCAAAUCAUCUGAUGUAUGGUUGAUGGAUUCAGCUUGUAGUUAUCAUACGUGUCCCAAUCGGGACUGGUUUAUUGAUUUACAAGAAGGAGAAUGUGGAGUCAUUCACACUGCAAACAAUAAUCCUCUUACCGCAUACAGUGUUGGUUCAAUCCAAUUAAGGAACCAUGAUGGAUUAAGUAGAACAUUAAUAGAUGUUCGAUAUGUACCAGAUUUGAAGAAAAAUCUCAUUUCUGUAGGAGCCCUAGAAUCAAAGGGGUUCAAAGUCAUUGCAGAUAAUGGCGUGAUGAGAAUAUGUUCUGGUGCACUGGUGGUAAUGAAGGCAAUUCGAAGAAAUAAUAACAUGUACCACUAUCAAGGUAGUACAAUUAUUGGGACAGCGGCAACAACAUCCAAUGACAAGAAGGAGGAAGAAAUGACCAAGCUAUGGCAUAUGCGCUUGGGGCAUGCUGGAGGGAAAUCCUUGAAAACUUUAUCAGAUCAAGGAUUGCUAAAAGGAGUAAAAACUUGCAACUUGGAGUUUUGUGAGCAUUGUAUCAAGGGAUAGAAAACAAGGGUUAAAUUUGGAACAGCUAUCCAUAAUACUAAAGGUAUUUUGGAUUAUGUUCAUUUGGAUGUUUGGGGUGCUUCCAAAACACCUUCAUUAGGUAGGAAACACUAUUUUGUAACCUUUGUUGAUGACUUUUCUCGAAGAUUGUGGGUGUAUACGAUGAAAACAAAAAAUGAAGUAUUGGGAAUUUUUCUCAAAUGGAAGGCGAUGAUAGAAACUCAAAGUGGCAAAAAGAUCAAGUGUCUUCGCACAGACAAUGGUGGCGAAUAUAAAAAUGAUUUAUUUCAGAAAAUUUGUGAGGAAAAUGGCAUCGUUAGACAUUUCACUGUAAAAAAUACACCACAACAGAAUGAAGUGGCAGAACGCAUGAACCGAACUUUGCUGGAGAAAGUUCAAUGUAUGUUGUCCAAUGCUGGCUUGGGCAAAGAAUUUUGGGCUGAGGCAAUAACAUAUGCGUGCCACCUCAUUAAUCUUCUACCAUCUGCUGCUAUUGGUGGAAAGACACCAUUUGAAAAAUGGUAUGGAAAACCUGCUGAAGAUUAUGGUUCUUUAUAUGUAUUUAGCUCAUAUUAUCAUGUAAGAGAGUCAAAAUUGGACCCAAGAGCAAAGAAAGCUUUAUUUAUGAGAAUUACUUCUGGAGUCAAAGGAUACCGUUUAUGGUGUCCAAAGACAAGAAAAGUUAUUUUCAGCAGAGAUGUUACUUUUGAUGAAUCUGCCUUGACAAAUAAGGUAUCACUUGAAGAAGCCAAACAAAUUGAUGGUACUUCAAAGCAGGUGGAGUUUGAGGGAAAGAUAAUUUUCCAACACAGGGAUCAAAUGAGGAAACAACAGAAAAUUUUCCUCUUGAAGGAGAGCCAGUCGUAGAGGAGGUUCCAUCUCAGGAACCUCAACCACAACUUGAAUCAAUAGCAACCGGCAAGCCAAAAAGGAUAUUAAGAAAACCUGCUCGACUCAUAGAUAUGGUGGCUUGUGCGGACUCAAUUGCAUCUGAUGAUAUUCCUACCACUUAUAAAGACGCAGUCCAAAGUUCAUAAGAAGAUAAGUAGAGGAUUGCCAUGGAUGAAGAAAUGCAGUCCCUUCAUCAGAAUAAUACAUGGAGAUUGGCCAAUCUCCUAGAGGGCAAGAAAGCAAUUGGGUGCAAAUGGGUAUUUGCAAAGAAAGAAGGAUUUCCUAACCAAGAAGAUAUUCGCUACAAAGCAAUAUUGGUGGCCAAAGGAUAUGCUCAAAAGGAGGGAAUUGAUUAUAAUGAGGUGUUUUCUCCAGUCGUGAAACAUUCCUCCAUUAGAGUUUUGUUGGCUUUGAUAGCAUAGUUAAAUUUGGAACUAGUUCAGUUGGAUGUAAAAACUGCAUUUUUACAUGGAGACUUGGAAGAGGAAAUCUACAUGACUCAGCCAGAAGGAUUCAAAGUUGAUGGAAAAGAAAAUAUGGUGUGCAAACUUGAAAAAUCAUUGUACGGAUUGAAACAAUCUUCUAGACAAUGGUACAAACGAUUUGACAAGUUUAUGUUGCAGCAAAGGUACAUAAGAAGCAAAUACGAUCAUUGUGUGUAUUUGCACAAGCUUGAAGAUAAUUCCUUUAUAUACCUUCUCCUAUAUGUUGAUGAUAUGUUGAUAGCUUCUAAGAGUCAAGAGGAAAUUGAGAAGCUAAAGAAUCAACUAAGAAAGGAGUUUGAGAUGAAGGAUUUGGGUGAGGCAAAGAAGAUAUUUGGCGUGGAGAUAAAAAGAGAUAGACAUUCAAAGAAACUCUAUUUAUCUCAAAAGGAAUAUUUGAAGAGAGUACUAAAGCGAUUCGGUAUGAAUAAAAAAACGAAGUCGGUUAGCACUCCGCUUGCUCCUCAUUUUAAUCUUAGUGAUGCUAUGUCACCUAAUAAUGAAGCUGAUCGAGAAUAUAUGUCAAGAGUACCAUACGCUAAUGCUAUUGGUAGCUUGAUGUAUGCAAUGGUUUGCACAAGGCCAGAUAUUUCACACGUUGUUGGAGUUGUAAGCAGGUACAUGCACAAUCCUGGAAAGGAUCAUUGGCAGGCUGUAAAAUGGAUUCUACGGUAUUUCAUAAUACUGUAGAUGUUGGUUUGGUUUUCGAGCAGAAAGAUAGUCCAUAUCUUGUUGGAUAUUGUGACUCAAAUUAUGCAGGUGAUUUGGACAAACGAAGAUCAACUACUAGUUAUGUUUUCACUAUUGCAAAUUCACCAGUUAGUUGGAAGUCUACUUUGCAGUCAACAAUUGAUUUGUCUACCAUUGAGGCAGAGUACAUGGCAAUUACAGAGGCUGCGAAGGAAGCGAUUUGGCUUCAAGGAUUGCUUAGAGAGCUUGGUAUUGGACAAGAAGAAAUCACAAUAUUUUGUAAUAGUCAGAGUGCUAUUCAAUUAGCAAAGAACUAAGUUUAUUAUUGUCACGACCGGAAUCUAGACCCCAGACGAGAUCGGCGUCUUUGACCUCUCAGAGGUCGCAAACAAGCCUACUUACGUCAUUCUUACUUUACAUAUAUUAAUUUUAGCGGAAAAUUUGGACUUUUUGGAUUUCCUUAAUCAUACUUGUUAAACAUUCUUUAUACUUCGUAAUCGUUCAUCAUCAACCAUCUAACAUUUAAGAGAUAAGCAACUGAAAGAAAUAAUUCAUUAAAUAUUAAUUGUAUAUCGGCCAAAAUAGCACCAAUACAAAGUCUGUACUAAAACAGGAAAGAAACGCUAGUGGAACAUGCUCCACUAGCUCAACUCUAAAACUACGCUAGAAUGUAAAACAGUAGCAUCCUCGAAAGCAUAAGGACCUACCAAACUCCGGAUGAAUGCUGACGUCCAGAUAGCUGCAACAACGAACCUGUAGCUCUACCGUCCACCUGUGCCUGCACCUAAAAGUAGAUGUUUGUAUAGAAUUAUUACACACUUGUACUAAGUAUGGGUAUAUGCAAGCAUACACCAGGGACAUGCAUGAGGGAGAAGAGUUCUUUCCUAACAACAUGAUGUUUGGAAGUCAAGUCAGUGGACUUGAUAAAAUGAGAUUAGGAAAGUUAUGCCAUGAGAGUGACAUGCAUCAUUAUAAUUAUCGUAUGGCACACAACACAUAACAUAUUCAUAUAGCACAUAACAUAUAACACAUACUUUCUUUCAUAUUAUUCAUUCAUAUACCAUGAGACCUUAUUAUCAUAGACUUAACUUUAAGACUUUCCAAAAUGAGGGCUCAACAUAUGAGACCUCAACUAGGGAGCCUUCUUUAGCAAACACAGAGUCUGCUUCAUUCAUUCAUGCGUAUUUCAUUUCAAUUCAUUCAUAGGCCAAUGCGAACACCAGCUAUACCUAGGAUGUAGUUUAAGACUUUCAUCGGGUUUGCUGUGCAAUGAUCAAGAAUAACCUAAUGUCAUUACCUGAAUCUAGCUCACCUCUUGAUUAUCCUAUCCUAACACCUUCGGUAUCAUUCAUUUCUUUAUAUGAUUCAUUUGAGGCUGGCCUCAUUCAUUCAUUGGGAACUUUAACUUUAACCGACAUAGAUCAUGUGAACAGCAUGAAAUCCAGUGUCUCCCCCACACAGAAAAGAGGUGGAAUCACCGGCCAAAGCGAUUCAAUAACAUACUAGCGUAUAUGGGAAUUUAACCCCGCCAGAUCCCUAUAGUGGCAAUAUAGGUUCAAAGACUAGGAGAUGUAUAGAGACCCAUACCCGGCAAGCCGGACAGUCUCAUCUCAUGAGAAUUACGUGAACCUCCGCCCUUCCCGAAAGAAGGCAUCACCGCUCAUAGCUAGCCUAUCGGUGCUCGGUAUAAAGUUCCAUUACAUUCAACUCAUACAUCAUGGAAGUUGGCUUCUAGUAUGAGGACAUCAUAGCUCAAUAGAUGAUUUCUCAUCUCAUCAUUAGUAUUAAGUGUUUUAAACUCAAUGUUUUCAUUAGAGUGUUCAUCGAGACUGAUCUCUUCAUUAUCUUACACUCUCAUUGGUGAGUACGUAUUGGUGACAUUUACUUAGGCUCAUUUGAGAUUGCUCUCAUCAUAUACAUUAGCCUCACAUCAUGGUUGUCACCACAUUCUUCAUUUCAUUACGUAUAUCUUAGGUUCACUUAUUUUUGAACGUAUGUUAAACUUAUGUGUCUAUACAUACAAGCCAUGGGGCUUCAUUUAUAGUUCAUUAAGUGAUUCUUAUUUUCCUAAGAUUAUGUAUUACAAGACUUAUGUAUCUUGUAUAAUGCCAAGAUCUUUGAUUUUUGAUCUAAGUAGAUGACAUUAUUCUUGAAUAUUUUACUCACGUAUGACUUAUGUAUCAAUACGGAGGUUUGGACACGGGAACCCAAAUCUUGAAUUAUUUGGAUAUCAUUUAUAUUUUUCAUUGAUUUUAGUUCUAAUAUUCAUAAAUUUAGAACUCUAAAUUAAAUCUCAACAUUUUCAUGACAUAAUAAAUUUCUAUUUUAAUUAGAAUUCUAAAGUAAAUUCCAAUCAUUUACAUGAAAAAAUUAAUUUUCUAAUUUGAUUAGAAUUCUAAUUUAAAUCUCAAUAUUUACAUAAAAGAAUUAAUAUUCUAUUUUUAAUUAAAAUUCUAAAUUAAAUCUCAAUAUUUACAUAAGAGAAUUAAUUUUCCAAAUUUAAUUAGAAUUUUAAUUUAUUAUUAUUAUUAUUAUUUUUAAUUAAAUUCGCUUGAAUAGGGAGGUUGUGGGUUCGAACCCCCACAGCCCCCGUUAUUUUUCAAUUUUUUUCGCUAGGAAUGGAGGUUGUGAGGUGGUGGGUUCGACCCCCACAGCCUCACCUUUAUUCCCUUAAUAUUUUAGCCCCCUUCAGCCCUGAGGUCGUGGGUUCGAUACCCACGCCUCGCAUCCCCCUUUUUAUUUAUUUUUUUUGUUGCGAACGGGGGUCGUGGGUUCGAUCCCCGCCCCCAGCAUUCCCCUUUUCUUUUUUUUAUCUUUUUCGCGAAUGGGGGUCGUGGGUUUGAUCCCCGCCCCCAGCAUCUCUUUUUAUUAUUUUUUUUUCUUUUUCGCGAAUGGGGGUCGUGGGUUCGAUCCCCGCCCCCAGCAUCCCUUUUUAUUAUUUUUUUUCUUAAGGCAGCUACAGGGAGGUCCUGGGUUCGAUCCCUGCAGGCCUCAAAACUAUUUUUUUUAUUAUUUUUUUGACGCUUAAAAGUUUCCAGAUUCUUUUAAAGCCUAUUUCUAAGUUCUGGAAAUUUAUUCCAAGAUAUUUUUCUGCACUUUUUCAUCACAUUUCACAUUAGUUCUUAGAGAGAUUUCAUGGUUCACUCAUUUCACUAUACUUUAUCAUAAUGAACAUCACAUUGUACACACAUUACACACACAAAAUACAUGAUAAUUACAUAAUUUAUACACCCCAAAACAGUGCCUAAAACACUGCCCUAUACACAUCCAUGCAUCAACUUUUCCGGUCAUAUUUUAAUGAUCAUUAUCGUGAUUUUUCGCACAUAAACACAUUCAUAUUUAAUUUAAGCACAUCAUUCAUGUAAAAAUCUAGCAGCACAACAUACCCAUCCUACAAAUUUGUUAGGGAGCUAAGGACAAGGACAUACGAAGGGGAACAACCUUAGUUUCAAGAGUUUAAGAAACGUUCGAAAGAAAGUACUCUUGGAGAAAGAAUUUCAUGAGAGAAACACAUACCUUUAUUGAUGUUCAAACGAAGAAUUCGCUACCCAAAAUUCUCUCCAAAAGUCAGUGCAAGUUACUUCAACGUCCACACCACUCAACGAACAACUCCUCUUCGCCUUAAUAUUUUUUUGAUUGCUUUGUUUUUCUUAAAAUUUUAUGUGAGUUCUUCAAGCAUGAAGAACUGUUGAUAUUUGGCAGAAAUAAUGUGAGGAAGAUGGAGAACGUGAGAGAGAGAGUUAAGAAACGUGAAAAAGAGAGAACUAUUAGGAUUAGGAGACUAAUUAAAGAAUUAGUCAAAUAAAAUUUAAAAUAAAUAAAUACAAAUCUGUUUUUUUGAUUUAUUUAUUUAUUUAUUCAUUUAAAACGUGAAAGGACCAUUAUGACCUUAAAUACCUAUUUAUUCUUAUUUAUAUAAUUUAUUUAUUUUUUGAAUCGUUACAAUCAUGCAAGGACGAAGCACAUUGACGUCCGAUAUCAUUUCAUACAAAUCAUAGAAGAUGGUGGAGUCAUAAUGCAGAAAAUUCAUACUACAGAUAAUCCUGCCGAUAUGUUGACAAAAGUGGUGACUGCGGUCAAGUUUCAACAUUGUUUGAACUUGAUCAACAUUGUUAAACGUUGAAGAUUAAGGUUGAGGACACAAUCAAAAUUAUUGUUGAGAGAAAGUUGAAAAUGAAGAAUCUUGCCAAGGUGGAGAUUUGUUAAAUUUGACAAGAUUCAAAAAUUGAUUAAUGAGAAGAUAUGGUAGUUAGGAGAAUAAUUCUUCAUUGGUAGAAAAGUCAAGAUAGCAACUUUUGUAGGUGAAAUUUAGGUGAACCAUAAAUUGAAUUCACAAGGUAAAUGUUGACAUUUUGACAUAUUGUGAUGUCAUGGAUGACAUCAAUAGGAAGAAUUCACUACUAUAAAUAGGUAGCUCCUAAUUCAUUUGUAACAUACCUCUCACUUGUCUUCUCAUCUCCUAAGGCAUUUGUUCUUCUUUCUCUCUUGUAGUAUUUCACUUGUACUCUUUUGGAGUGAAAUAAAUAUUGGUUGUUUGUGUCCGAGGAGUAUGCAAAAGAAAACAAAAGUUUACCGAACCUCGUUAAUUCUUGCUGUUCUUUUUUUUGUUGUCUCAUUUACUAUUUAUUAGCUACCUUUAGAUAUAGUAGUUGUGAUUCCAUCACUCUCUAUAUAUUUGGCUUUCGCAACAUUUCCCCCUCUUUUCCAAAAUCCGAGCCCCCUUUCUAUAUAAUCGUUAUUGUUUCAUUGUUUUGGAGGAGAAAUAUAUAUAUAUAUAUAUAUAUAUAUGUAUGUAUAUAUACACACACACAGAACCAGUAAGAUGGAAAGAAAAAGGACAUUAAAAUCAAAGUCCUGAAGUCGCAUAGAGAUUGAAAACAAGUUUUUCUUUCAAUUUUGCUCUCGCCGACUUCUAUUUUAUUCAUCCAGGCUCAUUGGGUUUGUUUGUGGUCAUAGAAGCUCUAUCUUUUCUGUUCGUACUUGUCUCCAGUCGCUGCAUCUCGAAAGGUAAUACUCAUUUUUGUUUUAAACAUACUUUUAUUCUUAAUGCAUCGUUUGCUCGGUUCUCAGAUGUAUAGAUUGCUUAUUUGCUAGUGUUUUUGUUUUUUCUUUUUUUUUUUUUGAAAUUCCCUUUUAAAUCUCAUUUGUCUAAAAACCAGUGAUGGAGUUUAUUUGAAAACCCUUGGUUGUUAUUUGUUUUAGUUUUCAAUGAAGUUUUGACGUCUUCCCCUCCCAAAUUCUUAUUUUCACUGUUAAAAUUUUCUUAUUUCACUGAUGUUCCUACUGGUAUGGUAUGAAAGUUGUGGUUUAGUCAUAGAGCUCGAAAUUACCUUCUGUGUGUGAUUUCGACUUCCAUAUCUGUUGCUUACUGCAUCUUUCGUGUCUCUUGCCUAGUAGAAUCGACAAUCUGAUUCAUAUGCACAAACAAGUUAUUUCAAAUUAAUGAAAUGUCUGUUUAAAUUGAUUGUGUUUUGUCAUCCCUUUUAUUGUUUCUCUAUGUUCCUGACUACCCUUUGGUUUAGUUAUCGAAAUAUUCUGCUCGUCUUAAGGUUCUUUUGGCUGUUGAGAAUUCGUAUUAUCAUGUAGUAUCAGAUUUCACUUUUUUUUACCGCAAGUCGGAGGGGAUGAAGUCUUAAGGUUUGAGUUUGUUAGUUUUCAAUGUAUGCCCAGGGGUAUAAAAAUUUUAUGCUAAGUUCAUUGUAGUAUUUUGUCGCCUAUGUAUGUCUCCCCUCUUUACUUAAAAUUCGUGAAAAUAUGUCAAAAAUCUCCCUUUAUUUCACAUUUGAAAUUGCCACAAGGCAAUAGUAUUGUUUUGUUAAUUAGGUUUACUGUUUUGCUCAUGUACAAAAUUCUCAAAUUAGUUAUUAAAUAUGUGGGUAUAUAACUGUCUUUGCAUAAGUCACAUAUUUUAUUUUUUUGUUUAAAAAAAAAAAGGAAAGAAAGCCUAAUCACUACUUCAAUAGUUUGCUUCUUUCAUUCAUUGGUAAUUGCUUCCUUGUUAUUAUAAUUAGGCUUAAGUCUACUCUAUUUGAUCACUGUUAGUGCUGGCAAUUUAAGUUCACUUUUCAAUGACCCGCCCAAAUAGCCCAUUAAAUAUGGGUUAAAAGAGUGAUUUUAAAUAGGAAAAAUAAUUUAAAUACACAACUUUAAGUUUCUUAUUGUCUACUUUUCCCUACUUUUUUACAAAAUUACUUUAAUCCCUUAUUUAACUUGUAAUUGAAAUCUGGUAUAUACAUAAUACACUCUUUCCUCCUACAUUCAUCAUUCCUUAUACUCCUUGUUUUUUUUCCUAAUUUCACUCAAUUCUCUUUUCAAUUACAAAGCAUUAUGCCAAAUUGAUUUUCAAAUAUUUUCUCUCUCAAUCAAACAAAUUUCAAACAUCAAUCUUCACUUUUGUAUCUUACGUUUUCUCUCACAAAGUUUGUCAAAUAUACUUCAGUCGGUUUUUGUUUCAGUUGUUUCUUAUUGAUACAUAUCAUACUUCGUCUUCUCUGUCUCUCUCUCUCAGAGUUUGUCAUCUUUUUACUUUAAUUUUUACUUUGUCUCAUUAUGUUCACAUGAAUCCAGAUACUAAUUGAAUAAUAUACGAUUUUGAUGACGAAAAUUGUGCAAAAAAAAAAAUCCAGAUGCAUGACCAGGACAAAAUUUGUAUGCAAAUAGAGAAGGUGUUGACUUCAGUUGCAGAUCCAUUAAAAAAAUUUGCACAUCAUGAUUGAAAAACGAUUAUAUCUGUUGUUGAGGUUGAAGAUCAGAUCUAUGGCUGUAGAGAUAUAUUAUAGAUAAUAGUGUUUAUAGCUCAUUAUAUAUCUUAUACAUAUUUUCUUGAAUAUAAUUAAAUGUAUCAUUAACAUAUUUGUUAAUAAUUGUUUGUUCUAAAACUACAAAUACAGACCGAUGAUACUAUUAAGAAUAAGAAAUGACGGAUGUUUCAGAAGUCUAACCGACAGAUGAAAAUAUUCAUGAUACUAUCAAAAAUCAACAAGAAAUAGAGAAUUUUUCAGAACUCUAAUCCGCAUAUGAAAAUAUUCAUGUGUUAUUACAGAAGCAAGUGAACAUAAGAAUAUAUUAGAAUGAUUAGAAAAUUUAGUAUAUAAUACAUUAUCAGAUGUGGUUGAUAAGUCAAAAUAAAGUUUGUAUAUGAAACAUUAUUAAUUUAAUGUAUCCUGACUUAUACUACAUGCGCCUAUUUUAGGAUGACGAACCAGAUCAAGGCCCCCAAGAUCUUAAUAAAGCAGCAACGAAUGAAGAUACAUAAACAAUAUUAUAUCAUGUAUAAUGUAUCUUUUGAUAAAUUAAAGUAUUACUCAAACAAAUUAAGAAACAUAAAUAGUAAUAUAUCACACACUAAUUUUUUAGGCAUGAUACAAAAAUCAAUUUUUUACUAAAUAUAUCUCAUAUUUUUUUUUGUAUAUGAUAGAUAGCUACGUCGGAUUAUAUGGGCAUGAUUCAUAAAUACUAAUUUAUAAUGUAUCAAUCUCAAGGCAAACAACUUAUGAGCAACAAUUGCAUGCUUAAUGUAUCCCAUAACAAUACAACACUUAUCAAUUUACACAAAUAGUAAUGUAUCAUGCACUAAUCUUUUAGAUAUGAUACGUAAAUUCGAAUUUAAACUAAAUGUAUUAAUUAUUUAACAACUACCACAUGAUAAUGUCUCAAUCUCAAAUCUAACAUCUUAUGAGCAACAAUAACUUCUUUAAUGUAUCUAGUAUAAAUACAAUAUUUAUCAAUUUAAACGACAAUAAUAAAUAGUAAUAAUGUAUCAUGCACUAAUUUUUUAGAUAUGAUACGUAAAUUCGAAUAUAUACUAAAUGCAUCAAUUACAUAACAAUUAUCGUGAUACAUAGCAAUUAUCACACGGUAAUGUAUCGAUUUCAAAUCUAACAUCUUAUGACAACAAUUACUUAUUUAAUGCAUCUAGUGUAAUAUACAAUACUUAUCAAUUUAAAUAACAUACAUAAAUAGUAAAAUGCUAAGUUGCACAGAUGUAUCUUCUAAAUUUUUUUGAUAAUUUUAUAUCAAAAUUGAAAAGACCUUAAUGAAUUAGAAGAAGAAUUUUGCAUCUCAAAAUUUUCAAUGAUUUAGAAUUAAAAUUUAAAGGAUCUUCAAUUAAGUGGGAGAAACAUAUCCCACAUACAAAAUACAAUAUUAACAGACACUCGAAAACAAUACUUGGUAGAGUAAUAUUUCGGUGCACUGUCUCAACAAUAUCAAUGAACCCAUGUGCCAAGAUCAAUCAUGAUGUGUUAAAUUCUUUAAUGCAUCUGCAACUGAAACCAGCACCUCGUCAUAUGCAUACAAGUUUCGUCCUAGUCAUGGACACCACCAUCAAUCUUUUCACUUGUGUCAAUGCAUAAUGAAUACAUUGCAAAUCGUGAUUCAUUUUUUUCACUUUUAAAUAUAAUUUAACAACCAUGUCGCUCUUAAUUUUCCAAAAAUGAUUAUGUCACUUUUGUAACUUUCAUAUUACACUUUGUUGACCCAAAUUUCUGAACGCCUCGGUAAAAUUGAUACAAUCAUCUUCUAUCAACAAAAAAUCAAUAUUUCUCACUUUUUCUCAAUGGAUGGAUGUUCACAAACUGUUAUUCAACGUAGAAGAUGUAAUUUUGAAUUUUGAAAGGUCUGAGUAGAUUAUCUGUUAAGAUAGGGAUUUGUUUUGUUUCAGUUACGCUUAAAUUAAGCUAAUUAAAUUAACAAAAUUAAUUAUUACAGUUUUUUUCCUUUUUAUGCUCAACAAUAAUUUAUUUACCUUAUAUCAAUUAUAUUGUAUUAGAUUGCUAGUUAUGUAUCAAAGUCACCUUUUUAAGGGAUUUUUCGUAGAAUGUAAAUUAAUUGGGAUAGGAUGUAAUUUAUAUCUUACACUAUGAGAUUCCUUUAAUUUUUACUUUUAAAUAUGGGUUAUAUUUGGACUUAUAUCCAUAUUUUAUCCAUUAAAAUAUGGCUAUAUUAUGGUAAACUACGAGUCAUAUAUGGGUAUUCCAAGUUUUUUUCAAAUUUUCAAAAAACCUUCUGUUGCCUAGUUUUAGAAGUGAUUUUUUAAAACUUUCAUAUAUACGUCCCUAUUAGUAUUUCAACUAUCGACCUCCCACCCCCACCCCCACCACGCCCAAAAAAAAUUAAUAUUUAUGUUUAAAAAAUAUUUUGACUUCAAAAUUUCAUUUUUCACUACUACCCUCGAAUCCCCCCCCCCCCAACCCGCCCACCCCCUACUAGCCCCCUCACCCCACCCCCAUCCCCCCAAAAAAUUCAGUUUAUUUUUAAAAAAACCCACCCCCUACCAAGCCCCUACCCCCAACCAAUCCCCAGCUUCAAAUUUAUUAAGUAUGUUUUUAAAAAAUAUUUUUAAAUUUUAAAUAUUUAUUUUUUUCACCCUACCCUAGAACACCCCCUAUUGGCCCCCCCACACACACACAAACACCGAUUUUUUUUUUAAGUUUUUUUUUUUAAUUUUAUAAUAAAAUAAAACUAAAUGAAGCAUUUUCAACAGAUUUCAUCUAAGAAAAUACUAAAAUAUUUUCUCCAUAUUGAAUUCUUAAGUAAAGAACUAUUUCUUCAUGAAAUAUCGGUAAAAUAUAGGUAAACUAGUAUUUUACCCAACCCAUUUUUAUCCAUAUCAAAUAUGGGUUGGUUGAAUGAUUACCUAUUUAAUGUUUAACCACUUUCAACCGACUCAUAUUUGACCCAAUCCGCCCAUUUGCCAUCACUAAUCACCGUUAACUUAAUAGUUUAGCCAUCAUCUCCUUUUGGUGUUUUUACUAAAUUACAUGGAGACUAUAAUCUACUCUUAAAGUCAUACAUAUCCCAUUGUGUGAGUUCGAAACCUUUCUCUUUGUCAAGGCUUUUUUAUUCUUGAGUUUGUUUCCUAAAGUGGAAGUGCUUCUAAUGCUAGUAUGUGACAUCUAAGUUUCCAUUUUCUUUGUGUAUUUUAUGAUGAAUAGAAAUGACAACUUGAAGCAACUUAAUAAUUUAUUUGGAAGUAGAAAAUUGAAGUUAUAUGUGUCUUUAAUUUGUUAAAACAUUUGUAGAGAUCGUUGUUUACAUAUCGUAUACAUAUGCUUAUCUUAUUCAAAGCUUGUGUUAAUAUGGUAUUUGUAUGUUUCUUCUAUGGAACAAGUCCAAUACUCAUGCCAACUUUACUUCUUCAUUUGUGUUUUCUAUCAUCUUAUUUUUAUGUCUUAUCUUCCUUAGCUAAUAUAAUUGUUUUAUGUGCAUGUGAAAUUCCCCUCGAAUCCAUUUGGACUCCAUUUCCUCUCCUUGUGUCCUCUUGUCGGAGCCAUGAAGGCUCAAUCCUUCAUUCUCGAAGUAGGCUAGCCCCUCUAAAACUGACGUACAGGUUUUGAAAGCAGCAAAUAUCGUUGGAAGUUAAAUUUGUAGGCCUCCAAAAGCUAAGAAAGGUGGCUGAUAUACUUCUGUAUACAUUAAUAUAUCGUCAAAAAACACGAUAUACAGGUCACAAAAAUAUAAAGGUGCUUGAGGAGAUUAACUAGGAUUCAUACUUCCAGUAUACAAUCCAAUAUACAAGAGAAAAGAAUAUAAUACAGCCUAUAUACAGUGGUAUACGAAAAUCGUAUACACAUAUUUUUUGGGGAAAAAAUAGGGCCAGAAGUCCAAAGGGAAUUCCAGCAGGCCCAACAGGUCCAAAAUGGGGCAAGAUCCAUUUUUGGGUGACUUUAGAUUUAGGACGGGUUAUAAAGAUUUGGGCCGAAGGCCCAAAUUUAAUACUCUCUUCCUUUUUACUUCUAUUUGUAUUACUUUGACUAACUUUACUUAUUCUAUGAUUUAAUUUAAUUAAAUUCCCGAGAUAACCAUUUUUCUUUAUAUUCAAAAAUACAAAUACUUAUUUUAUAUAUGUUUAUUACUCAGCCUUUUAUUUUUAAUAUUGGUUUUGUCAACACUUACAAAUUACUUCCCUUUAAGAAAUUCCCCAAGAUGAUAUUAAUAAUAAGUAAGUAAAUAAAUAAAAAUGAAUUUUCUAUACUUGGUUAAAAUUUGGAAAUAUUUGUACAAGAUUAUUUUUAGUCAAAUCGCCGGUCGGUCAACUGCAAGUAAGGGGACACUCCGAGGGCCUAACGCCUUCUCGGAAUGUAUAUUUGAACUUCAAAUUAUUUUUUUUCAAUUGAUUUUAUCUGUUUAAAUCUUUUGAAAAUAAUUAUAAGUUUUUUCUUGAUUUUUACUAAAAAUUAAUUGACAACUCUGUCAAUUCGAAAAAUUAAUUUCUCUUAAAUCAUAAAAUUAAUUGAUUUUUCAAAACAUAACCAUUAUUUUUAUCCUUAUUUUAUUUUUGAGUAAAACACUUGCAACAGAAAUAAUGAAAUUCCUCUUCCUUUGUGAUUAAGAAAAUACUUUUUUACUUUCAUUUCCCAUUCAAACAAAUAUAUGCACAAAAUAAUCUUUCACUUUCCUUUAUUUUUCUUUACUUCAUUAUUUGCAAUCAAUUUUAAUUACUUGCCUUUUUACUUUCCUCCUUUAGUUCUUCAAACUUCCUGUCCACAAUUAAUCUAAAUCAUAUUGUCAGGAUACUUGAUAAAUGUUUUAAUUUGAAUGAUUCAAAUUAUAUAGCGUAUUGUAUAUAUAUAUAUUUAUUUAUUUUGAUUUGAAUAGGUUUUGAUCAAUAUAUAAAAUUUUGAACAAAGUUUUAAUAUAAGAGGUAUUUUUGUUGCUAAUUUUUGUAAGUACUCACAUGUGACACCACUAAUCACCUAUGUAAUUAUAAUCAUUAUCAAUCAAUUUUUGUUGUCAAUUACCAUCAUCAAUUAUUUCUGUUAUUAUCAUUGUUACUGGAAAGUCAUCCUAAUUGUUCGUUAUCAUAUAUAUCACCUUUUUGGCUCUGUCAUUAUAUUGUAUCUCGUCGCCAUUUUCGCCAUCACUCAACAACUAUCACCAUUAUGGUCAAUCUAUAGUUUCAUUGUUAUAACUAGUACCACUCGACUGCCCACCACACAUGCUUCAUUCGCUAUCACCAUUAUUACAUGCAUCCCCAUCUCAUCAUUAUAACCACCAUCACUAUUAUCGAUCACCACUAUUGCAUCAGUCACUAUAACACUAACAAUUUUUACAUCACAACUCUUACCAUCACUAUCGAUCAUAAGUAAUCAGUUUUUUUAAUCAAACAAUAGUUUUAUUUUAAUGAAUAUAUAUAUAUUUUUUCUAUUUAAAUAACAACUUAAUUAUUUAAAUAUGUAUUAAAAUUCAAAUAUCUUAAUCCCAAAAAACAAACAAAACCUUAGGGGAAUGUAAUUUAAGGAAGUAACUUAGCUUAUCUAUUGUGUAUGUAUAGAUACCUGUAGAAAAAUAUUAUCCCAAAAUAUUAAAUUAAUAACUAAAGAUUACAUUGUUAAGGAUAUUCAAAAUUUAUGCUUGACUAAUUAGAUGAAUGCAUUUUCUCUUAUAUUAAUAAUUUUAUUUGUCAAUUAAGCAAGUAUUGGAUAAAAGUUCUAUCAAAAUUAUAGUUGAAAUUCCUUGUUGAGAAUUAUCAAAUCAAAUUUAUUUGAUUAAUUAGAUAAUUUUGUUUUCUAAUACGUUAAAAGCUAUGUAAAGUAAAUAUUGUAUAACAACAAAAUCUAAUGAAAACUUACAUAUUUUAUAUUAAUAUUAAGAAAAUAUUUAUAAUUUAUAAUAUUAACAAUUUCUUUAUCGAAUACUUAUAGUAUAUUUAUAAUAUAAUUUUAGUACAUAUUAUAGAGAAUAAUAUAUAAAUUACAUAUAGUAUAUAUUCAUGGAUACACAUUUAUCACUUUAUUAUACAUAUAAUAUUGUGUCAAUUUCUUACCAAUCAAUCAUAUACAUCAUUAGCGCACUUAUAAUAAUUUGUAUUACAUGCAUAAUUUACUUUUAAUAUAUAUGACAAAUUUAUUAUAAUAUCGUUAUCUAUUACCACGAUGAUAGCAAAUAAAAUAAUGUCUAUAAUUAUUUAUUAAAACAUACUUAUUCAAAUUAUUUUGAGAAAAUGCAUAAGUACCCCCUCAACCUAUGCCCGAAAUUCCAGAGACACACUUAUACUAUACUAAGGUCCUAUUACCCUCUGAACUUAUUUUAAAGUAAUUUUCUACCCCUUUUUAGCUUACGUGGCACUAGUUUGGGAAAAAAAUCAACCAUCGUUGGGCCCACAAGAUAGUGCCACGUAGGCUAAAAAGGGGUAAAAAAUUAUUAAUAAAAUAAGUUCAGGGGGGUAAUAGGACCUUAGUAUAGUAUAAGUGUGUCUCUGAGAUAUCGGGCAUAGGUUGAGGGGGUACUUGGGCAUUAUCCCAAUUAUUUUUCCUUUUAAUAAAAAGAAAAAGUAUUAUAAAUUAAAAUACAACUGAAUUAGUGGAAUAUUCAUAAAAAAAAGUCAGCAAUCCUAUUAAAUUUGGUUAAUGUAGUUUAUGUAUCUCCUUAUCAUAUCAUAUAUUAUUAUAAGCACGAACUUCUUAACCCCAAAGUUGAUUUACCGUUUUAACCCUACAAUAUCAUUUAUAUAUUAAUUUAUUAAAUAUAUUAGUUAAACCUAUUAACCCCAAAGUUGAUUUACCGUUUUAACCCUACAAUAUCAUUUAUAUAUUAAUUUAUUAAAUAUAUUAGUUAAAUAUUAAUUAUUAUAAAUUUAAUUUCCUAACAGCCCUAAUUUAAUUAUUCAGAAACGCCCAUCGUUUGCUGCUCCACUUCUCUUCUGCAACUGUUAUGAAGUUUCAUUAUCCUUCUUCCAAAAACCUUUUCAGCUACUCUCAUCAUCUGUAUAAAUGUCUCAAAUCACAUGUUAUUGUCCAUUAAAUUGUUUCUCUUUUCUGUGCCUGGACGAUAUACAGGUAAAUAUUUUUGGUGCUCUGUUUUUGUUGCCUAAUAGUUACAGUCAAUUUUUAACAUAAGUGGGAUUAUUGUUCAUUGAAUUGCGUUUUUCAUCACAACAUAUAAUAGAAUAUCAUUUGUCAAUGGAUUUCCAGUCAAUUAGUCCACAUCAUUCUGUGCCUUUUUUUUUUACUUUUAAUCAUUCAGUUUUGUUAAAUGUUGUUUGUGGUUUUAAAACACUGCAAGUGUUUAACUUUGUUUUAGGGGACAAUAUGCGAGGUCGCUUUGUUAAGGUUAAUCUACUUUUGCUGAUGUUAAUGCUUUAGUUUUGCUCUGUUUUGCUGCUAAUUGAAAUAUAUGUACACCCUUAGCCUGAGGAUAAUCUGAAGGUAACUUCUGAUGAACAUGAAGUAUCAUGUUGGGAAAGUCUGUUUGUUGCACGAAGGAACAUGGAUUGGACUAACUAUAUUGUUUUCUGUAAUUUAAAGGUGAAAAAAGAAAAGAAAAAAUCUCUUUUAUUAAGGACUGAAUUUGAUUUCUGACGGUAAAUCAACCAAUUCCUUGAAAUUCAGAUAGCUAUGGAUACUUCGUGUUACUAAAGUCUAGAAGUAGUACCAUUAAAGUAAGAUGUCAUCCAACUAUAAGUUGUUAGUAUCUGCAUCUAUCUGGUGAGGAACAUUUGGUUUGAAAAUGGGACACUCUUCUCUUUAGUCUUGAGGUCUCUAUAAAUUGGUAAACUUUAGUGGUUGGUGAAAGUGACUGACUAUACUCCACACAACAACUGUCUGUGUAUAUAUACAAUGCUCUGAAUAAUUUGAAUUUGCGUUGUAAAGCCUCUGCACCAACUUUGAAACGUUUUGUUUCAUGUGGAUUAACUUUUACCAUGUGACAUCCCUUUGAUGGUUCAACUUAAACUUAUCACGUGAGAAGACAUGAUAAUCUAUAUAUAUAUAUAUAUAUAUAUAUAUAUAUAUGUUUGCUAAAGUGUGUGAUUCCUAUCUGAAUAGGUCAUUCUGUUUUCAUGUGUAAUAUGACGUCCCUGCUUGUUCAUUUCUUUCGGUACGCCCAACUUCUUAACAAAGGAAGUUGCAACUGCAAGUGGAUUGUCAUAAGGUUCAGUGGAGUUGCACAUUGCGAGUUUAAUUGAUAGCUUUUACAUUGUCUUAUAUGAACUCGCACAUUACGAUUACUUUUACUUGAUAGCUUUUAGUUUUGCAUACCUCACAAUAUUACGCGGAUAAGGAUACUUUGUAGAUCAUCCUAGGAUUGGCCUGACAUAAGUUGAAUCCUUUUCAGGUUCUCCAAGGUCAUUGUAAUAAGCAUAGUCAAAACCCUGUCCCACUCCUCAAGCUUUCCAAUUUCAUUUCCUCUCAAGUUCAACAAUUCAUUUUUCCUAUACCAGUGCAAUUUUACUGGAGUUUCACUUGGAAGCCAAGCCUGCAUCAUGUAAAAAAAGUGCUCUGUCAUAAACUACAUAGGCAUAUGGAUAUACAUAUUAUUUGAAAAACAAAGUGCUCACCUGAUUCACAAAGGUUGAGUUUGAUUGCCUACUUGUAAGUUGUAAUUAAUAUCUGUCACGACCCAAACCGGGUUGCGACUGGCACCCACACUUACCCUCCUAUGUGAGCGAACCAACCAAUCUAACCUUGACAUUUCAAUAUAAUAUCAACAGAAAGUAAUGCAGAAGACUUAAACUCAUUAAAUAAAGACCAAUUCAUUAACUUCUAAAAUUCAACAUCUAUUAUUCCCCAAAAUCUGGAAGUCAUCAUCACAAGAACAUCUACGAUCAAAUGACUAACUAAGAGUAUUCUAAAAGCUAAAAAUACAUAAGAAGCUAGUCCAUGCCGGAAGUUCAAGGCAUCAAGACUUGAAGAAGAAGAUCCAGUCCAAGCUAGAAGCAUUAGCUCACCCCGAAGAUCCGAUGUGACGAAGACUAGCUAGAGUUACUGUUGAGUCGAAGAUGACGGCACGUUUGCUGCACUCCACAAUUAAACAAGAAGAAAACAUAAAAGUAGGGGUCAGUACAAAACACGGGUACUGAGUAGAUAUCAUCGGCCAACUCAAAAUAGAAAUCAAUAUAUACCGAUAAUAUCAUAAAAUCAACCAUGAUACUCAACAUGUAGCAACAACAAGUACUAUAUCAUUAACAAUUACCGUCAAGUUCACACAUGAGGACUCAAGCCUCAAUACCAUACUCAUUUGGGGAUUAUGUCCAUUAGAUUGAGUAUAUUAACAUCUUUCAAGAUUCAUUAUCUUUAUUUCUCUUGUGUCGGUACGUGACACUCCGCUCCCUCAUAUUCAUUAAUCCUCUUGUGUCGGUACGUGACACUCCGAUCCCUCAAUGCUCAUUAAUCCUCUUGUGUCGGUACGUGACACUCCGAUCCCCUAAAUCUAUGUGUUGGUUCGUGACACCCGAUCCCCUAAAUCUACGUGUCGGUUUGUGACACCCGAUCCCCUAAUACUACGUGUCGGUUCGUGACACCCGAUCCCCUAAAACUAUGUGUCGGUUCGUGACACCCGAUCUCCUAAUUCUACGUGUCGGUUCGUGACACCCGAUCCCCUAAAUCUACGUGUCGGUUCGUGACACCCGAUCCCCUAAUACUACGUGUCGGUUCGUGACACCCGAUCCCCUAAUUCUACGUGUCGGCUCGUGACACCCGAUCCCUAAUCUUCUUCCAUCAAUUCAUUAAGCCUUCUUUCUUACCAAGGCAUCAUCAAUCUCAUUACUUUAGUUCAUCAAGCCUUCUCUCUUACCAAGGCAUCAUCAUUAAAAAGAGAUUAGGUUUUUAUCAAGAUUUGGGAUUCAAUAACUUCAUCAUGCUUAAUAUAAUCACAAUUAUAUAAUCACGUUCAUGCAUGCAUACAAUUAAGCACAUAGCAGGGUUUACAAUACUACCAAUACAUAUCAUUCUCUAUUAAGAGUUUACUAUGAAAGCAUGAAAACCAUAACCUACCUCUACCGAAGAUUCGUGAUCAAGCAAGCAAUUUCCCAAGCUUUGUGUUUUUCCUCUCGUUCGAUCCUCUCUCUCGUUCAACUUUCUCUCUCUUUCUCUUGCUCUUUCUAUUUUCUUUAUUCAAACCCUCUUUCUUUUACUCUAAUUAGUAUAUAAUUAAGGAUAAAAGAUGGCAAUAAUGCCCCACUAAUUAACUUAAGGUUACCUCUUUUAACCCCCAAGUAAUUAGACUUAUUAACAUUAACCCACAAAUCUUAUAAUUAAAGCAGGAAUAGUCAAAAACGUCCCUUAAAACGUAUAAAGAAAUCCGACCCGGACUGGGAUUGCAACCUGUGACGGGCCGUCGUGCCUACGACGGUCCGUCCUGCAGGUCGUCGCAAAGUUCAGAGACCCAAAUUUCCACCAAGGGUCUGUGACGGUCCGUCCUGCCAUUUCGUUACAAAGUUCAGAGAGUCGAUUUCAGCACCCAAAUUUCAGAAUUUCUAAGUGUUUUGGGACGAGACACCCUCGACGGUCCGUCGUGCCCAUGACGUUCCGUCGUGGGUUCCUUCGUCUCAGCCUGUUUUUCCAGAAAUAAAAUCUGCUGCUCAAAACGACUAAACAGGUCGUUACAUUAGAUACCAAUUUACCCAUCGUUCGUCCCCGAACGAUCACAAGAAGGAAAACAAGGGCGAAAAGGAGUACCUGAAUUUGUAAACAGAUAUGGGUAUUUUUCUCGCAUAUCCGCCUCCUUCUCCCAAGUGGCUUCUUCAACCGGUCGAUUCUUCCAUUGCACCUUGAUGGAUGCAAUCUCUCUUGACCUCAACUUGCGAACUUCUCUAUCUAAAAUAGCAACAGGUUCCUCCUCAUAAGACAAAUUCUCAUCAAGCAAAACUGAAUCCCAACGGAUAAUGUAAUUUCCAUCCCUAUGAUAUCUUUUCAACAUAGACACAUGGAAUACCGGAUGCACUCCGGACAGCCCUAGAGGCAAGGCUAACUCAUAAGCCACCUCCCCUACUCGCUUAAGUACUUCAAAUGGACCAAUAUACCUUGGGCUAAGUUUACCUCGCUUACCAAAUCGCAUCACCCCUUUCAUUGGCGAAACCUUCAACAAGACUUGUUCACCUUCCAUGAACUCUAAGUCUCUAACCUUUCGAUCUGCAUAUUCUUUUUGUCUACUUUGCGCCGCUAGAAGAUUUUCUUGAAUAGACUUCACUUUCUCUAUCGAAUCCCUUAAAAGGUCAGUACCCCAAGGUCUAACCUCGAAUGCAUCAAACCAACCAAUGGGAGACCUACAUCUCCUCCCAUACAAUGCUUCAAAUGGGGCCAUAUCAAUACUUGAGUGAUAGCUAUUAUUGUAUGAAAACUCCGCUAAGGGUAGGAAGCUAUCCCAAUGGCCACCAAACUCUAUCACACAUGCACGAAGCAUAUCCUCCAACACUUGAAUCGUCCUUUCAGACUGACUGUCGGUCUGAGGAUGGAACGCAGUACUAAGGUCCAACCUAGUACCCAAUUCCGCAUGCAAUGUUUUCCAAAACAUAGAAGUAAACUGCGUACCUCUAUCUGAUAUGAUGGAUAGUGGAACCCCAUGCAAUCGAACGAUUUCUGAGAUAUAGAUUUUGGCUAACUUCUCUGCAUUGUAAGUCACCUUUACCGGAAUGAAAUGAGCAGAUUUAGUUAACCUAUCAACAAUCACCCAAAUGGAGUCAUACUUACCCAUUGUCCUUGGAAGACCAACCACAAAGUCCAUUGCAAUUCUUUCCCACUUCCAUUCCGGAAUGGGCAUUCUCUGAAGUGUUCCUCCGGGCCUUUGGUGUUCACACUUUACUUGUUGACAGUUUGGAAACUUGGCAAUAAAGUCAACAAUAUCACGCUUCAUUCUACUCCACCAAAAGUGUUGUUUUAGGUCGCGAUACAUCUUGGUUGCACCCGGAUGUAUAGAAUACCUUGAACUAUGAGCUUCUGUCAGAAUAGUGUUGAUCAAAUCAUCAACACGGGGCACACAUACCCUUCCCUUGAUUCUCAAAACACCUUCCUCAUCGAUUUGUGCUUCCUUAGCCUCUCCUCGCAAUACCUUAUCUUGGAUUCUUCUUAGUUUCUCAUCAUCAAACUGUUUUCCCUUAAUCUUGUCAAGAAAGGAAGAUCUUGCUUCCACACAAGCCAACAAUCCUCCCUUCUCAUUUACUUCUAAUCUCAUCAAGUCGUUAGCUAGAGUCUGAACCUCUCUAGCCAAUGGACGUCUAGAAGCUUGCAAGUGAGCUAGACUUCCCAUGCUUACCGCCUUUCUUCUUAAAGCAUCCGCUACAACAUUCGCCUUCCCGGAUGAUACAAAAUAGUGAUGUCGUAGUCCUUCAGUAGUUCCAUCCAUCUCCUCUGUCUCAAGUUCAAAUCUUUCUGAGUAAAGACAUACUGAAGGCUACGAUGAUCCGUAUAGAUCUCACACUUAACCCCAUAUAAAUAGUGUCUCCAUUGCUUUAAUGCAAACACCACCACAACCAAUUCCAAAUCGUGGGUCGGAUAGUUACGUUCAUGCACCUUUAGUUGCCUUGAAGCAUAAGCAAUAAGAUUCUUCUCUUGCAUUAGCACUGCACCCAAACCCGAAUAAGAUGCAUCACAAUAGACAAUGAAAUUCUUACCUUCCACUGGCAAGGUGAGAAUGGGUGCGGUAGUCAACAAAGUCUUGAGCUUCUGAAAGCUUUCCUCACACUCAUCCGACCAUACAAAUGGAACAUUUUGCUUAGUCAAGUUCGUCAGUUGGGAAGCAAUAGAAGAGAAUCCCUUGACAAAUCAGCGAUAGUAGCUAGCUAACCCAACAAAGCUCCUUAUUUCUGACACAUUAGUAGGUCUUACCCAAUUCUUCACUGUCUCAAUCUUAGAAGGAUCGACCAUCACUCCAUCCUUAGAAACCACGUGCCCCAAGAAGGACACUGCAUCUAGCCAAAACUCACACUUAGAGAACUUGGCAUAAAGCUUUUUCUCCCUCAACAUUUCCAAUACCAUUCUCAAAUGCUCCUCAUGUUCCUCCUUACUUUUAGAGUAUAUCAGUAUAUCAUCAAUAAAUACGAUCACGAAGAGGUCCAAAUAUGGCUUAAAAAUCCCGUUCAUUAAGCUCAUGAAUGCAGCAGGGGCAUUCGUAAGACCAAAAGACAUCACUACAAAUUCGUAAUGCCCAUACCUCAUUCGAAAAACAGUCUUUGGCACAUCCGUUGCCCGUAUUUUCAAUUGAUGAUAACCGGAUCUCAAGUCAAUCUUAGAGAAGACACAAGCACCUUGUAACUGAUCGAACAAGUCAUCAAUGCGGGGAAGAGGAUACUUGUUCUUUAUGGUUACCUUGUUUAGUUGUCUGUAGUCUAUACACAUUCGAAAACUCUCAUCCUUCUUCUUCACAAACAAAACCGGAGCACCCCAAGGAGAUGCACUUGGUCUAAUAAAGCCUUUGUUUCACAACUCUUGAAGUUGGGCUUUUAACUCUCUUAACUCCGCGGGAGCCAUUCUAUAAGGGGGUAUCGAAAUGGGGCGAGUACCCGGUUCAAGGUCAAUACAAAAAUCAAUAUCCCUAUCUGGUGGCAUACCAAGAAGAUCUGCAGGGAACACAUCCAGAAACUCACGGACCACCGAAACUGACUUAAUCAAAGGUACUUGGGUAGUGUCAUCCUUGAGAUGUGCCAAGAAAGCUAAACACCCUUUACUAACCAUUUUCUUAGCACGAAGAAAGGAGAUGAUACGCAUCGGAUUGGAAGUGUAGUCGCCCUCCCAAACUAACGGAUCUGUCCCAGGCUUGGCUAACAUCACCGUUUUAGCAUUACAAUCCAAAAUCGCAAAUUGCGGAGAAAGCCAAGUCAUACCCAGAAUUACAUCAAAAUCAUCCAUUUCUAAGAUAACCAAAUCUACAUAAGUGUUGCUCCCCACAAAGUUCACCAAACAAGACCUAUACACCUUUUCAACUACCACAGACUCACCCACCGGAGUAGAAACACGAACAGGCACAUCAAGUAAUUCACAAUGUAAAUUUAUACCAUUAGCAAAUGAGGAAGAUACAUAAGAAAAUGUGGAUCCAGGAUCAAACAAUACAGAAGCCAUGCAAUCACAAACCAGAAGAUUACCUGUGAUGACAGCAUCAGAUGCCUCCGCUUCAGACCGCCUAGGGAAAGCGUAACAAUGGGCCCUAUCGUUCGUCUGUCCGUUGCCCCUACCAUGUUGUGAUGUAGUGGCUCUAGUUUGCCCAUCACCUCGGCCGUUUUGGUGACCACCAUUACCUCGACCACCACGUCCUCCAGAAUGACGGCCUCUACCAUGACCACCUCUACCUCUAGUCAUUGGGGGUCUAUAACUCUGUUUUGGACAAUUCCUCCUAAUAUGUCCAGUCUCUCCACAUCCAUAACACUCUCUGGAGUCAAGCAUAGGUCUCUCAGAGAAGUGUUGACCGGUCUGAGGUGGACCCCCAACUACAGUCUGUAGUGAAGACUGAAUGGGUCGAACUGAGUAACCUCCGGAACCUUUUCCUCUAGAGUAAGAACCGUUAAACUCACAUCCCUUUCGAAAUCUUUUUGAUGUCGAUGUCGUGGUGAAGUCAUCUGGCUUCACUCCUUCCACCUCUAUCAUGAAGUCUACCACCUCUUGGAAGGAUUUUGCCGUAGCCGCUACCUGUAAGGCUGAAAUCCGCAACUCUGACCUCAACCCCUUCACAAAACAGCGAAUCCGCUCUUGUGGACUGAAACAUAGUUGGGUGGCAUACCGGGAUAAUGCACGAAACUUAGCCUCAUAUGCAUUGACCGACAUCCUGCCUUGCUCUAGGCUCAAGAACUCAUCCCUUUUCCUAUCCCUCAAUGUCCGAGGGAUAUACUUUUCCAUAAACAAGCUAGAGAAUGAGGCCCAAGUCAUAGGUGGUGCCUCUGUUGGUUGACACUCAAUAUGUGACCGCCACCACAUUUUGGCGUUCCCUUGAAACUGAUAAGUCACGAACUCAACACCAAACCGUUCUACUAUACCCAUCUUGUGUAGUAGCUCAUGACAGUCAACCAGAAAAUCGUAAGCAUCCUCAGAUUCAGCACCCUUGAAGAUUGGAGGUUUCAAUUUCAAGAACUUACUGAAAAGUUCAUGCUGAUCAUUUGUCAUUACAGGCCCUGUAGUCAGACGAGGAAAUGUGCUUAUUUCCAAUGGAACAUCCAUGCGGGGAGCCAUAGUAGCCGCAUGUUGUACCUCCGGAGCCUGAGGUGUUGGUGCGGAAAACACUGGAGGUGCCUGACCUUGAUCAGACAACCCACUGAGAUAGGCGAGAACCUGAUUGAUCAUUUCUGGGGUAGGUUGGGGUGGCAAUCCCUCAUUCUGCACUUGUUCAGUUUCCCCAUCCUCCCCUUCUCUUAUUACUUCCUCAGUCGGUGGAGGAGUCACUACCCUAGUAUCAGAUGGGCUAGGUGCUCGUCCUCUUCCCUUAGAGGAUGUCCUCUCACGACCUCUACCACGGCCUCUUGCCGCUGCUCUUCCACGAGCUACAGCCCAGUGGCUUGCUCAGACGCACCCUGUCCCGCCAGUGCUGGUGUUGGUGUUGGCGUAGUCGUUGCUCUAGUUCUAACCAUCUGCGAAAGAGAGUGAAGAUGGUCGAUACCAAUUUGUAUCACCUAGAUACCAAUUGGAUUCAAGUAGUAGCACGAAAGAAAGAAAGAAAGAAUGGAAUUUUUCUAAAGUCUUAUAGCCUCUCAAAGAAAAGUAAAGGCGUCCCCCUACCGUUCCUUAAGACUCUACUAGACUCGUUCUUGUGUGAUGAGACCAACGAACCUAAUGCUUUGAUACCAAGUUUGUCACGACCCAAACCGGGUUGCGACUGGCACCCACACUUACCCUCCUAUGUGAGCGAACCAACCAAUCUAACCUUAACAUUUCAAUAUAAUAUCAAAAGAAAGUAAUGCGGAAGACUUAAACUCAUUAAAUAAAGACCAAUUCAUUAACUUCUAAAAUUCAACAUCUAUUAUUCCCCAAAAUCUGGAAGUCAUCAUCACAAGAACAUCUACGAUCAAACGACUAACUAAGAGUAUUCUAAAAGCUAAAAAUACAUAAGAAGCUAGUCCAUGCCGGAAGUUCAAGGCAUCAAGACUUGAAGAAGAAGAUCCAGUCCAAGCUAGAAGCAUUAGCUCACCCUGAAGAUCCGAUGUGACGAAGACUGGCUAGAGUUACUGCUGAGUCGAAGAUGACGGCACGUUUGCUGCACUCCAUAAUUAAACAAGAAGAAAACAUAAAAGUAGGGGUCAGUACAAAACACGGGUACUGAGUAGAUAUCAUCGGCCAACUCAAAAUAGAAAUCAAUAUAUACCGAUAAUAUCAUAAAAUCAACCAUGAUACUCAACAUGUAGCAACAACAAGUACUAUAUCAUUAACAAUUACCGUCAAGUUCACAUAUGAGGACUCAAGCCUCAAUACCAUACUCAUUUGGGGAUUAUGUCCAUUAGAUUGAGUAUAUUAACAUCUUUCAAGAUUCAUUAUCUUUAUUUCUCUUGUGUCGGUACGUGACACUCCGCUCCUUCAUAUUCAUUAAUCCUCUUGUGUCGGUACGUGACACUCCGAUCCCUCAAUGCUCAUUAAUCCUCUUGUGUCGGUACGUGACACUCCGAUCCCCUAAAUCUAUGUGUCGGUUCGUGACACCCGAUCCCCUAAAUCUACGUGUCGGUUCGUGACACCCGAUCCCCUAAUACUACGUGUCGGUUCGUGACACCCGAUCCCCUAAUACUAUGUGUCGGUUCGUGACACCCGAUCCCCUAAUUCUACGUGUCGGUUCGUGACACCCGAUCCCCUAAAUCUACGUGUCGGUUCGUGACACCCGAUCCCCUAAUACUACGUGUCGGUUCGUGAUACCCAAUCCCCUAAUUCUACGUGUCGGUUCGUGACACCCGAUCCCCUAAUCUCCUUCCAUCAAUUCAUUAAGCCUUCUUUCUUACCAAGGCAUCAUCAAUCUCAUUACUUUAGUUCGUCAAGCCUUCUCCCUUACCAAGCCAUCAUCAUUAAAAAGAGAUUAGGUUUUUAUCAAGAUUUGGGAUUCAAUAACUUCAUCAUGCUUAAUAUAAUCACAAUUAUAUAAUCACGUUCAUGCAUGCAUACAAUUAAGCACAUAGCAGGGUUUACAAUACUGCCAAUACAUAUCAUUCUCUAUUAAGAGUUUACUAUGAAAGCAUGAAAACCAUAACUUACCUCCACCGAAGAUUCGUGAUCAAGCAAGCAAUUUCCCAAGCUUUGUGUUUUUCCUAUCGUUCGAUCCUCUCUCUCGUUCAACUUUCUCUCUCUUUCUCUUGUUCUUUCUAUUUUCUUUAUUCAAACCCUCUUUCUUUUACUCUAAUUAGUAUAUAAUUAAGGAUAAAAGAUGGCAAUAAUGCUCCACUAAUUAACUUAAGGUUACCUCUUUUAACCCCCAUGUAAUUAAACUUAUUAACAUUAACCCACAAAUCUUAUAAUUAAAGCAGGAAUAGUCAAAAACGUCCCUUAAAACGUAUAAAGAAAUCCGACCCGGACUGGGAUUGCGCAACCUGUGACGGGCCGUCGUGCCUACGACGGUCCGUCCUGCAGGUCAUCGCAAAGUUCAGAGACCCAAAUUUCCACCAAGGGUCUGUGACAGUCUGUCACACCUGUGACGGUCCGUCCUGCCAUUUCGUUACAAAGUUCAGAUAGUCGAUUUCAGCACCCAAAUUUCAGAAUUUCUAAGUAUUUUGGGACGAGACACCCUCGACGGUCCGUCGUGCCCAUGACGUUCCGUCGUGGGUUCUGUCGUCUCAGCCUGUUUUUCCAGAAAUAAAAUCUGCUGCUCAAAACGACUAAACAGGUCGUUACAAUAUCUCUCUGAAGCAGGUUCUCGCGCGUUCAAAAUAAUUGAACUUGCUGCAAUAGAUUUGAGAGUAGGAAUCAAUUAUAUUCUGAAGGAGUUUCUUUUAGAUCCAAGGUAAUUUCCUACUCUGCAACUUGAAAGUAAAUAACACGAAUUUGCGUAAGAUUGUACAUGUUUCACUUACUAAAGAAGUGAAGAAUAAAGGAAAUAAAAUUUACAAUAAUAAGCAUUAGUCUACGUGAGGGAAUUAUUUAUUGAUUUUUGCAGAAAAAAUUGAGCUAUGCAGGUGAUUACUGCAAAUUUGGAGCUUUGUUGACAGCUUAUAGAGCUUUUUCAUCAGUUUGUGUAUUCAUGAUUUUUACAGGACAUAAGGAGUUGGAUUGCUAGGAAGAAAAAUACUUUACAAAAGCACAGUUUCCAACACUAUGCCUCAUGGUGAGUUAUGAUUUGCUUACUGAUCCUGCUUCAGACGUUAAGCAGACAAGCGAAAAUAAACAUGUAAUGUGAACAGAUCAAGAUUGUUAUCAUCAUUAUCAUAUGUUGGAGCAUUAGAUAGCAAAAUGAAUAUCCAUUACUUCUUUUAGUUAGGCUCUUUUGGAUAAUUGCAAGAGGUAAAGUGAGUAUACAAGAAUUAAUUUCUUGCAUUUCCCUUGUAUUUGGAUGGUAAAUUUUGAUGUAAACUUGAUGCAUACAAUAGUAUGCCAUGCUUUAGGAUUUGGAAGGACUUUAUCAAUAACUCCAUUUAUCAUCUUAGAUAGGGAAAUAUAUUUUUUCAUUUGAUGGGUACUUUGCCUUGAUUUGUAGAAACUAAAUUUUGCACGUCUUCUUUAGUCUACAUCUUAGGAUAUUGUAAAAAUGGGAAUUGGAGUCAGUUACUCCCUUUAAUUUUCAAAAGCAUGACUUUAUCAGUGUUUAGGUUUUGAUUUCUUGCCUGACUUUGGUUAUGUCAUGUUAUAGGACAUUGAUUCUAAUUGUUCAGUGAGUACAAAAGAUCUUAGGUUUUGUCUUACUUAAACAUUUAUAGCUGCUGAAGCUGAAUCAUAAUAUUUGCAUCCAGUUAAGAUAUUAUAGAAUAAAGUUAUUAUCAUAACAUGCAAACAGAUUUUCCACCAUGUACUUUUCCAUUUUGAAUUCUAUACGUUUGCAAUAUUUCCGUUAUAGUAACUUGUUACAUUUUUAUUGAUUUACUUCUAUUUGAAUCUACGUUUAUCAUCUCUUCAUGUUCUAAUAAUGUUAGCAGGUUUCUUGCUAUUGGAAACACUAGAAUAUAUAUUAUUUCUCCACCCUGGAACUUGCUUCAAUUAAUGUGAUAUUUAUACUAUUGUUAGUUGAAGUUGUUCGCUUUUAAAAUUUAAAAAGAAAAAUAGUUUAUGUUUCGUGAAUAUUACAUUCUUGAUCAUUUUUAUUAUUAGACCAAAAGAAAACUAAUUAUAUAAAAACAAAUAGCAUUUACGUCACAAAUAUAUAUUGUAUUAGCACAUCCUAGAUAUUACAACAAUACAACGACAAGUCUAGAAGAGCUCGAGAACCAGUGCCUACCAAUUAGCAAGUUGAAUAAAUAUGCAACAGAAUGGGUUAUUAAAGUCUUAGUCAUUCGUCGGAGUUUAACAAAAGAGUAUAAAAAUACAAAUGGUGAAGGUAUUCGUUGGCAACUGAUAUUAGUCGAUGAAGAGGUAACUCUAUUUUAAUAUUUUGUUAUAUACAUUAUUUAAUAUGUUAACUUCUUUUGGAAUUCUAAUGAUUAUGCUCCUAACCACAGGGUACAAAAAUACAAACCACUCUUUUCAACAAAGAUGUUCAUGCAUGGAACAAGUCUUUUCAACUUAGUCAAAGUUACUACAUAAUAAAUGGAAAAUUAAAUGGACCUAAACCAAACUUCUUAUCCGUACAUAAGGAGCUCGAACUAGCAUUUAUGAACAACACCGAGGUCGUUAAGGACAAAAGUCAUUUUAAGACUGAACAAUUUUCAAAUGAAUUUAUUACAUUUGAUGAAGCUGAAAAAAUCAAUAAUGAAAGUUUGUUUGGUAAAUUUCACAAAAUGUUUAUUAUUUGUUCCAUACAUUAAGAAAAUAUGUUUUUUAACACAUUAUUUUUUAUAGAUGUGGUGUGUAUUUUACUCAAAGUAAAAGCACUAACUGGAGAAAGGACGAAGCAUUAGACGCGAAGUAAUCGUUACAAACGAAAGGUAACAUAUACUUUUUAUGCAUCCUACAUAUAAAUAUUUCACGUUAAUAAGCAUUUAUCAUAAAAAAAAUUGUUACUUGUAUAGGUAUGAUCGAAAAGUCAUGACUUUAUGGGGAGACUUUGCUGAAAUCAAAGGUCAAAUGUUACAAAGUCUUGAAAGUGACAAACCAGUUCUUGCCUUUUGUGAUGUAAAAUCAUCAAUUUAUCAAGGUAUACAUCUCCACACUUGAUAUAUUUGAGUCAAUUUUCAAAGUACAUAAAAGUAUCACUGAAUUAAUUACUUCUGUUGAAAUAGGGAAUUCUGUCCUUUUCACAACUCCUGUUAGUAGUUUGCUUAUAAAUUCACAAUUUGAAAAAGCAAACAAUCUCCAAAAAUGGUAAGUAAUACAUGUUUCAUCACACUUAUUUAGAGGCUACCCACAUGCCACAUCAUUAAUAUUUUUUAUUCAUUUCUUAAAAAUUUCAGGAAUGACAACAUGAAGGCAGAAAAGAUUGACGUAAAUCUAAUGCCAAGCAAACUAAUGCAAACUGCCCGUCAAGUGAAAAUUAGUAAUAUUUUAAAUGGUUCACUUGCCAUUGUGAAGGUACUUUCCUAUACAACACUCAUCUUUUACUCUAAUUAUAUAUUACAAAUGUAAUUACGUGAUUUACUGAAUUUACGUAUAGGACAUGUACUAUAAGUUCAAUGCUACGGUUACUGACAUUGACAGUAACACCGACCCAUGGUAUCCUAGUUGCAACAAAUGCUACAAGCGAGUUACUGUUAUGAAUAGUAUUGCAACUUGUACCUACUGUAGAGCUGAAGAUGUUGAUUAUGAGACGAGGUAAACUUUACUCCAAAUGCAUGAAAAAAAUAUUAUUAACUAAUGAGCUUACUAUGUCGCUAUCAAAUAAUUAGCACCACACUGAUUAAAACAUCCAAUUUGAUUUAGAUAUCGGUUAAAGAUUGAUGUAACUGCCGAGGAUCAAUUUCUAAGCAUUACAAUGUUUGAUGCUGCAAAAUACUAUUUUGGUUGUAACGUAAAAGAGUAUGUUCUCUCUACAUCUGAAAAGGUAAAUCACUUACUCUAUGAAAUAUUGGCUUGUAUAAAUAACUUUACCCUAUUUCAAUUGUAAGGCUAAUAUAUACGUUUUCAUAUUUCACAGAAAGAACAAUCACCAUACUAUCGCAAGAUGGUAUUGAGUAAAGGGAAAGAAUUCAGUAUCCUUGUUAAGAUUGAUCGUAAAUUCCCAGAUGUUGACACAAACAUGAAUGUGAUAGCUAUGGAGAUACAUGAGGUUUCCAAAAAAUUACCACCAGAUCAAACCAAAGUUAAAAUGCCAAUUACAAAACAAAGAAGCAAGAUGACGAAGAUACUAAGUGAUGAUGAAAAAAUGAAAGGAACAGUUGCAGGCAUACCUCAUGUUGAAAAAGAUAUUGCAGCAGUUGAAACUGACAUUGAAAAUGCACACAAAAAAAUACAUGCAAGAGGACUAACGACAUUAAACAAGUCAUUGCAGAUGAUAAUUCACAUAAAUUGAGAAUACAUGAGGUAGAAAAACAGAUUGUACUAGAUGAAAGUGAUGACGAAGCCCCACUAAUUCAACUACAAAGAAAAAGGACCAGGAAGGUUAAAGGAAAAAACAUCAUGCCCUAUCCGAUGGAAAAGAAGAUCAAAGAGGAAAAAAAAUAAUAUAUAAUUGAUUUAAAAUUUCCUUAUUUUUAUCUACCAAUGCUUAUUAUCUCCCUAAUAUUUAAAAAUAACUUACCUUUUUUCACCAAGCAACUUUACCUAACAUCGCUUUUAUUUUUAACUAACUUUCCUAUAUCAAUGAAUUUUGUUAACUGUUUCACUAAACAUUCAAUGUAUGCAAUUUAUUACUUCAAAACAUAUCAACAACAAUCUUCUGUUGCAAUGUGUAUCCUCAUACAUAAAAAAAGGUUUGCGUACAUCCUACCCUAUAAUAGAUGUUUUUUCCUAUAUAUGUCAAAUAUGUGACUACAAUUGCCAUUAAUGAUUCCGUUAUAUUUUAGAUCAAUGCUAAAUUACAUAUACUAAAUAGGAAGAGAUAAGAGAAGUGUCACACCAACAAUCCAAAUUUUAUCACCAUCAGAUCAACAAUGACACACAACCAACAUCAAGGUAAAUCUAAUAUGUUAAGUACUUAUCACAAUUCAAAAUUAAAUUUAACCCUUCUAUUCACUUCACUUCACAGUUGAUACAAAUAUAACCACUCCUUUCAUGCCAAAUCAAGCAGGUGAUAAAGAACAAAACAUUCCUUCUACCAGUAAAACUCAUCAGCAUGACAACUAUAUAAAAAAAAAUUCCACCAACACAGGUAAGAACUUACAUAAUCAUGUAAAAUUCAACAUACAUGAGUACUUAGUACAAUGCAAACAUAUCCGCAUAUACACAUACAAAAAUAUUACAUCCUUUGUCUAAAUGUACCAAAAAAUGUUCCCCUUAUAGAGAAAAGUUAAUUGCAAAACACAUUGUGAAGAGUGGAUAAGUAUAUAUUAGCAACCCAAACAAUAUCACAUCUCGAAGAUGAACAUCCACGUUUGAAAAAGCAGCAUAAAAUCAAUUGGCUAUUUAGAGCAUUAUCUCAAGAGUCUGAAGUUAGAGGUACAUCGGAAAAACCUAUUCAUAUCUUACAUAACUUGAACGUUCAAUAAUUUUAUCAAAUUACAUUUCUAACAUAUCGCUAAAAAUAUUUCUAUAUAUAGGAAUUCUUGCUUAUAACUUAUCUUUAUCAUAUCUGCACGUGCUGAAAGGCGUCCCAGAAUGUAUUUAUUGUGCUGCAAAAAGAUUGGAACAUGAACCUCCAGCAUUCUGUUGUGCAAGCAGAUAUAUCAAAUUAACAAACACUGAAGCACCAACAGAACUAUAUGAAAUGUUUGUGGCAUCUACUCCAGAUGCGGUAGAGUUUUGCAAAAAUAUUCGUGCAUAUAAUAGUAUCUUUGCUUUACAUCUUUUGGUGUUAACCUGGAUAAGGAACUAGCAUUUGCAAAAAAAGGAGUAUACACAUUCAGGGCACAAGGUCAAAUUUAUCACGAUCUACCAUCGUUGCUACCACGUGAUAACAAUCCAUGUUACUUCCAACUAUACUUCUUUGAUACAGACAACGAAUUGACCAACAGGCUAUCGAAGGUGAAUGAAGGAAUUCUUUCAGACCAUAUUGCAACAAAAAUCAAACAGGUAAUGGAGAGUAACCCAUAUGCACAAAUAUUUUUCCAAUUAAAAAACCAAACAGGUAAUGGAGAGUAACCCAUAUGCACAAAUAUUUUGCCAAUUAAAAAACCAAACAAGUUUCCACAAUUUUCAACUUCUUAUUGCUGCAAAUGCCUCUUUGGAUCAACGAGUGUACAACAGACCCUCGGUAAGUCAAGUAGCAGCAAUUUGGAUCGAUGGAAACAAUCCAAAUAUACCUUUUGAUCGAGAAAUAAUUGUUCAUGAGCACUCAGGGUAUAAACAUAGAGUAAAACACUAUUUUGGUUGUUAUGACCCUCUUCAAUAUCCUUUGUUAUUCCCAAGAGGUGAAGGUGGAUGGCAUCAAGGAAUAAGAAAACAGAGCAAAAGGCUGCCUCACAGAAGAAGUGCUCACUCACCACCUAUACUCAAUGAUAUUCCAACAUUCAUAUCAGCUGAUGCAAUAUUAGCCAACGAGGAUCAAGGUAAAAUAUAUUACAUUAUGGUCUCUUAUAGAAAAAAUAUAGUCAUGUUCUUCACAAGUUAGCAACUGAUAAAAAACACAUAUACUAUAUAUAAGAAUACUACCAAAGGCGUACACAAUACAAUUAUAAGAAAAUACAUUUUUCUACUAUACGAAUAUGAUAACCAACAUAAAAUAAAAAUAAUGUUAAUAUGAUUCCUUUCCCUUGUAGAUGUCCGUCGUGAGACAAAGGGAAAUAUUUCUUGCAGAGAGUACUAUUGUUAUAAGCUAUAACUAUGAGAAACAGAGAGGUCAGUAUUAUUACUAUGUGGAAGAUUACUACAACAAUUUGUGGUUGACAUGUACAUAAAAUUGAAAACAACAAGGCUAGAAUAUUUCAGAAAGGAACAAUCAAAUUUUAGAAGAGAGGUUUAUCAAGGUAUUGUUGAUGGUGUCAGCUCGGGAGAAUGCAAUGGAGAUAGAAUUGGGCAAAGAAUACUACUUCCAUCAUCUUUUAUUGGGGGGCCACGAGAUAUGAAAAAACGCUAUAUGGAUGCAAUGGCUUUGGUACAACAUUUUGGUAGACCAGAUCUGUUUAUAACAAUGACGUGCAAUCUUGACUGGAUUGAAAUCCAACAAGAAUUGCGCCUUGGACAAACUCCUCAAGAUAGACCUGACUUGGUAACAAGAGUAUUCAGAGCUAAGUUGCAGGAUCUAAAAGAACAAAUUUUCAAGAAAGAAAUAUUUGAAAUUGUUGUUGCUCAUGUAUUCAUGGUAGAAUUUCAAAAACGAGGACUACCACACAUACACAUACUUCUCAUAUUAAAAGAAGGGCACAACAUCAAAUCAGGAGAUCAGUACGAUAAGGUUAUCUCAGCAGAGAUUCCAGAUAAAUAUGAGUAUCCUAUAUUGCAUAAAUUAGUGCUCAAACAUAUGAUGCAUGGUCCAUGUGAAAACAAACGUCCAACAAACACAUGCAUGCAAAAUGGACAGUGUAAAUAUCAUUACCCAAGGCCCUACAACAACAAAUCAAUCCAAGCAAAGGAUGGAUAUCCAAUUUAUAAAAGAAGAAUGGAUUGAAGAAUAGAGAUUGUUCGUGGAAUGCAUAUGACAAAUCAAUGGGUAGUACCUUAUAGCCCUUAUCUGCUUACAAGAUACAAUUGUCACAUUAAUGUUGAGGUUUUCUCAGGAGUCAAAGCAAUAAAGUAUCUAUACAAGUAUAUAUAUAAAGGACAUGAUCGGUGUGCAGUUUAUGUUCAGUCUGAUGAUGGUGAAAAUGUUAUUGACGAAAUACAAACAUUUCAAGAUGCGCGAUGGGUCUCACCGCCUGAAGCACUAUGGAGAAUGUAUGAAUUCAACUUGACUGAAAUGCAACCUGCAGUCAUCAACCUUCAACUACAUUUGCCAGAAAAACAUUCAGGUACAGAUAUUAAUGCAUUAUAAUACACAUUUACUUAAAGAAAUAAUUAAAUUAUCAAAUACAAAUACUAACUCAAAACAAAAUCACAGUGUUUUACUGGAAAAAUCAAAAUUUAAAAAAUGUCAUCGCCUGGGAUGGUGUCAAGCAAACAAUGUUGACCGAAUAUUUCAGAAUGUGCUCAAUUGACUCUGAAGCAAAAACAUAUCUUUAUAGAGAAUUUCCAAAGUAUUAUGUUUGGAAUUCAAAGGUAAAGACUUGGACAAAAAGAAAAACAAGAUCUGUAAUUGGUCGCAUUGCAAUCGGUAAGCUGAAUGAAGUAAGCUAUAAAAUCAUACACAUUGAUAAUUUUUAAACUUACUAAUUAGUACAUAUUGAUUAUAUUGCAGCUAAUCCUCGAGAAGGGGAAAGAUAUUAUGAGCGGUUGUUACUAAACCAUGUAAGGGGACCAUUGUCAUUCAACGACCUACUCACGGUCAAUGGCAAGCAAUGUCAAACCUUCAAAGAAGGAGCCAAAGAAAGAGGGUUACUUGAGUCUGUCAACAACAUAUCAGAAUGUAUGAGAGAGGCUGUUGUUUUCAAAAUGCCAUUCGCUCUUAGAAGUUUGUUUGCUACAAUUUUGGUUCAUUGUAACCCAACGGAUAUUAGAAAACUAUAGGAUACUUAUUAUGAGGAUAUGUCAGAGGACUUCAACAGGCUAUAUGACAACUCACACAAUACUAUACUACAGUCUACUCUGAAUAGCAUUAAUAAUUGCUUGCAAAGUAUGGGCAAAAGCAUAGACAUAUAUGACAUUCCUUAACUAUAUCACAAUUUCCUCGAAGUUGGUUCAUCAGAAUGUAGAGAAAUAAAUGAAGAAAUGUCCGUGCAAAUACCACCAGAAGAUAUUGAUGCACAGUCACAGUUAAAUCCAGAACAACAUCAUGCUUUUACAAAAAUAAUGCAAACAAUCAAUGCUGGAACAAUUGCAAUAUUCUUUGUGGAUGGACCCGGGGGUACUGGAAAAACAUACCUAUAUCGUGCAUUACUUGCCAAUGUUAGAUCAAGAGGUAUGAUAGGUUUGACAACAGCAACCGGUGGUGUAGCUGCUUCAAUCUUACCAGGAGGACAUACAUCACACUCAAGGUUCGAGAUCCCUCUUCAAACAAGUGAAUCAACUAUGACAAACAUGUCAAAGCAAAGUGGUGUUGCCAAAUUGAUUAGAAAAGCAAAAGUGAUUAUAUGGGAUGAAGCACCAAUGGCCAAACGACAAAUAAUAGAAACAGUCGAUAGGAGCUUCAGAGACAUAAUGGACAUCGAUAAACCAUUCGGUGGAAAAGUCAUGAUUUUUGGAGGAGAUUUUCGACAAGUGUUACCAGUAGUUCCAAAAUCAACUCGAGCAAAAAUUGUAAAUGCAAGUUUGGUCAAAUCAUAUCUCUGGCCUUUGAUGGAGAAGAUUCAAUUUACUAGAAAUAUGAGAGCAAGAACAGAUCCAACAUUCAGUGAGUUCUUACUUCAAGUGGGUAACGAUGAUGAACCAACAAUAAGAGAAAAUUUAAUCCUCCUCCCAUAACAAUUAACAAUCAAACAUUCCAAGGAUGAAAUUCCAGAAGAAUCCAUAAUAAAAAGAGAUAUUUCAAAACCUGCAAGAAAAUGUUGCAACAACAAAAUAUGUCACUGAAAGAGCUAUUUUAGCAAGCAGAAAUGACCAUGUGGAUAAAAUUAACAACAAGUUAAUAUCUCAAUUCCCAGGUGAAAGCAAGAUAUUCAAUAGCUUUGACUCAGCAGAAGAUGACACCAACAACUAUUACCAAGAAGAAUAUCUAAAUACUUUAACACCAAAUGGUCUCCCACCACAUAGGUAUUGAACAUAAUGCAUUACAACUUACAAGAGGCGGAAAAAAUAAAAAAAUGGAUAGAUUUUUACAUAUCUUAUUUAAUGCAGGUUAGAAUUGAAGGAAAAUGCACCUAUCAUGUUGCUAAGGAAUUUGGACCCUUCAAGUGGCUUAUGCAACGGCACACGAAUGAUAUGUCGAGGUUUCUCACAAAAUGUCCUACAUGCAGAAAUAUCAAGUGGUCAUUCUGCAACAAAAUAUGUGUUUCUUCCAAGAAUACAACUAUUACCACCAGAAAAUGAAGGAUAUCCAUUUAAAUUCAUUCGAAAGCAAUUCCCCAUACGCCUUUGUUUUGCAAUGACUAUAAAUAAAGCUCAAGGUCAAACAAUUCACAAUGUUGGUUUGUAUUUGCCCCAACAUGUUUUCUCACAUGGUCAAUUGUAUGUGGCACUAUCAAGAGGGAUAUCUAUGUCCACAACAAAAGUACUUGUCCUAAUAGAGCAACCCAAAUGUCAAAAAGGAACGUACACAAAGAACAUCGUCUAUAAGGAAGUUUUAGGUAUGAUAACCUUAUAUACAUAUAUGGUCAUUCUAACACAUAUAAUUAAAUAUUUACAAAUACUAUAUACUAACAACAUUACAUUGCUUCAAAUCACAGGUUUAGAAGACGCAAGUAAACCUAUACAAGCAUAAUGGAUUCUUCAACAACCCACACUCUACAAUGAAUUAGAGCCAUUUUCAAAAUACUUCUUUCAUUACUAUUAUCAGCUUUAUUAACAUUAUAUUCUAUUAUAAUGUUUAAAUAUUAGUAUUAUUAACAAAUAACCGUACUUUCGUACUUCUGUUUAAACACUUCAUAUUAACUGCAUAUUAUUGUUACUGAUUAUUAUUAAAUGCAUCAAAUUUUUUUCACUAUACAACAUCACUAAUACCUCAUGUAAUCAUCAAAAGAAUAAUAAACACAAUGUACGCUUCUACUACAUCAAUAACAAUUCACCCAAUCAUUAAAACACAGAUUUACAAGAAAAAAAUUCACAUAGAAUGAUAUUACUUACCAUAGCUCACAUGUGCAACACACGUGUCCCUGACUAGUAUUAUUAUAAGUGGGAAGCUCUAAAGUGAAAAGUUGAAUUACUAUUUUGUCCUUCUACUAAAUUAAAACUUUUAUAAUUUUUAUAUAUAUAUAUAUAUAUUAAAUAUUCUUAUUCUCAUUUCAAAAUCUUGACCUUUCAAAUUUCUCACACAAUUUUUUAAAAAUAAAAAUGAGUAAUUAUUCCUUAAAGAUAAGAAAUUAAAUGAGAUUCAUGUAUCUUUUAAAGUUAAAUUUCAUUGAGUUACUAUUUUGCCCUUCUACUAAAUUAAAACUUUUAUAAUUUUUUUUUAAUAUAUAUAUUUAAUCUUCUUAUUCUCAUUUCAAAAUCUUGACUUUUUAAAUUUCUCACACAAUUUUAAAAAAAUAAAAAUGAGUAAUUAUUUCUUAAAGACAAGAAAUUAAAUAAGAUGCAUGUAUCUUUUAAAGUUAAAUUCAUCUCUAUUUUUUUAUAUUUAUUAUAAGCAAGCAAGUGAACGAAUUUAUUUGGUGUCUACCCAAUAGAUAGCUGUGGAUUUUGUAGAUAUUUUUUUUUUGGAAUAAAUCUACAAUUGUGUAUAGGAAUAAAGUAAAAAGAUGUUGGAAAUUAGAGAGGAAAGGCUCAAAGUAGUCACUUAUUUUGGGUUAAGGCUCAAAGUGAUCCUUAAUUUUUUAUAUAGAGUAUUAAUAGUCCCCCAUAUUUGUAAUAUUGGUGCACUUUUGAUCCUCCCUUAAAAUUUUGACUCCCAAAAUUUUAUAUAAGAAAUGUCCGAUUGUCUUUUUUAUAUAUUUAGUAGAAAUAACAACUCUAUCCGAAAGAAGAUCAUAAGAAAAAUACCUUAUUUUGUUCACUAGAAAUAUUAAUGCAGCUAAACUAAGAACAUCUUAACAUAUGACUUUGCAGAAAAAGAAAAAAAUUAUACUACUGCACGUGAAAUUAUCGUGAUGAACCUCUUGAUUACCUGCAAUAUGAUUUCUAUUAAAUAAAAUAACGUAUUUUUCUUCUCACAUACUUUCAUAUGGAAUUGUUAUUUCUACUAAAUAUAUGAAAUGACGAUUGCACAUAUCAUAUGUAGAUUAUAGAUAAAAUCAUGGUAAAAAAAUAAAUAAAAUUUUGGAUGAAAAUCAAAAGUGCAAGGAACUAUUAAUGUUUUAUGUGAAAUUAAAAAAAAAGACUAAUCCUUUCCUCUAGAUUAUAUUAUAUUAUAGAUAGACAAAAUUCCGUUAUCGCUAUUCCCUCUUCGCUUCACUCCAAUUGGCCCCAUUCAUCCUAAAUACUGACAAUUUCACCUUCAAAUUAUCAGAUAAACAAUAGCUGAGCAGGUUGGGUGUUACAUUUUCUUUAUAUUUUUGUGUUUGCUGUUAAAUUCUCUCUUGGUUAGCUCAUUUAAGUAUUUUCCCAGCUCUUCAAUGAUGUAUUUUUGGGUGCUAUUCCUCUGAAUGCUUCUUGGAGCUACAUCUUUACUACUGCCAUAUGAGUCUGAAAAAUGUUGUCUACCAUACAUGUCCUUAAUGAGCACUUCAAUAGUCUUAGGUCAAAAUUUGAUAUCUUUCAACAAAAGUAGUUCGGUAUUUGCGCAUAAUAGUUGCAUUACUGAGGUUCGCUGUAGUUGGGGGAGGAGGAAAUCUUUUGGGUCGAUUCCAAAUGCAAAGAAAAAGUAUCCAAAGAAGAAAAGCUGGUGGAGAGAGUUGUUUUUUGUUGAAAAUGGGAAUUGGCUGGGUCUGAGGGAGGAUGAUAUGCUUGAUGGACUUGAAUCUGAAGGUUUAGGUAGUGAUGAUGAUGAUGAGUUAUCAGAGAAUGAAAAGUUUGAAGCUUGGAAGAGACGAGCCGAGGCUAUCAUGGAGUUAAGGGAAGCACAAGUAGAUAUAAAGAAUGAGGAGAAUCGGAAGUGGGAUGAUUGGCUUGUUGAUGGAAAUGUUGUAUUAGGUAAUGAUUCAUCAUGGGUUCAGGAGUCCAUUAGAGUACCUGAAGAUAACAAGCUGGAAGAUCCUACUGAAUUAAUACCUGGGAGGGGUUUGGUUAAAUCCGUGAGGGAUAUGAUUUUCGGCAGGGAAGAAGAUGAUAUGCUAUAUGAAGAUCGUAUUUUUCAGUAUGCUUCAUUUAAUUCUGUAAGUGCAUUUAUUCUCAUUCUCAUCUUGAUUCCCCCCCUCAAAUUAGUCCGUAAUCUUUAGUGUCUCUAUGUUUCAAUUGGUGAACUUUUUGGGAAACCUAUUACAAUGUGGAAUAGUUAGGUAACUGCAUAUGCAAAAGCUCCUUGCAAUUCACUGCCAAAAUGGUGCACUGAACAUAUGGUAAUUUGAGUAUGUUCAAUACCUCAAGAAGGGUUUAUCUAAUAGCUAAAGCUGCCAAAAUGAAGGUAACAAAGCUGAGGAGCUUCUGCACGACAAUUUAUUUUCCUUGGAUUUAUUCUAAAGAUUAUGAAUGUAGAAACAUCUAAGACAUCUCGUGUUGUCAUGUCCCGAGCACUUAAAAUUCCCUUGGUAUUGUUGUUGAGCACUGAGAAUUGCCAAACGUUGCAUCUGGAAUGUAUUUUAUUAGGAGUCAUUUUUCUCUUCCUGUUGCAGGCUAAGUUCUUCGCAUUGCUGAUAAUUGUCCCAUGGGCUUUGGAUUUUGUAGUUCAUGACUAUGUUCUUAUGCCUUUUCUUGACAGGUAACUUCUGCUUGGAUUUAUUUACAUGCCUUUUAUUACAUUUUUGAAGUGGUUGAUGUUUGAUCUUAUGUACCUAACUUUAUUUUACCAUCAAAUGUUUUCCUACAUUUCUUUUGGUAAGACCUGAUAUUAUUGACGGUAAGCACUAGAACCUCUGUAGGUAACUAAACCAUUCUCUGUUACAUAAAUGAUUGAUUUAGUGUGCCAAGGAGGUGUUACCAUUUUCUAAGGAUCUGCCGUGGAAUCUAAUAGCCCCAUAACACGUCAUUUAAAUUGUUCAAACUCUAGAAGUCCAAUGGAAACAAGUGCAGGAUGAAAAUGUUUAAUCAUCAGUUUCUGUUAAAUCUUAGAUAUUUUAUAUUCAUUUCCUUACACAAAUGUGUCACAAAAGCGGUAAAUGUCUGUUCUUCAUGGCAGCAUUUGACUGUCCAUGUAGCAUAAGUUAGGUCUUAUAUAGGAUUUAUGUAACAAGAUUUUAUAAUUGGUCUUUUUCUGAGUAUCCUCAGCUGGAAUGCAUAGUGUUAUUAUCAGAAUGAAAAUUGUGCUGGUGUAUCUUCUCAAAAAGAAAACUGUGCUGGUUUAUUUGGCGUUGGAGUAUUUUAUUUGGUAGAUAUCGUCAGAUAAAGGAUAAGGGGAGCUAGUUGAAUAUUUAAAUUGUUAUAUAAAUGACUUCUGUCUCCUAACUCUAUAUUCAUAUACACCAGUCUGCCGUUUCCAUCUUCCAGUUAACACUAGUCCCCUUUGCUUUUCUGGUAGAUGCUAGUACAAACACAAAGCCUAAUUCUAAACUACACUAUCUGUUAACUCCUGCCUUUUCUUUUUUUACCAUUUAUUUAGCUUAUUGAGUUUGUGUGAAUUUGCGCCGUUCCCAAGCUCGGAUAAAGGAGGAGGGUUGCGAUAGGUUGAUAACCAGCAUAAAACUAGUAACAUAUAUGGGAGUGAUGUUAAACAGUUAGUGUAAUAUUCACAAGAUGAGUGUUGUUGAAUGUGCAUGCAAAGAUGGACGUGCAAACAUACAAGAUUAGAAAUGACUACAUCCAGCUGAAGAUGCAAGUAGCAUAAAUCAAGGAUAAACUGAAAGAAAGUUGCUUGAGAGAUCAUUUUUUGUUUCAUGUCCUUUGUCGACCUCCAAAUGCACCGGGCUAUAGGUGUGGAACUCUGACUGAACACGUUAAAAAGGAGACGAGGUAGACCUAAAAUCACCGGAAUUGUCAAAAGACCUAUAAUUUGUUGGAAUCAGCGGAGACCUAGCAAAAAGUAGCAGACAAUGGAAGAAAAAGUUGUAUAUAAGAUUCGUAGCAGACAAUGGAAGAAAAAGUUGUAUAUAAGAUUCGUAUAUUUGGACUUUAUUUUAGUCACAUUAGUAUGUUUACUUUAGUUUUUAUGUAUUCUAGGAGUCUUUUAGUCCUAUCUAAGAUUUAUUUACUAGUAAAAGAUAUGGAAAACUUCUAGUACUACUACUACUAAUUAUUAUUUUUUGAAACUAGUAAUUUGUGUUCUUCAGCAUUAAGAGAUACACUGACCACCUCCAACAAAAGUUUACAGUAAAGAAAAUAAGAGAUACUUACAAAGAUUCGAUGAAUUCCACUUAGUAGAUUUCCUCUUCUAUGUUCUGUUCUUUACGCCAAAAACAUAGUGAAGUAAUAACUUUCCACUUAAUCUUCUGUAUAGUGCAUUCUUUUCCUUCAAAGAUCCUCUGGUUCCUCUCAUUCCAAAUGUUUUCCCAGAUGCAAGCUGGGACUUCCCUCCACCAUUCCUUUCUGGCUCUUGCUUCCUCCUCUCCUGAUCCAACAGCUAAGCAAAUCAACAGUAUGUUCAGACCAGUGUUGUGGACGGCGAGAGGCGACAAAAAGCGACAAGGGCCUGCCUCGCCACGCGGCGAGGCGAGCGGCGAGGCGCUUGCCUUUUUGAAUAAAGGCGCCAAUUAAUACCAAAAAUUAAAAAUAUUUAAUUGCAUAUUUUAUCCAAAGUCUUAAUAGCAAUAACACAUAUAAGCCCUUAUUUCUUCUCUAAUUUCCGACGGACAAGCGACACAUUGUUUAACAUUUUUGAAACCACCCACUAAAUGUUGUUUGUGUCGAGUUAUUCCACCAUUGAAAGUACUCCCACAAAAGUUACAAGUGACCGAAUCUUUCGUCGCUCCUUGAGUGCCAUAAUUCCAUCCAAUGUCCCUCUUUUUGCUAGCAUCCGCCAUUGAUUAUUAAAUUCAAUUAAUUCACUGUUUAGAAAAAUUGGAAUAAAUAAUUAGGAAAAGAAUUUUUUUUAAAAAAUUAACACUUUUGUUACACUUACACAAAGCAGUAAGCACUGCCUGACUGCUGCUUACCAAAAAAAAAUAAAAUGAAGAAGAAGAACAGAAAAAAUAAGAACAGAAGAAGAAGAAGAACAGAAAAAAUAAGAACAGAAGAAGAAGUGAGAAAACAUUACCUGAAAACCUGAAAACAGAGAGUGAGAGUCGCGAGGGUCGUCGGCGAGGGAGAAGAGACGCGAGAGCGAGGGAGAGCGAGGGAGCAGAGACGCGACAGCGAGGAACAGCGAGGGAGCAGCGACGCGAUGGAGGAGAAGAGAAGAGUCAAUCGAUCGAUCGAGAGAGUCGCGAUGUGGAGGAUUUCAGAAAUUUUCAAAAGUAAAAAAAAAAACCCUAAUUUUGACUAAUAUUAUUAAGUCAAAAUUUUUUAAUCAAAAAGGCGGUGCCUUUCGCUCGCCAUUUCAGCGCCAUAGAUCGCCAAGAGCUCGCCUUUUUCUCCUCGCCUCGCCUCGCCAGAGAAUGGCGAGCCACCCUCGCCUCGCCUCGCCUCGCCAGAGAAUGGCGAGCCACCCUCGCCUCGCCUCGCCUCUCGCCUUUUAUAACACUGGUUCAGACAUGAUCCAAUAAACUUCAGCGAUGGUAGUGAACAAGGCCCAUGUUUGUUCUGUUACUUUACAAUGCAGGAAGAGGUGUUGUUCGUUCCUAGUGCCUCCUUGCAUAGAAGGAACCUAGACGCGAUGCUGAUCUCCCUCUUUUGCAAUGCCUCAUAUGUCAAACAGGCUUUUCUAGCUACCAACCAAGUGAAGUACUUCACUUGUGUAUGAGCAACACUCGUCCAAAUAGCAAUCCAAGGUCCUGUUUACCUGCCUGCAGCUUCACUCAGACCCCUAUUGUAUACCCUGUUAUCCGUGAAAUACCAUCAUUGUGGUGCCCCCAAAUGAGAUUGUCCGUUUCCAUGUUAGUACCUGGGAAGUUUCCUGUCAAAUUCAGAAGUUCUGAUCAUUUAAGAACCUUCUUAAGGUCACAUUCCAUCCUUGGGGAGACUACACUUCUUGUAUAUUGCAAUCAGGUUUCAAGCAUAUUAAAGCCAUACCAAGGAACAAAGAUUGAAGAGUUCUAUCACCAUUCUAGUCCUCUUUCCAGAAAAGUACCGUAGCUCCCCUUCCAAUUCUACGUUAGUGUCAGGUUCGAAUAACAGCCAGAGAUUCUUCAUUUACUUCCAAACCCCAACCCCAUCAGUGCCAGACUGCCAGUCACCUCAUUUGUGCAUCACUGACCCUCUUGGCCGUAUUUAUGCAAAAUUAUCUCCUUCCAAGGAUUCAGGCCUGUUGGGUAAAUCUCCAUAGCACUUUCAUAAGCAAACUCUUAUUGUGCAGCUUCAUGUUUCUCACUCCCGAUCCUCCAAAACUCUUGUUUUGCUGGAUUCUGAUCCAUUUUACAAGGUUAAGACUCUUAUCAAUCUUGUUCCUUGCCACUGGAAAUUCCUCCUCAGAUUGUCCAAGAUUGUCACCACCUUGCCAGGAAGAGGAACAAGGACAUCACAUAGGUUGACAAUGAGUAAAGGACUGCAUUUAUCAAUAUGACUUUACCACCUAGGAAAAGGUACUGUGACUACCAAAGAGCUAGGUUCUUUUUAUGAUUUCUCUAUUAUUCCAUUCCACAUAUUCACUGCUUUGUGUUUUAGCACCCAAUGGCAUUCUCGAAUAGACUGGGCAUCUCUUCUAUCCUGUAUUUCAGAAUAUCUGCAAGUGUCUAAAUUUGUUUAACCUCUUUAACCGGAAAAAUGUUGGUUUUCCUCCGGUUAACUUUCAGACCAGAACAAGCUUCAAAGAUUACCAGGAUCACCCUCAAGUAGCAACUUUGUUCCUGUUCAGCUUCACAAAAAAACCAUUGUGUCAUCAACAAACAAUAGGUGAGUCACCACCAUAGUUUCAUUGUUUAUGUUCUUAAUGUUGAGGUCACUUAUCCAGUUAUUUGCUAUAUCCUUUCUCAUUAUAUUGUCCAGUCCUUCCAUAGCUAUUGAUCAAAAAUCUCAUUUUGUUUCUAUAGGAGAAGAGACUACCUCAUCAACAUAAAAUAUCAUUCUGCUCCCUCUUGUUGAAUUCUGCUCCUUUCUAAUUCUCUUUUCUCCUCCCUGUUUAACCCCCUAACAUUCUAACAUUUUAGGCUAGUAUCUUCAACUUCGUAACAACCGAGUAGUCUUUUUCCUCCCUCUAUAUCUUGAGUCGCUCAUUGGCUCUGUAUCCUUGAAUUUCACAUCAAGGAUAAGGUUCUUCAACUCCUUUGGAAUUAAUUGUAAAUAGAAAUUCUCUGAUAAGGUCAUAAUUGGGGAAACUUCCUUCUCUCUUCUUUUAUCAAUUUUUAACCGUAAAAUUAUGACACCUGGACCUAACUCAACCCCAAAUUCUUUACUGAGUCUGAUUAUGUUCUAUUGUACCCAAGAACGAAUUUCAUUCUCCACUACUGUACCAGUUCCAUGCUCAUCAGCGUCAGUGAUAGAAUAUCUAUCUUCAAUUGUAUCUUCCCUCCACCUCCUUCUGUCCUAAUUGCAUGCCUCUUUUUGUUUGUGUCUUUAGAUGUGUUCUUUCCUCGGUUUGGACGAUGGACAUAUUGUCAUCGUCCCUCAAAGCUGCGACGAAUUCUAAUUUCUUACCCUCUUCUCCAUGUUCUAGUGGAGUUAGAACACAUUCUCUGCCUUGCUUCAUUAGAUUUAUGCAGUUUGCUUCUAUUUCAUCGAGUAAAGGUUCAAAAAACCUUUCACUAUUGUUGGAAUUCUUUUCAUUUAAAUGAGCAGCAUGUUGGACCAGUGGGUCUGGGCCCAUGGUUUUAAUUUCUUUUCCUUUCUGUUGCUCCAGGUCACGUGCACACUAAGGCCUCAUUUGUUUGCACUUAAUGAAGGUCUUAAUCUUAUUCAUUCAGAUUUAGUCCAUUAAGUGCAUUUGGUUUAGUCUGAAUUUUAAUCAUUCAUAUUCAGCCCAUUAAGUCAAUUUGUUUCUUUUUUAAAAAAACCUCUUCAUGGGUCUUAAUGAGUCUGAAUGGAUCAGAUCUAUAAUAGAGUCUUAAUACCAUUCAGAUUCCAUUAAAACAGUAAAUGUUCUUUCAUAAACAAAUUCUAUGCUUCCUUUCUUAUCUUUUGAGCAAGUCUCAAGUUUCUUCCUCUCCUUUUCCAAUCAAAUACCAUUUUUUUUCUUUUGAAUAGGUAAGUUUUCAUAAUCUUUUACAAGUAUUUAUCUUAUAUUUUUAAUCUAUACAAUAUUCUUUGGUGAAUCGAUAUUUAUGAAGAAAUCUUUUUGUCACAAUUCGUUUGUUGCCAAAACUUCUUUGAAAGAAGUUAUCGUUGUUUCUUGAGAAAAAAAAUUGUCUGAGAAAACAAAUAAAUCAUUUUUUUUUGUGGUGGGUUAUAGUCUUAUUCUUGAAACAACUUUUUGGAGAAAUCAUCGUGGGUUUGAAUUAUAAAUUUUAUUGAUAUAGUGUUUAAUUCCUAAUUUUAAAAUAAAUAAAUUAUGCGCUAUGAUAUUGAAAACAGACAAUCUUAAUAAUUAAAUUACAUCUUACUAUUCAGAUGUGCAUUCAGAUUCUGAUACUUUAAUCGUAAUGCACACCUUAAUAUUCAGAUGUGCAUUCAGAUUCAGACAUCUUAAUCUUAAUGAAAACAAAUAAGGCCUUAAUGAAUUCAAGAACUUUUGAAUACUCCACAUGGCAACUCCUGUCACCAGUUGCCACGGGUGUAGAUUUCGCUGCUCCACCUCUGUGUAUUACCUGUUGGGUCAAAAUAUGAAACCUUUUGUCACCUACAGCAUAAAAGCCUUCUUCUCCGAUGGAGAACCUCGUCGGUGUCUCAUCCUAUACUUAACUAAUAUACCAAAACCACCGCUUAUGAGUUUGGAUCUGUCACAUCCGGGUUUACCCCUAGACGUAACCGGCGUCGUCGUCCUUUUGAAGGACUAAGACUAGCCUCUUAGUUUCAUGUCAUUACAUUCAUAGGUUGAAAAACGGAAAAAUUUAAAACUUUCAUUAUCACUACUUGGAGGUUUACAUAGACCUCUACAUACACAUAAUAGAUAUUCAUAUCGAGUAUACAUAGACCCUUCAUAUAGAAAGGUUACAUAUCCUUCUACUUUUAUUGCACAUACAUGUAUAAGAAUAUAAAAUUAGUCUCAAUAAUUGUCUCAUCUCAUACCAUCAAAACGAAUAUCACAAUAUGGGCAUAACCCUUACAUCGAUUCAACAAGACCAUGUAUAGGUCAUACAAAAGUACAAUAUUCAAAUAACAAGGAAAGGAAUGAUAGAGUCAAUAAGCUCAUAACAAAAUCCAAAGUUAGAGGAUGACACUGCCCUCGAGAGUUGAGGACCUACCCUACUUGGAUGAAAGGAAGAAUCCAAGCCUUCAACAAUGACACCUCCCAAAACUCUUCAACAAUCGGAACCUAAAAUGUUUGGGGAAAAGGGAAGAAAAUGGGGUUAGUACUCCAGAUAUACUAAGUAUGAGAUCUUAUGCACAUACUCAAGCAAAACAUGCUAAAAGGGACUUUUUAUCAAAACAUGUCAUUUUACCCCUUUAGGGACUUAAUGCAAAGUCAAGUAAGUCAUAUCAAUCAAUCAACAUGCUUGCUAUCAUACAAGUAAUACUUAUCCCAACAUAUUGAAACUAUGAUUUACUACAACCCUAACAUCAAGAAAUAAUAUCACAAGAAUAAAUAAGAGUUAAACAUAUCAUAAUAAGCAAGACAACUACUCACAAGUCCUUAUCAAGUCAACUAGUGCAAUGACCAAACAAAGCCCCAUAACCUCACUCAAUUAAGUAUCCUCAACAAGAAAACAUGACCAAUGUCCAACUUUACAUAUCAUGGCUUUUAGACUUGCAUUUCAUCAUAUACUCAUUAUCAUACAAGGCAUAUUUAUAAAUGAACUAAUCAAAAUAUAUUAUCAACAAUGUGCCAUGGUCAUUAUAUAUAUACAUCAUAUAUUAUCAUAGCAUAAACAUACAUAAGAACCUCCUCCUAAGACUCCCCUUAAAGCUAGCUAGUGCAAUGUCUAGGUAAAGUCCCAAACCCUUACCUGGACUAAGCUAGACCCCUUAGGUUAUCCAAGUUAGAGUUCAAGUCUUUUAUUCGUUUUACCUUUUCAGGAACAUCUUGCCCUAGCCGACAUAGAUCACAUGAGCUAGUGUGGAAUCCGGUGUCAUAAAACCCUAUACCGAAAAGAAGGCGGACUACUUGCCAAGGUAGUACCCAAACAUGAAACAUAACAACUACGUGGAUCCACUAGCUAGUAUUCCUAUCGGGGCAACAUAGUUCAAGAACUAGGAGAUUUAGUUGGGACCCUCUUUAUGCGCCAUGCAUUAUAGUCUCCAAUCUCAAGAGUAAUGUAGUGUUCCUACCUUCCCUAUGUGGGAAGGGACACUUCUCUAUCUAGUUCACUCGGUGCUAAGCUAGAGUCCCUUUUUGAAAUAUCUUUAAGCCUUUAAUUAUCAAUCAUAACUUAAUUAGGCCAUAGGGUCUAUCCCUUGUAUAAUCAUCAUCAUCAAUAGCUCAAUAAGAAUUGUAUGAGUAUAAGUCCUUUCAUCACAAUUCCUAUAAGUGAGGUUAAAUCUUUAGCAUUUCAUAACAUAUUAAGGCACAUUGAUAGUUUUCACCAUCCUUAUAGCAGAUACACCUUAAUCAACCUCACAACGUAGUCAAGACAUUUCAAUUCAACAUCAUACCACCCUAUAAUCCUAGUAUAAGACACACUCCAAUGUAAUAUCAUGACUUAACAACAAUUAAUCACAAUUGGAAGUAAAGAUAGAGAUUCUAAGAAUUACCAAGUCUUCCUCAUAGUCUAUCAUCAAUGUCUUACCAUCAACCCAUAAAUCAACCUAACUUGGGGAGUAACAUCAUCAGACAAUGAUAACCAAUAAGAUUACAAGGCCAAUUGCAUCUCUAUAACACAAUUCAUCUUCAGAUCACAACUUGAGACAAGGUACAUAGGCUAAUUUCACAUUAUAAUUCAUAACCUAAAUCACAUCUCAAGAACUAGCAUGAUAGGCCUAUAAUUCAUCUUAAUUUAAUCAUAAUAGCACCAUAGGAUAGUAACCAAAUCAACAACUAACUCGAUUGAAUGAUCCCAAUACAAUAUAGGUCAACAUCACUACCUAGGGUUAGGGAUAUCGGAUCAUACUAUUCAAUUUAGACCAAACCAUCAAAAGUUACCAUAAAUAAGUUGAAUUACAUGUUAAUCUACUCAAUAUAACCCUAAGAAUUCAUUAACAACUCAAUGCAUAACUUCAAUUUCGUAAUUGAAUGAGAUCCAUAAGAAAACUCAACUUUUUGAAAUCUAUUUUGAAGGAACCCUUUUAGGAAAGAAUCUCAAAGGUGAAUAGAACCCAUACCUUAAUGAUUUCUCAACAAUUUGAUUGUGAAUUCGUCCCUUUCCAGCCCUCAAACCCUAGUUCUUGCUAGCCUUCAAUGGUGAGUUCAUGUAGAGAGAAUAAGAGAGAAGGAAGAGAGUUUAUUUUGAGAGUUGUCUUUAGGUUAAUGAGGGUUGAGGGUACUUACAGUAGGACUUAAUCAACUUAAUUAGUUUCCCUUUAAUCCCCAACUAACCCCUAAAACACUUAUUUAAUUAAAUAAAAUCAUAAACUCGACCCUCACAGAAGAGACCCCGAUCGACGGUGCGUUUGUGAGUCGACGGAAAACUCCCCCUCCGUCCUGCACUCUGUCGUCUCGGUCAGAGACUUUGUAGGCGAGGGCUUCCUCCAAUUUGUCUAAGUGUGGGACGACAGUGGCAUCGACGCCCCGUUGAUCCACACACGGACCGUAGCUUGCACCUUUGCACUCCGUCGAGGAGUCCAGAGAAUGUGCAGGUGAAGGGACCUUCUCCACCAGUCUAAGUAUGGGAUGACGGUGGCAUCGACGCCCCGUCGAUCCAGACACGGGCCAUUUUCUGUCCCGUCGAUGUAAACUGUCAGGCAGUGCUGCAUCAAACUACAUGGGUCCUCCUCAAGGGCCCUUGGUUGGUCCUUGGGGAGUCGUACCCGAACGUUUCAACCAUGGAACAACUCAAACACCCAUUAGUUACCUUUUUACCAAUUUUCGUACAUUUUCGAUUCCUAAAAGUUAGUCAAAAAGGCUAAAUCCCUUUGAACCAACUUCCCGAAUGUUUUGGACGUUUUGGUUCUUAAACCUCCUAAAUGACCUAUAUUCAUUAAAAAUGGACUUAGAAACAAUGUUUAGACUUUAUGACACCUAUGUUAGGCUUUACAAUGAGUUUUGGAUUUUCAAGGUGUUACAGUAUCAGCUCAUAACCUCUAUACCUGGUACCUUACUGGAGUGUAUGCUCUGCAUACCAGAGGAAUGAGAAGUUACUUUGCGUGGAGGAACUUGCUGCAGUUGUAACCAUUUGUGAUGGUCCUUGGGUCAUCUGUGGAGACUUAAACACCAACAAUACUAUGAAAUAAAGAAAAGGAUGUAACAAAAUUUCUUUUGUUAUGUCUGACUUCUUAACGUGGAUACAAGAGAUGGAAUUACAUGAACCCCAUCUACAUGGUGGAAUCUUUUCUUGGUUUAGAGGCAUUAAUCAUCCAAGUGCAGCUAAGCUAGAUAGAUUAUUCUCUAUGGAAUGGGAAGAAAAAUUCAAAAAUAUCAAGCAAAAGUUGCUACCUAGAGUGCUCUCUGACCAUUGCCCUAUCGUAUUAGAAUGUGGAAACCGGGAGAAGAAAAGGUCAAAUUCAAGUUCGAGAACUAGUGGUUCAAGGUUGAAGGCUUCACUGAUUUGAACAAGCAUGGUGGAAAUGAAUUCUUGGAGGAAGGAUGCCCAGACUACAAACUCAAUUAAACUAAAAAUGCUUAAAGGAAAAACUUAAAGAAUGAAGUAAAGCAAAUUUUGGGAAGCUAGUAAAUAAGAAUAAUAGUUUACUUGAAGAAUUGGCUGAAAUUGAUGAGUUACAGGGAACAAGAGAUUUGACUGAAGAUGAAAUGAUGGUAAGAGCCACCAUAGUAGUGGAGUUGGAAGAAGUGGCAAAAUAUGAAGAAUCAAAGUGGAGAUAGAAAUCCAGAGUAUUAUGGCUGAAACAAGGGGACAAUAACACAAAGUUUUUUCAAAGAAUGGUAACAUCAGACAGGAGGACCAACACCGUUGAUAGUCUGAUAGACAAAGGAGAAAUUGUAGAAGAUCCUAUGGAGAUCGUAAACACUAUGAUUGAUUUCUAUAGGAAAUUUACACUAAACCUGAGAAUUAGCGACCUAGAUUUGACCUCCUAGAUUGCCCAACUAUAAAUAGGAGGAACAAACUUGGAUGCAGAGACCUUUUACUGUGGCAUUGAAGAGGUCCUGAAAUGCUUAUAACACUGUGAUGGAGACAGCUCCAGGCCCAGGUGGCUUCAGAAUGAGUUUCUUUAAGUCAUGCUAGGUAACAUUAAAGGAAAAUCUAUGUUGACAAUUCAUAACUUUCACCAAAAGAAAUUUUUUGAAAAAUCUUUCAAUGCCACUUUCAUAGCAUUGAUUCCUAAAAAAGCUAAAGUAGAGGAAUUAAAGAUAUGAGAUCUAUUAGCUUGAUAGAGGGAAUAUAUAAGAUUAUUUCCGAACUGAUCGCUGAGAGGUUGAAGACAGUAAUGGGAAACUGGUUGAUGUACACCAAAUGACUCCCUAAAAGGAAGGCAAAUUAUGGAUGCUUCACUAAUUGCUAAUGAAUUGGUGGACUCCAGAGUUAAACAAAAGAAGGCUGGAAUCUUAUGCAAGCCGGAUACAGAAAAGAUAUAUGAUUAUAUCAAUUGGUCUUUUCUGCUUAUGAUUUUGAAGGACAUGGGAUUUGGGUGGAAGUGGCUUAACUGGAUAAGAUUCUACAUAUCCACUGUUAAGUUUUCCCUAAUUAUAAAUGGAAAUUCUGAAGGUUUCUUCCCGUCUCUAAUGGGGCUAAGACAAGGGGACCAUCUCUCACCCUUUCUAUAAAUCUAGCCAUGGAAGGUCUCAAUCACAUGAUCAUGAGAGCAAAUUGGAGGGUUAAAUAAGUUUUAAAGCUCAGAUGUAGGGCAGUAGGACAAUGACUCUAUGAAUCUUUGAUUUUGGGCUCCAUGUUAAAUGGCAAAAGAGUUUCCUGUACCCAGUUAACCAAGUAAGCAAUAUGGAACUGUUAGCUCCCAAUCUUGGUUGCCAAAUAGAAACUCUACCUACAAAGUACUUGGAUAUGCCUUUUGGGAGCACAAAACAAGGACAUAAAAGUGUGGAAUGUACUAGAGAGAUGUUACAGGAAACUAGCAAGCUAGAAAGGUCAAUACCCUCUUUGGGAGGGAGAUUGACCCUGGUCAAGUUAGUCCCAAAUGCACUCCCAUCUUAUAUAAUGAGUCAUUUUUCUAUUCCAAAGAGCAUUGUGAGAAAGAUCAACAAACUUAGAAGAUCUUUUCUUUGGAAUGGAAACAGAGAAAAUAGAGGUUACAAACUAGUCAAGUGGGACAUUGUAACACUUAGCAGGAAACAUGGGGGACUGAGUAUAAAAAAGCUAAGCCUUUAGAAUUCCUGUCUUCUAUGGAAAUGGUUGUAGAGAUUUUGCAAAGCCAUUGGUCUAUUGUGGAGUUAAUGGGAACAUUUGGGUCUAGUGUUUGGAAGACCAUCAAGAGACUAUGACCAUAAUUCAAAGGUAACAUCUCACUUAAGGUGGGAAAUGACAGGAUAACUUCUGGAAUGAUCUAUGAUUUGGGGAAAAAUAGCUAGCAACAUUAUUUCCAUACCUGUUUAUGCUCAGCCAGCAGAACAAGGACAUAAUUAUUCAAAUGUGGAGCCCUCAGGGAUGGAAUUUCUUGUUUAGAAGAGCCCUUAAUGAUCAGGAGAUAGCGAGAAUCACUACUCUAUUUUGGAUCCUAAAUGCCUUUCCAGGCACUUCCACUAAGCCUGGUAAGCCUCUGUGGAAAUUACAAAGGAAAGGAGUGUUCACAGUGAAGUCUGGUCAAAGACAAAAUAGAAUUUGGCCUUGGAAACUUAUCUGGAAGAUAAAAAUACCUCUAAGGUCUCAUGUUUUGCUUGGUUAGUGUGUAGAUGGGCAUGCUUAACACAUAAAGUGCUUUAGAAAAAAGGAAGACAACUUUGCUCGAAGUGCUUUAUGUGUGAUCAAGAUGGUGAAGUCAAUGGACAUUAGUUCCUCUACUGCAAGGUAGUUGCUACCGACCUAUAGAACAUGUUUUUUUUUCAUCCUUGGUGUGUGUUGGGUUAUUCCACGGACCACUAAGGUCCUACUAGACAUCAGUGUUAUCAAAAGCGAAAAGUGCAAAAAAGCUCUAAGGUCCAUGGGGGCUUUAAGCGCAAAUAAAGCUUGUGCUUUAAUGAAAUAAGGCGCAAAGACAGAAUAUAAUACAAAUAUAUAUGUUUAGUCCAAGAUUAAUAAUUAUAAACAUGAAUGACACAUUUAUGACCAAAGAAAUUGAAAAAAAUUUAAUAAUGUAAUGAAAUAUCAAUUGUUUGGUGUCACUUCUCAUAAGAGGCUCAUUGACAAGGAAAAAUUUGCCUUAGAAUCUUGAGGACGACACUGAAGCGCACAUAAAGUGAUGCGAAGCGCUCAACAUGUUUUGAGCCUCGCUUCAGGGCUUAAGCGCGCCUUUGGUAACAUUGCUAGACAUCUGAAAGGAGAUAGGAAGAAGACACUUUACCGAAGACUGGUGGGAGUUAAUCCCAACUUGCAAUUGGUGGACAUCGUGGAAAGAAAAAAAUGCUAGAUGUUUUAAGGAUAGAACUAAAAUAUUGAGAGAAUUAGAAUGAAUGACCUUAGCCUUUUGUAUUUUUGGUGUAAAUAAGAUAUGAGGGGGAUAUAAAACUUUUUGUUGAUUUCAUAGGCAAUUUGUGACCUCCCUAAAUUCAUAUGCUCUGAUGAGAUUGUAAGUGGCCAAUGCUCAUCAUUAUUUGAUAAUGAGACUUUUGUGAAUACACAAUUACCCUUCUCUCAAAAACAAAUUACCCAACUCAUGGUUGUGAUUAGUGGUUUUUGAAUUGACAAGUUGAAACAGUUUUUCUUUUGACAUGUUGAAUGGAGGAAAAAAGUACAAGAAAGCCAUAGUUUUGUUUCAAUUUUUUUUGUGAAGAUCCAAAAUUAGACUUCCAAGGAAUUGACGAAGUCCCACAGGGAUGAAAUUUGUCAUGGAGAAGAAGAUACAACAACGGAUAUGGAUUUUCUAGUUUUAUAGGUAGUUCCCGAAGAGACGUGAUAGAAACCGAGGUUUUAUACAGAAUAAAAACAACAGAAAAUACAAAAAGAGACUCAAGUAUUUCGUUUGUCGAAGAACAAUAGAAAAUACAAAGAGAGACAAGUAUCUCGUAUCUCUUAGAACAACCUUUUCUGCAUUUAAAUAAUAUAUUACCAUCUUUCUACUUAUUUACUAGAUCUCUUAUUAUAUAAUACAUAAUUGAUAACUACUUUAUAACUAUUUAAGAGUAACUUCUAGUAACCAUUAGAAACUGCCAAAUAACGGUAAGAAACUGCUCAUUGCUCCAUGGGUGAAACCUCCAGUAAUUUGAGAAGAUGCAAAUCAGUAUCUUCUCCUAUCUUUCUUCGCUUCUUCGUCCUUGAAUAAGUAUGGAAGAUUCGUGCCUUAUAAGUACACCCUCAUGGAAAGACGACUUGUCGUUAAGUCAAAAAUCUGGAAACUUUGUAGCUGACCAAGAUUUUUGGCCAUAUGGCUGAAGACGUAAAACAGAAGCAUCACCAACAUUAGAAGAGAGGUCUAUGUGCUUAUAAUUUGCCUUCAUAAGGUUUAACAUUGCAUCUCUAGGCAACAUCUGUUCUUCAAGGUCUGCUUGGAAAGAUGCUGGUGCGAGUGUUUUCUGUGGAACACCUUGUAGUUUAUAAGUUUUCUCAUUCAAUUGGAAAAUUAGGAACAUCUCGUUCCAAUUGGCUUUUAUUGUGUUCAAGGAUGCUAGCCAUUGUAUACCCAACACCAUGUCUGUGCCACUAAAGGAAAAAGGGAAAAAUGUGUUUUAUGACCAAGUUAGAAACCUGUGCUGACAGGUCAUGACAAACUUUGUUGCAUUUGAUAAUUUCACCAUUGCCUAUCUGGCCACCAAAAGUAGGGACAUAUUUGACUGCCAACCCAAGUUCCGUUACAAUUUCUUUUGCUACAAAAUUAUGUGUCGAACCACUAUCUACCAACAUCAACACUUUAUGCGCGCAAAGAGUGCCUUGAAGUUUCAAAGUUGAAGCAGAUUGUUUGCCCAAAAUUGCAUGAAAAGAGAUUUUCUCCAAAUCAGUAGGGGGUAUGUCUUCAUUCUUAUUACCGUCAACACUUUGCACAUGGUUUUCCUCUUGCACUAACUCCAAUUGUGCAAAAGUCCCAGGUUUGCAGCGAUGGCCAGGGGUAAACUUGUCUCUAUAACGGUAGCAUAGGCCUUUUUCUUGCCGAAUUUGUUGUUCAAAAUUCAAUAGCGAGUGUUUGGAAGAGAUGACUGUUGAAAACGCCGUGUAACUAGUUGGCGGGAUGAUUGGAAAUUAAAGGAUUCUCGAGUCGUUGGAGAGGAAGUCCUAAUUGAUGAAGGUCUUGAUACAGAAGGCCAAGCAGACACCUUACUGGAUUGAUUUAGUCCAUGUUUUCCUUCAUAUUCUAAGGCCAAACUCAUCCCUUAUACAUAGAUCGAGGCUUAUGAAUUCUAACAUCCACACGAAGGUCUUCUUUGAGUCCGCUAAGGAAAACUCCAAGCAAACAAUGUUUUGGCCAAGUUUGCACACGGGCGGCCCGUUUUGCAAAUUCCCGCCUAUACUCGAAAACUGAUCCAGUCUGUUGGGAUACUACACAAAUGUUCAUUUGGAUAUUGAAAUUCAACAGGUCCAUAAUUUUCCUGCAUAACUUUCACCAACUCCAUCCCAGUAAUAAAUUGUUCUUCCACUGUUGAUCCAAGCAAAAAGAUCCAAUACAUCUCUUUCCAAAUACAUUGAAGCCACAUCAACCUUGCAAUCAUUAGGUGAUUGAUAAUUUUGAAAAUACUUCUCUGCUUUCAAAAUCCAACCUCGAAGAUCUCCUCCUUCAUACUUUAGGAAAUUCCAUCUUUGUGUGCGAACGUCGAUAAGUUUCUUGAUCCAAGUUCUAUCAACCUCACCCUCUUCCAGUAAAACUUGUGAUUUUCCAUGUUUAUUUAGCAUGUUUUGUGCUUUUAAUGCAGCCACAUCAGCAGCCAAAGCACUCCCAAUUUCGCUGCUAUAGUGGUUAAUUGCUGGCCAAUCUGAUCAGGAGUCGUCAUGAUAGGUUCGCUGUGGGAGCGUUGGUUCGUGUGCUAACCAUGAGAGAUCUGACUACUCUGAUACCAAUGAUAGAAACCGAGGUUUUAUACUUAAUAAAAACAACCAAAAUACAAAAAGAGACGCAAGUAUCUCGUAUCUCGUAUCUCGAAGAACAAUAGAAAAUACAAAGAGAGACAAGUAUCUCGUAUCUCUUAAAACAACCUUUUCUGCAUUUAAAAGAUAUAUUACUAUCUGUCUACUUAUUUACUAGAUCUCUUAUUAUAUAAUACAUAAUUGAUAAGUACUUUAUAACUAUUUAGGAUAAGGAUAGAUAACUUCUAGUAACCAUAAGAAACUGCCAAAUGACUUCUAAUAACGGUAAGAAACUGCUCAUUGCUCCAUGGGUGAAAAUCUCCAGUAAUUUGAGAAGAUGCAAAUCAAUAAAUCAAUAUCUUCUCCUAUCUUUCUUUGCUUCUUCCUCCUUGAAUAAGUACGGAAGAUACGUGCCUUAUCAAGACGCAAUUGGAGAAACACAACAGUCUGAAGGGACACACUAGAGUUGAAUAAGCGGGCUUAAAGGUAAAAACAAAAUAGAGGUAAAAAAAACUAAAAGUACGAAGAAAACAUAAAAGUAAAUUCAUGAAUUCUAAGGGUGCCAUGUAGGUUGGCCUAGGAUUCUCUUUUGUAUGUAUAUAAGAUAAGAUAAGAUUCUUUUUUGGUAGAUGUAUCUCUUUUAAUGAAGGCAUUGAUUUUUGUCCGCAAGUUUUCUCCACCAAUCAGUAAAAGCGUUUUCUGGAAUACUAAUAAUUGCCCUGUCUGCCCCCUUAACUGUAAUCAAAGAUAGAAACCUUCCAUACUUGUUGGAAUUUCGGAGAAAGAAAUAUAUUUGUGAAAUAAUAUUUGCAUUUCCAUGUUUUAAAAGAAUUCCCUUUCACUUCUGAUGCUUCGUAAAAUCUCUUGUAAAUCCAGAGGAGAAAGCCUCUGUUCAACACCAUCAUCCUUAUGUGGUAUCUCCACUUUCCACUUAGUUGUACUAGACCUCUUCUCUAACCUUGGCUUCAGUGAUGUCAUAGGACUUCCCCCCUGAACAAAAGUAGAUCCUAUUGUUCAUCCUUUCAAGUGAACAGGAUGGUAGAGGUAAAGAAAGUGGAAGGAGAUUGAGAGAAGUGAAAAGAGAAGAGAAGAAAGUAAUAUUCCAGUGGAACAAGGUUCUCGGGGGGAAGAAACAUGGGGUCUUGGAGUAAGGAAUUUGAAAAAGCAUAGUAAAUCCCUUAGACUAAAGUGAUUAUGGAGGUAUUCUCAAGAGCCUCAACCAUAUUGGGGAAAAGUAAUUCAAGCAAAAUAUGAAGAGGAAAACAAGUGGAUGACAAAGGAGGUCCUUACACCAUAUGGGGUAAGCCUAUGGAAUCCAUCUGAAUCUUGUGGCCUCUCUUGAAGAUCAAUACGACCAACAGUGUAGGAAAUGACAUCAAGACUUCAUUUUGGGAGGAUAAAUGGUUGGACAACUUUAGAUUGAAAAGUAUCUUUCCAGAGAUGCAUGACUUGGCAGUGAAUAAACAAGUGACUGUAGCUGAGAUUUGGACACAGCAUGGAUGGAAUUUCCAGUUUAGAAGGAAUUUCAAUCAUUGGGAAAUCAAGACCGUGACUGAUUUUUUUGGAAGUCUGGAAACUUUUACAGAACAAGGGAUGAACAUGAUAGAUUAUGGUAGAGAAGAAAUAACAAAAUCACAUUCAAGGUAAACUCUGCAUAUAAGUUGCUAAAUCAAGAUGGACAACAACCUUCCCUUUGGCCUUGGAAGCAGAUUUGGAAACCUAAAAUCCCUUUCAAGAUGUCAUGUUUCACUUGGCUUCUGGCAAGAGAAGCAAUUUUAACACAUGAAAAUCUCAAGAAAAGGAAGUUCUCCAUGUGUUCUAGAUGCUAUUUAUGUGGGGAAGAGGUUGAGACAGGCAAUCAACUGUUUCUCCAGUGCAGAAUAAGUGAAUAACAUCCCAGCUAUGGAGGUUUUUCAUUAGGCUCAGGGGUUUUGCUUGGGCUAUGCCUAACGGAAUCACACAUCUUUUAUACAGUUGGGGAGAAGUAGGGGUGGGAGCUGCAGAUAGAGAUAGAUGGAAGAUUGUCCUGUAUCUGGUGGACUAUUUAGAAGGAAAGAAAUGCUAAAUGUUUUGAGAGCAAGAGUUGUGAUCUUCGAACGAUCAAACUAAAUUGUAUCAGGCUUUUGUUUCUGGUGCAAGCAAAUGCAUUUAGAGGACAGUGAAUCCAUUAUAGAUAUCCUAGGUUCCUGUUAGGAUUCAGAUUCAGUUUUCUUACUUUUUGAAAAGCUGUAAAUAUGGUUUAGUGCAACCCAAGCCUGGUUUCAAUGAAUAUACACAAUGUUACCUUCUCAAAAAAAAACAACACUUUUCCGGUGGAAUAAGUUCACCGGAGUCUGGAUCCCAAAGCCCAGAAGGGACUUCAGGAAAAAGCCUCGGAAAAGGUGCCUGAGAGCAAACAAUCCUUUUAAAUAUUUUAUUAUUAUAGUUUCUACUAUUAUUAGAAUUUUCUGAAAUGAACUUGUUUGGGAUUGAGGUGUUUUAUUAAGUUUGUAAUUCUCAUUCAGACAGCCUGAUGAAUUCCCUGAUGCUCUUUCUUAUGAGCUUUUGUUGUAUACUUUGCUUACUCCAUCAUUAUCCCCAGAAAAGAGAGGUUUGCUUGACUUCAUCUAUUAAUUGUUCCAAUGGUUCGAAGCCUACUCAAGUGUCAUUUUCCUAAUUAAAACUACUUGAAAUUUUUUCUUCCUUGUUUCUGCGUCACAGUGCGACAAAUUCUUCAUGGACAGUAGACUAGUAAUACAGGUAUUUGAGCUUAUUUCUUGAUAUUGUGAACAUACAUCCCUGCACUACCAUCGCUGACUUCUAAAUUUUUGAGAACAUAUUACUUUUUGGAUGAGUAAAAACAAUACAACAAUAUUGUUCUAAGGAAAUAUUACACCUCUUGCUUGCUUAUUUCCUAUUCAGGUACAUUUCCUGCUGAUGGUUGCUAGUGUGAAUGGAACACCCAUUUAAGCUUUGUGUUGACUGUCUUAUUUGUCAUGGUCAGAUAUGUUAAGACUGUACCUUUAGCAGCACAGAUGCUUGAUGUCAGAAGAAACCAAAAGCUUGAAAUGGUUAAGGAAUUGAAGGCUGAGCAGGCACGCUACCGCCUUGAGGUUGAGAUUGGUAAAUCUCCACCUUUGUCUGAAAAGGAGCUGCAUCUGGAGCUACGACACAAAGCGUAAGUUUUACCACAGCUGAUGCCCGUUCUUGUUAUGUUAAUCUGAAGUGUUCUGAGAAAUUUAGUUCACACCUUGUUUUCAAAUACGUGUCGUCCUUUCCUUUCUUUACCCACUUAUCCGCCUGAUGUUAAAAGAGUUGGUAUGAAGGAAGCAACUGAUUUUUGAAGGAAAACAAGUUUUUGCACUCACAUUGGAUAAUCUUGUCUUGAAUAACCUAAUUCCUUGUGUAAAAAGGGAAAAAAGGGGGCUGCAGAAGACAUCUACCACUUCGUCUGUUCUCUUGUUUGAGCUGAUAAAUGCAUUAAUAGACUAUAUUUGUAUUUUACAAUAUAUUUAUUUUUAUUGUACUAACUGACUCGGACGAUUCAUGUGAAUACAUGCAUAAUUCAAUUUAUUUGCUUGAGAGCACUUUUAUAUUGUUCUUUUCAGCUUGAUAUCAGAACCAAUGGUAUAUCCUUCUUCUUCCUCCUCUACUGAAAUGCCUUUACUUCUUUUUGUACCUCUGUAAUCCUCAAAAUUAUUCUAUCCUCAAAGGGGGGUUCUCCCAUUGAACUACCCUCUUCACUCGGAAUAAUGAUCCUUAGUAUUAAAUUUACUGAUAAUGGUUAUUUUGGUCAAGUGCUAGAAGAUAAAUCAAGUGUUGCGCCACUGCAGAUACUCGGAUGCUCUCUAUUCUCUUCUUGUUGCCAAGAACUCAUCUCCUCUUGCAUUAUCUAGCAAAACCUCUUCAUUACAUCCGCACAACCAUUUAGUAGGGAACACUUGCAAGUUAUCAUAUUGAUAAUAAUAAUAAAGGAUAAUUUCUUGCAGUUCUGCUUUUUCAAAUAAUAUUUUCAAGGUCUAUCAAUUUGGCAAACAAUCCAGACUAUCUUUUCAGUCUUCUAAUGAUAUUGCUAGUGUUUCAUUCAUUUGAUCUAUUCUGAUGUUUGGCAGACACCUUUGAUAAGAAUCAGGUUACUUGAAGUCUUGAAUAAACAAGAAACUAUUGCAGAAGCAAAAAUAAAUAGAUUAAAGACAGGAAUUGAAAGAUAUGCAAAAUUUGAGAAUAAAAUCCUCAAAUUCAAAAAAAUGUGCUAAGCCCUAAUUGAUCUUAGUAGUCAAAAGUUAGUGAAUUAAAUACUGAUAGAGCUAAUUCAAAAACAUAGAUCAAAGAGUGAUCUUAGACCCCUAUUUCAAAGAAAUUAGAGACAAUAGUGUGGUUAUUGGCUAAAGAAGCAGUAUUGACACAGGAGAAUUCAAUGAAGAGGGGAAUUACACUUUGCUCUGAUGUUUUUUCUGUGGGAAAACUGCAGAAACAGUCAAUCAUUUGUUUAUCCAAUGCGAAGUCACUGGCCAGUUGUGGAAUCUGUUCCUUAGACAUAAAAGCAUCUCCUGGUCCAUGCCUGGGAGAAUUUCAGAGGCUCUAUUUAGCUCUAUUUAGCUGGGAAGAAGCAGGGACACAAGCAAAAAACAGAACUGGAGAAUUGUCCCUGCCACUAUUUGGUGGACAAUAUGGAAAGAGAGGAAUCUUUGAGUUUUUGAGAAUAGGGAGAGUAGUAUGCAACAAGUUAAACUGAAUUGCAUUUUGACUGUGUUUUUGGUGUAAUCAAAUUUACUCUAAUGAUACCGUCUCUAUCAUUGAUGUCUUAGACUCAUUAUAGGGAUAGGUCGAUAUUAUUAGGGUUUCCUUAUGUAAAUAAGCGUUCAGUACAACCUAUGUACUGGUCUGCAGAAAUAGAAACAAUUACCAUUUUCAAAAAAUAAAUAAAUGUAAGACUAAGUAUUUUUUUAAAGGGAAAAGGCUCAAAUAUGCCAUCGAACUUUCAAAAAAGGCUCAUUUAUGCCAUCCGUUAAAAGUUUGGCUCAUUCAUGCCACUACCGUUUAAAAAAAGGCUCAUUCAUGUCAUUUUUAACGGUAUUUUUACAAAACCACUUUUUACAUGUGUCAGAUUUAAAUUCGUCUACGUCAUUUUUUAUUUAUAAUAAAUCAAAAAUCUGAAAAAUUAUUAAAUAAAAAACUCACCCAAACAAAAAUUCACCCAAAUAAAGAUCCACCCAAGUAAAGACCAACACAAAUUAAAAAAAUAUCCCAAACAACCCAUUAGUAACCCAAUUUUUCAAUUCACUUUUACCCUAGAAACCCAAUUCUUUUGAAAUAUGAAAGUUGUUUUGUUUUUCUUUUGUGAUGCCUAGACAUUUUAAAGGUUAAGUCUUUCAUUUUGUGAUGCUUAGACAUUUUAAAGGUCAAAGCAGUUAACAUGUGAUUUUUGUUAUUACAAUUAUUUUAACCUUAAAAAAUGACAAUUACCUAUUCUGUAAUAGAGUGACAAUUGAUGCUAGAUUUGUUGAAAUAUUAGGUUAUGCACUAUGUUGAUGUUGAAGUUUUGUGUUAUGGAGUGUAUUUCCUUAGUGCAUGUUGACAUCACAGUUCUUUUCAAUGGACUUUUUUAUUGCUGCUGCUUGGAAUUUGUUUGUGCAUUGUGAUUAUUAAUGAUAUUAUCUUUCUAUAGUUGGUCAAGUGCAACUCUGAAAUUUAUACAACAUGUUAUAAGUUUUUUGUGUCAUAUGUGCUAGUGUGCAGCUGUAUUAUUUGUGUCAUAUGAGCUAGUGUGCAGCUGUGUCAUAUGCCCCCGUUUGAUAAGUUAUUUGAGUUCUUUGUAGUUUUGUCAAAUAAAAAAAACUUCUUGGUAAAUAAUUGACUUUGAAGGCACAUAUAUGUUGGAAAAAAUGGUUGACAAAGUACUAAAACAACAAAAUUAUAUUAAAAAUAACUUUCAGUGAUUAACAAUGUACAAUGUACCAAGAUAAAAAUAAGCAACAAAAUUACAUUAAAAAUUACUUGACAAAGUACCUAAAUAACAUAAGCUAGCUUUCAAUGGUUGUCAGAUAUAUAUAUAUAUAUAUAUAUAUAUAUCCAUAAAAUUCGUUCUAAAUUUUGAGUUGACGCUUCUUCAUUCAACAAUGAAUAAAUAAUAUUCACUGGAAUUCAACACUGACCCCUUCAAAUUAUAGCAUCCACUGUCAUACUCGACACAAUGCUCCUAUUCUUAGAUUGGGUUUCUAGGGUAAAAGUGAAUUGAAAAAUUGGGUUACUAAUGGGUUAUAUGGGAUAUUUUUUUUAAUUUGGGUGGGUCUUUACUUGGGUGGAUCUUUAUUUGGGUGGAUUUUUGAUUGGGUGGAUUUUUAUUUAAUAAUUUUUCAGAUUUUUGAUUUUUUAUUAUAAAUAAAAAAUGACGUGGACGAAUUUAAAUCUGACACGUGUAAAAAGUGGUUUUGUAAAACCACCGUUAAAAAAAAUGGCAUGAAUGAGCCUUUUUUUAAACGGUACUGGCAUGGAUGAGACAAACUUUUAACGGAUGGCAUAAAUGAGCUUUUUUUGAAAGUUCGAUGGCAUAUUUGAGCCUUUUCCCUUUUUUUAAUUUAUGAAUAAGAACCAAAGAUAUCAAGUUAAGAAUUAAUCUUAUCUCUUGAGAAUCGUUCUUAUAAGGUUGUAAGAUAAAUCCAAUCACCACACGCAAAGGUGUAAAGAAGAGAAACCUCUCAAAUAAUAUUAAUCAUGUCUUGUCUUGUCUAAUUAAAAUAAUAAAAUCUACCCCUAUAUAUAGGGAAAAUAUAUCCCAAAUAGAAUGAGAUUUGAGUGCUACUUCUAUGGAAGUAAUAACUAGGAAACAUUAAAUUAGGAAACUUUCAGAAUAGGAAAUAUUUAUGCUCCUAUUGGGCUUCAUUGUGGCUCUCCUCUUGGCCUUCAUGUUGUCCAGUCUUUCAGCCCUUGGACUCGAACUUGGACCAUGAAAUAUAUGUAGCACUUGAUCCACUUCUUGUUAUAAUCCUUGGGUCAAUCUUGACUUUUCUUGCACAAUAAACAUCUUCUUCAUUUCUCAUUGAAGUCCAUCAACUUUAGUUCAAGUAGACCGACAUGGAUGCUAUCAACCUUCUAAUUCUUUUUCCUUACUAUUUUUUUUUAUGGAAGACUAUACCAAGUUCUGUUUAAUGCGUUAAAAUUGGAGUUAUUUGAUAAAUUCAAGGAGUGCCAUUCAUUGGUUCAAAAUGUUUGCUCAAAUCAUUGUCUUUUAGUGAUGAUACAUUGUAAUUUAGCUGGUUUUCUUUCCUAGUUCAGUAAUAUCAUAGGACACAUGAGUUAUGCUCUCCAGAUUGUUUAGUUUUGAGCAGGUAGAAAUAAGUGUUCAGUCAUUGUGUAGCGGAGUGGAUAGUCAUAGUCUGCUCCUGAACUUUCAUUGUACAUAAUUUUUGGAAUCAAUAGAGUAUACUGUUCAACCAAAAAAAAUUGUGUGCUCAAUUUCAUUUUUUCAAUCAGAUGCGGGAAAACAGACCAAUAAUCCAACAUCCUCUCUGUUUUUCUUUUCCUUACAUUUGGACUCAAAUAUGCUGACUGAGAGUAUCGUCACAUUGCAAAUAGUAUUUUAUGUCUUUUAUUUCAAGCCUCCAUUCCUUCUGUAAUUUUGGGCUGUGGAACCUCUACACGAUAAUAUUACUCCCUUGGGUAGAUUGGGAUUUCUUUACCAUAUGAAAAAUUGGAUAACAAGUUUCCUUUUGAUAGUCAAGUGGCAACAGUUUUGCAUAGAAAAGAUAAAGGUGGCUUGGGCAUUAGGAUUUGAGGAAGCAUAACAAUAGUCUUUUGAUUAAAUGGUUGUGGAGAUACACAGAGGUGAGGUAAGCUUUGUGGAAAGAUUUGAUUAAAUGUAAAUAUGGGGUGGAUGGAUUUUGGUGUAGUAACAUAAGCACAGAUGCUUAUGGAGGGGGGGGGGGGGUUUGGAAAGCUAUUAGAAACUUAUGGCCCAAGUUAGAAGCAAAUUUACAUAUCAAGGUUGGGGAUGGAAGGAGAACUAGAUUCUGGUGGGAUGUAUGGAUCAAACAAACCCCCCUAAAAGACUUGUUUCCUGAUCUAUUUAUUUUGUGCACCAAUUCUGAGGCAAUGAUGAGUGAUUGCUAUACAGUACAAUAUUGGGAUCUCUAUUUCAGAAGACUUCUAAAUGAUUGGGAAAUAGAUAGAGUAGCCAAAUUGUUGGAGGAACUGGGGGAUUUUGCAGGCACCAAUACUGACAAUGAUGUUGUUAGAUGGUCACACAGUAAGGAUGGGAUCUUCACAGUUGUCAGGGCAUAUAAAAAGGAGUGCAACUCGCAAAGUAGCAGAUACCAGAGUUCAUGAAAAAAUAUCUGGAGGGCUGCAGCACCAACAAAAGUUAAAUGCUUUACUUGGCUGGUCAUUAGAAAGGCAUGCUUGACACAUGAAGUCUUGAGGAAGAAAAAGAAGAUCAUAAUUCCGUGGUGCUCUUUAUGUGGGAAGACAGGAGAAACUAACAGUCACCUCACCUAUUCUUACAUUGUACUUUCACAGCACAAAUAUGUUCCAUGUUUCUCAACUAUUCAGAAGUGAAAUGGAGUAUGCCCGAACAUACAACUGAUUUACUUAGUUGUUGGAUCAGGAGAGGAGCUAGCAAGAGACAAAAGACCUGGUGGAAUUUGUUCCACAUUGCAUUUGGUGGACAGUUGGAAGGAGAGGAAUAGUAGGAAUUUUGCAGAUGUAUCCAAUUUCAUUCACAAGGUUAAGUGGAAUUGCAUUGUAUCUCUAUAUUUUUGGUGUAAAGAGAUAGGAUUAGAGGAUUCAGAUCAACUUUUUGAUCAACUCUUAGAAUUCUUGGGAUCCUUGUAAGUAUUAUGCUUUUUUUUUUUCUGAUUUUCUAAAGGUCCCCAACAUAUCGUUAAUGCUGAAGAAUACAAUGUUUACCAAUUCUAAAAAAAAGAGGAUUAGGAAAUGAAUUCCAUAUUUAAUCUUUCAAAAGGCAGGGGUUUAAAUAGUGUUUGCAAGCAAUUCAGAAAAAGGAAAACCUAUAAUUUUGUAUUCUUAGAUGUUCACUAAUUACAUAAACACAGUGAUAGGGAUCAAGUCUUUCUAUAUUUUCAUUCUUAACUCUUCCUCUGAAGCUGGAGUGUAUAUGUUGUAUUCCUAUCUUGCCACAAAUAUAAUCAGUUCUUGUCCCUCUAAGUGAUUUGUACGGACACCUGCUAACUGAUUAGUAUAGUUAGCAAAAUUUCUGGCAAUGCAUAUUAAGAAAAGGACAUUUUACCUUGAUGUGCUUGGUUCUUUCACACAAGAUUUGAGACAAUUUGCAGUGUGGCCUGGUUAUCACAAAUUAGUUAAUAUCCUAUUUUGUUCCCUAUAAAUUUAGUGUUGGAUGCUCUUCCCACCUACAUGGUGUCCAUCUUCCCAGUCCCAGAUGGUAUCAUACGGAGAUUUGGACAAGGUUAGGAGAGUUUUUCUUUAAAAAGGAAAUAAGAAAACUGAUUCAACAGUUCUUCGUCUAGUCAAAUGGGACAAAGUGCUUUGGGGGAAAAAAAACAAGGGGGGUUUGACAUAGAAAUCUCAAGCCACAGAGUAAGGCUCUCCGAUUGAAAUGGCUCUGGAGAUAUUCACAAGAGGCACAAUGUUACAGAGGCGAAAAGCGCAAAAAAGCUCUAAGGAACUUUAUUCUGGAGUUUCUUUUGGAGUUUUUUCCCACACUUUAUUUGCGCUUUUUCAAACAUGAUUCUCUACAAACUCCACCCUAUCAUCUAUAAAACAAGGAACUUUAAGGGUGCCCCAAAAGAAAAUAAGUGAUAGGAGACUACUCAAAAACUCUCCUAUUUUUGUGUCUUUCCAAACAACCCACAUCAACGAGAGAGGAACCACGUUUCAUGCCCUAUGUCUUAUCCUCCUUCACCCGCACCUCCAACGCAACAUCGGAAACUGCAUUGGCUGACUGGUGCCAUGGCAGAGUUAUCAUUCUGUAGUGAAGAAUUGGAGUUGGUGGAUCCUCCUUUAUUUUGAAGGAUUCUUUACUUGGACAAUUGUGCUUCUUUACGAUUGACAGAUUUUCCUCUGUGAAGAGUGGAGGGAAAAUUUCUCUAAUCAAAUAUAGUUGUCUUCCCAAAAUAGCUUUUGGUUCCAAAUCCUGUUGUUCUGACCUGUGGAGAUGAAGAGUGGAGAAUGUCUUACUUCUUAAUUUGAAACAUGAUGGUUAGAAAUGGUGGGUUUAAAGAGAGUGUAACAAAAUGUUGGGAGUCCUUUUUUGUGAAUGGCAGACCAGGUUACAUUUUUGUUGAGAAGCUUAAAAUGCUUAAAGUUAAGUUAAAGGAGUGGAGUAAAAACAAAAGAGGGAAUUGGAAACAAGGGAAGGAGGAUACCCUCAAACAAUAUCAAAUGGGAACAAUAAAGGAACAUAGAGCCACUCACUAAUGAUGAACUGAUGCAAAAGGCCCACCUGGGCAUGGAGUUUGAAGUGGUAGCUAAGAAGGAAGAGUUAGCCUAGUAGCAGAGGUCAAGAGUCCAAUGGCUAACACAGGGGGACAAAAACACAAAUUUUCCAUGGAAUUACAACAUCUCAUAAGAGGUUCAUUUCUAUGGAUCAAUUGGAGAUGGAUGGAGCUACCAUUAAGGAUCAUGAGAUGGUUAAGGAGGCUGUGCAAAAGUUUUACAAAAAUCUCUAGAAAGAGACUGAACAAUAGAGGCCUGACUUCAGACUGCAGAAUGUUACAAGGAUCACUAAAGAAGAAGAUAUUUGGUUGUAGAGACUUUAUGAGGAAGAAGAAAUAUUGGAAUGUUUAAACUUGUGUGCAAAGGAAAAGCACGGAUCUGAUGGCUUACCAAUGGUGUUUUUUGAGACAUUUUGGUUCUGCUAAAGGGAGAUAUUAUUAAUACUUUUUUAUUAUGACGAGGAAAACCUGCAGCCGCUAUCCUUUGGGUGCACACAGGGUAAAACCCUCGCUCCUAUCCAAUAGCUCGCAGAUCACAUAGGAGAGUUACCCCGCACUAGGCAAACCUGGUGCGACAAGCUCGACCCAGAAGGCAAACCCCUUGCUUUCGCUGGCAAGGGGUUUCGAACUUGAGACCUCCAACAUGGAAGUCCCAAGCUCAAACCAAUGGCCAUCCCGAAGGGUGGGAGAUAUUAUUAAUACUAUUCAAAAAAAUUUCACUCCAAUUAGGCUUUUAAGGAGAGCUUUAUUGCCUUAAUCCCAAAGUAAUCAUGAGCUUCAGAACUGAAGGACUUCAUACCAAUUAACUUGGUAGGGGGGAGUUUACAACAAUAUUGCUAGACUGAUGGCAGAAAGGUUAAAAAUGGUCGUGAUUUGUGAAUAAAUUGAUCAACAAGCAUCAAAUGACAUUUGUAAAGGGGAGGCAGAUCAUGUAUGCAACACUCAUAAUCAAUGAAUGCAUUUACUCCAGAAUGAAAAAGGAGAGCUCCUGCAUAAUGUGCAAACUGGAUGUUCAGAAAGCUUAUGACCAAGUGAAUUGGUCCUUUCUUCUGAAUACUCAGUCAGAUGUGAUUUGGUAGCAGAUUGCUGAAGUAGAUUGAGUUUCUUUAUAAAAACAGUUGGGUUCUUUUUUCUUAUGAAUGAAUAUGCGAGUUUUCUUGCAUCAAAAAAGGGGGGGGGGGGUGUUGAGACCCGGUGAUCGGCUCUCUUUUUUUUGUUCUUGCUAAUGGAAGGUUUUGCUAGUAUGAUGAAGAUUGCACCACAUAAUAGGUGUAUCACAGGUUUUCAAGUUGGAGAAAGAGUAGGGGAAAGAAGUCUGUCAUAUGCUCUAUGCUUUAUGCAUAUGACACUAUCAUCUUCGGUGAGCCUAUAGCAAAACAGAUCAGCUACACUAGAGUGAUCCUGGUUUUGUUUGAAGUUGUUUAGGGCUGAGAGUAAAUUGGGGAAAUAACAGUCUUUUCCCUAAAAAUGAGGUUCCCGGAUUCAGGAAUUGACAAGCAUGUUGGGAUGUAGAGUUGAUCAAAUGUCUGAGCAUGCCUUUGAGCAACAAACAUAAGACAAUGAAAAUAUGGGAUGAUAUUCUGGAGAAAACUGAAAAGAAGCUUAUUAGAUAGAAGGCACAAUACCUGUCUCUAGGUGGAAGAUUGAUCCUUAUCAAUUCUGUAGUAGAUUACCUACUUAUGUGAUGUCCUUAUUCCCAAUCCCAAAGAAAGUGGUGAAAAAACUAGGCAAGCUUAAGGAAGAAUUUCUAAUGGAAAGAAAGUAAGAGGGAAAGGUUACAACCUGGUAAAUUGGAACAUUUUUAUUCUCAAAAAAGAAAAGGGAUUCUUGGGAUUUAGAAACCUGAUAUUACAAAAUGGGAGCCCACUAAUGAAGUGACAAUGGAGAUACCCUUGGGUGGGGGUCAGUGGCUGAUCCAGAAUUUUCAUUCAGGGGUUCGAAUAAUAAAAUUAUAAACGUGUGAAUAAGCCAACAAAACACAAUCCUAAGAAGCAGUAGUAUAUAGUUUAUAGGUAGAAAAAGUUUAGUUCCAUUACAAGAGACCUUUUAGCACGUUUGGAUUUUCUUUAAUGUUUAGAUUUUUUUAGGUUUAAAUCUACUCUUUUAGCACAUUAUGUGAAAGAUUGGCCCCAAAACUAAAUGAAGAGAAGCUAAAAAUAAAAUGUUCACAAUGGAGUUUUUGGGUUCAAAUCUACUCUUUUAGCACAGUUUUCUUAAAAAAAACAAAAAAACGUGAAACUAAAUGUUGAGAAGCUAAAAAAAUAAAAUGUUCACAAUGGGAUUCGAUCCCGGACAUGAGAUUCAAUUUAAAAGGAGAUCUACCACUAUGCUACAACUUGCUUCUUGUUAUGAGGGGGUUCAAAAUUAAUAUAUCUACAUAAAUACAUAAAAGUAACAUUAUAUAUUUAGAACAUGAAUAUGUUUAUACAAUCCUAUUAGAAUAGGAAUAUGUUUAUACAAUUCUAUUAGAAUAUGAAUAGGUUUAUACAAUCAUAUUUAGAAUAGGAAUAGGAAUACAAAUAGAAAAGGAAUAGUAAAUAUUAUCCUACUUGGUAAAGGAUUAUAUUCUAAUGUCUAUAAAUAGGGUCUCAAUGUAAUAAUGUAGACACAACAACAAUUCAAUAAUAUUCUUUUCUUAUAUUUCUCACAUAUGUAGUGUAAUUUUUUGUCUAGUGGAUUCGGGUGAACCCCCUGAAAUCCAUGUGGGUCUGCCCCUGGUGGGGGUAGCUCUUUGGAAGGAGGUUAUAUUAGUAAAAUAUGGUAAGCUAAGUCCGUGGUGUACAGAAAAUGCCUGUAACAACCAUUAAUUUCUAGGUGCUUCUUCUGCCAUGAAAAGGAGGAAACAAACAACCACUUGUUCCUUCACUGUAGAGAGACUGCCCAGAUAUGGUAUAUGUUUCAAAGCCUUAUCCAAGAUCCUUGAGUGGUACCUGAGCAUACUUCAGACCUACUAAGCUGUUCGAUGAGAAGAGGAGGGAGUAAAACACAGAAAAAAUGGUGGGAUCUAGUCCCAUCUUGCAUAUGAUGGUCAAUUUGAAAGGAAAGAGACAAUAGGUUUUUUAAGAAUAUUACUAACCCAAUGCAGAGCGUAAAAGAAAACUGCAUUUAUACUGGUGUAAAGAAGAGGCCAAGAGGGUAUAUAUGAAGUCGAUCAAUUAGUAGUUUUCCUAGGCUCUUUGUAAUCAUGAAUACUUUGCCUUGGAAUUUUUUGUUUGGUAGCCACCAUACCCUCAUUGCUGAUGAAUACAACUUUACCAUUCUAAAAAUAAAAAAUCCUCUGUAACCAUAUGGUGUGGGGUGUGUGGAGGACAAUCAGAAACUUUUGUCCACAGAUGGAAGAAAAUUAAUUUGUAAAAGUGCAAAAUGGUAACAAAACUAGAUUUUGCAAGGAUGGUUGGAUAGAUCAAACCUCUCUCAGAGAUCUUUUUCUAGAUCUAUUCCUAAUCUGUGAAAAUCCUGAUGCUAGAGUAUGUGAUUUUUGGAAAAAACAAGGCCGGGACUUAUCAUUUAGAAGAUAACUAAAUAUUGGGAGGGGGAGAGGGCGACAGCUUUACUUGGAAUACUAGGUGGAGCGAACAUAAUCACAAUAGCCACAAUAGGGUCUUGUGGAAGCAUAUCAAUUAUCAAGGAUGAAAUUUUUUAGGUAAGUAAUGCACACAAAAGAGGCUUGUAGGUGAUAGCUGGGGGUCCAAAAUGUCAUUAGAACUAUUUAUGGAAGAGUGACAUCCCCACAAAAGUGAAGUUCAUUUGGUAGUGAUGAAGAGAGCAUGACUAACACAAGAAGUCCUACAGAAGAGGGCAGACAACUGGUUCCUAGGUAUUUUCAGUAACAUGAGAUCAAAUAAAAACCUACUUUUACACUGCAAAUUCACUGCUCGACUAUGGAAUCUGUUCCUCAAUAUUACAUGCAUGAGUUGGACAAUGCCAGAACGCACAUCAGAUCUCUUGAGCAGUUGGAUGAGGAGGGGAGGCAAUAAAAGCCAAAAGAGAUGGUAAAGGUUAAUACCAUCAUGUAUAUAGUGGUUACUGUGGAGGGAAAUAAAUGAAAGAUGUUUUGAAGAUAGGUCCAAUUCCAUACACAGAGUUGAAUGAAUUUUUAUUAUAUCUGUACUUUUUUGGGGUAAACAACUUUGUAUAGAAGAUAUAGAUCAGAUUAUAGAUUUGAUAGGAAGCAUGUAUUGCUACUCUAUUUCGGAGGUGGCCAACAUAUCCUUAACGCCGAGGAAUAUAAUCUUACCAUGUUCAAAAAAUAAAAAGUAUUUCAUAGUUUGUGGCAUAGCCCAAGAAAUUCCAAACCAUCUAAGCAUAUCCCGCCAUAUCCUCAUGAUAAAAAUCACUAUAUAGAAAAAGAUGAUCCACAUCCUCUCCCCCUCCUUGCACAUAUAACACCAGUUGACACAGACAACUUUCCACUUUCUAAGAUUUUUAGCCAUAUCACCCCUUUUUGCAGCUAGCCAAGAGAAGAAACACACCUUUCUCGGCACUUGUGGUAUCCAAAUUGCAUUACACGGAAACAACCUCCUCCUUAACAAACAGUCUCUUGCAAAAAGGUCUUGACAGAGAAAAAACCAUUGUUCCAAUAACAUGAACAGUUUUUUUAGAAAAACCAUUGUUCCCCAAACUCCAUCAGACAUUGGGGUUAUCAACCGGAGUGACUUUUGAAACUCUGCUACCUCUCAAUUUUGGAAAUUUGUCCUAAAUUUCAAAUCUUAAAAAUUCUCUCCACCUUGUGUCCCCCUAAUAUGUUGGGAUCGUCGAGUCUCCUUGGCAUGAAACUCGGGACCAAAUCUGAAACUCAUCUUUCAGAAGAUUGUACUUGCACCAUAUGUGUACCCAAAAAAAAGACUCUCCACCCAUCUCCCAAAAGGCAUAAUGACAUCUCUAGUUCUCCCUCUCCCUUCCAUCACCCCAUACUUAUCAACUAUCACCUCUCCCCAAAAAGCUUGUACCUCCACCCCAGAUCUCCAAAGCCAUUUGCUCAACAAAGCUUUGUUAAACACCAAUAAAACUUUAAUAUCGAGAUCUCCCCAUUUUUUAGGAGAUGUGAUAAAUCUCCCACCACAAAAAAUGGAACUUCUUUGCCCUAUCUGCCGCAUCCCAAAGAUAUUCUCUUUGAUACUUUUGCUACUUGUGAUUGAAGCUGGAGCACGAAGCAAAGACAGGGAACAAGUGGAAAUGUUCGAUAAGGUGCUCUUAAUAAGCACUCUCUUCCCUCUUUUAGACAAAUAGCUUUCUACCAUCCUUCCAUCUAACUAACCUCUUCUCAACCCUCUGAAGAACUGGAUUCCACAACCUCUGCCCUAUAUUUUUGUCAUGACAAGUCACGAGACAAUGCUUUUUUUAUGAGGCAAUCUAAGAGAUUCUAUCAUUUGAAAUUUUUAACACUCAACUCAAGCAUGGUUUCAUUAUCUUGGAACUUUUUUUCUCAACUAAACAAUCUCAUGAUUGCAACUCGUUUAUCUUUCAUGAAGGUCCUGAUCUCUUGAUUCUUCUCGUCUAUGUCAAUGACCUAACACUUUUUGGAUCAGCCAAAUGGUUGAUUUCUUACUUUGUCUCAUUAAUUCAAUCCAAAUUUUCUAUUGAAGACUUUGAGUUCCCUUUGUUACACUUGGAAUCAAGUUAUUAUUCAACUUGUUGGUCCAACACAAAUACGUUACUGAUAUCCUUGAGUGGUUAACUUGGUAAAUCUAUCCAAACUCUCACUCACAGUAAGUUAGAUUGAUAUAUUCUCCUUUGCCUGAAAUAUUUCCUUUUAUUGUAACAUGGAUGGGUUCUAUAUCUUUCUUUCACGGCCUGACUCCAGUUUUCAGUCACGUUGCCUCUGUGAUUUCUUCAUCAACGUGUUACUUGUCAUCUCAGGCAGUCAAGAGGAUCUUUUGAUACCUUGAAGGCACUUCCACUUAUUGCUUGCAAUCGUAUUCCAGUUUCUCAUCUUCCUUGACCCUCUUUGCAGAUAAGGAUUGGGCUGGAGAUUCUGAUAUUCCUGCUUCACCUUGGGUUUUGUGUUUCCUUGGGGAAACUCUGGUUGUUUGGACCAAAAAAAGAAACAACCUCGAGUUAGAGAUCUCAGAAAGGAUGCCGAGUGUUCAUUCCUCCCCUUAACAUGUAUGCUAGAAUAGAACUUGUAUUUUAAAUUGUAUUUAUGUUUUGUUGUGUUUUGGACUCUAACUUGUUCAGUUUGUCUAUAAAUACAUGACCAAGUUAAGUAACCUAUUAGCUGGAGAAGGCUUCUUCUAUGUUCCUCAAGUUUUUUGAUAUUAUAUAUAUGUCAAGUCUGUCUUUACAUCCAAGCAUAUCCUUGGAGCCUCUUCUUUUGCUUAAGGACAUAGUUGCAGAGUUAAUAUGUUGAUUUAUGUGGAGAAACUGAUUGGAAACAGUGAAGAAUAUUUCAGUGAAAUCCUUCCCUGAAAAUCUUCUUAUAACAUGUCUCACUUAAGAUCCUGACAUGAGUUACAUUGAUUUCUGAUACUGUUAAUUUUUGGGUGAUUAAAACUGCAGGUUAGAGUUGCGGGAUGAGUGGAGGUUAGAAAAUCGCAAGGCAUUUGCUUAUAUAUUUUCGGACUUUGUCUCUGGGGUCUCAUUAUUCAUUCUUUUGUGCUUCAAUGAGAGUAAAGUAAGUUCUCAAUCGGAGAAAUAUCUUUCUUCCUCCAAAUUUGUCUGUUUGCUGGUAUACUGGUAUCAUCUAUGUUAUUGGGCAAAAGAGGUUGAUGUGAAAUUACAAACUUGGUUGGACUUGGUGUGAUUAAGAUAAAUAAAGGAGGUUUUCUUUGAAUGCCAUCUUUUCUAAUAUCGCUCUUGAUUGUACUUUGCCUAUUGUACUCCUUUCAUCUUUACUACUAUUCUAUUCACCACUAUCACACAAGCAUUGUCACCAACUUUCAUCACACAACCACCACCUACCACUUUUACUGUCAGCCAUGCGACUUCCACUUUCAACCUCCAUUGCUUAUCACUGCCACCAACCAAAGCAGUCUCCAGCCACUACUACCCGCAACCACCACCGAACACCACCACUGGCGACCACCUAAGUUGCGCAAACUCUUCACUUUAUUCUGCACCCAUGUCAGAUUUAACAAAAACACUUUACUUUUGGAGAAUCGAACACGCACAUGUUGACAUUUUUCAAGAGUCCAAGCAACAUAGGUGACCAUUGCACAACCAUCAUUUACGACCGUACCACCGUCAGCCACCAACUCACAACCAUCACUACCGAUCACCACUGCCCAUAAAUGCCUCUAUGGCUAGUUUGUAGAGUUUACUUCAUCUAACUAACAACUUUUACAAGACCAUUUAAUUUAAUAUUCUCUAAUGUUAUGCGGAUAUAAUAUUUAAUUUUUUUAUUUUUUUUUUGAAUUUUAUAUGUAUGAGUUGUUAGAUAAAGAUAAAUUGUGCACAUUGAGAUUUAGAGAAAACAAAGAGUCUUAAUUAUCCGAAUAUGGACAUAUUAAAAAUCAAGCAUUAUUCAGAUUUAGACAUCUUAACUUUAAAAAUGUGGCCCUAGUUGUCAUUUACCUGAGGGGUUGGAUAGGAUUUCUGAAAGUGUACUUCCUAAGUUGUCUUAUUGUUUCUAAGAUACAAAGUUUCUUGUCUUUCUGCAGGUAAAGCUACUCAAAUUUACUGGUUAUAAGAUACUAAACAAUAUCUCCGACGCUGGCAAGGCAUUUCUGAUCAUUCUGAUUAGUGAUACCCUUUUGGGGUAAAAUUUUGUUCCAUUUCAUGUUUAUGGACAAAUUGAAUGUUAUAAAUUAACUUAUCUGUAAAAUAUAGAACCUAUCCAUGUUAGCUAAUUCAUAAAAGUGAAGGCAGCUUGCUCAUUACUUUGCAAUUCACAGAAGUGAAGGGUUUAAAUAACCUAAACCUCUUUUUGGGCUUUCCUCAAGGAUUAAAUUUAAAAUUUCUAUUGUACAAGUACUUAAACUAGAACAAGGUCCAAGGUCUAGACGUAAAAUUAUUCUUCUCAUCUCCUAAAAUUUAGUGGGGCCAAUCCUAGUUUUACUCUCUUAUCUUUUCUUCUAUUCAUUUCUAUCUUUUAUCUCCGUAUUUGUUUCUUUGGAAAUUGUCAGCAUUUCCCUCUUUUCAAAAGUAAUGGAAUCUACCUUAGAAAGCUUUGUCAUGUUGGAUAAUGUGGUGAAUCUGUCCAGGUAUCAUUCUGAAUACGGUUGGAAUACUGCGCUCGAGAUGCUUGUGGAGCAUUAUGGUAUUGAAGUUGAUCGAUCAGCGAUAACCAUAUUUGUCUGCAUUGUUCCAGUUAUAACGGAUACCUUUGUGAAGCUUUGGGUAUGUGCUUCUUUUCAAUAACUUGGAUUCUUUUUUAUUUUAAUCUGGAAAGUGAACAAAGCAUAUGCCUGUAAAAUCCUCCUCGACCUUCAUGGAGAUACCAUUCUGAAUCUGUUUGGGAGACUUUGCUCGAGAUCCUUUUGGAGCAAUAUGGUAUUGAAGUUGAUCAAUCAGUGAUAACCAUAUUUGUCUGCGUUGUUCCAGUUGUAAUUGAUUGAAAGCCCUCCUUGACCUAUUGAAAAAGUAAAUUAGAUUCAUGCCAAGUACAUGAAUUUACCUAGUUCACGUAUUAGGAAAUUAAUGCUAAUAUGCAUGUACUGUUAGCACGUAUCCCUUUAUUCAUGAACUUGGAAUAGGAAAUGUUUAGAACUAAAUCACGAUAAAUGGACUAGAAUAGAUACAUGCCAAGUACCUAUUAUAAAAGUAAACUAGAUUCAUGCCAAGUAUAUGAAUUUACCUAGUUCAUGUAUUAGGAAUUUAAUGCUAAGAUGUAUGUAUGCCUUUAUUCAUGAACUAGGAAUAGGAAAUGUUUAGAACUAAAUCACGCUAAAUGGACUAGAAUAGAUACAUACUUUAAAGGAAUCUACAACUUGCUUCUUGUUAAUAAGAGGGUUCAAAAUUAAUAUAUCUACAUAAAAACAUAAAAUUUACUUUAUAUAUAUUGACAUUUUUUUACCGAGUGGGUUCGGAUGAACACCCUGGAACUCAUGUGGGUCCGUCUAUACUAGAUAACAUUAAUGAUUACCAAAUAAAUGCUAUAUACCAUGAAUACCCAAGGUGACCUUAUAAAUCGGGCUUUAUCAUUUCACCUCCAUAAUGUCAAUGCGCAUGAGUUGAAAUGCCAACACAAAUGAAUUGUACACCAGAUUCAACCCUCGGCACAAACAAUCAUAAUCAACUCUGAAUCAUUUAACAAUAAGAGUAAUGAAGUAAAAGAAUAAUCAAGUAAACAACUCAUAUACGGGAUUUCUGCCAAAAUCAAUUUAUCAAUACCAAGUGAGCAACAUAAGCAUCAAGGCAAGUCAAUAUGCCACAAAUCGUGCUCAUGUAAUCACAUGAUUCAUCAAGCAAGAAGAUAAUUGUUGAAUUAGGUCUUAGGCCUAAAUCUCACCCCAAAAAGCUAGCUCAGAGGAAGAGGAGGAUUGCCAAGCCUUAUAAGGAAUCCACCCAUCUCAUUAACUACCGAUGUAAGACUUUUGUCAUUCUUUAACACCCCACCUCACGCCCAAUGCUUAGCAUGUGGUGCGUGAACAAUUUUGAUUUCGGGGGCCCCAACAUCGGGUGAGAUGGGCCCUGCUCUGAUACCAUGUUGAAUUAGGUCUUAGGCCUAACUCACAUCCCAAAAGCUAGCUUAAAGGGGAGGAUUGCACAACCCUCAUGAGGAGUCCACCCAUCUCAUUAAUCACGGAUGUGAGACUUUUGUCACUCUAACAAUAAUCAUCAUUUUACCCCUAACAUGGCACCAGUACCCGCAUAAAUGCUCAUCAUCUCAUUUAUAUGGGACCCCAUUACCCAUUAUCCCUUAAUCAGCCAAUUAAUGCACUAUCACUUCAUAAAGAAUUAAGAAAGUUUCAACUUGCCAUAAUUGAAGCUUAAACAAGCAAAUGACAGGCUUUUCUUCCGAAAUGCCUCCAGAUGAUCCUAAUAUGGUUAAAUAUGUAAUCUACAUGAGUAUACGAGUUCAUAGAAUUUUUAUAGGAACGUUUGGCUCAAAAAUUGAGUCAAUAAGUCAACCCCGAGCACCGGAGGUCGAAUCUGGAAUUUUAUUUCAGAAUCAGUUUAUCCAUCAGGUAGAAAACUCUGGCACCAAUAAUUGGCUAAAACGGAUCGUUUUAUCAACUUGGGGAAAAUCCCCAAAUCGGUAACAUCAAGCACCGAUUAAAUGAUGAACUUAGCGAUGGAGUAGCAGAAAGUUCGUAAUUAGAAGGUUUUUAUCUUACCCCAUGAAGAAAUUGAGCAAACCCCCUCUGGAACUGCCCAAAACCCCAAACUCUAGAAUUCCAAAUAGCCAGGGAUUUGCAUAGAAGUGGAGAAUUUCCUGCUUCUGCGAGCUUACAAAGGCGGAACUAAAUGAGCUAAAAAGGGCGCCACUUGGCGCUUUCAGCUCCGCAGAAGCGGCUGCCAUCAUAUAGGAGCAGACGAGCUUCACUGGUGCCACAUUGUCGAUGUGGAUGGGAGUUCCCAAGAGCAACCUCUCUUGACCUUGAUGACUUUGCAGAGGCGAUCCAAGGCUCACUGCUGCGCCUUCGUUAUUGCGGAAAGAAAUGCACUGGACUUCACCCAGAAACUUCAUGACACUUUCAAACUAGGACACGACCCUCGAAAUUCAUCUGAAACUUCCCGGAUACAAACCAAAUGUGCAGAUUGACCAUAACCAAUCCAAGGUCAAUUUGACAAAAUGUUGAUCGUGAUCUACUCUAAACUUUCCAAAAUACUAGAAUCAUGUAAUGAUCCAAAUCACUUCUGAGUGCCUGGGGAUCCAUUCAAACCACCAAACUAAGUCAAAAUUCAUCCUUUGGACCUAACAGAUCUGUCAAAACUUGAACCCAACCUCAUUAAUCCAAAAUUUUGACUUUGGUUAAACAUCCCAAAAACCAAACUUCCAAAACUGAAAUCUUCCUCGAAACACAUCCCAUAACUUCGGAAGUCUUGCCACAUAUCCCUGCAAGUCAUAAAUGACAUAUAGAAGCUACAGAAAGGCUCAAAAUGGAGAAAUCACGCAGAAUACUCAAAAAACCAUGAUGGUCAUUACAGUUUUAGAGAGAUGUGAAAGAAGACUUGCUUGCUGGAAGAAAACAGUAUAUAUCACUGGGAGGAAGACUGACCUUGUAAACAGUGUGUUGAACUCAAUGUGUACUUAUAUUAUGUCUUUGUUCCCUCUUAUCUGCGAACAUUGAAGAUAGAUUUGACGAAAUGAGGAGUUCAUUCUUGUGGCAUGGUAACAACGAGAAAAGUUCUUUCAACCUUGUUAAAUGGAAAACAAUGCUUUUAAAUAUAAGGAUAUGGGGGACUAGGGGUUAGAAAUCUAAGAAUGUACAGAAAAAGUUUUCUAAUGAAGUGGUUAUGGAGAUUCAAUCUAAAAGUGGAAGCACUGUGGAAUAGAGUUGUUAGGAUCAAGUAUCGUAUCUAAGGUAGCUGGUGUGCCAAGCUAAUUAAAAAUCCACAUGGGGUGCCAGUCUUGCAGAGCAUUAGAAAUCUGCGGCCUGAAUUUUUAGAGUGGGAAAUGCCAAAUGGAUGCAAUAACUUUUUGCCUGCAUGAUGAUUGGAUUAGCCAUGGUCCCCUAAAAGAUUUUCCCUGAUUUGUUCUGUGGUGGCAUGCACUGAAGGUUCCGUUGCUAAGUUUGUAGCAAAUAGAUCCUGGACAGUCAACUUCAGAAGAAAUAUGAAUGAUUGGGAAUGUUGAAGUGUGUGCCAACUGUAGAAGCUGUUGGAAAAUUUUCAAAGUUACUCCCCAAGUUUAGAUAAAUUGUUUUGGAAAGGGUGCAACAAAGGGGAAUUCUUACUCAAAUCUUGCUGCAGAAUUGUAUCCAAGGAAGAGCAACUCCAACCUAUAAAGCCAUGACCCUGGAAACACAUCUGGAAGUCAAAAGAUUCUUACAAAGUGGUGUUUUUUCAUGGAUUGGGAUUUGGGGCCAAAGAAUCAUGCCUGACAGUAGACAGCCUACAGAAAUCUCUUUAUGUAUGUGGUGGUCAAGCAGAAACUCUUAAUCAUCUCUUUUUACAUUGUCCUUUCACUGAUCAACUAUGUCUGCUAUUUCUGAAUUUUGUGGGUAUCAAAUGGUCCAUGCUUGGGACUACACAUAAUCUUUUGCGAUGUUGGGAUAAGUAUGGACAAGGCAAAGUAUAAAAUAAGUGGUGGAAUGCUGUUCCUUGUUGUAUCUGGUAGGUGGUUUGGGAGAAAGGAACUCCAGGUGUUUUGAAGAGAAGCACAAAUUAUUAUUGAGGAGUAAGCUAGACUGUCUUUUGUGGCUUCAUUCUUGGUUAAAAAUGUAAUAAUCCGAAACAAGAAUUACUAAACAAGCUUUGCAACCAUACAGUUCUAGGAAGAAUUAGGAGAAAGAUCGAAAAACAUGACUCAUGUCAAAGAAGCCGUAAACAUAGAUGAGGUAGAGGAAGAUAUAAGCAAAAACGUUGAGCUCUAGUUUUUGAAGUUACAAGACUGACUUGUGGAUAUCUUCACCAAGAUUUGAUGUCUUUUAGAUCAUCUCUUGGAAUUAUGAAUCAAGUUCAAAGAGAGUGUUAGGCAAAAGUAAAGUAGAUACUAGUGUCAAAAAAAAAAAAGUAAAGUAGAUCCACCCCAAGUACAUGAAUUUAACUAGUUCAUGUAUUAGGAAAAAAUUAAUGUGAAGACAGAUGUAUGCUUUUAUUCAUGAACUAGGGUCUGGGGAAUAGGAAAUGUUUAGAACUAAAUUAUGAUGCACAUACUAGUAUAGGCACAUGGUAGAAAAGUUCCUAUAAAUGCCAAGGCACUACAAUAUUGUGUGUAGGUCAUGAAGUUGGUAGAAGUAUAUUUUCAUCCACUUGUCUUCAAAGAUAAAUCAUCUAUUUCAUGUGUGAGAACUAUAUGGGAAAAAUAUUAGUGAAUUGUGUAUCUAAAUUGUUACAUUGAGACCCUAUUCAUAGACAUUACAUUAGAAUCCUUUUCUAACUAAAAUUCCUAUUCUUAUUCCUAUUCCUAUUUUUAAGUAGGAAAUACUUAUUUCUAUUCUAACAUCAUGAGUAUCUUUUGUACAACAUAGGAUUGAUGAUUAUGAUUUUUAUUGCAAACUACUUAAUAUAAAUUUUCAAUUCUAGGAAGUUGAUCCCUACAAAUUCUUCCGAGCUCAAGAGAAAGAAAUAUGAAGACCCAAUUGAUAAACCCAAGUAGGAAUCUCCCUAGUUCGAUUUUAUUAAUUAAGCACAAGGAUUUACCAAUAUACUCAAUUCCUUGCUGUGCAAUAUCCAAUCCAAUUUCCACUCUUCCAAGCAAUAAAUGGACAUGUGAAGCUUAAUCUACGUUUGCAACCAACAAAUUACCAAAUAAGAAUGUAAGUAAGUAGAUAAUAAAAACCCAAGUAAUAAUAGGCAAGAUAAACUAAUACACAUUCAUAUUUAAUGCCAUAAGAGUCUACAACCCCGGCUAUGGAGUUAAGCUAAUUAAAGAGCAAUUAGGAAAGAAAAUUGGUACUCGAUGGAGAAAUCCUUCAAAACCUCUCAAAAAUAGUUACAGAUGCUAUCUAAGCUUCAAAGGUACAAAGAUGAUAUAAAAAGUGCCGUGAAAAUCUAUUCGCACUCGUGCAAAAAUAUGGCAACAGGGCCCUUAACGUAUGGCUACGUCACGUGGGUGAUUCCAGAAGCUCCCCCUUGACUGGCUUCUCUUCCCUGGCUACGUGGCUCAGAUACUUGGGUGAGGUACUUGGCCCCCACAAUUUCUUUUUUGCUUUUUAGCCACUCCAUGUCCAAUUUCCUCAAGUAUUGAAGUCAUUCCACUCCUUAAGCUUUUCAAAAGCUGUCAAGACCUAACAUUACCAGUUACAAAAAAAAAACUGUCAAAACCUAAAAUUUUAUCAUUCAAAUCAUUGUUAGCCCAUUAAUCUCAAAAAUGGGGCAUGAAUUUAUCAUUACAAAGUAGCAUAAGUUUGGCAAAAAUGCCAACCUAUCAAAAGCAACAUUUCUUCACCUGUCUUCAAGACAAAUGAUUGACUGAGAGUACUCAUCCUCUCCAAAAUUUCCAACAUGGGGCUCAUGCAUUCAAAAGAAAUGACAUUUUAGCAUAAGUCAACUUAUUUUACUAAUAUUUCUAAGAAAAAUUUGUCAAUGUCAAUGUCAAUGUUUAUAUCCAUUUAUCAUGUGUACUUUCUUAUGGUAUUGGAAGAAAUGCAACCCAUAUUACUUUCUCUAACGGAAGACUGUCUUUCCAGAUUUUUAAGUACUUGCCGAGGUUAUCAUCUGAAGUGCCCAAAUAUAUACAAAAAAUGAAGAGGCAUUAGAGAUGCUUUCCCAUAUCUCUGGUUGCAGUUGCAGCAGCAUCUACAGGUAGAACAUACAAUCAGUCCCAUGUAAAAGGAUUGAUACUUUUCGCCUUCCUUUCCACUUUUCCAUAUAUAGAGGCUCCUUAACCUGAAAUUGGAGUAAAUUGUAAAAGGACAUUUUGUAUUUUUCAUGAUGUGAAUAGCUUGUCAUCAAAGUGGCGUAAUUCCUUGAAAUAGUUCAUAAUGGGAAUAUUUGUGAACCGUUUAUUUGUUUGUCAGCAAUAUUCAGAUUCUGAAUAAAAUAGGUUUGUUAGAGGCUUGAAAGAACCUAUUUGUAUCUAUUUAUCGCUUCAUCUUUACAUGAUCUAAACUUGUUAUGUAAACAUCCUUUCAGCUGUUAUUGUACUUUCUUAUUCACAAGGGAGUGUCUACCCAUAUGAAAAAAGAGGUUUACAUAUGUUGGAGAUAGAUCAAAUGGAACCAACAUUUCAUCUGGAGCUACAUGGGUGUGGGGUGAUUACUUAAUUUGGGGUUCUUUCUGCUAUUUCUGUUUUGCUGUUAUUUCGGAAACAUUCAAAAAAAAAUCCUAGGUGCAAAAUGCCAUUCCUUGAUGUUAGUUUUUGAACUAUUGUGUAGUUCGAGCCGUGUUUGUCAAAAUCUCUAAAUAUUUAAUUAUCUUCCAUUCAAAGCUUAACGAUAUGUGCUUCGUAAAAUUGUGUUACUUUAUAUGAUUUCAAAAAAAACUUUGCUUGAUGAAUUACGUACCUGCUGGGUAUUCCUCCUUAGAUUUGCCAAUUUGCCAUAUAAGAGACCUUGAAAUACUAAUGCCUUGUGAUAACAAUAUUUCCUGAAAUUUUCAUUGUUUCACUUGUCGAGAGUUGGGUAAUGAAUGUAAGAUGGUAUAAUGCCAAGAUUCAAUUAAUCAUGUAAUAGUUUACACACAUUAUAAUCAACUGAUUUUAGACAUGACCUUGCUUUUCUGAACAUCUUAGGUGGUGGUGGUUGUUGGAGAGGGGAUGUUGAAUUGAAAUCGUUUCAUUAGUUACAAUAACUAUUAAUCGACUAACACAUACAUUAUAAUCAACUGAUUUUAGACAUGACCUUCUUGCUUUUCUGAAUAUCUUGGGUGGUGGUGGUGGUUGGGGAGGGGGUGUUGAAUUGAAAUCGUUUCAUUAGUUACAAUAACUAUUAAUUGACUAUUGUUAAACCCAAGUCGACUCUCCUGCAAGUUAGACAGAUAAGCAAGUAUAGCAGGGUGUGAACUAACUAAAAGACUGAUUGAUACAAAUGCUUUUAUGCAUGUUUAGAUCAACGAAGUGGUGCCUACUGCCUCAUCCAGUUCCCUUGGGUUUCAAGGGAUGUUUACAGAUUUUGUUGUGAUAAACUCUUAAAAGUUCCUUAUGUCUGGACAAUUCGACAUCCUUUUGUGGUCACAAUCUCUACUUGUAUAGCUUUUUGGUCUCUUUUUCUUUUCACUAGGUAACCAUAAUGUUUACUAUGCUUUUUGUAAGAUAAAAAGAGGGAAUAGUUCUUCUUGCUCAAGUGAAGUUGUGCCCAGGUAGGCAUAUUAAAGAUUUGUAAUCAAGGAAACAUUUACAGACCGUGAAUUUGUUAUCAUUAUUUUAUCACAAGCUGGAUCAACUGGUAGUAGAGGAAACUACAUCACUUAUCUAAAAGGGAUAAAGUGGUUCUAUUUCUUGAUCAUCGCAAAUUGAUCUGUGCCUUGGGAGAUAGUUUUAUCUCACUCUUACGGAAUUGUAGAUAUCUAUGUAUUUCCCUGCUGUAUUAUUCCAGCUAUUGUCAAUACGCAUAACUUUCUGCACGACAGCUUUCCAUUCAUUUGGUUCUGCAUUACAAUUGCAGACAUCAAACAAUUUAAUUUUUAUCUCAAAACAGAUAGUCAGCUUCUGAGAGCCUACAAUCAACUGGAGGUAUCUUUUAAGGAAAUCAGGAGGAUGAGCUACAUGGAUAGAAUGGCUUACUUUCUUGAUAGUAAGAAAAUGCACGGCCUAGUGCACAGUUUAAGGAUCCUUCAUCAAUUCCUUCAAAGACAAACCUACAUGAGAAAUAUGUCAGCACUUCAGAAUCAUAGUUGCAAUACCAGUCAAACCUACAAAUUGGAAAAGCUGCAUGACCAGAUAAUUUUUUAUUUUAAAAAACACACAAAUACUAGCAUCAAUUUUGAAUACAAAAUAAGUAGGAUUUCAAGAAUUUGAUCAGUUACCCAUUAGCAAUCUCAGUGUGAGAUUGAUUAUCCAUGUCAAAAACCGUGUCCGCGAGACCACCCGUCUUCCUAACUAUGGGAACCUGAAACAGAUACAAAAACUCCUUGCUAUUGUUUUCUUUCUUAAGCUGGAAUGAGUAUGUUUCUGGAAGCAAUAAUUGGACAUCCACCAUAUUGUCUUUCUAUUAACACAAACAACCCUAAAUAAAAUCUUUCUGACAAGUUGUUCUACCAUAUAAUUAUGGAAACUCAGAAGCAGAUAAGAAACAAAUAUCUUUCCCAGUUUAUCAACAUAAAAUGUGAAAUAAACUACUAUUUCUUUUUUAUGACAAGGGGAACCCGCAGCCACUACUCUUAAUAAGUAAUCCUAGUACUUACAGCUCCGUAACGCAUUCCAAUCAUCUGUGCUAGCCCGCAUGGCUCAUACAUUGAAGGCACCAAGACCAUGUCUGCAGCAGCAUAUAGCAUAUGCGACAGCUCCUCGCUUCAUGAUUGACGCCAUUUGAGAAACAGUGAGAACUCGGGUUAAAAUUUCCAUCAUGCAUUCAGUGUAUAGAGGUGAUUCAUAUGAAAAAAGGAUUGAUAUCUACAAGUGAUUCAUAUCAUUUGAGGUGCACUUAAUCAGAUAAGAAGGUACAAUUUGCGUUGAAGCUCAAGAUAACUUCAUAAACAUUAACACUAGCAUUUGUUGAAGGUCAGGAAUUUUAGAUAAUCAAUUUGCUUUAAAAAGUAGUUACCUGUACAUCAAAAGGAUACGGAUAUUGGAGCCCUUGUUAUGCUACAAAGAGGACAAGUAACAGAUAUCACCAUUGCAUCAUCAUUCAAAAAGGUUAAUAAACACCACCAGAUUUAUUGGACUCCUUCAAAUAUAACACUAUGUUAUCUCAAAUGAAUGAGUAGCGAUGAUGCUUGUAAGCAGGAUAGAAUUACAUUUGUUAACAUAUGAAAUCACUAACUAGUCUGAAGGAAAAUUUGGAAAUAUGCAUUAAUAAGCAAUUAGUGCAGUAAAUUUAUUUAAACUUAUGAUAUCGCUCUUGUUCUUUCCUGUUUGUUUUUCUUUUUGGUUUAUCAAUUGGCGUUUCUUUCAAGUCAAAAUCCAGCAAUUUGGUCUGGAACCUGACAUCUAAAUCAUUAAAUGAUUCCAUUCUAAAAUCAUUAGAAAAACAAUGAUAAAGAGGAGGAAAAAUGAAAUGAUCAUAAUGAACUGUAUUAUCGCGGUGAAUGCUUCCAUAUUCUAUCUCAUGAUGGAGAAAGAACCGUCUGUACGACCAAUGCAUGCCAGCAGGAAGAAUAGUCAAGUCUAGAAAUUUUGGUUACCAGUUCUGCUAAACCUUCAAAUUCUCUCUCAACUCGAUCAUCUGAAGCCCUCCCCAAAACAACCAUCUGUCCACCCUGAAAAACAUGCCAUCAGCAGACUUCAAUUACAAUGGUCAAAACAACAGCCUAUCAGUUGGCCACAAGUUAGAAAAUAAUCCUACGAAUAGCUGCAAAGUUGUAAAAAAUUGAGAUAAGGUAAGUGUAUUACAAUUAUCGCACCAAGGUGCUGUCAAAAGUAUUUACAAAUUACCAAUAGUGCAUCCCUUGCUAUUGUUAAAGGGACUAUAUAGAUUCUAUCACAGCUUUAGCAUCACUAACGUAAUUCUGUUUGCAUCAAAAAAUAAAGUGAACAACUCAUUUUAUUCUUUUCAAUGGGCUCUCCUUUGUCUUCAAAAGAAUCUAAAAUCUCUCUCCCUCCAAAUUGUCCAACAUAUGCAUGCCGUUUUAAGGCAAGCUCUCUGUAAAUCUGCUUAUGAAGUGUUCAGCCUAACAAUCAACCAGAUUAGCUGUUGGCUGUGGAAGAUGAUAUGGAAAAUCAAAGUUCCAUAUAAUGUGGCUUACUUUACAUGGCUUUGGCAAAAGCGGCAGUCCUGACCAGGUGACAGGACAAUCUUAUUGAAAGGUGAUAUACCAAUUAUGUUCCAGAUGUGACUUGUAUGGAGAGGAGGCAAAAACGAUCAUCUGCACUGCAAGAUAACAGAUCACUCUCCGACUCCCCUUGCUGAGGUGGCCCUAUAUCCCCAGGGUGGAACUGGUGGGCUUUAAUAUCAAAAUCUGAAACUGAAUACACAAAUCGGGAUUCUACACAUCUGUCAUAGCUGAGACAGGGGAAUGUCUUAGGAAGUGCCAAGAGUAGUUCACAAGUUCUGUGCUUAUGAUAUAAAAGUCAAGCUCACAUCAUCUCAAUGACUCUUUCACUCAUAAAAUGAUAAACGGUCAUCCAAUUAAACCUUUCAUUAUGAGAAUGUAUCCUAUGCUAUGUGCUAUUUAUGUAUAAACUUGACUGAUCGAAUGUCUGUUUUCCUGUGUCUAAGUGCACUACUGGUGAAAAGGACAAAACGGGGAUAAACACUUACAAGUUCUUCAACGUGCUUGAUCGCAUGAGUGAUGAGAUGGAGACCUUUUUGAGCAACCAAUCUAGUAAUGCAGACAACCAAAGGUUUUUGAUCAGCCACAGAAAUAGGAAGACCAAGUCCCUUUUGAACAAAUUUUUUGCAUAUCCUCUUCCCUUCAGUUUUGCCGGCUUCAAAAACACAAACACGAAAUAAGAAGGUGAAGAAAUAUCCAUAAAGCUAAAAUUUGUUACACAGCAAAUAAAAAAAGAAGCUAUUCUAUGAAAAAUAGCUAUAAUACACACAUUGGCUCAUCAAAAAGAGAGUAGAUGACCUUGUGUGGACAGAAGUAGCCCAAUAUAAACAUAGUUUUGUUCUUUGGUUAGCUGACUGGGGGAGACUACUUACAAAAGCAAGAUUGAUACAUUUGAACAUAUUCAUCAACAGUGAUAAAUGUUGCUUAUGUCAUGAAAAUUAAAGAAACACCCCUGCAUCUAUUUGCAAAUUGUGCUUGGACCAAACAACUAAAAAAAAUUCAUCAAACUGGCUGAGCAUACAACUUCAAGCUGGUGAAGUGAAAACUGUGUUGGAGAGAAUUAGACUGGCUGAGCAUACAACUUCAAGCUGGUGAAGUGAAAACCAUGUUGGAGAGAAUUAGAGGAAAGCAUUAGAAACAUUUCAAAAAGGAGAUCGUAGCAGCUACUGGGCGAGCAAUUGUCUACUAUACUAGAAAAGCUAGAAACUGGACUACUUUCAAUCAUCAAAGCGUACAGACUGAAACAGUUUUCAUAUUGGUAAAGGAGGACAUUGUAGAAAGACUAGAUCUGUUAAAAAAAAGCUAGUAGGAGAGUUCGUAGUUGUACCAGUUUGAUCAUAAGAUCAUUUGCAACUGGUCUUAUUCUGGAGGCCCAACAUUUCUCAUAAUUCCUUUUCUAGUAGGUGGUUGUGAGAUUAGGUGCUCCGUGCUCCCCUAGCUGUAUUGGAUGCUUUUUCUUGUUGGUUCUGGUAAUAUUCACAUUGGUUACCCAAAAAAAUUACCAAGGAAUGCUCUUAGGCACUUUUUUCUCGAUUUUGUCAGUUUUAGUCUUUUUUGAAUUUUUCUGUCUCCAAGGGAGAAAGUUUCUGGCUGCUCUGGCGGAGUUUUCAACAGAUAUCAGGGAAGACAGGAUUUUUUAUAAUGCAGGGUUUAAACCCUACGAAAUUACUAGGAGAUAUCCGAUUCAGAAGUAUUGUUCGACUGGAUCGAGUGCAACAGAUAUUUAAUGAGACAAGUUACUAUAAGCAUUAAUGUCAUGAAGUGGUUGCUGUGUAUCUUCAAUAAGACAACAAAGAGAUGGAACAUGAAGGACUACUUACCAGAGUUCUUUUAGGUACAUCAGCUUCAUAGUCAUUCAAGGGGGAAGUAAAUCUAUCAUUAUUACACCAGAGAGUCCUCAUAAAGAGGGUUGGGGAAAUAUAGCCCAUAAAUUUACUGACUUUAUCAAUGAUACAAACAGAGUGAAGAACCCUUUUCCUGGCAGAAAUAGACAAAACAAAAACCUCGUACAAGGAAGCUUUCAAAAACAGGAGAUGGAUGACAGAACAACACACAUAACAGCAAGAAACAACAAAAUAUCUGUAAUUGAGGCUCAAGAAGGACAGAAUCCACUCUGUUGAGUCGGUGCCUAGUUGGAAAAUUUCAGUCGUCACCAAAAGAGACACCAACUUUGAGUGAUGUGAGGAAAUGGGCAUGCAACACAUGGAAGUCAACUUUUGGAGUUAAUGUCUUCUGCAUGAAUGACUCCCAGUAUCACUUUGAAUUCCCCACAAGGUAAGCAGAAAUGUCAUGACAGGAGUAUAGACUUGGCAAAAAUAAAUAUUAUCUCCAAUGGUGAAAUCCUACCGCCGGAUGUUGGCCAGAGGAGAUCAACAGGGAUUCGGUCUAGGUUAGAUUGUUGGGUUUACCAUUGAAUCUCUGGUCACAGAAGAUAUUUGAAGAUAUAGAUGACCAUUAUGGUGGAUUCAUUGAAACAGAGGAGGAGACAACUCUAAGAAAUCAUCUUCACUGGGCUUGAAUCAAAGUGAAGGGGGAUGGAAAGGAGAUUCCUUAAGAGGUUAAAGUAGAAACUGAAGGUCUUAUCUAUAUAAUUCCGGUGUGGGUCGAAGCUCCGGUCACUGUAAAAUCAGAUGGAAGAAGAAGUGGGGAGCCUGUGCCAGUUUUUUUUGAUAGAAACAUGAGGACUGACUCCUGGGUGCAAAUGAUAGGGCAUGUGGGCACGUCAGUUGGUGGGAAAGACUAGGUCAAAGGCACAUGGGGUGCCAAGUAACAGUGAGGGGCCUUUUUAAGGUAAUCUUGGACCUUUUUACUCAGCGCAGAACUUGUGUCCAAUUUUAAGCCCAACAAAAGCAGACCCAAUAAUUCAGAGAAUUCCAAUUCCGCUGAGAAUGAAGCCCAAACUAUAGACACAUUCACAAUUGAAACCGAAGCAAACACACUUAGAGAAAGAAGAACAAUAUCGCACAUUCAGUCAUCUGCAAUAACUCAAGUUGUGAAUAGCAUAGUAAUGUACGAGGGUGAGGAAGAACAUGCAGAGACACAAGAAGAUCAGUUCAACAUUUGUAUGACUAAUACAACGGUGCCAGCGAAUUAAUCAACUAAAAGUCGUACAUUCAAAAGAAAGCUUAUCACUGCAAGAAGCUGGACAAGUAGACCAAGAGGAAUCUAAGGCCUUGCAACUGAAGGAACAGGAUGAAGCAGCAAACUGCAUCGAAGAAGAUGUAAUUCCUUUGAAAAUGCAAUUACCAAUUGAGGAGGUUGUUCGAGACACCAACACUUCAGAAUAGAUUCAACAACACAUCAUCAAACUAAGUACUGAACAGGGUGUAUAUCUUAAAGGGUGCGAUGAGAAGGCCAAAAAAAUAUUUAGGAAGAGAGAACAACAAUCGGAUGAACGGGGGGAGCAGUCCAUUGUAAAAAAAAAGGGGGUGAAUAAACUGAACAGAUUAGAGCUUGAUGCCAAAUUUUGUAGUAAUGGGCUAAUGGCUCAAGAAGUAAGGGGGGAUACCUGGCAAUAAAAGAUCAAUGAGGUUGCAAAGAGUACCUUGGAAUGUUAGGGGACUAAACUGUGGCAGAAAGAGGAGGCUAAUCAGGAAGAUUCUACAUACAUGGAAAGCUGGGGGAUAUUACCAAAAUACUGAAGGAAGUUUGGACAGACCAGUUGCGGAAAAUACUCAUUUAUCUGUGGAGAACUAAGUGGGUGAGGCCAGGGAACGUAAAAGGAUUGCUAAAAUGUUGGAACAAGGAUGGAAAUGCAGCCAAAGAGGAGGGAAGAUGGAAGAAUGUCCUUGCAAGCACUUUGUGGAUGAUGUGAAAAGAAAGAAAUAGGAGAUGUUUUGAAGACAAGCACAGCAACUUCCAGAAGUUCAAAAUGAAUUGUUUAGCUCUGUUUUAUUUUUGGUGUAAACAGAAAUUAAUAGCUUAAACAGAAGAUAUUUUUGACGCUUUAGACUAUUCAUAGGAACAACAAAUAGAUGUUCAAGAUGUAAGUUGUAAUACUUUAGAAGGGGGACUACAUAUUUUGAUAUAGCAUACCAGUGGAUUAUAUAGAUUAACUGUUACCAUUCUCAAGAGAAGAAAAAUCAAGAAAGUAUUUACCAAAGGAGAAAAGGACCAAAGCUAGAAGUUCACAAGAGAAAGUAACCAUGAGAAAGACACAUUCUCCUUGUGCCAAAAAGGAGGCAAUUUCGGUUAAUUGUGCAUCCCUUUUCAUGUAGAGGCUAGGGUCAAAGGAACACCAGUCGUAGACUUCUGGACAUAGAGAGGACGACCAGAUGGAUAAAACCUUUUGGCUCAUUAUUGCAUCAAACAUGCUGAGCUCGUUCUUUUGCAUAAUAUCUAUAGAAAGAAUAAAAACCAAACUUCCUAAGCUCUGGUUUGAAAAGAAAGUGUUAGUAUACAUAAUGAAAAAACAAGCAGAUUAAUGAAAGUGGGAACCAUGAGGAAAUCAACUUCUUGACUGUAAAUAGUUUGCACAUGUUAUGUAAAAUGUAUAAGUGAAGCAGUCCAAGUCAAGUCAUGUGAAUCCACUUAUGAAAAUUAACUCCUAAACAACAGAAAAGUCUGAUGUGUGAGACUUCUCUUAGAAUCUGAAGCAAUACACUUAAGAGGAGUAAGAGCUUCCCAAAGCUGGUAGAUAUGAAAGGAGUAUUAUAUUCCUAAGCAGGAAAAAUGUGGAAAGAGAGCAUCCAAAUACUGGAAAUACUGAAUCAUGGGUUUAGUCUACCUGAAAAGAUCAAAGUUGGAUUAGACGUCUACAUGGGGAUCAUUCUAGAAGACUUGGAAGAAAUGUUGGAGUGACUUCUAGACAAAUAUAUUUCUCUUCUGCUGGCGAAUUCACAUCAUGCCAAACUCAAUGAGAUUCAAUAACCAAUGACUAGUACUACCUAUGACACUUAUCAUAUUGAUAUUAACAGAGUGGAUCAUGAGGCUUUUAGGAACACAUAAAGAGUUAUGUAAGCUUUCUCAAAAAAAAAAAAAGAACACAAAGAGUUUGGUAAUUUCCUGUUGACAUGGAAAUCGGAUGAAGAAAGCAGCAAGCUGGUAUAAGCCAAGGACAAGCCUCUGAGCUAUGAUCAAAGAGCUUUGAAAUUCCCAAAGACUUGCUCAGGAUUAAUUCUUAUCCACAUGCCUUUUUUUGGAUUAGAUAAAGAUUGUCCUACUUUUUUCAUCCCAUUUCUGCACUUUGAGAUCUAUACUACAUUUUAUAUGGACUAGAAAAUCACAAAAUUGACAGUUUCAUGUCCAAGUAAACAACUAAAGAAUGAAAACUAAUUGACAGGUUUUCCAUGUUAACUGAUUGAACGGUAAGUCUUUAAGUGCAAACCCCUAGUGUCUCAUAGUUCCAAAAAUAUAAACUUGAAAAAGACAACAAUGAAGGAAAAAUGUACUAGUACCCCUAGACUAUGACCGGAAUCUCAGAGACACACCUUAACUUAACUAAGGACAUAUUACCUCUUGAACCCAUCUUUUUUGUAAUUUUGUGCACCUUUUUGACUUACGUAGCAUCCAAAUAUCUCCCACGUGCCUCAAUUGUGUGGAGUCACGAAGUAUGCCACGUAAGACAAAAGGUGAACAAAAUUAUUAAAAAAAAAAUGUGUGUGCGUGGCGGGGUGGGGGUGGGGGGGUGUUAAUUAGGACCUUAGUUUAGUUAAGGUAUGUCUCUAAGGUUUUGGUCAAAGUGUAGGGGGUACUUGUGCCUUAUCCCCAACAAUGAAAGCAAACACCAGCAUCUUUCAAAGCAAGGCAAUAAUAUCAGUAAAUUUGACCUUCCCUCCCCCCCCCCCCAAUAGGUGAAUGUAGUUGAGAAAUUAUCACAUUCAAUGCCGUAAGUUAAUAAUAAUGUAAUGAUAUUAAACAGUCUCUAAUAAUAUGCAAAGUUAAACUAACAUGUAUUAACAUCCUUUCUUUUAGCGAGAGAACGGAAAUUCCUGCAGUAGCAAUGAUUUGUCAUUAAACAAUUAUAAUUAUCUUACCCUAUGCAUUACCCAAUACCUAGAGAACGAUACGAGACCAAAAAUCAUAUAUCUGCUGAAUGAGCCUUGUGUAGUAGGGUUUUAAUUGAAGUCCUUUCCUGCGCUUGUCUUUGUUGAGAUACAUUGGAUCAAUGAGUAUCACGAUAUAAUGUGAAGUCACCCUAAGCUAUUAUUCCUGGGGUAGUUGAUGGAUAACACUGACUUUGACAGUUUUCUGGUUAAGUCUGCAUGAACCCCGUGACUACAUUGCUCAAACAAAUGACAAGGAAAGAAGGAAGACUCCAUUGUGUUUCCGCAUGUCCAACAUGAAUGAGGUGAACUUUUUUAAUAUUUCCUUAGAUUAAGACGUAAUCCAUUUGAAUCUAUACCAACAGGCAUCCCUCAUACAGGGAAAACAUAUGGAGUGGUAGCUCAAAGCAAGUGACAUCUAAGUACUUUUACAACAUUACAUAAAUAGUUACCAUCAAAUUUAGCAGGCAAAUAAAUAUCUGUUGCUGGAUUCCACAUUUCAGUAUCGAUCCCAUUUAAAAUGCCAGAAUACCUGAAUGAUAGCAUAACUUGUUUAAACAGCUUUAUUAGAAAAACAGAUACAAAAAAAUAAAGCAAAGUAAUAAAAUAAAGAAUCAUAUAUUUAUAUAAAAGAGAACCCUAGGUCUGCCUACGUGGCACAGAAUUUUUUUAAAAUUUAUUAAUUUCCAAAACUAGUCUUCCUCUUACAUGUAAAGAUGUGACUUUUAUGAGAACAUGCGACUUUAAUGAAGAGUUACGACUUUUAUUCAGUUGUGACUUUUAUCAAAAGUUGUGAUUUUUAUGAAAAGUUGCGACUUUAAUGAAGACUUGCGACUUUAUGAAAAGUUACAAUUUUUAUGGAAGGUUGUAAAUUUUCCGAAGGGUUUUAACUUUUCCAAAUAGUUGUAACCUUUAUGAUAAGUCACAAUAAAGAUUUGUUCACACUACCCUUUGUUGCCUAUAGAUAGUGAGAUUUCCUCAUUUUAAAACAAUAAAAAUUCUGAUCUUCUUCUUCUACUUCCGCAAAAUUAAAUAUUCGUUUACUUUGCUCUAAUUGAGUGACUUACUAACACCACUCUUUUGUAUCAACAAGUUGGUGAAGAAAAUCAUUCCAUCCUGAGAGGAUGUAACUCUUUAAACCUCUAGUACUAGAGGGGAAUAGUUUUCUUAAGGGGACAUUGUGCAUUCAGUCGACUCGAUUUUUUCCUUUGUAUUUCAUUUUGUUUUUACAUAUCCUGGUAUGCUUUUUUACACUCAUUAAUUUAUGCUUAUGAUAUUAGUUGUUGUUUUUGAGUACAUGUUUUGAACUCUGUUGUUUAUGUUUCUGCAAAGUUAUUGUCGCCGGUUAUACUGAAUAUAACGUAUAUUCCGUUUUGUGCAGAAAACAAUUAUUGUACUCAGUUCCAUCAUAUUUUGAUAUUCUAUAUUAAAUUCUAUAACUUUAAAGUACUAUAUAUAAGCUUACUUAUUAUCUAUUUUUACAUAGAUAUGAAAUUUCUCACUUAUUAAUUGAAAAAAUUCAUUAUGCAAGUUCAAAAGUUAUAAUUGCUUUCAUGUUCAAGCGUAAUUUCUUUUUUGAAUAUGUUAACAAAUUUUUUAUUUUUCUCCUAAGACAUAUAUCACUAUGCAACUUAAAUGUUUCUUAUCAUUACGAAAGACCUUUGUAUAUAUAUUCCUGUUUACUUCUUUAUUUUCCUUUUAAUGUUGAUCAAAGAACCAAUGAUUUAUUAUUUCGUGAAUAAUUCAUUCAUUAGAGGUUCUUGAGUUAUGUGAUAAUGAAAAAUAAUCAAAUUCAUGUUAGAAUAUUGCUAAUAUUUUUUAAGAACCUAUUUUUCCAUCAUUUUUUAUGUAUGGAUAUUAGAAAAAAAUUAUUUGCAGGUUCAAUAGAAUUAUUAUUUAAGAGCGCGCGAAGCGUGGACGAAUUACCUAGUUUAAUAGUAAUUGGCAUGAUAUUAAACAUGUCACAUGCUAAUUUCUACAGAGUAUCAGAAAGAGAGGCUGAAGCAGGAUUAAUGAAGCAAAACUUAAUGUAACAAGAUUAAUGGUAAGUGCUGAAGACAUUACUUAUCACGGUUUCUCAUCAAAGCACCAGAAAGCCAUCCAGAACAGAGUGUCUCCUUGAGAUAGGUUGGUGAAACUGUACUGAAAUUAAGAAGAGAAAUUAAAGAAAGAAGAUAGUUUUUUUUGUUUUUGAUGACAUAAUGAAUGAAGAUAGUUCAUGUAUCUUGUAUUUAGUUGCAGGAAAAAUGCAAUUCCAAUAGCUGUACAAGCUCAGGAUAGCCUCUAUUAGAUUUAUGAGUGAAAACUUCAGAAUUUUUCCAAAGAAUCAGACUUAAAAGUAGACAUUCAGAAGUUUGUAGCAAAUUGUAGUUAUUAGGUACAGCUCACUUUUUCCUUCAUUUGUAUUUAACUUCAAUGGUUUUUGCACCUGAUUGUCCAUAAAAUCCUGUAUCAGUUAAUAAACUAACCAAAACCCUAAAUUGUUUGAUAAUUUGUUUAGUUAAUUCUGCCAAUCUGCACGACUUUAGCAAGGGCAAAUGAUUAGAAAAGGACAUAAGUCACAAGACUUGUAUAAGUUAUUCAGUCCAAAAAAACUUGAUGUUUUUUACUUUUGGCGCCUCAUUAUAAAUACUUCAUAACCGUCUGAAACAUGCCUAUAUCUCCAACUUACAAAAGAUAGUCCCAAAUCUGUCUAAAAUGUCUUAUUUGGAGUGUGUCAUCUUAGUUUUCUAAACACACAGUGGUCUUCCAAAGCUAAUCCAGAAUAGGCCAACAUAUAUUUGAGUUGUUUACACUAAUUGUGUUAGUUCUAUUUGAUAGCUAUUCCUGUUGCACUUGGUAUCUGUUGUAGAAAUAGAUCAGAAUAUUUUCUAUCUUUCAAGCCUGUUGCAUUUGGUAUCUGUUGUAACCAGUGUGGUUCUUUACAGAAUAUUUAAUAUUUUUUCCACAUCUUUCAUGUCAUUCCAAGGCAUCCUGCAUCUAGCAUGUUCACGUAUUUCUUGUUGUUAAACGAUAAAUACACUUUGAAUAAGACAAGUUGCAAAUAAAUCUUUUGAGUUAAUAUUCCCACUUAUUGUUACAUAGUUAAUUGGAAGACAUCCUCUAUUUUGCAGCACAGAGGAACUCAUUUUAUUCUAUAUUAAGGUCAAACUCAGUUUCAGCUUUCUUGAUCUGUAUUUAGUUGUACAAGCUUUGCAGAAUCUCACCCUUGGACAUGACAAAGGCAAGUCUACGUUUAUUUAGGCAUUCCCGUCUUCAAAAAUCUUAUGAACACUAUGAUCCCACUACAAACAAUACUUUAUCUUAGUCUAUGUAACUUACUUCGGGACUUUUUCCUUAUUUCUUACUCAUUUGAUUCUAUAUCUAGGUCAAACACAUUCAAGUUCUAGAUUUGGAAUAGGAUGACUCACUACUCAUUAGGUGCGUUUUGCAGACAUAUAACUUGAGAACAAACAUCAAUCGAUUUUUUCCAGUUCCUCUUUGCAGAGGUAUCCAGUCCAUUCGCAAUCCUCAUACAAUUUCAAUUCCAUAAGUAAUCACUAUUACUCACCUUCAUAUCAUGUUCUUGUUACAAAUUUAUCCACUUUUCAAAUACCCAAAAUUGUCUCAGAAGCAAUGGCUGAUCUUAGCUGGGAGCCUGCGACUAGGCUAUGGUUGAGAAAAUGUCUCAUUCACAUGGAAAUGGGUACUUGAGGACUUAGUAUGUUUCUUACAGGUAAAAACCGUAGUUGGAUUUCUUUGGACGUUUACCAGAUAAGAAGAUAGUCUUAAAGGUUGACUUUUACCAAAGAAUAUAACCAGAUUUUUGGGUCUUUUCCAGUUGGCCAAAAUCGCACUUGUCUCUAAGGCACCAUUUUUCCAUUGAUUUCUCUAUCAGUUGGGAUAAAAAAAUACCUCCCUUCAUGAAGAAAUUGCUGAAGAAGUCAAUAUGGGCAAAGUUGUAAAAUUUCCUACUCCCGAGCAAACAAAAAUUGUCCUCUUGCUAACUUGAACUAGUCAAACAAUUUGUAACUCGUUUUAAAACAUUUUCUACUGCAUCUACAAGGAUGGCAUCUAGGCAAGACUCUGAUUCAAUUGUUCCGUCAGCUUGUGAUUCAGGUGAUUUGGUGAUGUACCAUUUUAGGAAGUAAGAACAUUAGCAUCUACAUUAAAGUUCUUAUUAGAGGAAAAGGGAGGAGAUGUAACAAUUGGACUGAUUAAUUUAAUUUAUGAAGAAAACAGCUAGAGUAGGGAAAAAUGAGAAGGGAAAUUAGAUGAUUAAACUUACCAUUGAUCGAUGUCAAUUGGGGAAAAAUAUUUUUACACCAAGAACGAGUAAACCUUGUAGGCAAAUAAACUAAGUAGCUACACUAGAUUUAGUUAACUUACACUAUAGCAUUGCUGUAUACUAUACCACCUUUCAACAAACUUAACCUCUCUGGAUUAUGGCCAACUGUGCGAUCAUCUACAGCCUGCCACAUUGGCCAACAGAAGCAUUGGAUUCCUGAUAAGAUCUUUACUGAAAAACCAACAUAGACAACACAAAUUAUGAUAGCUAAAUCUAAAAUAAAUGAGGACACCUUGUCUUCAGUUGCAUAGGCAGAUCCAUCAAGACCAAACUUACUGAGUUGCUCUUGUCUGUCAAAGAGGAAGCUCAUGAGAAGAAUUUGAUAAAUUUAAAAGACCUAUUUGCAUCAGAUGCUGAUACCAACUAUUACCUUAACAUCCUUCUAGUUUUAGCUUACCAGCAGAUUGAAUCAUGGAUUAUUAAGAAAGAAAAAGGAUAAACAAAACUACAAGAAUUUUAAGUCAAUUACAUAGUUUGGUUCUAAAGCGUUAUCCAGCAAUGAACUGGCCUACUGGAGCAGAAAAAGGUUAGAGAAGUAGUAUGUAUAUUUGACAGAUCAAAUCCCUGCAGCAUUUGAAAGAACUAAGAAUCUAUUUAGCCUCUUAUAUUAAGAAAUUGAUGAGAUAGUACUUGGAGUUCAGCUGCAGUUACAGUCAUAAAACAAGACAAAAGGAAAACAAAAAAAAACUUUGCAGUUGAAAGAAACAGAAUUCUUAAGAGAAUAUGACAACAAAAACUACAUGCAAGAGAACCAGCCAAAUUCUGAAGUGGGUGUCAGUAAGAAAGAUACUGAUUCUUACAAAAUGUGACAACAGAAACCACCAUUCAAGCAAACCAAAGAUUCCAAAGUGAGCAAACAAUAGAAAGUAUAUGUUUAUGUGCAUUGCUUGCAUGCAUGCAUCACAUACUCUUUUGUAGAACUGCUUCAAGGUAGGAGGGAUGGAGAGAGUGAAAAAUAGUUGAAGAUUAAGUCAAUAGAGGAGAGACUAUAUUUUCAAUUGUUUGAUUAACACUACAGAAGAACAGCUCCUUCCAUAGAACGUAAGCUAUGAACAAUAUGAUCAGUAGUUAGAAUAUGAAUAUAUAAUUGAGACAUUACGAAUUAAUUCUCCAAGAAUGGUGCAAUCUGAUCUUACAACAAAACUGCACCUAAAAUUGGAACAUAUAUACUAUAGGUUUUCAGGCUUGUGGCAGAUACAUCCAAUCUCUGUCCUCGGAGAACUUUAAUGUAUGUGUAUGCCAACUGAUUGUUUGAACACAAGAACUCAUAGAGGUAUCAAAUUGCAUUUUCUGCCUGAUAAAGUGAUAAUAUAUCUCAUUGUGUUUGGUCCCCCUCAUGGAAUACUAGAUUAUUAUGUUUUGUGUAUCGUCACUCCAUUUUCACAAAUCAAUACUUUGGUAAGGAAAGAGGUGUCACAAAUAAAAAUUUUAAACCUUCGCAGAUCAAUUUCAGUAAUGUUGAUUUUUUAGCCUUAGCUCCUUAUGUAGUCGACCCCAACAUUCUGUCAAAAUCUUCUAAACUGGUUGCUUUGAUUUUAAAAUCGGGUUUUUUUCCUUUUUCUUUCUCUAUUGUCGAUAAUCAACCUCCUUCUUGGUCGUUGAAGAUCCUCUUCAACCUCCUUCUUGAACUUCCUUCUUGGGUUAUUAACAAUUACUUCUUUGGUGGAUUAUCACCCUAUUAUCGAUAAUCUACCUCUUGCUUGGUCGUUUGUCAACCCAUGAUCGCUUAUCAACCCCCUUCUUAGUCAAUGGAGGUUAUUUACAAUCUAAGUUGCACGGAAUCUUCACUUUUGUUGUCACACUCUUGUAAACACGAUGUGGGUAUGGGUUGGAGUUCGUACCAGAUAUGGUUAAUCGAUUUCGGGGUACUUAGACAAAAUUGGAUAGAGAAAUUCGAGACAGAUACAAUGAAUCUGAAAUUAAAACAAAAGCUAUGGUGAAAUCAUAAAGGCUUAUCGUCAAAAGAUAUUUGUAUACAGCCAGCUAUCAUAAGGUUCUUUAAAGAUAUUUAGAGGUCAACAUCACUGCUAUAUGUGUAAUAAACUCAAGAAGUCUAUCAUGGCCUCUAUAUCAUUUGCAAUAUCCAUGUUACACCAAAAAUAUUAAGGAGAAGCAUAUGUAGUUAAUAAAAUUUACAUAUUUAGACUUGUUCUCGAAAAAUUCGUGCUUUCCUUUUCUUGGAUGGUGGAGGUACAUAUCUUGCUUGGUCAAGAUCUUGCUUGCUUUUUAUCAAAUUGAUUGGGUAUAUCACUGGAGAAAAGAUAACACUCGUUGUGACAGACUCUAGCUAUAGUCAAAUCAAUAGAAAAUUGAUAAAAACCAAGCAAGAUGUUGACCAGACAUAAUAUACUGCGCCAUCCAAUUGUACAACAUGAAUUUGAGACAUAGCAUUAUUUUAUAUCUAUUUUUGUAUCACCCGUAGUUUGAACAAGUAAUAAUCCUUAGUAUCAAAAAUUGAAUACAGAUACUAGGAAUACAGAAAUGAACUUUCGGAGAUAUAAUCUUCCUGAUCUCAGAAAAAUUCUUUUCUUUUUUUUUUGAGGAUAAGAUCUCCGAAAAAUUCUACCCAGACAGGAACUGCUAAAACUUGGAUGGGGAAGGGUCGGAAUAGGCCUGCAACCCGAGAUCCCCGAAAAAAAUCGGGAAAAGUUGCCGGAAAGCUAGCUGCCACACCGGAAUCCUAAUUUCAGUGAUCGGAAAUCAAAAACUAGUAGAGAUAGGCUCGGAGUGAACCAGCGACCCCAAUGGAGGAAAAAAUUUCCAAAAGGAACUAACCAGAAGGAGAUUGUGUAGCGAACAGCCAACCAACAUGAGAAAACUCAGCCUCUUUGAUAAAAAUGGAACCCUAGUGCUGCAAGGGAGAUAACUCACCUCAAAAAGGCAGCAAUGGCUCUAAUACCAUGAAGAUUUCAAGAAGAAGAAAGUUCUUUAUAUCUCUUGAUGAAUAUACAACCCAUGAGAAUGGAUACUUAUACUAUGAGUCCUAAGACUAAACUAGAAAAGAAAAUAUCACAUAACUAAUUACAUUCAAUACAAUAACAUUCUACUCCUGUAGUUAAGCUAUCAGUAUCAAUCAACACAGGGAAAAUCUUAACCCACUCUUACCCACCUGCCAUGGCCAUUUCCAUCUCUAGAUUGCAAAAAUGAAUCUCAAGUUGCAAAUGUUCCCUCACUCUUGAAUUAACUUCUACUACUGACCAACUGAGCCUUUCUGGAUAUGCACUAGCCCCCUGAGAAGCUGGGACAAUAGUAAAAUAACUCCUUUUUUCAGCAAGCGGACAUAUCAGUACAGUAUUGUAUUCCGUUACAAUAUCAAUACUGAAAACAUCCCUAGUAGAGAACCAAUAAAAGCAUAGAAGAAGCCAAUUGGAAAUUCCAUACUAUGAGACUUUCCCUUGGUAUGAUUGCAGAAAUGAAUAAAGGUUAUUCAGAAUGCUUGCAUAUCAUCACCCAUUGACAAUGAGAAUUCUAGAACACAGAAUAUUCCAUAAUGUAAACACAUUGUCUUACAUUUCAAGAUGAACCGGGUAUUAUUAACUCACCUUUCUUUAUAUUGGAUACCUUCCAAAGUUAUUCGCCAAGUCAUAAUCAGCCAUUAACAUAUUUCAUCCAUACUAAAGAGAAUACAGAAUAGACACUAAUUCAGACAACUGCAAACUGAGAUUUGAAAAAUCACGAGGACAACAGACCGUCCUAGAUAUGGUCUCCUUUGUUGUUUCUGCAGUUUCUUGAUUGUUGCAUCUGGUUAAAUGUUUUAGGGGAUUAAUUUAUGGUGUGCAUCGUUCUCUUAGGACUAAACUACACCAUCGUUGAAGAGGUUAGAAACAUACAGAGCAUAAAGAUAUUAGAAAAAUGACCCAUAUUUCUUCCUUCAUUUGCAGACUAAAAGUGUACCUGCAUUCUCCAUAAUGCUCCAUGUUGUGAAUAGUCAAUACAAUUCUCGGUUUCUGCACGAGGUGUCAAUGCUAAAAACAAACAGAUAGAUAAAUCUGCACAGAUCAAUUAAAGGAAUGAAAAACAUAAGUCCGCAGAUCAUACCUGGAGUGAGAGAAAAUGGUACAUAUCCCAGUAGAACAGAGGUAAAGCACCUGUCUGCCAUUCAUGUACAUGAAUGAUAUCUGGUUGUGUUCCAUUUACCUGUAAGAGGAUGUUGGUAAGAGGAAGUUGAUCAGGAAAAUCAGUAACACUGUUGUUUGCAUGAAAGCUAGAAGAAGACAUCAAAUCAAAACACAGGAGCAAAUUUGAAACAUUCAGACAUCAAGAACCUACUGAAUUGAGGCUGCAACUAACCAAAUAAACUUAGGACUACAUUUGAUUGAGGGAGAAAACCAUAUUGACAUGCCAUCAUCACAUAAAAAAUUUCCAGACUUUUCCCAAGAUGUGCACAAGUGUACAUAAUUAGUGUGCAAUCAGAUAUAGCUCAAUGAGUCAUGGGUUUGAAGGCAUUAACCCAAAGUGUUUCAGAAGAAUUGUCAAAUUGGAAUAAGUUAAGUUUUAAUCUUUCUAUACAUCUACCAUGAAACAAUUUAUAACUCAUGGCUGUAAUACCUGCAUCCAUUCAAGGCAAGCACGGCUGAAAAAUAAGUAUGCAUCUAAUUCAUUGUAUGACCCUCCAUAUAUGUUUUUUCCCUUGAAGAAGUGGUUGGAUGGUUCAAUAAGUAUCACUGGAACGCCCGAAACUUCUCCUCGAUAUGCAUUACAGGCAACCCAGUUUCCAUCAUGAUAUGAGUUGUAAGUUCUCAUCAAGGCUAGCUCAUUGAUACAAUGCUUUGGAAUACAUUCAUAAAAAGGAAUCAUAACAUCAACUUUAUGGCCACGAUUUAAACAGGCACGUCCAAGUCCUGUUACAACAUCACCUAGACCCCCAACUUUUGCUAUGGGUGCCAUUUCAGCCGUCACAUGAACAAUGUGCAAAAGAUCAGAGUCCUGCUCCACUCCAGAAGAAGCAUCCGAACUGAGGUCCCAAGAUGGAAAGUCUCCUUUCCAGAAUGGAAUUUCAUCACUUGGGGAAGGCCAGCGAAGACCAUCAGAUUCGCAACCAGCCUCUGAGCCUUCUAGUUGGUCAGCUUUCAACUGUUGAAGAAACAAACUGAAAUCCAAGAGAUAAUUGGAAAAAAUAACAGAAAUGCUUGAUGGCAUGCUUCUUAACACAAAAUCAAAAAAAAAAAAUCCUUUUCAACAAUUAUUAACAGAGGGUGUUCGUAAGUCCUACAUUCCCCACCCUCCCACCCACCCAUCCACACGCACACAGGCAUACACACAAACUCUAGUAUUGGAUAAAGGGGAGAGCAACAGACAGGAUGUAUCAUUGUUAAAUCUUUAGCUCCCAAAUACCUUUAAGUUAGCCAUAUCAAACUCUCCUCGUGUUUGCUCUUUUAAUUCAAGCCAUUCUACUUCCCAAACCCAUAAAUUUUCUACAGGUUACUCUCACUAACAACACAGCCAUAAGGAAUUUAACAGUCAUCCACAAAUUUCUCUAGAUGCCAAAGUAAGUGUCUAUUUGUACACGCCAAAGUUAGAAGACAUAUUUAUGGAUUAUAUAAAUAAAAAAAAAAGGUUUUAACACAAGACAAGAAAAGAUGAUGGAAUUUUCUUCACCUGAGCUUCAAUUCGAGGAACAAGUUGAAUGUUGAAAUUUCGCAACUGGUAUUUGCUGAAGACAUAAGAUUGCUUCUUCAACAAAUUGGCCUUACUGCUGAUGUUAUUGUAGCAUGAUCGGUGAUUGAAACUACUGCUACAAUUGUAGCUGCUACUAUGGUUUCCAUUAGGCGCAAUGGAUGAUGGGAACGACAGGCAGGAUGUGAAAUCCAUCAAAUAUUAUCGAAAUAUAUUGCGUUCAGUGCAGCCAAAAACUUGCGAAAUUGUAUAUAUACACUGCAGAUACCCAGGUCGACUUGCCCGGGGUGGGGAAGAAGUGACAAGUAAACAAGGAUCUUGCGGUUAGCGUGGGCCAUAAAUUACUUGAAUAUACCUUUAUUCUACAAUUGCACCUUUUUUUCACAUCAACUUUAUAGAAUUGGACGCACACAAGUAUUAACCCCUAUAUCAUUUUCAGUGUGUACCAAAUUAUGGAGAAUAUGACAUAAAUGAUAUAUGAACUAUAAGAGUAGGUCUAAAAUAAUAAUUACUUUCUCGGUUUUAAUUUCGUUAGUUCAAAAAAUUGAUACAUUUCUAUAUUAAGUAACAAUUUAGUUAUAAAAUAUUUAUUUUACUCUUAAUGAAAUGAUUUAUAGUCACACAAAUUUUUGUUCUUCAUUUUGGACCACAAGUUUUAAAAGUCUUUCUUUCUUAAACUAUGUGUCGAGUUAAACUAUCUCACAUAAGAUGGGACAAAGGGAGUAAUAUUUAUUAGAUUUAGGACAUGUUUGGUUAUGUGAUAUGAAAUUAUGACUUGAAAUUAGGUUAAAGUAUCAGCGGCCCCUUAAAGUUGUUCUUAUUAUUCAUUUAUACACCUCAACUAGACCUAGUACCUAUUGAAUACCUCUACCACCCCAUAUUUAAACCGUCCAAGAAUAUUUUCUAAAUGGCAAAUCGUUUGUGAGUCACGCAAUGGGGCGUAUAAAUCAUUUUUUCUCCCAUUUGUUACCUUUUAUUUAAGACCCCCAACGUUAAUAUUGUAAAGUUAAAAUCCCAAUUCUUCUUCCCCCAAAUCUAUUUUAGAACCCUAAUCUCCAAUGUUUCUCUCUUCUAUAUCAAUUGUCUUUUAUAAAAUGGCGUAAGUUCAGUGAUAUCGAGGAAGUCAAUAUAUUAAGUGUGGUGAUUAUUAUCGAUUGAAAAACUUUGAGGAUUCCAUUGAACUCAAGUCGUCAAUUUUUUGGAUGCAAAGUACAAAGGUUUGUAAUUAUUCGAACAAAAACUAUUGUUAUUGUACUAUUUAAAAAUUAAUAUUUUUGUAUAUUUAUUACUGUUAUGUGGUUUUUAGGAAAAUGAUGGAUGUGCUAUUUUAGAUGGAUUGAUCCGCCGCUUGAAAAUGUUGAUUAAUCAUCCUUAAUGAAUAGAUUCAUAGAUGGGUCAAAAUCCAAUUGAUUGACUAAAGAGAAAAGUGAAAGUGCUUGAAGAAGAAAGAGAUUCUUUAAGUUUUUAAUUGAAUGAAAAUGAAGAGCAGAUGGUAUUGAACAAGAAGCUCAAGGAAGUUAAACUUCAAAGGGAUUGAGAAAAUGUCAAAUUUAACCGAGUAGUGAUUAUUUCUUUGUCUGCUAACUGUAAAAUGGUUCUUUAAUAUUGUGUAGUUCAUAGUAGUUGAAGAUUGUAGUACUUAAUUGUUCAGUUUUGCAAUAGUUAGGAGGCUAUUCUAGAUCAAUUAUUAUUGUACUCAAUUGGUCUGUUAAUUUCAUAUUUUGUAUCAAAUUGAAAGUUUGAAUAUGAAUUGAUUAGUGUCUCUUUUGUAACUUUCAGCGUGAAUUGAUCUAGAAUAGCCUCCUAACUAUAGCAAAACUGAACAAUUACUUUUAGUGUGAAUUGAAUCAGUGUCUCUUUUGUAACUUGCUUUGUUUCCUAACUUGCCCUGUAUUCUGAAAUUAGUUUUGGUAUCGACUAGUCUUAUUGACAAAAACACAAAUGCAUUAAGAGGUAGUCUAAUUGUUGUUCAAAAACUAAGCUAAUAAUACAAAUGUUUGGCUGAAAUACAUAACACAAAGUCAUGGUUAAAAAUAAUAACACAAAUGCAUUGAGAGGUAUUCUAAUUGUUGUUCAAAAACCAUUGUCUUGCAUGGUUCAAAAAUACGUAGUCUUGCUAACACAAAAGCAUGAUUCAAAAAUAUAUUACAUGAGGGUUCAAAAUAAACUAAAGAGUAUCCUGUUGAAGACCCUUUUAACAUGGGUCAAAAUCAUAAAAACUUUCCAAAUGAACUACUUCCAGUUUUUUCUAUUUGCUUUCAUUUGUUGCAACUGUGAGGUGUUGACUUCAUCUAUUUUUCAUUCAUUUUAGGCCACGAAGUUUUAAAUCCAAUUUCUAUAUUGGUUGAUAAAGUACUCUUCAAUUUUGCUGGCCUAUGUAGAAUCUUUUACUUUAUACCAGACUGUAAUAUAAGCAUGAAAGUGUAAGAUAAGGUAAGAUCAUAAUAUGGCUAUCAGAAUAUACACCAAAUCAGAGUAAACAUAUUAAGUGAACAUACAUUAAAUACUAGGGCUCCAAUUGUAGGAUCAAAGUAAACACCAAAAUCAGUUGCAGGCCUUCUAUUUCCUCCAGUAGCAGCGACAAAGAAGGCAGAAUUGUGUGGUCUCUUAUGACCUGAUAAAGAUGGUAGUUGACUAGAAGUAAUAUCUCUUUCAGUAACAAAUGGGGUCCCUCUUGCAUUGGCUUUUUUCUUCCCUAUCUUCUUCUAGUCCCAACUCAAACCCAAUUUAGAAGAGGUCUUGGCACUUGUAUUAGCACAACUAGAACUUCUUUGACUUGAUUGUGUAAUUGUAUAUGUGCUUAUGAAAGUAGAAUGUGAUGGACCUCCCAUUGUAGACUAUAUAGUAUAAAUAAGGAUAUAUGAAUAAUUUGUAGAACAGUCAGAAAAUGCAAAUGAAUUAUUAAAUCUAAUCUUACUGAUGUUUGAGUAGUUCUUGGUACAACAGUGGUAUCAACACAAACAGAACAUUGUUGAAUUGAUUAUGUUUUAACUUGUUGAACAAAAAUAAGAAGAUAUGAAUAACUUAUACAAUAAAAAUUAAUGCAAAUGAAUAAGUAAAUCAAGUCUUACUCCAGUUUGAGGAUAACUUUGUUGGCUUGAAUUUCUCUAACUUUCAGAUUGAAAAGUGUUCCCCCUUCCAUACUAUGUCACCACAAAAUAAAAUAUGUGAUUAUAAUAUAUAAAAACUUUAAGCAAUUUACGAAUGUGAAUAUGAAUUAUUACUUACUUUUGCACACACAACUUUGUUAUAACCAGUUUUCUUGCAUAUUGAACGUGUCAUCUUUACUUUUUUCCUUAAAAGUUGCUCAUAUUUUUCUGUCUUAUCCUUACUCUUUCUUCUCCUCUUGCCAGGUCUGCCUAGCAUUUUUUCUUUGUUUUGGAGGCUCUAUUGAUAGAUUUGUAGUUUCAGACCAUAUUCUCAUGUUCGGAAUAUGUUGGAUGAAAUGGUUGUAAGUCUUGAGAAAUAUUUAUUUCUUAUAUCAAUGCUCUCAUGUUGAUCAGAAUCUUGAUUCGGGUAAUAAUAAGCACAAAUAGCAUGAAGGCAAGUAAUACCUCUCAACAUUCACAACCUACAGUCACAAUAAUUCUUCUCCAAGUUAACAACAAAUUAAUAUUCCUCCUCAUUAAUCUCAAAAUCAUUCACUCCAUUCCAUUGAACAUUACAGUUAUUAGAAUACUCCUUGUUUGUUUCUUUCUAGUAUUGUUGUUGUCAUAGCUGCAAUGUCUGAUAUUCAUGUUUCAGCAAAUAUGAUCAUGUGUAUAUGUUUGUUCAUUAUUUUAUGUCUAAUAUCAUUCAGUAUUAAUUGAUUUAUGUCUAGCAGCUAAGAUCCUUGAUUUGAAAGUCUCACACGUGUUAUUUUCUCAACAUCACACUUGGAGUGAGUUUAGAAAAAAGCCCUAGACCAAUUUCUGGGAUCAUAUAGCAAGUCCUAUUUUAUUUACUUCUUACCUAGCUAAGACAUUGAAUGAGCUUCUUCUCUAAACUUGACUUCAAAGGAUGCCUUUGAACAUCUCCAAAAUUGUUUUCUUCUUUCAUCUUCUUUUCGGUUUACAUGUCAGUUACUCCAUCUAUGUCUAGCACACAUCAUUUUCUCAGCAUUUGUUAACAACUCUACCAAGAUAGAAAUAAGUCCCUUACAAAAAAAAAGUACAUAAUAAGAAAUUGAAGUAGUAAAGAUCAAAUUAAAACGAAAUUGAAGUAGUAAAGAUCAAAAUUAUAUAAUCAAUACCUUUUGCAUAUCUGACAUUACAAUCAGACCUCCAACAGUUUCCAAGUUUAGAUCAGCAAUUAAAUAACUUAUGAAUCACCUCCAACUAUGUUUUGUUUUUGUAUCCACAACUCCCAGGUAAUAUGAUACAUUUGGUUGUUUCCAUUUUUUCCAACAGCAACUAAUAGCUCACUCUUACAAGCUCUAUUGUGAAAACAACCAUCAAAUCCAAUUAUGUUCUUACACCCUUCCAACCAUCCUUGCUUAAGUGCAUGAAAGCACACAUAAAAACACACGAAAAGGUUUUUUCUUGGUUCAGUUUCCUUAUUAAUUUUUAUCCAACAAGAACUUUCAGAAUUGGUUUGUUUGAUCAUAUCUUCAUAGUUACAUAAUCUGAAAAUUCCACGUACCAAUCAACCAUGUCUUCUUUCAUAAUCCUUUGUUUAGCCCUGUAACAAAGAGUCUUACCAACAUAAAGACCCAAUGUCUGUCUAAUCAAAUCUUAAAUUUCUCAAAUCUUUAUGUAUGGUUGAGAUACAAUUUUAUCCUUAAAUUACUAGCAAUUAACUUUGAACUACACAACUUGUUCAUGUUUAAUGGAAUACACUUGCGAACAUUAUGAUAGUUCUUCACAAUGAAAUCACCUGAGUCCUUUUCAAUGGAAGCACACAACAACCAUUUAUAGUUAGGAUUUUUGCACUUCACCUUCACUUUAUGUUUUACAUUAGGUCGUAACCUUAUCUGCCUCUUGUACUCUACAACAUAAUCUGUCACCGCUGAACUGAUUUUGCACCCUCAAAGAUCAUUCCAAGCUCAAAUAUUGACACUUCCUAAUCUUCUUCAUACCUAAUUUUUUUGCUUCUUUUUCUAGCAAGUAUAUCUACUCCCCUAACAACAUCCACAUCUAGUUGUUCAUCACUAUCAUCACUCUAAAAGUCAAAUCUAUCAAUAUAAUCCUCAACUUUACCCAAUUUUUUUUUCAUAUUUGUCAGUUAUAUUUUUUCUAACAUUUUCAAAGCCUCUAUCUAUAUCACCAGCUUUUCCGCUAGUAUUGCUUCUUGUUCAAUAGCUUUUUUUCUCUAUUUUUUGUUUCUUCUUUCUUGUCUAAACGCUCUCAACUCCUCUUCAAUAUUUGAACCAUCUUUUGAAGGUAUAUUUAGAUCUGAAUCACUACUCAAGAAAUCAUAUUCACCUUUUCCACCUAGGUAAACAUCCUCAUUCUGUCCAACUAAGUUAACAACCUCACCCUCUUCACAAAUAUUAACAUCAACACCCUCACAACCAAGGUUAAAAACCUCAUCUCUCCACCAAGGUUAACAAUCUCAUUUUCUCCACCUAGGUCAACAUCCUCACCUUCUCCACCUAGGUUUACAUCCUUAUCCUCUCCACCUAAGUUAACAACCUCACCCUCUUCACCAAGGUCAACAUCAAUACCUUCACCACCAACAUUAGUUAGAUAGCUUCUAAGUCCCUUAGUGUCAAGUAAGGGUUCAUCUAAUACAUGACAGAUAUACUUCAAAAGUGUCCUUAUGUUUUAAGUCUUUUAUUAGGUGUAGAGAUGUUGGUCACUUGUAAUUCGGACCCAUUGUUUAUUCAAUAAGUCCUUGACAUAAAAGCCUCCAACAAUUUCAUAACUCAAUUCUUUAGUAUAAUACAGUAGUUCCAUAAAUAAGAGAGUGGUCCUCAAUAAUAUACCUGAGUGCAUGCACACAAUCUUCAACAAAAAUAGGGACAAAUAUCUUGGAUAAGAUUCCAUCAUGGUAAUUUUUUGUAAAUAUAAUCUCCUUAAUGGUCAAUUGUUAGGUAGACCUACAAAAUAUCAAACAACUAGCUUAAGAUAAUGAAAUAUACUGAUAUAACACAUACAACAACUAAAAAAAUAAAGUUUUAAAGCAUAUUUUUUGGAAAACAUAAAAGAAGGGACAUAAUAUUCCCAAAAAUCACAAACUCUAUAUUUUACAAAAUCUUAGCUUUUUGGAAUUCAUUUAACAAACAUGUAAAAAAACAUUAACAAUCCUAACUUACACAAGGAAAAUCUUCAAGAUCGAAACACGAACAUGACAAAUUCAAUUUCAAUUUGGAGGAAAUCGUGAAGAUAGAAAACUUCAAUUUGGAGGAAAUCGCGAAGAUAGAGAGAGAGAAGUUCUAUCAAAGUUAACAAUUUAGAAAUUUUCCCCAAUUAAGACAUUUACAAAUACACGUCGGAUACAUGUGAUAGUUGUUAAAUGGAUAUUCUAUACAUGUCGAAUACACAUGGGGAGCUCAGAUACACGCGUCACACGAUUUAUGAAAAGUGAAAAAAAAUGCUUAGACUGUUCAAAUCUAGGGUGGUAGAGGUGUUCAAUGGGUAGUAAGUUUAGUUGAGGUGUCUAAAUGAAUAAUGAUGGCAAAUUUAAGGGCCGCAGAUGACUUUGGCCUUGAAAUUACAAUAUGGAAUCAUGAAAUGAAAUCAUAAGAUGAAGUUGAAGUUUUGUUUGGACAUGUAAUUUGAGCUUUUUAUGUUUUCUCAUAAACAUGAAAAUCUCAUAAGUCGUAAAAUAUAUUAAAAUUGACACAAUUAUUUACACAAUUUUAUCAAAUAAGCACAAGCUUAUAAAAUCUUACACAAUCACAAAGAUAUUCUUAAAACAUAUAAUAUUUAUUGAUUAAAUUUUAAUUCAAUAAAUAUUAAAUUAAAUGUAGUUUGUGGUGGACUAGUUUUUAAUAUAAUCCACCUACUUAUUACGGACAAUUAUCUCACGCUGAACUUGCAUUUUCAUUCAUAUGGCUGAGAAACGCAAUCACAAGCACAACAAUUCUCUAGAUCAUAUACUAUUUUUUUUUAGAUAUUGUUAAAUCUGAAAAUGACCUAUCGAAUUACUAAAUUAUUGUUGUGAUUUUUAAAAUUAUUAUGUUAUAUAUUUUUAUCUUGAAUUUAAAUUAUUAUGUCAUGUAAAGUAUUGUUAAACUAAAAUUUUCAUCUUAUCAUUUAAAUUUUGUGCAUUCUUCAUAGUGAAAAUCAAUAAUAAUAUAAAAUUAUCUCUUAAAGUGACGAAAAUUGAAAAAAAAGUAUUUGAAAUAUUAUUAAUUCAAAUAGUAUAUAUUAAAUAAUAAAUUUUUAAAAAUGUUGUAUUACAUUUAAAAAGAAUUAUGAAUAUUAAUAAUUUAAUUAAUCAUAUAAAAAAAUUAUAUGUUAGUUAUAAAUAAUAUAAAUAAUAUUAAAUUAAUAAAAAAGUGAUAUUGAGAGGAUGAAUAACACUACUAUUCACCUCUAUAUAGAUAUAGAAUCGAGAGCUUUUUCAGGGUGAUUACAGUGACGACUAAAUCUUAAUGUACUACAGCAAUGAUAAAUUAAAACCAUAAAAUAAUGUAUUUAUAACUAUUAUUAAUUAAAAUUUUCGUUAUAGUUUGUUGUCAAUCUUUUAUCAAUUAUUAGCCAUAUAUUUAGAAUCUUUUAUUAUUUUUCUAAAAAGACAAUUAAUGUAAUUAUAAUUAAAAGUAGCAUGCAAUCAGAUUUCCUUUCUACUUCUUGGUGUGUCUGGUUCACUUCAAUUUGAAUAAAUAUUUAAUAUUGGCUUUUUAAGUUGUCUUCAAUUCUUGGAGGUGUCUUUUUAGACAUUUUAAGUCCAAUCUAAUUAGAUUACCAAAUAAUUAAAGGGAUAAUUAUAUAAAAUGACAAGUUAAUAAUAUAAAAUAAAUAUAGUAGCUAUCGUUUAAUUUAUUUGUGUUCCAUAUCAAACUAUUUCUCAGUCGCCUUUCUCCCUUAUAUUCUCGCUCGCCACUCUCCCUCUCUCGAUUGCUCCCUGUCGCUCGUCUCUCUCGCUUUAUACAAUAGAAAUGUAUAAAUUUUGUUUUUGUUUGUAUAAAGCGAGAGAAAAUUAUAUAUACACAUGCAAAUACAUAUAUUUUCGUCCUAUACACUUAUAAUUAUACAAUACAAAUAUUUCUCUGCCCAAGUCUCUUUUGUCUUUCUCUCUUUCUCAUUUUAUACAAAUUCAAAUUGUAUAUAAUUUCUCUCUUUCUCGUUUUAUAUAAUUUGAUUCAAUUGUAUAUUCCCAGCCCAAACUUUUUUUGCCUUUCUCUCUUUCUCGUUUUAUACAAAUCCAAAUUAUAUAUAAUCGUCCUAUACACUUGUAAUUAUACAAUACAAAUAUUUCCCUUCCCAAGUCUUUUUUGUCUCUCUCUUUCUCGUUUUAUACAAAUUCGAAUUUAUAUAAUUUCCCUCUUUCUCGUUUUAUACAAUUGGAUUCAAUUAUAUAUCCCCUGCCCAAUUGUAUAGCGAAAUAAACAUAGUUAUUAAUUGUAUAUGUAUAGAAAAUUAUACAUAUAUAUGUUUGUUAUGGAGCACAAUUAUACAAACUUUGCUAUAAUAUAUAAAUUUGAAUUUUGUGUUUGCUAUAUGCGAAAGUUGCCCAUAAUUAAAAUUAGAAAAACAUCGUCUAAGCUUAACUUUGAAUGUAUUCUAAAGCAUAACAAUUACUGCAAUAUUGAUAAUUUAGACCAAUUUUGUAAUCAAGGUGCAUGACAUAUUAGUUCUAAUUUUAAAUACUUCUACAACUUCCAAAAUAAUUGCUCUAUUAGUUUUUUUUUUGCCGAAGUCAUGUGUGGCCCUUUAAAGUUGUCCGCAUAAUUCAUUUAGACACCUUAACAAACCUCAUUUUCUAUUAGACACUUCAAUCUUAAAAAAUAAAUACCUAUUGAACAUUUUUCUGACAUUGGGUAAAAAAAGGAAGUGUGUGUGAUACACAUGCAUAUGAUGUGUCAAUAUAGCAAAUCAAAUAAAGACACGUGGCAUUUUAAUUUAAAAGAAAUAUAAUUAUAAUUUCUUUAUAUAAAUAAGUCAAAAUUAAAAAGAAAAGUUUCCUAACUUAUUUUUUAAAAAAAAAAUUAUACACCUCACCCACCUCCCAUUGCAUCCCAACCCCGAUGUCCCUUUCUUCCUUUUCUUAAUACUCACCCUUCUUCACCAUUGUUGGUCUCCAUUUUUUUAGCGAAAAAGAUGUAGAUUUAUAUCUUCAUUUUUUUCGGUAAAGAACCGAUGAUAUUGAUCUUUAUUUUUUCGGAAAAAAAGAAAAGUUCUUUUUACAUCUACAGAAUUAAUAAUAUAAUGAUAAGAAAAUAAAUUAAACAAAAUUAAGAACAAAAAAAUGAAAAUUCAUAUAAGAAAAAAGUGACAUCAAAUUGUUUUCAAGAAUGGCUGCAGAAAUGACGGGAGUUAUCUACAAAGAUACAAGAUUGUUUUUUUUAAAAAAAAAAAGAGAGAAAAAGAAAAUAUAGAAAAAUAAAAAGGAAAAAAAAGAAAAAAUUGAAAGAUAAAAAAGAAGAUGUUAAAAUUACGAUUUCACGCGCUUACCAAGCGUGCAUCACUUCUUAUGCCACAUCUGCAUAAAGUGUUUAAAUGGUUCAAAUUCUAGAGGGUAAAGGUGUUCAAUAGGUAUAUGUCCUAGUUAAGGUAUCUAAAUGAAUUAUGCAGACAACUUUAAGAGGCUACAGAUGACUUAGGCCUUUUUUUUUUAAUCUCAGAAAGUCUUAAAUAUUGCAAGGCAUAAAAAUACAACAGACUUGUUCUAAUAACAUCCCUCAAAGAUCCAAUAAUCUUAUAUAUCAACGUCACUUAUAAGAAAGUUCUCAAGCAACAGUUUUCUUGAGCUUUGCAAGCUCCUGCCUCACAACUCCAACUCUCUUAAUCUUUGCCAGCAUAAGCUUGAACCUGUCAAAAUGGUUAAGUGCAGCUCUCCUCUUCUGCACUAUCAACUUCCUUUCCCAUGAAUUGUUCACCCACUUGGUCUUCACAUCAGCAGCUUCCAUAGCCUCAACCAGGGUCUUCUUCUUUGGAAUUCUUUUGAUGUCAAUGUUGAUAUCUGUAAGUGAAAGCAUCUUGAAGUUCAUAUGGCUUCUCACCAUGUCUAGAGUAUCAACAAUUGGGCCGACUCAACAAGAUUGAAAGCUUAAAGCCGAACUUCAAAGAGGGGCCCUAAUAUUUUCAAUUUUUUUUUAGAAAAAAUAUUCAUGUUAUAUAUUUUUUUCUUGCCUUUUUAGAUGUGAAGUCAUUGAUCUAAUCAAUUUGUUUUACUAAUUUCUUUUUAAUUGAUAAUACAACUAAUACAUUCAAUCUCACAUCAUUGAUCUUAGAUAAGAUUUUAUCAAUUAGUUUCGAAAAACUUCUUUUGGUCGAGACAAUAGUUACAGGAAUUGUUAACAUUAUUCUAUAAACAAUAAAUGCAUUAGAAAAAGAAUCAAGUCUUUUUAUUUGAUUGAGUGUUUCCAUUAAAUCAUUAUCUUCUACUUGUAUUAUUUCUCUUAAUAAUAACUAAAAGGAGAAUAUAUAUAUACUUACUAACUAAGAAUAUCAACAAUUAAAAAACUUCAAAAAAAAUUAUAAAAUAAAGUUAGAAUAAUAAAACCUCGAUCACGAAUUUGAUAAGUUGAUAUAAUAAUAUUGAAAUAGUUUUGCGGUCCUUUAAUAUAAUGAUUGCUUGUUGCAGUUCUUGAGAUUUUGAAGAAGACACUCAAAAACAAAUUUUGUUCUUUUUUGACUUAUAAGCAAAAGUAAAUCAUUUUUUAAGGAGAGAUUCAAAAUUGAGCAUAAAAAUAAUAAAAUAGAGGGAAAAAAGAUGAGUAUAAGGUAAAUAACAAUAUAUGGUCAAAUUUUUCGGAGAUAAAUAAGAAAGCACAAUUUCUCACUUAAGAAAUUAUUUUCAUAAAAUAUUUCAAUUCCUUAGAAAACUGGGAAAAAUUAACGGCUAUUUUUGUUUUUUUUUAUACUUCUUACAUGUUUUUUUUAAAAAAAAAAAUAAACAUGCAUAUAAUUCUAAGUAAUAUGUAUAAGUAUUUUAUUUUAAAUCCCCCCCCCCCCAUAACAAUAUGGAGCUUCAAUCGAUGACUUUAGUGUCCUAAUGGCUAAGACGACCCUAAUCAACAAGAGCCCUAUGUUGGUUGAUGACGUCAACGAUAACAAAGAGCCUUCCAUAAUCCUUUCCAUAGUUGAUUAGGCUACCCUUCCAAUCUCCACGAACCUCUUGAACGAAAUUUUCGGCGAUCUGAAGGAGUAGAAGCGCUAGCCAAUUGCUCUAUUAGGUAAAGUCUUAGUUAUAUUUUUAAAUACUUCUACGACUUCUACAAUAAUUUUAAUAGUUUGCGUAACAAUUGAUUCAAUUGAAAGGUUUUCAAAAAUUAUAAUCAAAAACCUAAAAAAUAAACAUAUAUAGUAUUAUGUAACAUACAAUGAUUUAUAUAUGUCUAUUUAUGUCUUACGAAUUAUUACAAGAAAUAUUUUAUUGUCAAUUGAAAAAAAUAUUAAUCAUCAAAUUAUAGUUAACUAUCAUAUAUUCGUAUAAAUUCGAUAAACAUAAUACCUCUUUUUUGAAAAUUUUGCUUUUUACAAGGCCCGCUUAAGCGAACCUGUGCCCACCUUUGUGACAUUUGAGAUCCCCUUUGACCUGAAUUUUGAGGUUUAAGCUCCAAUUUCCAUUGUUGAGCUUGAAAAACUCUUGGAGACAAUUUUUGAAGAGAUUUCUUGUGUAAAUCUUUUGGAUAAGCUUUUGUGAUCCUAAAACUUCAUUUCUCUUUGACUAUUUAUGGAUUUUAACAUCAAAAAUUGGAAUUUUGAUUGAAAAAUGACAGUUUUUGAAGAAUCAAGUUUUAAACCAAAAUUGAGAUUGUGAGUUUACUUUGAUUCCUUUUUUGAAAAUGGUUUUCACUAAUGAGUUCCUAUAUCCUUUAAGUAUUAAAUUUAUAAUUCGAACCUUCUUUUAGAAAUUGAGUUUGAGUUGAUUGACCCAAUUCUUUUUUAAAAAAAUUGAUGUGGAUAUUGUUACUUACGGAAAUUUUAUAUGAAUACUUGUUUAUAUAUAGGUUGUGUGGCUUCGAAAGUGAUUUGAAUGGGGAAGAUUCAACUCUUGAAAUAAUUACUUGAUUUCAUUAAGGUAAGUGAUCUCUUAAUUUUUUUGUCUAGUAGAAUUAUCUACUUCUUUUCAUUGUUUUUGUGUUCGGUGUUAUGUGAAUGAGGUAAGGGAUUCAUUGUUCCACUUGAUUAAGCUUUAUGAGAAAAAUGGUUAAUUGAAAUAUUAUGUGUUGAUUGUAAGGUUUGUGAAUUUCCUUUUUAUGCCCCUACUUGCUUGAUUGAUGAAUUUCUUAAAUACAUGAAAGUGGAUUGAAUUGCAUGAAUUUUUCUCUUCUGUGUGGUGUGAUAUUUUUCAUGUGCAUUGAUUGUUGAACACCGUGAUAAGACAUGUUGAGGGUGAUGAUGUCAAAGUCAUUUACAACAAAUGUUAUGAUGUCAUUUCCGGCAACAAAGGCGUAUCUACAGGGGGUUCCACGGGUUCACGUGAACGCGUGUUUUCCUUUCCAGAUCAUAUAUAGUAGUGUUAUAUUUUUCAAAAAAUAUUUAAAUAUAGAAGUGUGAACUCACAUCAAAAGUAGCAUAUAAUAAUACGAUGAUGAUUGGGUGCACCGCUCUAAGCAAAGAUGGUAACUUAAAUCUUAUUUUUGUUGACAUCCUUUGAAUUGGACCAACGUCGCGGCGACUCAAUUAAAAAAGAAUUUAAGUUAAAAGAAUUUUAAAACGGGUAAAAGGGAGUUAAAAGGAAAAAGGGAAUAGCCACCUAAUUAUUAUUUUUUUGGAAAACUAGGAAACUGAUUAAUUAAUUAACUUGAAAGAAAUGUCUAUGAAACCAAUUUGAUUCUACGUAAGGGGUUCAAGUUAUUACGAAUAGAAGGGGUUAGACACCCUUCGAAAUCCACAACUGUGGUUCCCGACUUAGUUUAUUUUUUCAAAUUGAAAAGGAGAACAAAAUAAUGUACAAAUAUAAUAAACAUGCAAUAUACACAAUAAAAUAAAAUAAUAAUAUCGGCCUAAGGUUUGCCUAACAUCGCUAUAUACAAAAUAAUGAAUUGUAAAAUAUAAUUCCAACUCCUUUCGAAUAGCUUCAAGGAAGCAAGUCUUUGGCACAUGUAAACACACUUAGUAAAAGUGUUAGUUUAGUAAUAAAUAAUUAUGAAUAAAAUUGAAUGUAUAAAAUAAUAACUUUUAAAAAACCCGACUUAUUAACAUUUGAGGCCUUGGAAAUCGACGAUAAUUUCUUUAUCGGCCAAUUUAACAAAUAAACAUAUAUAAACUUAAUUUAAAUUUUCAUCUUUUAAAAUAGGGAAGUCUCCAAAAUUGACGGAGAGUUUUCUCAUUGCCAAUUUGACAAUAACAUUGCUUAAAACGAUAAACAAAAUAUUAGUGGUCUGAUGGGUGGCCGACAAAAUCUUCACAAACGACAAUAAAAAUUUUCUCAACAAUGUUAUAACACACGUAUAACGCUUAAAAUGUCCAAAGUAAUAAAUAAUAAAUAAUGUAAAAUAAUAAUAAUAAUAAUAACCAAAAUCAACCUUGAACAGAUUGAAAAAUAAACUAAUAGAAAAUAAUCAUCAUGACAGUCACUCAUAUAUCACAAAAAUAAAUUAAGAAUUAGAAGAAUAGUAACUAAAAAUAUAAAACAAACCAAAGAAAAUCAUAAGAAUAUAACCAUGAUAAUGCAAAGGAAAAAAAUAAAAAUAAAAACUCUGUAAAAUAAGAGCAGUCAUUAAAAUGAAAUAACAAUAAUAAAGUUAAUAUUGCACCAAACCUAUAAUAAUACUACUGUUACUAACAAUAAUAAUAAUAAACUGUAUGGUACAAUGGCAAUAAAAAUUAAUAACUACUCCUCCAAUGAACCAAUAAAAAAUGAAAUAUAAACCAUCAAAGUCAUAAUCUCAAUAAACAAAAAUAACGAACAAAAGAGAAAAAAUAAACAAACCACUCAAUAUGGUUGUUGUCCGGCGAUGCUGGUGUCGUUCUUGUUGAGUAUUCAUUGAAAAUGGAUUUGAGGUGGAAUUUUGUUCACCCAAGUGCAGCUCACCAAUAACCUGCAAAACAAAUAAAAAAUCGAAAGCGAAAAGAAGAAGAAGAAGGGAUUUGGUUCAUUGUUUAGCUCCGGUUCACUGGAGUUUUGAGCUCCUCGUCGGAGUUGCUGCUGGUGUUCGCGAGCUUUGAGCUCGAUGGUGGAGCAUUUGGACUCGGAGUUCCGGUGAUGGACUCGUGAUGUCGUGAGUUGUGAUGGCUGUUUUGGAUCAGUUUCGGCGGCUGAGCGUUUGGGGUUAAUUUAGUGGUCGUUCUAGCGAGGUUUUGCUGGAAACAAUGGAGAAGAGGGAGAGGUCUGGUUGUGCACUGCGAUAUGGGUUUGGUUUGAGGCUGUUUGGGGUCGAUUUUGGCUGAAGAAUGGUGACAUUUUCUGGUUCCUUUUCAGUUAGUUGUGGGAUUUUGUUUGCUGGAAAAAGGGAAGAAGGUGAUUGGUUUCAGUCAGAGCUUGGCCGGAGAAUUGUAGGAAAUUUGAAAGAAAAAAUAAUAUAUUUAGAAAAUGCUCAAGUUUAUUAUAGGCUACUUAAAGCCACUUGAACUUGAAAUGAUUACAGUUAUCAACUACAUCACUAUUUUUACUACUCAAAAUAAAAAAUAAAAAGUUUUGCACAAAUAAUUAAAUACAUGUAUCACAAUUUACUAGAUAUAUGUACUACGAAAUUCUAAAGAGACUUUUUAAAAAACUAAGAGACAAUUUCGGAAGACUAAAUAUUGAUGCAUUAAUUCCAACACUUCCCCUUAAUGGAUUUGCUUGAUAACUCCAAUGCGUUCUCGAAAAUAGCAAAAAUUUUCUCUAGGAAAUGCUUUGGUGAAGAUGUCAGCAAGUUGUUCUCCUGUCUGACAAUAAUGCAACUGAAUUUCGCAUUUCUCUUGUGUUUCUCGGAUAAAAUGAUACUUGAUGAAAAUAUGCUUUGAUCUUUCAUGGCUGACUGCAUUCUUAUCAAUUGCAAUUAUUGAUUUGUUAUCACAAUAUAGAACAAUCCCUUUUUUUUUUGUUUUUCACCAAUGUCUUCAAAUAUUCUCCUAAGCCAAAUAACUUGAGAAGUAGCCUUGGAUGCUGAACAUAUUAUGCUUCGGCAGUAAAUUGAGCAACAACACUUCGCUUUUUGGAUAACCAAGAACAAAUACUUGAUCCAAAUAAGAAAGCAUAACCAAAAGUAUUCUUCAUGUCAUCUAUACUUCCAGCCCAAUCACUAUCAGAAUAACCAAUUAAGUUCAAAUUUCCACCAAAUUUGUACAUUAUCCCAUAAUCCAUUGUUCCUUGCAAGUAGCGUAGAACACGCUUUGCGGCUCCAAAAUGCACUUUGCUUGGUUCUUGCUAGCAGCAAACAUAAUAUCUGACCUUGUUGAAGUAACAUAUAGCAAACUUCCAAUCAAACUCCUAAAAGUGAGCUAUUAACUUUCUUUUCUCCAUCGUCUUUUCUAAACUUCUCAUUUGCUGCUAAUGGUAUGGCCACAGACCUGCAAUCCAUCAUUUUGAAUUUUUGAAGAAUACUUUUAGUAUACUUCUUUUGAGAAAUGAAAAUUCCUUCUUUCACUUGAGAAACUCCGAUGCCCAAGAAAUAAUUAGCAAUCCAAGAUCACUCAUUUCAUAAGCUUGCAUCAUAUCUUGUUUGAAAUUUUGCAUCAUCUUUACAUCAUUUCCUGUAAAGAGCAAAUCAUCCACAUAGAGACUAACAAUGAUAAUGCUGCCAUGUUCUUUCUUCGCAUACAAAGUGGCUUCACUUUUACUUCUCUGAAAAUUAUUUUUCAGAAAGUAUGUAUCAAUUUCAUUUUACCAGGCUCUUGGAGCUUGCUUCAGCCCGUAAAGAGCUUUUUUUAGUCUAUACACCUUUUCUUCUCCCCCUUGAACAAAAAAUCCUGAAGUUGCUCAACAUAAAUCUCUUCAUCAAGUUUUCCAUUCAAAAAUGUUGAUUUAACAUCAAGUUGAAAUAUCUUCCAUUUCUUUUGUGCAGCAACAACAAUUCUAAUUGUCUCAAGACAAACAACUGGAGAGAAAGUUUCAUAAAAAUCAUUACCUAGUUUUUGCGUGAAGCCUCUAGCAACCAACCUUGCUUUGUGCUUUUGAAUAUCUCCUUCCUGAUUGAGUUUGAUUUUGUAAAUCCAUUUUAGACUUACAACUUCUCUUUCUCUAGGAAUAGCCACAAGCUCCCAAGUAUUAUUUUUUUCGAUCAUUCGAAUUUCUUCUUCCAUGGCUUUCUUUCAAACAUCAUGCUUUAUUGCUUCUUCAUAAUUUUCUGGCUCAACACCGGCAAAAUUACAUCUUUGAUAAAUGUCACUCAACAUUUUUGUUCCUCUUGGAGGCGGUUCUUCAUUAUAUGAAUUUGGGAAUUCUCCCCCUUAAGAGACAUCUUCAUCUUUCUCAUCCUCUUCUUGAUUUGAAGAUAUGAUAGCAGUAUUCUCUAUGUUUUUAUCCCCCCAAUUUCAUGUUGUUUUUUCAUCAAAAAUGACAUCUCUACUAACAACAAGUUUGUUAGUUUUGACAUCGAGAAGCCUAUAUCCUUUUGUUACAUCACUGUAACCAAGAAAGACACAUUUUUGACUUUUUUUCAUCCAAUUUUGUUCUUUUCUCAGCAGGUACAUGAGCAUAACAAAUACACCCAAAAUUUUUAAAAUGACUUACAGAAGGUUUAAUUCCACUCCAAGCUUCAACUGGUGUCUUGUCCUUUAGUGACUUUGUUGGACACCUAUUAAGGAUGUGAACUGCUGUAUGCACUGCUUCUGCCCAAAAAUAUUUUGGCAGCCCUUUCUCAUUCGUCAUAGUUAUGGUCAUUUCAACAAUUGUUCUAUUUCUUCUUUCAGAUACAACAUUGUGUUGAGGAGUAUACCCUGUUGUAAGUUGCUUCUGAAUGCCUUCAUUUUUGCAAUAUUCUUCAAAUUCUCGACUUGUGUACUCACCUCCUCGAUCACUGCGAAUGGUUUUGAUGCUGCAGCCUUUUUACUUCUCAACAAGGGCUUUAAAUUUCUUGAAUGUAGCAAAUGCUUCUGACUUUUCUUUCAAGAAAUAAACCCAAGUCAUUCUUGAGAAAUCAUCAAUAAAGAUUAGAAAAUAUCUUUGACCUCCAAGAGAUGGAGUCUUCAUUGGUCCAUAAAUGUCGGUAUGAAUUAGUUUCAAAAAUACACUUGCUCUCCAAGACACCCCUUUUGGAAAAGACUUCCUGUGUUGCUUUCCCAUUAUACAACUUUCACAUGUAUCCACCUCAGUAUGUAUCUCAGGAUGAGCUUGCACCAUGUCCUUUUGCUUGAGAAGCUUUAAACCAUGAAAAUUCAAGUGACAAAUCUUUUGUCCCAAAGCCAUGAAUCAUCUACAAUUUCAUUUUUAAUGCAUUUUAAUGAAAUUGCAAAGGGAAGUUUCUUUUUAUCAUCUUUACUUCAACAAUGACUUGAUUUGGCUCAAUUUUAUCAUAAAUCUUGCAAUAAUUAUCUCUAAACACAAUAGAAUAACCAUUUUCCAUGAGUUGAUCAACACUAAGCAAAUUUUCUUCCAAGUCAGGAACAUAAAGAACAUCAUGAAUUUGCUUACCGCAUCCUUUCAUGUUGAUCGAAAUAGUACCUUUAUCUUUCACAUCAACUAAGGCUUCAUUCCCCAUCUUUACUUUAGUAGUGAUGCUAUUAUUAAUUGAGAGGAAAGUCUUUUCAUCUCCAGUCAUGUGAUUACUACAACCACUAUCAACAUACCAUUCAUUGCUUUUUGUUGAAGCAUCAGAUUUAGAAGCAAAGAAAAGAUUUUCUUCCUCAUGUUUUUCACAAAAAUUUGCUUGCUCCCGUUUCUUGUGCCAACAAUCCUUUUUAACGUGGCCAAACUUUUUACAAAAGUUACAUUAGGCUUGCCUUUGUGCCAACAUUUUUCUACAUUGUGAUUAAUCUUUUUGCAAAUUUUACAAAAAAAACUAGAGUUUUUCUCACCUUUUUCUUCAACCUUUUUGGAAGAACCAUUAUGAUUCUACUUCUUUUUUGGCUUGUGAUUUUUCUUCUGAUGAUUUUUUGAGAAUUUUUGAGAAUUCUCAUUUAUUUUAGAAUGGAAAGUCGUCUCUUAGGGUUGAUCUUCACAAUCUUCACUUCUCGUGUGCACGAAAUGAUCCAACUAGCACUUUGAUGGAAAGCUUAGAAAGAUCUUUCGUUUCCUCAGUGAUAGCAACGAUGUACUCAUACUUUUAUGUGACACUAAUUAGAAUCUUUUCCACAAGUUGUUGAUCAGAAAUUGCAUCACUAUGAUUUCUCAUUUCAUUAACAAUAUUCAUGACUUUUGUGCAAUAUUCAUCAAUUUUUUCAGAUUCUAUCAUCUUUAAAUUUUGAAACUCUCUUCUAAGAGUUUGAAGAUUUAUAGUGCGUACCUUUUCGUCACCAUACAUCUCAGUUUCCAGAAAAUUCCAAGCUUCCUUUGCAGUCUCACAAGUAGCAAUUUUUGCAAAAUAUGCUCUUGAGACUCCCAUUUGGAUUUUGCUCAAGACUUUUGCAUCUUGACGAUACUUAGCCUUAAGAUUUUUCAUCUCUGCUGCUGUAACAUCACCAUCAUUUUCUAACUCUUCAAAUCUAUUUGCAACAAUAGUCCACAAACCUUUAGCUUUCAAAUGUGUUCUCAUUCUUAUCUUCCGGUAUUCAAAAUCAGUUCCAUCAAAAAAUGUAGUAAGAACAAAUGAAGAAUCCGCACCUUCAUUUGUUUUGGAUUCCAUAUUCUUUUCUUCACUUAACCAUAAAUUAAGAACGAAAACCUGCUCUGAUACCAAUUUAUAGGAAAUAUGAAAGAAAAAAUAAUAUCUUUAGAAAAUGCUCAAGUUUAUUAUAGGCUACUUAAGGCCACUUGAGAUGAUUACAGUCAUCAACUACAUCACUAUGUAUACUACUCAAAAUAGAAAAUAAAAAGUCUUGCACAAAUAACAAAAUACAUGUAUUACAAUUUACUAGAUACAUGUACUACGAAAUUCUAAAGAGAUUUCUUGAAAAAUUAAGAGACAAUUUUGGAAGACUAAACAUUGAUGCAUUAAUUCCAACAAGAAUAUAGGUUGGUGGUGGUGGAUCAUAUGAAAAAUAUAAAAAUCUCAAAACAUAAAAUUUUUACCACCCACCAAAACCUAAUGGACCAACUAUUUCAUAUAUAGGGAGUUGAAGAAUAUGGGCCCAAGUUAUAGGCUUGAGGUUGUGACCCAAAAAUUGUCGAUUGAUAAAAUAUCUGUGAAUACAAAUUGUAUUCAAAAUUUGAAUAAAUUUUCAAACUGCGCAGAAUAUUAAAAUGACUAUUAACUGUGUAACAAAGAAAAAAUGAAUAAGAAAAUGUAAUAAACAUAAUCAAUUAUAGGUAAAAAAUGCAAUUUAACAGAAAUAAUGAUUUUAUAAAAAAUGACAAAUAAUUGAACGUCUGGCUAUGACAAAGUAAUAUAAACAUAACAAUCAAUAAGAAUCCCAAUACUUUAAAAAAAAAUGAUGAUUAUCAACAAAUUUUAUUAAAAUAAUAUAAACAUGUAUUUUGAAUUAUUUAAAAUAAAAUACUCAAAAUGUAUUGAUUUUAAAACUAUCAGACCGAAAUUUGGUGUCAACAAUAUCUAUUUUUUUUAGUAACACUGCUCAAGUGGUUAUCUGUAAUAUUUUUGGCGUUCCAAUCAUUUUUUCUAUUAUCUUUUGCUUUAAUCUUUCAAAAUUUUCAAGUGUGCUACAUUGGAAAUUCCUAAAUCAAAUAGCACUGCUAAAUUUUUAUACAAUCAAAUCAUAUGAGUAUAUUAAAAUUUAAAAGUAGGUGUAUUAUAUAUGUUGGACCUAUAAUUUUUAAAAUUUAACGGUUCAUUGUUAAGAACUUAAAAGUCAAAUCAAUCUAAUUUAUAUCUUAGAAGCAUUUUUUUGUAAUAGUGUACUGAUCCUUUUGUUAUCAUGGAUACGCCUCUGUCGGCAAAUUUUGUACAGUAGAUGAAAAAUAAUUCUAGCUAGUGAUUUGAUAUAAAGCCAAUAAGAAAUGAUUCCAGCUAGUGAUUUGAUAUAAAGCCGAUGGAAAAUGGUUUCAGUUGGUGAUUUGACUUAAACCAAUGAGAAAUGUUUCUUGCGAAAGUUGAUUUAUUGUGGUUAGAUGCAUUUUGAUUGAUCUACUUGUUAAUUGUGACUGAUGCAAGUAAUAUUUGUGAAAUAUCUAUGUGGUACUUAAGAUUGACUUACUUGCUUAUUAGGUUAAGAAGUUGUCUUGUUUAUUAGGUUACUUAUUGGGUACCGUGUCAUUGGUACUCACUCCUUACUUCUACACUUGAGUAGGUUCGGAGACCAAACCCUUGUGAUCUCUUCCUCCUUCUUCUAAUUUCGAGGCUUGUCAAAGAUUUUGAGAGAUAGUUGUUUGUCAUCCCGGUGGCCCUCUUGUUCCUUUACCUUAUGUUUUGUUCUACUUGAGAAAUAAAAUAUUCAGACUUGUAUUUAUCUUUUGAAUUCUAUUUUUACAUUAGUGGCUUGCACAUGUGGCAACAAGGUUUUGGAGUGCUUAUAGAAAUGUAACGACCUGUUUAGUCGUUUUGAGCAGCAGACUUCAAUUCUGGAGAAACUGGCAGAAACGACGGACCCCACGAUAGACCGUCAUGGGCACGACGGACCGUCGCAGGGUCUCGUUUCAAAACACUUAGAAAAUCUAAAAUUGGAUACUGAAAAUCGACUCUCUAAACUUCGUGACGGAAUGGCAGGACGGACCGUCACAGGCGUGAUGGACCGUCACAGAGCCUUCAAUGAAAAUCCAUUCUCUGAACCUUGCGACGACCUGCAGGACGGACCGUCGCAGGCACGACGAGCCGUCGCAGGUUGCGUAAUCUCAGUCCGGGUCGAAUUUGUUUACACGUUUUAAGGGACGUUUUUGACUAUUCCGGCCUUAAUUAUGAAGUUAGUGGGUUAAUGUUAAUAAGUCUAAUUACUUGGGGGUUAAAAGAGUUAACCUUAAGUUAAUUAGUGGGUUAUUAUUGCCAUCUUCUAUUCUUAAUUAUAUACUAAUUAGGGUAAAAGAAAGAGGGUUUGAAUAAAGAAAAUAGAAAGAACAAGAAGAGAGAGAGAGAGGGUCGAUCGAGAAGGGGAAACACAAAGCUUUGGAGAAAAUUUGCUUGCUUGAUCACUAAUCUUCGGUGGAGGUAGGUUAUGGUUUUCAUGAUUUCAUAGUAAACUCUUAAUAGAGAAUGAUAUGUAUUGAUAGUAUUGUAAACCCUGCUAUGUGCUUAAUUGUAUGCAUGCAUGAACGUGAUUAUAUAAUUGUGAUUAUAUUAAGCAUGAUGAAGUUAUUGAAUCCCAAAUCUUGAUAAAAACCUAAUCUCUUUGUUAAUAAUGAGGCCUUGGUAUAAAAGAAGGCGUGAUGAACUAAAAUAAUGGGAUUGAUGAUGCCUUGGUAAGAAAGAAGGCUUGAUGAAUUGAUAGAAGGAGAUUAGGGGAUCGGGUGUCACGAACCGACACGUAGAAUUAGGGGAUCGGGUGUCACGAACCGACAUGUAAAAUUAGAGGAUCGGGUGUCACAAACCGACACGUAGAAUUAGGAGAUCGGGUGUCACGAACCGACACGUAGAUUUAGGAGAUCGGGUGUCACGAACCGACACGUAGAUUUAGGGGAUCAGGUGUCACGAACCGACACGUAGAAUUAGGGGAUCGGGUGUCACGAACUGACACGUAGAUUUAGGGGAUCGGGUGUCACGAACCGACACAUAGAAUUAGGGGAUCGGGUGUCACGAACCGACACGUAGAUUUAGGGGAUCGGAUGUCACGAACCGACACGUAGAUUUAGGGGAUCGGAGUGUCACGUACCGACACAAGAGGAUUAAUGAAUAUGAGGGAGCGGAGUGUCACGUACCGACACAAGAGAAAUAAAGAUAAUGAAUCUUGAAAGAUGUUAAUAUACUCAAUCUAAUGAACAUGAUUCCCAAAUGAGUAUGGUAUUGAGGCUUGAGUCCUCAUGUGUGAACUUGACGGUAAUUGUUAAUGAUAUAGUGCUUGUUGUUGCUACAUGUUGAGUAUCAUAGUUGAUUUUAUGAUAUUACUUGAUAUAUAUUGAUUUCUAUUUUGAGUUGGCCGAUGAUAUCUACUCAGUACCCGUGCUUUGUACUGACCCCUACUUUUAUUGUUUUCUUCUUGUUUAAUUGUGGAGUGCAGCAAACGUGCCGUCAUCUUCGACUCAACAGUAACUCUAGCCAGUCUUCGUCACAUCGGAUCUUCAGGGUGAGCUAAUGCUUCUAGCUUGGACUGGAUCUUCUCCUUCAUGUCUUGAUGCCUUGAACUUCCGACAUGGACUAGCUUUUAAUUGUUUUAGCUUUUUAGAAUACUCUUAGUUUAGGUACUUUGAUCAUAGAUGUUCUUGUGGUGAUGACUUCCAGGUUUUGGGGAUAAUAAUAGUUAUUGAUUUUAUUAAUGAGUUUAAGUCUUCCGCAUUACUUUAUGUUGAUAUUACAUUGAAAUGUUAAGGUUUAGAUUGGAUGGUUCGCUCACAUAGGAGGGUAAGUGUGGGUGCCAGUCGCGGCCCGGUUUAGGGUCGUGACAAGAAACAAAUAAGAUUCAGCUUUUAUCUUGUUCUUGUUUAUCUUUCCUUUUUUUCUUUCGUUUCGAUAGGUUGAGACUAACUUGUUUUGGUAGGAAUAGACAAGUAUCAUCACGUCCAGUAUUGAAUCUUAACAAAUGAUAAGCAGACUAUUGUGCUCUCGAUAUGAUAUCGCCGAAUUACGCUAGAGUCUUUUCUGUACUAUUAAUAUUAUGAAGUUUUGGAUUUCGCCAGUGAUUAUUGGUAUUCUUAGCUGCACCAAAAUAACCCUUAAACUUCAGAAGGAUUUUUAGUUGCUAAAUCUAUAAAACCCUUUGUAUCUUAGCAUUCGGAUGAGCUUCUCCCAAUUAUGUCUGGUAAUAGAAUAGGGCGGCUUGCUCUGACCAAGACUCCACUUUUUGCUCCGUCCGCGGAGCGUAUGAAUUUUCUGGAAUGUAGAUAGACCAAAAGAGGGAAUGAUUUGCGAUAUAAAAAGCUUUUACUAAUUCCUCCAUGGCCAUCUAUAAAGAAUGCACCUGGUUUCUUUGAAAAUACUCUUUCCAGCAUUACAUAAUUAUGAGCUCUUCUUUGUGCAAUGUUUAAUUUAUUUUGUAGGAGUAGAUCAUCUUCAAAAAUAAUAAUAGUUCUUACAAAGUAAAUGUCUUUAGCUUCUUUCGCUAGCACAAAUGUUUUUUAUUUCAGAAUUUAGUUUAAAUCAUUAAUAUCACGACCAACUAAAUGAAAAAUAUCAUUAAUAUGCUUUAACACCAUUAACAAAUUUCCAUUGUACUAAUAUUUGGAAUUCUCGCAAAUCUUCUGAUAAGGAUGUUUCACAUUUUCCCCAUAAUUAUUUUGGAUUACUUGGGCUACAAGAGAUCUAACAACAUAGCAAACAAAUGUCUAAGACAUGCUGACAUUUGAUAAUUUACUGCCUCGGACAUGCAUUCUAUUAAAUUAUUGUUUGAAAGUACCAAUCCUCUUUUUUUAGCCGCAUCUCUAAAUGUUGUGCAAGGUUUGUCAUUUAUCGUUAGCAAAUCUUGAAAUGAUUUUGGUCCUUUUAUGUUCAUUAAAGUAAUAUAAAAGGUAAAUAUCUUUCUCCUUCGGUGAGAUGGCAAGUCACGGCACGUCCAAUAACAUAUUCACACAUAUGAAUUGUCCAUAUUUUAUCCAUUGUUGACCACACAAAAUAUUCUAGAAAUUCUCGAUACAGUAAGGUUAAACUUUUAGCAGUGUCAUUUACUAUGUUCAUUAUAAAAAAAAACAGUUAACACUAUUUUUUAGAUCAUUGGAUUUAUUUAUAAUUUUACUAAUAUUAUCAGUACUUUGAAUGAAACAAGUUGUUGUCCAUUGAGAUGUAGUUGAAGAUGGUAUACAUUUGGAGACAUUCCUAUAUACUAAUAGCGUAUAUAGGCCAUGUUGCCUCGGGUACAAAAUCUCAUCUAGCUGAUUGUUAUUCUUUUAACUCAUCAACUUCUAUAUUUAUAUCAUCUUGGAUGCAAUUUUAUCAUGUACUUUACAUACGUACAUAUAAAUGUAUUUAAUAACUUUAAUAUUUGAAGAAAUCUUAACGUUUAUACUACAAUUAUAUUUGGAUAAUAAAAAAGAAUCAUAAGGGACAAUCAACAAAUUGACAAAAAGAUGUUCUCUUAUCUCCACAUAGUUUCCUAUAUUAAGUCUCCUAUAAAUAUGAUAUAAACUUUUUCCUUUUGUUGUUUCAUUAUCAAACUCUUUUGGAUACUUAAACUUACAAUAGCCUUUUCUUAUACAAGGACUUAUUGGGUUUAGUUCACCGCAAGGUCCAUGGAUCAUGUGUUGUGUAACAAGUGAAUAUAAGUGAGUGUUUAUUUUAGAACUUGGUAAUUUUGCACAAACAAAUCGAUCAUAGGCUAGCAUAAGUAUUCAUAACCUUUCAUCAAGUAUAAGUAGAAAAUGAGCAUGAGAAAAUCCUCAUUUUAGAAUUUCUACUGGAUGCAUAUAUGCCAAAACUUUACCGAAUAUGUGUUUCUUUAAUAAAUCCUUUUUAAUUCCUCUAACUUUGCACGAAAUACUCAACAAAUCAAAUUAGGUCUAGUUUGUGCUUCAUCAUUUGCUAGAAUAUUUUCUUCAUCUUUGGCCAAGAGGGGUUACAGGUUAUGAUUAAAAAUAUAUCAGGUCUUCCAAAAUGUUGGACCAAUGCAAUAGCAUUCAUGUGCCGUCUAUGCAUAUUUCUUGACCCUCCUGUAAAUCUAAGUGGAAAAAAUUUGUGCUUACCUACUUAUGAAACAUCUCUUUCACCUCGUCGUAGAACAUAUAUUAGUCAUCUUUAAAUAUCAGUUCUAAAUAAAUUAUGAUUGAAAGAGGCAAAAUCUAAUCGUUGGAUUUCAAUCUUUUUCACCUGAUCCACAGUGUAUUGUUGAAACGCUCUUCCUGAAUGUAGAACUAUGCUUUCAUUGUCUCUUUGGAACUGAUAACAAUAAUAUUCACGACAAGAGACACUAUUUCUCUUACAUUUUCCUUUUUGUACAACUUAUGCUUUUAUAUCAAGAAAUCCAUCAAUUGUAGCAUAUUUGUGUAAAUACCUGAUUUCGUCGUAGGAAAAAGGCCAAUGGGUAAAGAAUUGGGGUCAAAAAACUUUUCUGUAGUAAGUUGAGGUCUCUCAACUUAGUCCAGAUUUGGACAAAAUCAGAGCCAGUAAGGUCUAGGGAAAUCGGGUAAAGAAUGAGAGGCUUAAUUAUGAUUUUAAUUAUAUGAGUAGAUAGCCAAGACGUUAUGGAACCCGUACAACUUUAUAGAAUUGAAUUCGGACGAAUAGAACUCUUGAAAUUGAUUUUAGCGUGAAUGGUAUUUUCUGAGUGUCGUUAGUUGGAAGUGUGUUGUGAAAUGGGGUCUUGGAAUUAUUAAUUUUGCUCACUGGUUCCGUCCAAGCAGCUAGGGUGAAAGUUUUGCCGCCAGGGCAGCGUCGUUGUAGCAGGGUGUGUGCCGCCAUGGCAGGGCAGAUACAACUUAAAGAUGUAAACAAACCCCAAAAGCAUUUUAAUCUGCAUUUUCGACUUUGAGAGCUAAAGAACGAAUUGAGGAGUUUUCAUGGCAGUUUUCCACCAUUCUUGAGGCUAAGGUAAGGUUUUCACUUCCCGAAUCUAUUUUCAAUCCAUAUAACCAUUUUUCUUGGGUUAAUAGCAAUGGCGAAAGGUUUUGAUCUGGAAUUUAUGGUGGAAAACACCUGAGUAUGGAGAUCUAGGGUUAUUGGGUUUAUUAUAAUCCGGAUAAUUAGAACUUUGAUUGUUGAUCCUUUCGUAUAUAAUUGCUUGUAGACCUAGAACAAGCGAAAAGAAUCCAGAAAGGAAAAUUCAAGUGCCUUAUAAUAGUUGUCAUUUCAUGAUUGUGUGAUAUAUGUUUGUUUUUUGCUUCAUUAUGAUGCAUGUAUGUAUACGAAUGUUGCAUUAUUAAUCACAUUAAUUGUAACGAGUAUGAAGAAUAAUUAUAUGUCACGAAUCACUUUUUAAUUGUACGAGGCCGCAUUGGUGGGGGAUGGGUUUCCCCCCCAGAUAGUUCUGGCUCGGAGGUCAGAAAUCUGCAACCUCCUCUUUAACCACCUAUUAUUGUGAAAUAUACAAUGUGAUUGUGAUUGUGGUGUGUUGAUUGGAUUUGUUGCCACUUACCAACAUACUAAAUGUGAUCAAUUGCCACGUUUUGGCAUAACUAAUUGAGAUCGAUUGCCACUUUCGACAUAACUAACUCGGAUCAUUUGCCACAUUUUGGUAUAACUUUUUGGGAUUGGUUGUCACGUUCCAGUAUAAAUAUGGAAUCGGUUGCCAUGUUCCGGCAUAAAUAUUGAAUUAGAUACCAAGAACCAAUGUACUAACAUUUUGAGUUUGGAUUCCGUGAGAGGACUACUGAAUUGAGUUCCAUGAGAGGACCAUUGACAUGUUAUAUAUUGGCUUAUUGUUAUGAACAUGAACUGGACCAUGGCUUAUGACUUCUCAAAUAGUAUUACUUAGUGUGAGUGGGGAUAUGAGACUUCAUUCAUUCAUUGCACAAAUGUACUUUAAGAGUGGUUCUGGUGUGGUUUUCUUAUCGAAGCAUGUGAAAUUGUACAUUGUAUGUUGCACAUAAAUGAUAAUUGAUGUUGUAUAUGAUUGGUGUAUGUAUGUUUAUAAUGUUGUAAUGACUUAUAUAUGUUUCACUUAGUGGAAUAGUCGCGUGAUCCUAGCUGUACACGGUGGCUGUGUACUGAUACUGCACUUGCUCUUAAUUUUGUUGAGUACAGGUUAUCUUCCGGCGACUGUUGACAUAUCUCGCUUAGAAAAUCAGUGAUCGCCGAUUCAAAUUCAAGGGUGAGCUAGUUCUUCUGGAGUUGCUCUUCAUAUUUGCCUUAUAUUUUGAUAUGAUUUUUUAAUUGAUAUUCAAUCUUUUUUUCCCGCUUAGGAGCGCCAAUAAUUUGAAGCUUUAUUUUUUAUUUUAUUCUUUCACCUUUUUUUCGUGGUUUUACCAUAGCGUGUCUUCCCCUUAUUGCACUGACGUUUUAAAAUUAUUGUCAUCUGCAGCGUGAAGUUAAAGAUCUUCAGCUACUUCUACCAGAAUUUUAGCUACAGGUAUUUCUGGUCAUAUAUUCAGAUUCCUCUUUUAAUCGUACAUUAAUUUUCUCUAAUCUUUGUUGAAUUUUAUUGCUAUAUUGGAGAGUAACCGCGAAUAUGUUUUACUUUAUGCAUUGAAUAAGGAAUAAAGAAAUUAAACAUAGAAAGUACAAACCCUCAAUUAUAGUUGCAUCAGUUUCUCUGGUCUUAGAGAUGUCUGUUGAAUAUGUUGAAGUGUCAAAGGUAAAAAUCUUAGAACAAAAUGUCAUUUCUACUCGAGUCUGGCGUCUUAUCCUUAAUGAUCUCCCUGAAGCUGAAAGUUUUGUCUUCGAUUUUAUUUUAGCUAAUUCUAAUCAUCUGAAUAAAAUUUGUGAAAUUUAUCCUAAAAUUUUAGAUGAAGAUGAAAAAAAUGAAAAACAGUAACAUCAACUAGAGUGUCAUGAUUGUGCAAUCAGCACGACUUUAACCUCCAAAACUUGUGGCUAUGUCAUAUUGGGUUCCAGUGGAGUGUCAUAAUUCUGCAGUCACCUUCUGUUCAACAUCCCAGCUCUUGUGGGUAUAGAUCUUUGACAAAGGCUACAAUCAUUUUGAAAGUCUAAUCCAUAGUGUCGAUGGUUCUUGGAAAUUCCUGGUGGACGUCAAGGAUGGAUUCAAUACUUUUAAGAUCAAUGACAACACCUAUUUUAGUUUUUUUGGAUGAACAAAAAAAUCUAGAGAAGAAAGAAAAUAGGAUCUUAAGAUUUCAUAAAUUUACGUGGCUACACACUAAUAUCACACAUUUAAGGUGAACUUUACAUAUGCUAUUUGUAAUAAACCAACUAAAUGUUGUGUGAAACAGAACUUGACACCUGCUGUAGGAGCUGCAUCAGCGGCCAGAAGAUAACCAGUCUUUAAAUUUUGAUUUGAGUUUGCAAAUUUGAAGCCCCUAACACGCUGUAUUUUUAACUCUAACCACCGAAAAGCCCUAUUAAUGAUAAGCUCAAUCAGCAAAAACUACCUUAAAGUGAAAAAUUAAGUUAUCUUUUCAAUACAUCAUUCCUUAUAGAACAUAUUCACUCUAUUAUAUUCUCCUGCAUCCUUUAAAACUUUAACAACUAUUGUAAGUUGUAGCUGAAUAUCUUAUGUUAGCUUAAGAAAUUUUUUGCACUGCACUUUUUAUUUCUUCUCAUAUCUGUUUCCUAUGCCUUCCGAAUUUCUUGAGUAAUGGUUGCUCAUAUUGUGGUUUCUACUUAUCUGUUACUCCUGCCUUUGAAAUUUCUUGGAUUAUUCUUGCCACGUGUAAUGUUAUUGUUGGUUUUGGUUCUAUGUUGAUGUUACUUUUUUAUGGCUGUCCAAAUUUUUGUCACAAUCCGACUUUGUUGAUUUGUUAACUUCACUGCAAUGCUGAAGAUGAGGUUUGUUUGAAGUAUUUUUCUUAGCUCAGUUGCAGCUUAAGUUUUUUGAAAUGGUUUGGAGAAAUUUGUGUGGUGAAUAAUUUUGAAUAGCUUAGUAAGUAUAUACACAUAAAUGAUUGAAAUUUAAGUUUUAAUUUUCUGUUUCUCUCAGCCUCUUAUAUAAAGUGAACAAAUCUAAGGGAAUUUCUAAACAUCUUUAACAAUGAUCAGAGCAAUGAGAUUGCUGCAAAAGUAGGGUGGUGUUUGGACCAGCAUCGCUAGUUUCAUAUUCAUAUGGGAUAGGAUCCGUCAAUAAUGUCCCCCUGAGCUUAUCCGAGCUUUUUAUUAGUGGACACGAAGAAUCAAGAGAUUUUCGUACCCUUAUAUUAAGAUUUCCAUCAGUGAAUUCAUGAGCAACAAUCUCAAGUUUCAUGAUGCCUAUGCAGUAUCGAGGCGUAUCUCAGUGUCCACUUAGCAAAAGAAGCAAAGAGGAUUAGAGCUGAAAUGAUAAAAUGGUAGGAGCAAGUUGUUGCUAAGCAUGGAUGAACAUGAGAGAGUUUCUGACGAGUUUCGAGGAGCAAAAAUACGAUGAAUUUUAGGCUAACUUGUGCAGCGGGAAAGUAAGUACUUGCUAGAACUGGAAAGGAAAUAUUACAAGCUUAUGUUCCAUAAGAAAUACCAUGACAUGGUAACCGAUAUUUAUUUGGAGCAAGUGAUCAAGGUAGGUGUUGGAAUGUAUGCGUCCACAGAUUUUGAUGGGACCAGAUCCUCAGCACAGUUACAAUAACGAACAGUAAAAUAAGGGUUGAAAGUAAAUAUUGAACAAGCAACUUUACAUGAAAACCUCCUUGCUCAAGGGAAGAAAACAACGACCUGUCUCAACAGGACUUUUCGAACUGCGUUUCACUAAUUUUCUCACAAGCAAAAGUAAAACCAGUUUUACACCAAGAGACUAGUCUGCUAAACUCUAUGCUAAGUAAUACUUCCCAUCACUUAGUUGAACUCAGAGUAGAUACAACACUACCCACUAUACUAACCCUCACCGAUUAAUAUAGAUUUUCCUAACCAGAUACCACAACGCCCACUAAACCCCCACCCUUUGGACGAUUUAGAUUUUGACUAAGCAAUAACAAUGUUGCCCACUAAAUCACCUAACUCUAGAUGACUUGGACUUUUAGAAAUCAAAACAAGAUCUAAAUCAAUUAUUGAUUAGGAUCAGAUUUACAAUGUAAGCACAUAAGACACUAAACUCUAAAUACAACAAGACUCUUUAGCACUCCAUCUGGUCCCUUGUUGAUAUGAGUAGUGUUCUUCCUUGAAGAUGGCCUUCACUUUUCAAGCUUUUGAAUUUUCAGAGAAAAUCCAAGUUAUUUUGCCAAAUCUUAAAUUUGUGUUUGUUAGAAAGAGAUAAUAUAAAUCACCACAAAUUUUUGUUAAGACCAUCCCAUUGGCUGAAGGUCUGCUAUUGGAAAGCUGUGCACCUACCGCAUCAGAGGUGGCAGCUUUUUUGAUAACUGUCUUGUCACCUUUUCAUAUCGCAGUCUUGCAGGGACCAGGUCCCUUGCAAACUUCUUUGUGAGUUCUUGAAAAGGCGUGCUGGCUGACUUCUUUUUUUGGAUGAAUGAAUUUAUUUGUUGUUUGUCAUGUUGACUAAGUCAACCAUAAAGAGUAAUUGACGUUGGACAAACACCCUCCUCCAUUCUGAUUGGUGUAGUACGCUUAUGUUUCACCAACCUCUGAUAUGAUAACUUUACAGUUGUAACCCAUUAUGUAUCUGAUGGAGGGAACUCUGCCUGGGACCAGGUCCAUGCACUUGUUAGAUACUGAAACAUACAAUCUCGUCCGCUCUUCCUAUUGGUGUAGGAUAUUGCACUUUUCACCUACCACCUAACAUGACAGCUUUUAUAGUUGUAUCCCAUUUUUAUCUGGACGAGAGCACUCUGCUAGGGACCAGGUUCCCGCAUUUGUGAGAAUCAUAAAAACACCUAGAAUAUAACAGUAUGGAAAGAGAUUCAGGUGAGAAACGUGAAGAGAAAUCUCUACACUAAUAAUGGACACAGCAGGACCACAUGGAGCCAUAUCAUAUUUGAGCAUCCUGCAACAUUUGGUAGCCUGGAAAUGGAAGCAGAGAAGAAGCAAGAGAUUGUGGAUUUCUAUGCGAAGAUUGGAAAGGUGUGGAAGCGUGGUUAUCUACUAUAUGGUCCCCCAGAUACUGGGAAGUCUACUAUGAUAGCUGCAACGGCAAAUUUAUUGGAUUAUGACGUGUAUGAUCUAGAACUGACAUCUGUGAGGGACAACAAAGAAUUGAGAAGGCUCUUGGCUGAAACAUCAAGUAAGUCUAUUAUAGUGAUAGAAGAAAUUGACUGUUCACUUGAUCUAACAGGUCAAAGGAAGAAGAAAGAGAAGAGGGCAAAAACCAAAAAUGAAGUUCCUCGCAAGGACACCGAAGGUGGAAGUAGAGUCACACUCUCUGGGCGUCUGAACUUCAUUGACAGUCUUUAGUCUGCGUGCAGUGGAGAGCGUAUAAUUAUCUUUACUACAAAUUAUGUGGAUAAGUUGGAUCCAGCUCUUAAAAGAAGGGGAAGAAUGGACAAGCAUAUCAAACUCUCCUACAGUAGCUUUGAUGGAUUCAAGGUGCUUGCAAAGAAUUAUCCGAGCUUGGACACACAUCCAUUAUUUGAAUCAAUCAAAAUUCUAAUAGAAUGACGGAGACCAAGAUUAUACCUGCUUAUGCUGCAGAGAAGAUCCCCAGCUCCCUGAAAGAAGACGCAGAGAAACGCCUUCUCAAUCUGGUUGAAGCUCGCAAACAGGCAAAACAACUGGUGAUAAAGAAAGACGAGGAAUCUGCACUGUCUGAAGCUGCAGAUGGGUAGCAGGAUUCUAUAGACAAAAUUUAAAUGGUUAGGUUUCACAAUUAAUUGUAUGACACAAACAGAAAGAGUCAUCCGAGACCAUUUGUGUUUAAUUUAUAGUUGAUCAUCAAACUAUUUAUCUAAAUCAGAUCCUAUUUUCAUGUGACAGCCAGACCGCAAAAUCUAAAUCAACCUAUCCAUGAAAAACAAUAAGAUAUCAGGCCUGGCCUUGCACAACAAAAAUUCUGUUAACAGUUGGGUACAUUACUGCAAUCUCUAAAUCCAGCCAUAGAUCCUUAGCAUUGGACCAUUGGUAAAAGUAUUUAGUUACAGAUCCUUUUUGCCUUUGGCAGCACUAACUUAUAUACCUAAUUAAUUUUGCCCCACAAUAUGAAAUGAGAUAGCUUGCAUGCAACGCGUACCUGCUACCUUCCACCAUCACAAAUCCAUAACCUGAUAGUAAUGAGUCAAUGGAACCUUGACAGUGUUAGGACCAAAAAUAAGCAGGUGUAAACGCGGAAGCUAGCAAAGCAAACCUCAAAAGACCACGAGUAAGAAGACAACGAGAAAUAUACCAAAAGAUACAGAGAUUUAACGUGGUUCGGUCAAUUGACCUACGUCCACAAAGGAGAUGAGCAAUCCAUUAUAAAUAUGAGAAUACAAAAUACAGAGAGAAACAACCUCAACCAAAUUCACUCAGAAUACAUGAGAGAUUCACACAAGUGAUAACGUAUCAAGAAGCUUGUGACUCAUACCUCAACGCAUUAUGUAUGUGCAAAUCACAGGAGGAAUGUACAUUCAUGAUCAGUUAAAAGUUAUAAUAGAACAGGCAGAAUAAAAGCAAAAUAGAACAUGAUAAUAAUUUGUUAGAAACAUUCUUGUACUCAUCCAAAUUAGUUGCAAUGAUUACCUAUUAGUAAUAUGAGUUAGGCAUUAGUCACUUGGAAUUAAGCUAUCAGUAACACUGACCACAAGAAACAAAUCUCCUAUAACACUCAAACCCCAAAUACUUUUUUUAGUUUAGUACUACAAGAAUAUGGGUAUUUUAUAGCAACGAAAAGUUGCUACAGAGUCAAAAAUAUCAUCAUAUGCUUCAAAUGAUCUACUAUGUAUAAGAAAGUAAUAAACUUUAAUAGAUUCUUCACGAGAUUUUGUGAAUACAAGCUUCUCUAAUGUAAUUUCCUUAGCUGAAAUCAUAACAUUUGUAAAUCUUUUUUCUCAAAAUAAUAAACUAAACCUAUUAAUUAACAGAGCCGUCUCGAUCAUAAGGUUACUAAAGGAACCUCAACUACUCCAAGGAACGAAUUAGGCCAAGAGGUUUCAACAAGUUUUCCAAGGAACGAAUUAGGCAAUUUGAAUUGACUUAUAGAACCCACACAAACACUCUUCUCAUCGAAAGCACCAUCAAUAUUGAUCGCGAUCGAUAUUCGAAUAAAUACUCAAGCUUUUAAAUCAUCCAAUCAUAACGAUUUGAGUGCAGUAGAUUGAUAUCACCAAUUUCCUCCCCAUCAUAGUUGAGUAAAUUUCUCUAACUUCACUAGGAUUCCAUGAAGACCUGUGCUAUGCUAAUUUAGACGUAAGGCUAAUUAACUCGCCUCAUUGCUUUUUAUUAAGAUUAAAUGUCAAUAUCCAAAUAAUUAAGAUUAUUUGAUUUAUUUAUAAACAUAAAAAUAUAUGAUUCAAUAUUUUAAAAAAGAAAACUAUAAAAUUAUCAUUCGCUAAAAAAAAAUAAAACAUAUUGUCUAUCUUUUUUUAUUGUUUAUUAAUAAUUCUAUUAUGUAUUUAAUUAUCAUACUUUUACUUCGGUUUGGUAGUUUGUAUAUAAAGGAACGGCAACCCUUUCGAUGUGAUAUAUACAGGAAUACAAAAUUAAAAAAUAUUUUAAAAUACUUUUUUAAAUUUAAAAAUAUAAAAUUCAUUUUUUUUAAUAUUAAGUAUAUAUCAAAUCAAAAUCAUGCUAUAAUAUUUUAAAAGACUACAAUAUAUAGUCCAAAUGCUACCUUUACCUUAGAUUUUAUCGUUUAGAAACGCUAUUUUAACUUUAUUGCAAAUUAGAUUUAUAAAGCAUCAAAGUUAAUAAUAUCAAUGUUUGCCUGGUGCGACUCAUUUAUUUUUUAUUAUGUGACAAGUGUUAUCACGAACAAAUAAUGGGAUCAGAUUGAUAAUUAUUCAUAUUCAUCUAAUUUCAAUAAUAAUAUUAUUUUUAGUUGUCAUACUUUUUUUUUGGACAGUCAAACAUAUUAAUUUUGACUAACAUUUUAAAAUAUAUUUGUAUCUUACAGUACUUUUGAUAUAAUUUUUAAAUAUCUAAUUUUGAAAUAUCGAAUAAAUGUAAUCUAAUUUAACUUUGACAAUAUCACAAUUAAAACUAAACGAAAUAGUUCUAUAUAAAACAUGGGAUAUACUUGUGCUCCACAAGGUGUUGGGGUAGGAAGGAAGAGGAAGCUUAUGUCCUGAAAUUUCCUUCUAUAUGUAAUUUGCUUACUUGACAAUAAUAUUGUGACUUUUGAGGUCUUGAUUCUUUUACGUAAUUAAAUUUUGAACUUGCAUCAAAAAUCAAAAAUGAUAAUGAAGUAAACCGUAAUCACAUACUCACAUUUGUUAGUGACAUGCACAUAUAUUGAUUUGAUGUUCCUGUGUAAUUUAACUUUGAUGUAAUGUUCAAGUUGAUAAUGUUCCAGUUUCAAUACUAAGUAAUAACGUACAUAGAUUAGUAAGGGAAACAGGAACAUUAUCAACUUGAACAUUACAUCAAAGUUAACAUACACAAGAACAUUAAAUCAAUAAAUGUGCAUGUCACUGACAAAUGUGAGUAUGUGAUUACGAUUUACUUCAUCUCCUCUUUGAUUUUUGAUGCAAGUUCAAGGUUUAAUUGCAUAAAAGAAUCAAGACCUCAAAAGUCACAAUAUUAUUAUCAAGUAAGCAAAUUACAUACAGAUGGAAAUUUCAGGACAUAAGCUUCAUGUUCCUUCCUACCACAACACCUUGUGGAGCACAGUACAAAAAUAAACGCAGUAUCUCAUAUAGACAUCAGCUGAACAAUAUAAAUCAUAUAUUACAUUUCUAUUUAUUUUCAUAAUAUUUGCCCAUACUGAAAACAAGUGUUGCAAGAUGCAUUCAGACAUCAUACUAUCAUAAAAAAUGCAAAAACACGUACUCCAUCGGGUUAUAUUAUAACAUUCAAACACAAGAUGCAUCAAAAUUUCAAAUCUAGCUUCGAAUUACAUUUAAUUGAAGGUAAAUUAUUUCAAUGUUGAAAAGACUUACUUUUUAAGUAGAAAAAAGAUUAAGACACACAGAUGUACAUCAAAGUUUAAAAAAAAUAAAAAAAAAUAAGAGAAACAAGAACAUUACCUCUUUUUAAGCAGUGAGCUGAGCUUGAUGACUAACUUGUAGUUUGUCCACUAAAUAAUUCAGACAAGAAGGAAGAAAGUAUAAACUUAGAACCUAAAAAUAUACUCGAAAGAGAGAAACAAAAUACCUUAAUGCUCGACUUUAAUGACUUUUGGGGGUGAAAAAUACUUCAGUUCAUUUUAUUCUUAGAAAUGUUUGUCCUGUUCAAAAACAAAAGAUUUUUCAAUAGAUAAGAACUAUCAUGCAUAUGGAAGAAUCGAAACUCAUCUUUCAUAACAUUAAUUCUUCUUAAACUGAGAAUUUUCAUAUAAUCAUUUUUGCAGAGAUUUCUCAAUCUUCACCAAAAUCGAGAUACACACUCUAAUGCACAGUAAACAUAAACUCUAGCAAAAACAAUUACUUCACAGAAACUCAUUUGUCAAAUACCCUAGCUUCUAAUAAAUUUCCAACUUUGAAGAAGAUAAAAUACAACAUAUCUGUAGCUGCAGAAACCGUACAACUCACGAAGAAGAAGACCCAAAAGUUGCAGAUACCUACAAGGAAAAUCAAAGAAGAAUGAUUAAAGAAAAACCAUAGAUGCGUGCUUUGGUUCUUCGGAGAGAAGAGAGAAAGGAGGCGUCGUUACCUACGAGGGAAUGAUAUGAAAUUUGAAGAAAAAAAUUGACCUAUGUGAUAUUUACCUUUUAUGUUUUUUAUUUUUUUUACCUUGUACUUUUACAAUUAAUUUUAAAAAAAUUGACAGAUGUAGUGAAAUAAGUGGAGGAAAACAAUUGGCGAAACCGUUGCCAUAAAGUACGUAAGGCGACGAUUUGUAAGAACUGUUGCAAUAUAAAGAUACUAUGGGCAACGAUUGUAGUACUAAUGCAACGAUUUAAUUCUUAAAGUGUUUCAUUAGGUCCAGUUAUCUACUGCAAAGGUUAUAACCGUUGCGAAUGAGUAUCUAUUGCAACACAUAUUUAAUUGUUGCUACAAGCAUGUUUUCUAGUAGUGAUAUUUUAGAGAAAUAUCUCUCUUUAAUUUAAAGGUAUAAAAUUCAAUUUUUUUUUAUUUUCCUAUUAAAUGUGUGCCAAAUCAAAAUUAUGAUAUAAUAUUUUAAAGGAAAAAUUACGCGGUCAAGCAAAUUUAUACUAAUUUAUUACUCAUCAUAGUUAUAGUUUGCUGUAAUUACUACUCGCGACUAACAUUAUGCACUAAUUAUGUGGGUUGACUUCGAAUUUGUAUAAUUAGCCACGUUUGUAUAUGUAUAAUUCGCCAGAAUAUAUAAAUACAUAUGUAUAAUAUACAAUUAUUUAACCGAUAUACACAUAAAAUUCACCUCUCUCCCACUCUUUGUCCUCUGUCCUCCCUCCCCCAUCUCGAGUGCUUCUCUCCUCUCUCUCUCUCAAUCUCGCUUGCCAUAUAUACAAGUGCAUAGGUAUUAUAUACAACUAUCUAAUCUAUAUACAUAUACAAUUCACCUCUCUCUCACUCUUUGCCCUCUCUCGCUCGCCUCUCUCCUCUAUCUCUCCCAAUCUCGCUCGCCUCUCUUCUCCCUCUCUCAAUCUCUCUUGUCAUAUAUACAACUACUAUGUAUAAUAUACAAUUAUCUAACUAAUAUACAUAUACAUUUCACCUCUCUCCCAUUCUUUGCCCUCUCCCACUCGUCUCUCUCCUCUCUCUCCCAGUCUCGCUCGCCUCUCUCCUCUCUAUAACAUAGAGCUACGAAUUAUAAUUAUCAAACUAUAGCUAUAGAGAGUAAUAGAUUAUUUUUGAGUGGCUAUAUGUAAAAGUUCCUAUUUUAAAAGACUACCAUAUAUAAUCCAAAUGCUACCUUUACCCGAUGAUUUUAUUGUUUAGAAACAAUAUUUUAACUUUAUCCCAAAUUCGAUUUAUAAAGCAUCAAAGUUGAUAAUAUCAAUGCUUGCCUGAUGUGACUCAUAUAUUUUUUUAUUUUGUGACAAUUGUUAUCACGAACAAAUAAUGGGAUCGGUUUGAUAAAUUUUAUAUUCAUGUAAUUUUAAUAAUAAUAUUCUCUCCGUUUCUUUUUAGUUGUCAUAAUUUUUUUUAUGAGUAAAAUGACAUUAAUUUUUCAUAUAUUUUUGAAUAUCUAAUUAUAUAUAAAAUAUGGAAUGAAUAUAAUUUAAUUUAACUUUAACAAUAUCACAACUUAAACGAAACGAAAUAGUUAUAUAUAAAAACAAAUCCUCCAACCAACCCUUACAUAUAAAAUAAAUCUAAGAUAAGAGGAAUAAUCCGAAAAGAAAGAUGAGACAAAUCAUAGAAUAUCUCUUGCUAUAGUUCUCACAUAAUAAUCUGUCAUAAAGUAUAUAUGUGUGCUUUAACUAUACCCAAAAAUCCUCAAUCACACCAAGAGCAUUUUUUUUCUCUAAAGUCUAAACUAACAUACAAAACUAAUUAGUUAGACAUGGAAUUGUUCUAUGCCUCUCUUGUUUGCCUCUUUGUCCUUUUACUCUCCCUCUCCUUCCUCUUCCUCUUCAACAAGAAGAACAAAUCCAUGAUCUUGUCUUGCCCUCUUCCUCCUGGCAACUCCGGUUGGCCGGUUAUCGGUGAAACCCUCGAGUUUCUCUCUACUGGUUGGAAAGGUCAUCCUGAAAAAUUCAUCUUCGAUAGAAUUUCCAAAUACAAGUCUAGCAUUUUCAAAACUCAUCUUUUAGGUGAAAAAGCGGUUGUUUUUUGUGGUGCAUCUAGUAAUAAGUUUUUGUUUUCGAAUGAAAAUAAACUAGUUCAAACAUGGUGGCCAAGUUCAGUAGACAAAGUCUUUCCAUCUUCAACACAAACUUCUUCAAAAGAAGAAGCUAUCAAAAUGAGGAAAAUGCUUCCUAACUUCCUCAAACCUGAAGCAUUGCAACGUUACAUUCGAAUCAUGGAUCAUAUCGCGCAAAAACAUUUUCAAUCGUGGGAAAAUCAACAAGAAGUUGUUGUUUUCCCUCUAGCUAAACGCUAUACUUUUUGGUUAGCUUGUAGAUUAUUUGUCAGUGUGGAAGAUCCUAACCAUGUUGCUAGACUUGCUGAUCCUUUCGAUGUUUUGGCUUCUGGAUUGAUUUCUAUACCUAUAAAUUUACCUGGCACGCCAUUUAAUCGUGCUAUUAAGGCAUCCAAUUUUAUUAGAAAAGAGCUUGUGGCAAUCAUAAAGCAAAGGAAGAUUGAUUUGACCGAGGGAAAAGCAUCAGACAGUCAAGAUAUAUUGUCACACAUGUUGUUGACAAGUGAUGAAAAUGGGAAGUUUAUGCAUGAGUUGGAUAUUGCUGAUAAGAUAUUAGGGUUGUUGAUUGGUGGCCAUGACACUGCUAGUUCUGCUUGUGCUUUUAUUGUUAAAUACCUUGCUGAGCUUCCUGAAAUUUAUGAUCAAGUUUACAAAGGUAACCCAACUUCUCAUAAUUUUUUUGUCAUAAAAAAAUAUUUAUACAAUCACAUUACGUAAAGCUAUUUGAUAAUAAGAAUUACCAAGUAAUGUGAUAGAAAUGAUAAAUAAUAAGUGAAAUUACACCACAUAAGACUUUUCUAAUAGUCAAUCGAUACGGUAUAUAUAACUAAAAAAAAUAUAUAAAUCAUACCUCAACUUUGACCGAAAUUGUUGUUACGAUACCAAACUUUAUAGAAGAACUUUUAUCCCCUGCACUAUUUAGUAGUGUAUUUUAAAUGUAUGUAUGUGUCCUCCAUGGGCACAUUACUAUUUAUAAUGAUGUCAUAUUUAUGAUAUCCACGUAUAUACCUUUAAAAUACACUUUUACACAAUGUAGAGGGUAAAAAGUCCUUUCCAAAUUUCGAUAUUGUUAUAACAAUUUCGAUCAGAGUUUGAAUAUAUAUUUCAGAUUUUUCCCAUAAAUUAUGAGUUUGAACAUUGAUAAAAAUAGCAAGUCUUAGGAAAACACAAUUCUUAUCUAAAUUUAUUGAUAUUUUUUUUGAAAAAAAAAUCAGUGAUUUGGUUUGACAAGUCAUAUUUGAGGUAAUUGAUUUUCAUAUAGAUAUUAAUGUUUUUUAUUUUUCUUUGUAUUUGAUGAAAAUAGAGCAAAUAGAGAUUGCAAAAUCAAAGGGUCCAGGAGAAUUAUUGAGUUGGGAAGACAUUAAAAAGAUGAAAUAUUCAUGGAAUGUGGCAUGUGAAGUUCUAAGACUUGCUCCACCCCUUCAAGGUGCUUUUAGGGAAGCCCUUGUAGACUUCACCUUCAACGGUUUCUCCAUUCCAAAAGGAUGGAAGGUAUGAAAAAUAAAGAACAAUAAUUAUAUAUAUAUAUAUAUAUAUAUAUAUGCGUAUAUUUUCAUCAUGUUGAUAAACUAGUUAAUCGAACGAUAUCUGUUGGUAAGUUUUUUUAAAAAUAAAUAAGUAAUAUCACCAAAUCAUGAAGAAAAAAAGAUAUAAUAAGGAAAAAGAGAGAGACUAAGGUCUUGUUGGAUACAAAUUUCAAAACUAUUUUUUAAUUUUCUCAUGUUUUUCCUAGGGAAACAAACUCCUAAAAUAAGGAAAAUAAGUUUCCUAAUGAAAGUAGGGGAAAAAAAGGCUCUACCAAUGAACAGGGGCGAAGACACGUAAGGCCGAGGGAUUUAUCCGAACAACCUUUGAUGAAAAAUCACAUUGUUUAUACACUCUUAAAAUUAUUUUUCAUGUAUAUAUAGUAGAUGUUGAACCCAUUUUAAAUAUCUUCAUGUGUUUGAACCCCUUAGUGAAAAUUUUGAUUUUGCGAUUGUUAGUGACAUUUCACAUUGAUUGUGUUCUCCUGUCAUUUCUACAUCUCAACUUCCCCCGCCCCCAUAUCCCUCACCAUCUUACACCCUUAGCUACCUCCCCAUCUCACACCUCCUAUAGUAUUUGUCUAAAUUUUCUGCUUACUUACAAAUCGAACACAAUAAAAUAACACUAUAACAAAAAAUAACUUUUAACAGUAAUAAAUAAACAUAUUAAUAAAGAGUGCUACAACUUUACCAACGUUAGUUAAGUGUCAUUAGAUCUCAUAUCGCUAAAAGGCUUUUGAAACAUAUAUAAAGAAUGUUAAUUACCGCUAAAAUGCAUAUGUAGUGACAAUUGAGCUAUUGACUUUCCCAAAUUCACCCUAACUCUUGUUAGUGCACUGAAAUUGAUUUGCAGAUAUAUUGGAGUGCAAAUUCAACACACAUAAAUCCAGAAGUAUUCGUAGAUCCUUUAAAAUUUGACCCCUCAAGAUUUGAAGGAAAUGGACCUGCUCCAUACACAUUUGUACCUUUUGGUGGUGGACCAAGAAUGUGCCCUGGAAAAGAGUAUGCUCGUUUAGAAAUACUUGUUUUCAUGCACCAUCUUGUUAAAAGGUUCAGCUGGAAGAAAAUUAUCCAUGAUGAGAAAAUCGUCGUUAAUCCCAUGCCAAUUCCGGCUAACGGACUUCCGAUCAGACUCUAUCCUCAUCACGUUAAAACUUAAAUUGUUAGAGAGAGUAUAUCGAAUUGAUGACUAGUACGUAUUAUAUUGUGGUUAUAUGUAUGUUGAUUUUAUGUCUUCGUUAAUUAAGGCAAUCUUCUAUUUAUAAAGCAAGGACAUAGGCCAAAAAUUGAUAACUGUGCUUAUUUUUAAUGUCUUGAACUGUUAUUAUAUAUAUAAAAUUCUUGCGUUUAAAAGUUUUAUGAAACAUCACAUAUAACAAACACAAAAAUCAUAUUUGUAUGCUAUAGUUAUAGUUUGCAUAAUUGCGCUCCAUAGCAAACAUGAUAUGACUAUUUCGCUAUGCAUAUGUACAAAAGAAGCUAAGUUAUUUCGAUAUAUAUAUAUAUAUAAAGAAGCAAUUUUAUAAUUCGUUGCCUCCUCUUUAGAUUUGUAUAAUUUCGCUGGUAGACUAAUUGUAUAAAUUGUUGUUAGUCUCUCGUUUGUAUAAAUCGUUGGCAGCCUCUCGAUUUAAUUUUAUGUGCUUGUAUAUCUGUAUAAAAUUUAGAUUUGUAUACAAUUGAAUCGAAAUAAAACGUUUGUAUAUCAGAUAUACUUUCUCUCUCUCUCUCUCGCUUUAUACAAACAUAAAUUAUACAUUAUAUUUUGUAUAAGCGGUGUUUGUAUAAAACGAGAAAGAGAGAAAGACAAAAGAGAACUAGACAAAGGAAUAUUUGUAUUGUAUAAUUAUAAGUGUAUAAGACGAAGGUAUAUAUAUUUGCAUGUGUAUAUACAAUUUUUUUUUGCUUUAUACAAAACACAAUUUGUACAUUUCUGUUUGUAUAAGGCAAGAGAGGCCGGGGAGAGAGUGGCGAGCGAGAAUUUCAGGGAGAGAGGCGACUGACAACCGUUUGCUAUAGGGUACAAUUAAAUCAAACUAUACUUAUAACAUUCAAUAUGAAUUAAUAGUUUGUCAUUAUAUACAAUUUCCCUAUUUGUAUUGAAGAUGUUGAAUCAUGCACAAGUUUAAAUAGGUGUUGUCAAAAUUAUCUUCAUAAGAAAUUAUUGUAAAGCUUUAAAUUUCAAAGUUUUGAAAAUUAUUUUUUUGUAAAUACGCUGUUUUAAGUGGGUGGGUAUUGUUGCAAAGAAAUCGAUUGCAUAUCGAGGAGUUUAAAUAUGAUUUUUUGGGCAAUUUGUUGUAAUUUUUGAAAUAUUAUUUUUAAAUGAAAUAUUUUUUGGGAAACUUUCACAUAUAGCCACUAAAAAUUGCUUAAUUAUUCUCCAUGGCUACAGUUUGAUAAUUACAAUUCGUAGCUACAUGUUAUAGGGAGGAGAGAGGCGAGCAAGACUUGAAGAGAGAGGAGAAAGGUGAAUUGUAUAUGUAUAUUGAUUAGAUAAUUGUAUAUUAUACAUAUGUUUUUGUUAUAUGGCAAACGAGAUUGUGAGAGAGAGGAGAGAGGCGAGUGAGAUUAGGAGAGGGUGGAGAGAGGCAAGCGAGAGUGGGAGAGAGGUAAUUGUAUAUGUAUAUUGGUUAGAUAAUUGUAUAUUAUACAUAUGCAUUUGUAUAAAAAGCAAGCGAUAUUGGGAAAAAGAGGAGAGAGACGGCAAGAUUUAGAGAGGAAGGAGAGAGGCAAGCGAGAGAGGGCAGAGAGUGAGAGAGAAGUGAAGUAUAUAUGUAUAUUGAUAGAUAAUUGUAUAUUAUACAUAUGUAUUUAUAUAUGCUAGCGAAUUAUACAUAUACAAAUGUGGUUAAAGGCCUGUUUGGAUUGACUUUUGGCUUAUUUUUGUUAUAUUGUCUUUAAAAUAAGUCUUUAUAAACACUUUUUUCAUGACAAGAGAAAUCUGCAACCGCUACCCUUUGGGUGCACACAGGGUAAAAACCCCGCUCCGAUGCAAUAGCUCGUAAAUCACAUAGGAGAGGUAACUCGCACUAGGCAAGCCUGGUGGGACGAGCUCGACCUAGAAGGCAAACCCCUUUCUUUUGCUGGUAAGGGGUUUCUAACUUGAGACCUCCAACAUGGAAGUCCCAAGCUCAAACCAUUGGGUCAAUCCGAAGGGUUAUAAACACUUUUUAAAUUUACCCAAACACUUCAAAACUACUUGAAAGCUAUUUUUGGCUUAAAAACACCUAAAAUAAGUCAAUUCAAGCAGGCAAUAAUUAUACAAACGCGAAGUCAGACUACAUAAUUAAUGUAUAAUAUUAGUCGUGAGUGGUAAUUAUAACAAACUAUGACUAUGAUGAGUAAUUAAAUAGUUUAUAUUUACUUAACCACAUAAUUUUCUCUAUUUUUUUUAAUAAAAGAGUAUAAUAUUGUAUGUAUGCAUAAAUAUCUCUUAUAUUUAUAUAAUGUUGUAUAUUAGGUAAAAAUAAUCGUAUAUUAUUGUAUACGAAUAUAUAGUAGCUUUGAAUUCCACCUCUUCUCAAUUUUGAUGAGCCCAUUUCCAGAUCAUGAGUCACAUAGGAAGGACUAACUCCAUAUUUUACUUAUUUAAUUGAUGUGUCUUAGAGACUUCUUUGACAAUUUUUUUAAAUAUAGAUAUAAUUAGCUGAAAAAAUAUUUUUUAUUUUAUUUGAAAUUUUAUACAAACAAAAUAUAUGUAUAAUUUUUUAAAAAAAAUUAUAUUGUAAAGUAUUGGGCUAAAAGAUAUUUAAAUGAAAUGUAAAUAUCAGUCACAACUUAUUUAAAAUUAAUUAAGCUAUUGUAAUUAAAUUCUCACUUCCAUUACAAUUACACUUAAAUGGGGAGAUAAUUCAGAAAAUAUGAUUCUACAAAAUUAAAUUGGCUCAUAGCUCAUGGCAUGUGUGGCUACAUUUCAAAUAUAUAUUUCUAGUUAUAUAUAAUGUUACAAGACCAAAUAAUUUGUUUUUCAUUUAUGUACAAGUCGCACACUUUUAAUUAAAUCAUUAUGGCCCAAUUUUGUAAUUCAUAAAAUAUUUUGUAUAGUUAAAUUGAAUCGUUCAUAAUCAUAUGAACUUAUAAUAAUUAUUUGAGUUGACCUACAAUGACAAUUUAAUUUGACAAUAAGUUUCUUGAUGAAAUGAAAUAAUAAAAUAUGUAAUUUUAAAGUUUUCUCAUAUACCUACAACUUGUAAGACUUUUAAGGAAGUAGAUAUCACCGACAUGUUCACAAUAAUAUCGAUUUUUAAGUUGCAAUAUAGUCAAAUAUAUAGUCAAAAUACCAUGCUUUGAAUUUGUAGAUGAUGAAUAAUCAAGGAAUGUUAUAACAUUUUAUUUACUUCACUUUGUUUUAUCUAUAUUGAAAUAUUCAAUUAUUUUUAACUCAUUGCUUCUAAAGAAAUAUGAGAGAUCUCAAUAAUACUUUUAUCUUUAAAUAAAUAUGUUCACAUCUAAUUAUUUUUUUUAAAAAAAAAAUUCUUAGUUUCACAUACCAUUUAACACUCUGGGUAUGAUCUAGUAGUCAAUGAAGUGGUUGAAAAUCAUGAUGUCUCAAAUUCAAUUUAUAAUAAAGACAAAAAAUACUAAGAGAUUCUUUCUAUCUGACAUAAUUUUGAUGGACAGAAUAAUCUGAUGGAAGGUGAGCGAAAGUAUAUAUCUAAUCUAGAUAUCAUAGUCAUAAUGAUAAUGAUCAGAAAAUUUGACCGAAAAUUUAUAAAAAAUUUAUUAUAUCUAUUUUAUUUUUAAUUAAAAUGUAACAAAGCUAAAACACUAAAAAUAUUUAAAAAGGAUAAAAUAACAUAAGCAAAUACCAUUUGGUCAAAUCUUGACCAAAUUUUCUGGCCAAUUUUUAUUCUUCAAAUAACAAUAAUAAAUAAGUAUAAAAGAAUAUCCUUAAUUUCGUAAUACGCGUAUCCCUGUUGAUGUCAACCAAAUAGUUUAAUUAUGUCUAUUAUAUUUAAUGUAUUUCACAAUUCCUUUCAACUAAUAUCAAAGUAUUUUAUUAUUUUAGAAAUUUUAGUUCAUCAAUUUUAGUGUAAAUCAUAUAAAUGUAUCAUAUUAAAAAAAUAUUUAUCGUUUAUGUUAAUAUAAUUUUUCUAAUCAAAUAUGAUCAUUUUUAAGAAUUAAAAAAGUGUAAAGUUGAUUUUCCUUCGCCCCUUUUUUUAUCCUUUUUUUCUUCCUCCUCUUCUUUUUAUAUUUUUCUACUUCUUCAUCCAUCUCUUUAUGUGUCAAUCUCUCUUCCUCUUUUUUUUUAUUUUUUUUUAACUUUUUAAAUAAUUACUUUUUUAAAUAAGUUUUUUUUCAUAUUUCACUAUUUUUAUUCAAAAACAUGACAAGAAAAGAAAUAGAAAAAACAAAAAAUUGUAGAAUAUCCUAUUCUCAAAUAGAAAUUUCAAAUUUUUAAAAUUUUAGAAACAAGAUAUCGUAAUUGCAUUAAAACUUUUAAAAAUUUGAAACUCGAAAAAGGUGAAGUCUAUGGAAAGGUAUCGUGAUUGUAUUAAAGUUGUAUUAGAUAUGUUUCAUAAUUGUAUUAAAAUUAUAUUAAAAUCACGGACAAUACAUUUAUCAUACAUAGUACAAACUUCUCUCUUUUUUUAGUGAUAUCAACUAAAUAAAUUAACACCCUUGUAAUACAUAUUGCAAAUAUUACUCAAGUUCUCAGUGAUACAAACUAAAAUAAAUUAUAAGAUACAUAUAAUACAUGUAUUAUUCAUGAAUUAUACAAGUUUAGUUCAAUCUAUAGAUUAUUUUUCUGUCUUUCGUUAGUUACAUUUUUCAAUUAUUAUUAUUUUUCUCUUCUAAUUCAACUUUAAUAUUGUGUAAUACACUUUUAAUGCAAGUUUAAUUCAUUUUGUAGUUUAUUAUUUGUUAUUGUUAGAUUACUUGUUUAAUUCAUUAUUAGUAUAAGUUUAAUUCACUCUAUAAAUCAUUGUAUGGUGUUUCAUUAGUUAUAUUUUUUUUUAUCUAUGCUUAAUUCAAAUUUAAUAUUUGUGUAUGCACUUUUAAUACAAGUUAAUUCAUUUUGCAGUUUAUUGGUUGAUUUGUUAUGAUUGAAUUACGUGUUUAAUUCAUUAGAAAAUUACGUGUUUAAUUCAUUAUUGAUACAAAUUAUUCAAUUUACAAAUUACAUAAUGCUCUUUCGUUUGCUACAUUUUGCAUUCAUAUUUAAUUCGCUUCCAAUUCAACUUUAAUAUGUGUGUACUAUAUUUUUCAUUCAAGUUUAAUUCAUUUGACAAUUUAUUAUGUUUCUUCAUUUGUUACAAUUAGAUUAGUUGUCUAAUUAAUUGAUUAUCUUAGUGAUAAAAACAAAGAUAAUAUAUAUGAUAUAUGAUAUAAGUUUUAUUUAUGGAUAAUAUGAGUUUAAUUCAGUUUAUAGAUCGUUGUCAAUCAUGUCUUUUGUUAGUUACAUUUUGUAUUCAUUCUAAAUUCUCUUCUAAUUCAACUUCAAUAUUUGUAAUACAAUUGUAAAGCAAUUUAAUUUAUUUGCAAUUUUUUGAUUUAUUUAUUACUAUUGGAUUACUUGUUUAAUUCUUUAUUAAUACAAGUUUAAUUUACUCUAUACAUUAUUGCGUGUAAUACAUUCUUAAUUUAAUUUUAAUAUGUGGGUAAUACAUUUUUAAUUCAAGUUCAAUUCAUUUUGCAAUUUAUUAUGUCUCUUUAUUUGUUAUGAUUAAAUUAUUUAUUUAAUUUGAUACAAAUUUUAUUCAUUUUACGAAUCAUUGACUACUCUUCGAAAUAAAAUAAGGAGAUAAACAAAAAAAAAGUAACAAAAAGAUAAAACAGAAAAAAAAGUAAGAAAGAUAGAGCAACAAAAAGAAAAGAGCGAAAAAGAAAGAAGAAUAAAAAAAAAUGGGAGAGAAAAAAGAGAAAGAAGCGAGCGAGCGAGAAAAAUCUAACAAUAAAAUAUAUAAUAUUAUUAUUUAUAUUACUAUAAAUGAUAAUAUUUAAAGAAUAUAUCUAAAAUAGGUAAUUAUUUUUGAAAAAAGACUUGCUCAAGUAAUUAAUCCUUAAUUUUAUGUAGUCAUUCUGUAUACUCUAUUUUGUAUUUUUUACUUUCCAUUGCACUAGUAUAAUGAUUAAUUAAAUUGCUAUUUUUAAAAAUACAAUUGUUUAUAUGAUAAAAAAGAAUCUUUUUAGUCAGAAAGAUAUUUUAUCUAUAUUAUUUUAUUUUUUUAAAAUUAAAAAAUACAAAAGCUUAAUUUAUUUUGAAAUAGAAAAAAAUAAUGUAAAUAUUUAAAUUUUCUGGGUCAAAUUUUUUGUCCAUUAAAUAGAUAUGUGAAGAUAAUACUAACAAUGAUAUAAUAUGCGGAGAAAAAUUAAAAUAUAUUUAGAAGUAAAUAUAUUAUCUAUAUGAAUAUGAUAACAACGUGACAUAUCGACUUAAAAUGUUUAUUUUCAAAUUAAUAUAUUGUUGGACAAAAGUAAAGUUCAAGUCAAACUUAUAUAUGUAAUAAAUAUACUAAGAAAGAAUAUUUAAAUUAUUGUAUAUUUGUUUUCUUUGACCGGGUCAAUUAGAGUUUGCUCAAAUUUUCAAAAAAGAAAAUGCACAUUUGACUUGAAUUUUAUUGUUUCAUUUUUUACUUUAAUAUUAAUCUAAAUUUUCCAAUAUCUGGCAUAACAUCAAUAAUCCUAUUAUACUUUUAACGUAGAGAUUAACUAUUUCAGAAUAAAUUAUUUUAUCAUAAAGGAGAUAAUUUAUUCAAUUAUUAAAGAGUUGUUUGGUGUGAGAUAUAAAGUAUGAGUAAUGUAGAAUUAUUUUGUUUUGUGUUUGAUUUGAAGGUAUUAGGCAGUUCUAACAUCAUUUAUUCCUCCAUUUAUAUAUGUGUGUGAUUCAAUACGUUAUCAGUUAUAUUAUAUACAUUGUGAAAUAACUUAUCUCAAAAUAAGCUUUUUACGGGAUACUUAAUCAAGGGAUAAAUUAUUUUCAACCAAACAAUCCCUAAUAUAUAAAUAAUAAGAUAAAUAAUCUCAUUAUUGUCCAUCAAACAACCCCAAAAUUAAAUUUUUAUACCUUAUCUCAUUUCUCAAUUCUCACUAUACUAUUAUUAUGGGACAAUAGACAAAUAUAUUUCUAAACUAUGGCAAAUGGUAUACAGAUAUCCUCCAUCAUAUUUUUGGAACAUUAAUACCUCUGUCGUUAAAAAACUAGAGCAUAUAUGCCCUUUACUCUAACAGAAGGAUAAAUAGGGACACGUAUAUUAUCCGUCGAUAUAUGUCAGAUCAAUGGAUAAAGUUAUGACACGUGUAUGUGUGUUCUAGUUUUUAAAUAACAGGAACACCAAUAUCUCAAAAGUAUAACAAAGGAAACUUACAUAUAUUUACAAUAAUUCAGGGAUAUAUUUAUUCUUUUUCAAUGCUAUUAUUAAUCAUUUUCAUAGUGUCACAUUAUGUCAUGGUUGAAAUAUGGAUGCAAUAAUUUUUUUUUUUUUUAUGAAAUAAGUAAAAAUUAUUAUGCAUUUAUUUAUGUGAUGAAAGAAACAAGAUGUUUGAGUCCAAAUAAAGGUAGACCCCAGCAAGUGGGCUAUGGAAAACUAAAACAAAACCAGCGACCAAAAAAACACAAGACUGACUGCAAAAGGCCAACAAUACAUUCAUUCAUUCAUUUUCUUCUCCUCUCUGCUUUUAUCUCUUUCUACGACGUCGUUUCUCCACCGCUCCUCCUCCUCCUCAGACUCCCUUUUUCGGUCGAUCGGUUUGUUUUCACACCAUAUAUCAAAGUCAAGUCUACUCGAUCCAGGUAAUUAUACUACUGGAUCACCUAAUUUUGUUGAUUUUUUGGGGUUUUCUUCACUUCAAUUGAGGGAUUUCAGCUGUUUUUUUGGGUUUUUUGUUGUUAAAUUCUUUAGCUAUGUUUUUGCCUGUUUUGUGCUUCAUGUAUCUGACUUUUUUUCUUUCAAGUUUGAGCUACAAAUCGAAAAACGCGUUUUUGUUCUAAUUACGAUUAGAACGUCAACUGGUGGGGGAGAUAAAAUGUAAGAGGGGGAAAUGGAGCUUCUUACCUUUGGGUGGGUCUGUAUAUGCUUUUUUUUUUCUCUGUUCUCAACAAGUUCACUAUUUUACAAUUAAUUUUUAGUUAUAUAUGCUUUUUUUUUCUCUGUUCUCAACAAGUUCACUUUUGUACAAUUAAUUUUUAGUUAUAUAUGUUGUUUCAGGCUUCUCAAGGUUUUUCUGCAUGUAAUUCAACGAAGUUUUUACUCUGUUAUUUCUCAAGAAUCCCCAAACAGCAAAAUAUUGUUCCUUUAAACAACAAAACAUUGGUCCAAAUAUUUCUGGAUUUAGAAAAACGAAUAAGACAUUAAUAGGGCUUCGCGAAUCUAUACAUAGUGUGCUAUAUGACUCAUUGAUUACAUCUAAUGAGACAUUUAGCUAAUUUGAAGGAAUUAAAUGAACUGAAAUCUUAAGUGAAGACUGAAGAGACACUUUUGUAACAAGCCUUUCUUCUGGGGGUUCAUUUUGAAAUUAAUCUUUGUUUAUUUAUUUUCUCCUAUUUUUUUAAUUGUUUUUUGAUGCAUGAAGUUGGAGAGAAGAAUUUUUAACAGACGAGCUUCUAACAUUUCAUGAUUUUUACAGGUUGUGGACUGUUAACGUUUGACUUACAAAUCCUCAUGCAAAAGAACCCAUUAUAGUUUUUUUUGCUGCAGUUACUUUGACGGGAAAAUGUUGGAGGCUCCAAAGUUUGCAGGACUUAUAGACUUAAAUGAAAACCCUGAUCAUUAUGGACUCUCACAAAAUUUCUACCAUAAGCUUGGUGAGGGAUCACACAUGUCAAUCGAUAGUUAUGGGAGCUUGCAGAUGAGCAAUGGUGGAGGUUCAGUUGCAAUGUCGAUGGAUAACAGCAGUGUGGGAUCAAAUGAUUCGCAUACUCGUAUUUUAAACCAUCAGGGUCUCAAGCGUGUUCACAAUAACUAUUCGGUUGCAGCUAGUGUAAAUAAGGGAAAAACUUCUCAUGGGUUGAGUGAUGAUGCCCUAGCUAAAGCAUUGAUGGAUCCUCGAUUUCCUACUAAUGGGCUUGAGAAUUAUGAUGAGUGGACAAUUGAUUUGAGGAAGCUCAACAUGGGGCCAGCUUUUGCUCAAGGGGCUUUUGGGAAACUAUACAAAGGUACUUAUAAUGGUGAGGAUGUUGCUAUCAAGCUUCUAGAGAGGCCAGAUAAUGAUCUUGAGAGGGCUCACUUGAUGGAGCAACAGUUUCAGCAGGAAGUUAUGAUGUUGGCAAGGUUGAGACAUCCAAAUAUUGUUCGGUUUAUCGGUGCAUGCCGUAAACCCAUGGUGUGGUGUAUUGUCACUGAAUAUGCUAAAGGAGGAUCAGUUCGUCAGUUUCUCACUAGGCGACAAAAUCGAUCUGUGCCCUUGAAGUUAGCAGUGAAGCAGGCGUUGGAUGUGGCAAGGGGUAUGGAAUAUGUGCAUGGCCUGAAUCUGAUACAUCGUGACCUGAAAUCUGACAACCUACUAAUUUCUGCUGAUAAAUCAAUCAAGAUUGCGGACUUUGGAGUUGCUCGUAUUGAGGUGCAGACAGAAGGAAUGACACCAGAGACUGGAACAUACCGUUGGAUGGCUCCGUAAGCCUC